rnacentral:lncRNA from 1 species
GGUUUUCUCAGAUUUAAUUAGUAGUUGCUAUUUCAAAACUGAGAAUUUGACACUAUUUUUUUAAAGCUCUGAUGGAAGUUUCCAUCAAUUAGUAAUGAAGUUAGUUUAGAGGUUAGUUUCUGACCAAAAACACUCGUAUAAGUUUAAAACCAAAAACAAAACAAAAUAAAAUUGUAUGAUAUAAUAAGAAAACUAGAAAAGAAAAGUGAGUAAAACGGGAGACCAUAAAAGAAGUCUACACUGGUAGAGAACUUUGGUUUCCUUGCAAGUCGUCAUCAGAGUCUUCGGCACAGAAACAUACACAGCCACAGCAAAGGGCCAUGAACACAAUGGAAGAGGGUAACCCGACGUAGAGAGAGAGUAUGGGAGAGAUACAAUUGAGGAGAAAGACGACGAGAGCAAUCCCUAAGACAUGACUCACGCAUUCAACUACGAAGACACCGUAACCUUCGGGUUUCCCGGGAUUUGUGGGUGCCUGGAGCCCGACAAAAGUGGCAUUGAUGUACAUGAAUGCCAAAAAAAAUCCCAAAAUUUUUUGGGAGUAGGUCACGGGGAUCUUGUUUAGCCUUAUGUACAAGAACUCUGCAAGAGCCGCCGACAAGAUGAGUAUGUGCAUGGUUAAGACGUAACGGAUUUGCUUCGUGGACCUGCAUGCGUGACAUAUAUACCACCACCAAAUUAAAUAAUAUAAGAUAACAUAUGCAAUCAACCCAUGCAUUACUUAGUUUGGAAAUCAAAUUAUAUAGCUAGCCUACUACACAAAGAAAUAUAAAAUAAUAAUCAACGAUCCACUCACAAUUUACAUCCAGGUUCAGCCAUCGUUUCGCUCUUGUCCAUGAUGAUGAAUAUGGUACAACCUCCUCUGUAAUUACACAUAUUGUUUAGUCGAUACUUGUAUAUAUAUAGUGUACCACGUUCAACAUCCUAUUCCAACUCGAACUCGGAUGUCAAUUAAUAUGUUUCUGUUUUAAUUUUUUUGCGGGAUAUAUGUAAAUCUUUUACGAUUAUUAUAUUUUGACAAGUUUGGGAGUUCGUAUGUAUCUAGUACAAUUCUCAAUAUAUGCAGUUUCUCUUCUUUUCUUUUUUUUUUUCUUUUUCUAAUUUAAUAAAUGAAGAGACUGAGAGAGUCAUAUUACAUUGUGGAGCAAUAUAGUAUUGCGAUGCGAUGGUAUAUUUUUUGGUAUGAUGGAAAUGAUAUAUUUAAGUCACUUUUCAAGACUUCGAAAUCAUACUCUACAAUGUAGUCACGUACGUACGUUUCAUUGACUAAGUUUGCACGAAAGUUGUUUCGAAUGUACGAUUCUUGUUUAAGAAAAUACUCAAGUCACUCCUAUCUGUGGUAUCUUGUCAUAUAGAGAAGUAGAACCUGAAGACUAUAAAGAAAAAAUAAAGUUGAUACUUCUAAGUGUACUAGAGUCUAGAGAUAUCAAUCCACAACCAGAAUGGCUUUAUGUGUUCACAGUUCAGGUUCAGGUUCUCAUAUGAUGAUACACUAGCUAGCUAAUGCUAACAACUAUAUAUAGCUAAUCCUGAAAUAACUUUUAGAAUAUAUACCAACCUUGGCAAAUAUUUAAAGAAACAAUUCUUUUUUUUUUUAAUUAGCUUUGAUUUUUUCCACGUCAUCAAUCUCGUAAUGCGUAAAAUAAUCGAGUCCCACAUUACACGUAUGCUAAAUAUGCCACGUGAUCAAUCUCGAAACAAUAUCUUCUUUGAUCUCCUCUCUCUGUUCUACCACCUCCCCAAAAGUCCCAAUCUUUCAAUCUCUUCUUCUCUGUUUCUCUCUAUAAAGUUUUUUAUUUAUUUUAUUUUUAAUAAAAAUUUUCUAUUAUAGAGCAAUUGGAUAUAGUUCUGUCGUAAAAGGAAAUAUUGAUACGAAUCAAAACCAGAUUAAAUACUAAACAAACCAGAUUAAGCAAAAUCUGUUCUUUUUUGAGGUUUAAAAGUCAGACAUGAUGAGAGGUUUUGGUGGUGGUGGUGUUCUUCAUCUAUGGAUAAGCUUUAAGCUACAGAGGUCUGCUUUUUUUUUGUUUUUCUUUUGUCCCUUUGACAAGCUGGUGCUGUUUCAAUUUGGUGCCUAUCUCGUUUAGUAUACCGUAGCUUAUAGUUUCAUUUUGUACCAUUUGCUUAUAGUUUGAUAUUGUAUCUGGGUUCUGAAAUUUUCUAAGGACUAUGGGAAAGUAGGAGAUCUAAGAAAUCAAAGAGACUGUGCUCAGUGUUACUCAUCUCUUCUUCUUUAGUUGUUUUCCAUCUCUUGUUGCCAAGUACUGUGAUAAUUUUGUAUUGGUACAUUCAUAGCUUUUUGAUUUCAGAAGCAAUAACUUUCGGAUUGUUUUUAAAAGCUGAUUGUGUUACUAUUGAAAUUUGAAUUUGCCUCUGGCUUGUUUAGCUUUUAUUUGGACAAAGCUUGUUAAUUUAUCCAAAUUCAGGUUUUUAUUUGGUUCUGGUGUGAUUUUCUUACGAAAUGUUGAUUUUUUUUUUGUUUUUUUUUUUGUUUCUCUUAUUCGGUUGAGGUUUUGCUGAAGGGAUUAAAAUAAGUUUGGCGAAAGAAGAUAUGUGCAAAUGUUAUGUCAGUGUAGAGGGGAAGUUUCUGCAAAAUCUUAGACGUUAUUUGAUGCUGCUUCUGUUCUAUCUUGUUCAUGGAGGCUGGUCUUAACACAGUCAUCAGACAUUAGUAUUCUAAAAUGUGUUUUAAUAACAACGAAACUGGUGAUGAAGUUGAAACCGAGAGGCAAGUGUUUGGUUCAUCCGAACAAGAUGAAUUUCGAGUUGGAGAUACUACUGGAAAUGCCAACAAUUUGAUACAGAUUUCUCAACAACAACCACCGCUAGCUCCUGUUGUGAAGUGGGAGAGGUAUCUCCCGGUUAGAUCACUUAAGGUUCUUCUCCUUGUUUAGCUAUCACAUUGUUGUUUUCGACUAAUUGUUGUAAAUUUGGAAACAUUUCAUCAGUCACUGCAGCUUCGAAUGUCCUUGAAGCCUGGAGAAUCCUAGAAGACGAGAAGAGUUGCAUUGAUCUUGUAUUAACAGAGGUUGUCAUGCCUGUGCAGUCUGGAACUUGUCUGUUGUCCAAGAUUACGAGCCAUAAGACACUAAAGAACAUCCCUGUUAUAAGUAUUUACUUAAUCUUCAUUAAAUUUUCUGGACCUAGUUUCAGUAUGUGAUGCUCAGUUAGUGUAACUCAAGAUGUGAUGUUCUCUUUUUUUUUUUGUAGUGAUGUCAUCUCAUGAUUCUAUGGUUCUGGUCUUUAAGUGUUUGUCGAAUGGUGCUGUUGAUUUUCUCGUGAAACCCAUUAGAAAGAACGAACUAAAGAAUCUUUGGCAACAUGUCUGGAGAAGAUGUCACAGUGUAAGUGUUCUGCUUUGAUUACUUUUUAUUUUUGAAGUUACUCUGUGGACUGUGUUCUUAUUUUUUGUUUAUGAGUUUCUUUAUAUACCAGUCUAGCGGAAGCGGAAGUGAGAGUGCAAUACAGAACAAGAAGCCAGUGAAAACUGAAAGCUCUGAAGGGUCAGAAAACGAUGCCAGCAUUAGUGAUGAAGAUCAGGGGAAUGAAAAUGGGAGUAAUGGUUUGGGUGACCGAGAUGGUGGGAGUGAUACCGGGAGUGGAACGCAGGUAAUAUGUUUCCAUGGCAAUAGAGAACAGUUAUGUCUGAGGAAUCUGUUUGUGAGUUUUAAUUGGUUUUCAAUUAUAAUAACAGAGUUCUUGGACCAAAAGAGCUGGUGAUAUCAACAGCAUCUCGCCUUCAUAUCAAUUUCCCGAUGGAACCAAUAUGAACCCGGGAACUAAUGGCAACAGAUUGGAUGAUGUUAAUAAACUGAAGGAAAUUGAAGAUCAGAAUGAACAGAUAGGUAAGAGCAUAAAUUUAUUGGCCAAUUAAAAUCACAAUACACUGGUUUUGGAGAAACAUUCCGGAUAAUUUCUCUGUUGUACUCUAACUCAGAACGAUGACUUUAGAUGAUUUUGCAGUAGGAAUGGGAUCGCAGGAAGGAAUGUUUAUAGGUAAAAAAGUUGAAGAACGAGGAAACCAUGACAAGGAUGCAAAAAAUCAUGUUCAAGCUUUGGAGAGAAACAAUGAUAACUCACAAGUAGAAAGCAAAGCACCUUCAUCUCUCCCAGAAGAUUUGCCAAGAGAGGCUGGGGAUUACAGAAUCGGUGAUCAAAGUGUUUUGAGGCAUUCCAGUCACUCUGCAUUCUCAAAGUAAGUUCUUGACCUCAACUGACAAAUCAAACCUGUGACUGAUUUGGAGUUAUUGUUUCGUGUGUGAUAUGCAGGUACAAUAACUGUGCUACUUCUGCUUGUAAGGUAUUUUAUGAUGUGUGGUGCUGUCUUUAAAAUCUAUGACAGUUUUCAUCAACAAGCUUUAAUUUUUGCUGACUUAGGCUCCAGAAGAAAAUGUGGGAAGUUGUUCUCCUCAUGACAGUCCUAUUGCAAAACUGAUAGGUUCGGGUUCAAGCAGUGAUAAUCCUUUGAAUCAGCAGUCUAGUGGAAGCGAAAGAUCAGCACAAAGAGAAGCUGCUCUGAUGAAGUUUCGCCUCAAACGUAAAGAACGAUGUUUUGAGAAAAAGGUAGCUCCAAACAAGCUUAAGCUCUAGUUUUUUGAGGCAAAAAUUAUGCGCCUGUUUGUUUUCUUUAGGUUAGGUACCAUAGCAGGAAGAAACUAGCUGAGCAACGGCCUCGCGUCAAAGGUCAAUUUAUUCGCAAGUAAGUCUGAAUCCACUUACCAUAUCACUCUCUGAAUAUACAAAUUUAUUCCUCAUAUAGUAAUUUACUGACGUAGAGAAACCUUUUUUUUUAACAUUAGGAGGGAUGAUACUAAAUCAGGAAGUGAGUGUCCAAGUAGUGACGACAGCUAAACAACGAAAUUGGUAUAAAAGAGAGAAUAGAUAUACACACUUAGAAGAUCUAAAGAACAAAAAAAAAAGUUUCACUAAAGUGGAGGGCAUAUAUAUACAGUAUAUACUUUUUUCAAAUAAAGUCUUACAAAGACUAUUGUCAUGAGAAUUUUCUUGUGUAUUAGUGUAUUGUUUAAAUAUCGUAUUUCUACAAACAUAAUAAUGUUGCUACAGAAUUUUCUUGUGCAUUAGUGUAUUAGUUCCUUCAAUCAUUUUACUCAGUAAUCUCUGAUUUAUAUUUAAAAAAAAAUAUUCAUUGAGUAUCCCUUAAUUACACUUUUUUUUUUGUUAACUUCCAUGCCGUUAAGAAACGAACCAGUAAACAGAGUAAAAAAAACAGAGUAUUAUUAAUUUACCAAUUUAAUAAAUAAACAGAGCAUACUCUCACCUCUCUCUCUCUAUAUAUAUAUACAUUUUUUUCCGCCGAGAUCGUUUAGUGCUCAUCAUUAACUCACUCUCUCUCGUUCUCUUUCUCGCUCAAGUUUUCUAGUUGAGAGUCUGUUUAAUUACGUUCUUUUCCGGGAAAAAGGUUUCUCGAGAAACUAAAUAGAAAAGCCUCAAGAAAGAUUUCUCUUCGCUGAUCGUUACGAUGAUGAAAGGUUUCUUCUGCUGUGUCAAAGGAGAAAGCUCAAAUAGCGCAGCGCAGAAUCAAGUGUUUGACGACGAACCAUCUGGGCGAAACGAGUUCCUCAAUCGUAUUUGGAGAGAUGAGCUCCAGAUCCCUCAAAGUCCUGGAGUUGAAGGUUCCGCUUUCGUUUCAAAUCUUUAGGAAUCGAGAUUUCUUGUGUGUUUAUGGUUUCUUGUACCUUAAGCAAAUCUGUUCUUUAAGAGUUACUUGUUUCUUCGUUUUGAUCUCGUCACUUUCUCAUGCAAGUGAAAGUCGUAGAGUUCUUCUUGUCUCGAAAUUAACUGAAUCAUUAACGUCAUAUUAUAGUCGUGUACCACAAGAAAUUGAUUUAGGGUGAUCUUGUUCAAUCUAUCUCUAACGUUUUAGUGAUUCAUUUUGCAGAUCCGAAUGCUAUUCUUUUCCCUAUAAACCCACCUCUACCUGCCAAUUGUGGACCAUCAUACCAAUGGCGCGAGAUCUUAGACGGAACCCUAAACUUCCGGCAAACGUGUUUACUCGGCAGAGGCAACUUCGGCGAUGUCUAUCGCUGCGAAUUCAGAAGAACUAACCAGGUAUAGACCCAAAAGUCGUGUCCUUUAUGGUUAAAUGUCGAAACCCGGUUUCUAAACUUUUAAUUGAUUAGGUUGGAGCUGUGAAGAUUCAGAAUCGAGACAAUCCAGCAGGUCAUCAAGAGUUCUUGGCAGAGGUUACAACGUUACAUGAAGCUAAUCACCCAAACGUGAUUAAACUUCUUGGAAAAUGUUACGGCCGCAGAAACCGUGCUAUUGUUUACGAGUUCAUGCCCAAUGGCUCUCUUGAACGCCACAUCUUUGGUAAAGAAAUACUCAAACAAACCUUUAUUUAGUCUGGUGUUUAAACUUACUUAACUCCUUCAUUAACAUUCGGUUUUUUGUAGAUUACGCGAGGCAGCGUCAGAGAGUGCGACCUCAGGGUAUAGAUCAGCCAACUAGGCGUUUGGAUUGGGAGACGAGGAUGAAAAUUGCCGUGGGUGUAGCUGAAGGUCUGCUUUAUCUACACCAGGAGCUCAAAGUAAUAAACCGAGAUAUCAAGGCCGGGAAUAUUCUCCUUGAUGCGGAUUUUGUGCCGAAGUUGAGUGAUUUUGGGUUGGCCACGAAGAUCAGUUUUAAUGGGAGCUUGGAGAUACAUAAACAAGCACGAGCCCUCAAGGUUAAUAAGCAAUGUGCUGCACCAGAAUCUGAGUUUUGUGGGUUGGUUUCUACGAAGACCGAUGUAUACGGUUAUGGUAUACUAAUUCUGGAACUUUUUACCGGUUCAGAAGCCUACGACUCACAGAGACCUGUUGGGAAUGGUAAAAUCACUGACUGGGUAAGAUUUCUGCAAUUUAUAUCUUUUAAUACUUGUGAUACAAAAACUGAGCAUAGGAAUAUUAAUUUUGCAGUUGAUAUCCAAAUUAGAAAUAAAAGACAUUGGUUCACUGGUGGUAGAUGUUGCACUGCGCAGAAGUUACUCCCCAGAAGGGUUGAGAAAAGUGAUUUGCAUUGCCUUAAAGUGUCUUGCACCUGAACCUGAAGCACGGCCUACAAUGGAGGAAGUACUCUUGAAUGUUUCUGAGGCUGCUCUAUUUCAGGUCCGAGAGAUGCCCCGGGUGUUAAGGACUGGUUUCUUGACUCCUUAAUAUUUGCUCAGGCUGUUCAGGCUUUUAUAUGGGUUUUUGGGUUUUUUUCAGAAACAUAUUAUAGACUUGGUUUUGUAACGGAUGGUUUUGUUACUGGUUCUACUAGCUAAUUUGAUCAUGUUGUGAUUUUUUUGAGACAAUACCAUCUCAAGUUGUUAAUCAACGUUUAAGAUCUUUUGUCUUCAUUUAUCUGUUUAUGAAACUUCUUAAAACAGAGAAGAGGUAAAAAUAACAGACACGAUCUUGUUGGAGUUUUGUUAGAUGGUUAAAAGCCUUUUUGAUUUCGGAUGGAAGAACCCACCAAAUCAAUUAUAUCAAUGCAUGUGAUUCUGCAACUUUACAAAUCAAGCAUGUGAAAGGUCUUAACUCUUGAUCAUAUUUACCAAGAAGGAAACUCUAUAUAUGGUUUGAAUCAGCAGUUUAGUGGUUAUCAUCACCGUAAACAUGGAGUCAUCUUCCUUUAGGGUGGAUGAUUCUGUCUCAGAAAUGAGUUUCCAAGUAGUGACGACUCAGUUGAACACCAAAACUGGUAUAAAAGAGAGAUUUUACUUCAAAGAUCUGAAGAACAAUAAGAUAGUUUCACUAACUUUAAGAGAGAGUUUGGCUAUACUCUUAGAAAGAUUAGUAAGUACUCUGGUUUAAGUAUUGUAUUUGGCUAUAGUGAUAUCAACUAUAGCCAAAUACUUGUAGUUCUGGUUAUUUAGUGGUAUCUAGUCUCUUAUCUCACUCAAGUCUAGCCGUGUGGUAUUAUGAUUGCAGAAUAUUGAUUGAAUAGUAUUUGUCUGCAUCAAACCAUUGGAACAAAAUUGUUGAAAAGUGUAAGAUACUGUGUGAGACUCCAUGGAUAAUGAAAAUUGUUUAAUGGGUUCUUAUACAUCCAAUACAGCUGAAAACAAAAGGAAAGGAAUGACAUUUCGGUUCUUCUACAUAAAAAGUGCUUCUGAUCGCAAUACAUCAUCCUCUAUAGCAAAAUAACAAUGACAACAAAAUACGUCAAAAGCUAUUCCAUGGGAUCUUUCACUGUUUCACAAAACGGAUUUUUAUCUUCUCCAAAGAAAAGCAAUACAGGUGAAGCUAAGGUUCUGUGACCAAAACCACAUUAUAUACACAAGGAUUGGAUUCCUGCUGUUAGCUUCAUCAAAAGUAAAAGCUAUUCAGCUCUGCCUUGGUUUUUCUCGCCGUGAAAAGAUGAGCCUUACGAUAGAAUAUAGUACCGCCUUAAUGCAAGAAACCACAAAAUUCCAACAUGAGGAUGGCCAGUACCACGGAUAUAGCAGCCUGAAAAAUAGACUAAUGAGAUGCCUCGGGUAACGCCCGACCUGCAAGACAAGAGUAUCACAAUGUUACAAGCCAAGCCUACUCCAUAUUUGUGAUCUACUUCCAAGCGUUUGAGUGGAUUUGUGACUGUUUUGCUGAGCUUUGGGUCCUUCUAGAUAUAAGCGAUUUUUAAAAUUCUUAGACUGUCUUUAAAAACAGUGCACUUAUGGAUCUCGCAGUCAAAACAAUGCGUUUAAAUCUGAUUUUUUUAUACACAAAGAAAUACUCACAGGGAAAGAGGGAAUCCAAAGAAUCCCCAGGCUGCAUGACGGACAGCUCGUUGUCGGGUACAUUGGACCUCCAGGAGAUGUAAAACUAUAUAAACAUGCCUUUAACCUCGUGCUGGUGGUCAUUCUCAGUUCCAUACCUGCAGAUGUAAUUCAACACUGCUUAUACUUUGAUUCCNNNNNNNNNNNNNNNNNNNNNNNNNNNNNNNNNNNNNNNNNNNNNNNNNNNNNNNNNNNNNNNNNNNNNNNNNNNNNNNNNNNNNNNNNNNNNNNNNNNNAUUUUUUGGUAAAACACCACUUUUAAAAUUUACCCCAUUUUCAAACUUUAUCAAAAAAUACUCAAAUUUUUUAAUUUAUCCAAAUAUGUAUGUAAGCUUAUUUACACUCAAAUCUAGGUAAUGUCAUGCGCAUGCACAGAUUGUUGUAUAUUAAAUUAAUUAGUUUAAAUUUAUUUAAUAAUUAUAGAAAUAGAAUAAAUCAAUUUUAAUAUCAAUGAAAUAUUUACACUUUAUUUAUUUAAAUCAUACAGUAAGAGAAUACAUCUAUAUCUCUUGAGUUUAUUCACUGAUUUAUUGUUCAAUUUUUGUAGUAAUUUUAUUCCAGUACUUUUGAGCAUUUUUAGGUAAAACAAUAAUAUUGCUAAUGAUAAAAAUAUAAACUUACUAUGAUUUUGAAUCCCAAACGAUAAUAUUUUGUAAUAUACUAUUUAAUAUAUUUUUUUCAUAUAAACUCACACAUAACCUAAAUUAUUUAGUAAUUAAAUCUAAACUAUGUUGAAAGUAACAAAUUAUAUAUAUUUCCUAUAAAAUCAUAUGAAGUGCAAUCAAAGUUUAUUAAAAAUCAUUUUUUAUUUCCUAGGUAAUCAAAAUGUGAGAGAGACUAUAGAUUUUUCGGGGAGAUGUCUAGGUGUUGGGACUCGAUACCACCUGCCGACUGAGCUCUCAAGGAGGGACAGAGAAGCGGGAAUUAAGCCAGACCUUGAGAUUGAUGCAUUCAUGAAAUCCAUUGCCAUAUCAGAGCGCUACUUUUAUUCAAAUCAUACAAUAUAAUCAUACAGACAUAUUUCUUGAACUUGUUUUAUUAGUAAUAAAGUGUGAAUUUAAUGUAUAAAAAUGUAGAUUAAAUGUGUUUUUUGGUUUAAAUAUAAUUAAAUAUUGCAUUACCUAAUGGACCAAUAAAAUUCAAAGUUAAUAAAAUUUAUAAUGAUCAUUAUCUUAUUAAAUGUUGAAUCACGAACGUAAUAUAAUGAUUAUUAUUACAAUUUAAUUGUAUUACAAUUUUUUCAUAAUUAUAUAACAAAAAUUUAUUUUGUUAAAAAAUUACAUAAUUUUAAAAUUAAAAUAAAUAUACAUGAAUAUGUGAAAAAGAAAAAAACAUCUAAAGUUAAAGAAUGAAGAUGGUUUCUUUAGCUUGAUUUUAUUAUUGUGCAAUGGUCGGGAAUCAAAUUAUUUGAAUCCCAUCAAUAAAAUAGCUUUCUUAUAGCCAUAAAAUAUUAUUAUACAUAUGUAUUAUACAUUUAAAAAGUUAUAAAAAUGAAGAAAUACAUAUAAACAAAGAAGAAAUAAAAUUGAAAACAAAAGUUUAAACCAAAUAAUUAAUCAAACUCUUACAAUGAUAUCUUAAUUUAGUUGUCAACCCAUGCAAGAACUUUUUAAAAAACAAAGAAAAUAAUUAAGAUAUGAGAUAUGGUGGAGGAGGAUGUGAGAAUGGUUAUUUAUAGGAUAAGAAGUGAUGUAAGUUACAUUUUGAAAAUAAUUAAAUUAGAAGAGUCAUAAUUAUAAUAUAUAGUGUGUUUAAUUGAAAUUCAAUAAAGAAAAUCAAUAGUCAAUUGAAAAUUUAUAUAACUUUCAGUUACAUUUUAGUAGUAAAGUGUGAAUUUAAUGUAUAAAUUAAUGUAUAUGAUUAAAUGUGCUUUGGGAGAGAGAUUAGAUAAUGAUUGCUUCCUUCUUUUUUUAAAAUAUAUAAAUCAAUGAAUGAAUGGGGUCUGUGGAUUUAAAUCCCCUAUAUAGUAAAAGAGAAGUACAAAAAAUUUCUCGGGUCGGUUUUUGUUAAGAAAUUAACCCGAUUUACUAUUCGGAUCCUUUCCUUAAUAUUUGUUCGAAAUUAGUGAUGUUUAAUCGGACACCAAUGCUAAUAAUCUAAAAUGGGCCUCAAUUUUGGGCCUUCCACGGACAUUUACCAAACACAACGACAUGCCUUCAAUUUAGUAAAUCGUAAUAUGGAUAACUUUAAAAUAAGGUAUACUAUAUUAUGCCAUAACUGUAUUUGAAUAGUUAGAGUAUAAACGGUAUAGUAUACAAUACUAACAAUAUUAGUAUACCAACCAAAACAAGAAGUUAUGAAUCAACGUAAUAUAGUUAUUACGAUUGUUAUCAUAAAAAAAAAAAAUUAUGCCAUAACUGUAUUUUAAAUUUAGAAGCUAAUUUGUACACUCAUAUUAUAUAAGAAUUUAAAAUUUCUUAUUUUUCAAUUAUACUCAUUAUAUGUCAUGAUUCAAUUAUAUAUAUUUAAUUAUGCUUCUAUUUUUUCAUUAUUAGUCAUUUUUCAUGAUUCUUUUUAAAAUAGACGGGUCUUUGCGGGUUGGUUCGCCAUAACAAACAUUGUAAGUAUGUAAUUUUUGUAUACACGUUAUUUUAUUUUUUUAUUUAAAUAAUUUAUUCAUUUUCGAAUAGACACUUUUUCCAAAAAAAUAUUAUGUAGACCCUACAUACACAAAUGAUGAAUACACAAAAUUACACAUAUGAUAAAACACGUUAAAAAUAAAAUAAACUCGAAAACAUUCCCCCGCGCUGUAGCGCGGGUCCAAAUCUAGUUUAUUAUUAAAUGAUGAAUCACAAACUAAAUUUUAAAAAAAUGUAUUACAAACUUUUGGAAGUAAAGACAGGAGAGGAGAAAAGAGGAUAGAUUGCUGCUUGCUGAGUCAUAGUGAUGCCAUAGAUCAUUAUCCAAAAACGACGUCGUUAUAGCCUAAUUACUGGUGAUGACGUGUCGCAUUGAUAAAGACACGUGUCUCUCAUCUGCCCCUUGUUUAGUUCUAAAAGAAAAUUUACGUCAUUGUUGUUGCGGUUGAGUAGAUUCGUAAUAAGAACGAUUUAUUUUAAUAAUAAUGUAGUGGUUUUUUUUUUGUUUUUCAAAAUUUGUUAUGCAAUACGACAAUUUUAUAUCUAAUUGUAGAAAUUGGAAAGAAAAAAAAAAUUUGAUUCAUCAGAGCUACUCUUGAGAUAUCAUUAUCUGUUAUGGAUCAAGACAUCAUUGUCACUCGUGGCAAAGAGAAAAUGUAUUAAACCCAAUACCAUAAAUGGAGGGAAAAGUAAAGUUUACGCGCAAUGGAGUAAAUUUUGUAAAAAGCUGCUACUUUAUUCAAAACUUGAACCUGACGUUUUGUCUUCGUGAUACUACUGCGGACGGUACAUAUUCUUAUUGGGCCUGGUUAUGGUAUAUUGGACUCAGAAGUUUGGACAUUUUCAUUAGUAUUUUGUUACGAAUUGAAAGCCCAUGCCAAAUUAGCUUCAGCGAAGUGUCAAUGGUGGAAGAUUUGGGUUUACAGCGCACGAGUUAACACAUCUCUUCAAUUGUCAAAUUCAAAAGCAAAGUAAAAAAAAAAAAAAAAAAAAAAAAAAACAGAGUCGAAUCGAGCGGUUUCAUCAAGUUUCAGUCUGAGUUUAACUUGUUUCUUUUUCUAGGUUGAUAUGAUUUCGAUUGAUUUCACAGACAAGAUGUUAUUCCGAUUGAAGCAUCCAAUGGUUCAAGCUGCUAUUAAGGUUUGUUAUUCUCUUAUUUUUAGUUUAGACAUUGUUUUAUUUAAGAAGAAGUUGUGUGUUAUCUCAUUGUUUUUUCUUUGCUUCAACUUGAUGAAUUUUCUAAUGGGCAGCGAGGUAUUUACUUUGAAAUCAAAUACUCUGAUCUUCUCCUAAUGGAUGCACAAACAAGGAGACAAGUUAUAUCGAAUGAUAAGGUGAGAUAUUUUGAUUAAUUAGGCUCAAGUAUCACAUUGUAUAUUUGUUGUAUUUGUAAUGUGACGGUGAACUUGCUUAUACAUUGUCUUGUGAUAUGGGGUAUUUCUAGUUAGUAGUUACUGGUGGAUUGGACUAGGGGGAAGAAUCUGAUUAUAUCAAGUGGUGGCUCCUUCAGUCACAGAAAUUAGAGGUCCAAACGAUGUCAUAAAUCUCAUGUCCUUGCUUGGACUCUCUACUGAAAGAGCCAGAGCUGCCAUUUCAAUAAAUUGUAGGUAUGUAUCCCAAUUCUUCCAGCAAUUGUGUUAUGUGAUUUAGCUAAGCGUACAUUUAUGUCACUGAGGAUGGAUUUUGAAUCGCUUCCAGGAAUACGAUAGCCAAGGUUUUAAAGAAAAAACGGUUCCACAAAGAUGCUUUCAGGGUUGAAUUACUUUCUUCUGGUGAUACUUUCGUUUGAAUUUCCUCAUUUACAAACCUAACCUAACACAAGUUUGGACUAUAGGAUUCAGUCUAAUGUAACCUCAACACAUAAUGUAGGUAAGACGCAAUCUAAGAGGAGUAGAGUUAGAUUACCGCAACUACUGCCUGUUAGGCCAUUUCUACUUCAAUCAAGAUUCAAACAGAUCAGUUUGGAAAAGAAAACAUGGAAGAGCUUGAUCAAUUUACUUUAAAACCAUAGAUAAGUUUUGUGCAUUCUCUUAAUUUAAACCCCACGCAAGUCUCGUGGUUCUCUUUGUGUUGAACCGAUUAUAAAAAAAGUGGGGAAAAAAAGAAAGAAUCUAAUUUAUUCUCAAGCGUUGAUUCUUUGUGUACUCGUCUUCAAGAAAAAAUAAAGCAUUUAAAUUAAAAUAAAUAAUAAAAAGUGAAACAAAACAAUGUUUAAUAAGAGUGGAGAGUCGGUAAAUCUACCGCCGGCCGACAAAAGUCGGAGACAUUAUCGCCGGCGGGCCUACAACUUCCUUCUAUAGCCUUUGCUAAAGAAGAAAGAAUGCUCUCUUUACCUUUUUCAAAACUAUACUUAAAAACUUUAUUUAAAUGUAAUUAAGGACCAUUAUUCUUUACGUUUUUACUAAUUACGUGAUUGGAAAUUUUUUGUUUUUCUUACAAAAUAUAUAUAUAUAUAUCUAGUGUGUGUUGUCUCGGUUGAUUACUUUAGUUUAGUUUACUUGAGUGGAACCUUCUUUGAUAUCUUAAGCAUGUCUAAGGUUAUAAUAUAUGUUUGCUUUUUGGAGAUUGCUAGUACUUACUACUUAGUAGCACGAUGUGUAAUCAACGUGAGGGUAAUGAAAUCAUCAGAGUAACAUGGCCAUGUUCAUUAUAUGUUUUUUUAAUGCUAAAAAGUUAUCAUCUUUGUACUUUCUAAAAUACUUUUGUAUCAUCAACUUGGUUAAAAUAAAAUUUAUGACCAUUAAGGAACAUACUUAACUAUAUAUAAACUAUUUACCGGGUCCAUGUUAGUAAUAAUGAUAUGCCAAGAAAAUUUUGUUUUAGUUUGAGUUCGAUUAUUACUUUUUGAUUCUUUUGUGUUUUGUCCUCUAUAACUCACAUUACGAAUUUUUUAUCGAAAUAAUACGAUAUUGCAUUUCAACUAGACCAUGUUCGAGGUGAAUAUCGUUUUGGUUAUAACCUAACUACAACCCCAAUUUAUCUCAAUUAGAGAACUUGGGAUCGAACUCUCUAUGCCAUGCCAACAAUAUUGUCAAAGCUCCGAUCCAAUAUACCACUAGUUUAAAAUUGUCGGGUCAGUGAAGAUCGAGUAUUUUGCAAAUAUCUCCAAUCAAAAGUACAAAAUAUGUUGUUAUUAUUAUAUACAAAGAAAACACAAAACCUACAUGAGUUUAGCAACAUGGGGGCAAUCAUUUAAACCAAAAACAAAUUGAAGUGCCAUAUAAACAUAAGUAAGUAAAGAAAAACAAACAUAUGUAAAUACAUAAUUAGAAGGGGAUUAGUUAAGGAAGUGAUUAGCGGAGAAAGAAUCAAGAAAAGAUGCCCACGUGUCAGCAUCUCCAACCACGGCUUCCAUAACAUCAACUUGUUCUUGUUGUGACAUCUCAUCGUUUCUUGCAAAUCUUCCUCUUAUCCUUGGCCUACUGUCCGCUAAUGUCUUCCUGCACUCAUACUAAUUACACCCCAAAAAAAAAAAUUAUCAUUAAACUCGUCCCAAAUUAAUGUUAUAGUUAGAUCAUUUACAAUUUACAAACUUGUAACAGAAAACAUCUAACUGGGACACGGUUUAAUGUGUUUGUAUACCAUAUAUACGAAUACUCCAAUUAUCUCUAAUUGGGAAAUGUUUUUUUUUUUACAUUAUCAUCUAAAUGAAUAACUAAUGGAGAAAUAAACUUAUAGCAACCUAACCUUGGAGCUUUGAUGUGUCUAUCUCAAAAGAUUCCUUAGACCCAAAUCUGAUGUGACAGAACAUUAAUUCUCUUUCACAUACUCAUAUAUAUAUAUAUAUCAAAUGAAAAUUCUAUUUUCUUGUUCGAAGAUAAGAUUAAAAAGAAAAAUUCAAUGUUACUUUUUUAGUGAUAAGAGUGAUUGAUAUGAUGCAUUGAGCCAGUUUUAUUUUUUCUUUUCUAGUUUGGUCAACGAACAAUUUUAUUUUGUAUUAAACGUGAUAUUUUUGAUUAUUGUUUUGAAAAACAAGUUAUAUAAAUAAAGUUGGUUUUAUGAAAAUAGAUAUAUGCGCAUCCCCAAAUGCUUUUGUAUGAGUGAUACAUAAUUGACAGGUGAUAUUAACGGAGACAAUUAUAGGAAACAAUACGUUUGAUUAGAAAAUGGAAGGGUUAGCAUCAAUAAGUGUGCAGGUGCAUGUCACUGUGUCAUACAACUACACUAGCAUGUCAAGUCUUAAAAAGUUUCCAUGCGACACUUAUAUAUAUUAUAUACACGUUGAAUAUGUAAUCUAGUUUAGGUAUACAUAUCACAUAUGUACUCUAUGUGUUGAAGACCAAUAUGAAUCAAAAAUAUACAAUUCAUAUAUGCAAGAAAUAAAAUAAAUUUAUUUAGAGGAAAAUUAACAUAGAAACAAAUGUAGAAAACAUAUAAAAAUUACCUUAAUCCUCUUGUUGAAAUUCCUAAGGUUUCUUUUGCUACGAUAUUUCUCGAUCUUUUCUUUCUUCUCUUCGGGGCUGUACUUAUAGGCUUUGCUCAUUCCUUCUAUUAUUGCAUUGCUCUCACUCCACACCGCACUGCUCUCUCUUCUGCUACUUCUCUACACACAAACCAAAACACAGUGUCGUUUUGUGUCAUGAUAUACUUUGUAUAGGAUGCUAAAUAAUUCCUCAACGUAUCAAUUCAUGUUGGGGAUAUAUCAUAUAUGUCUAAUCAUCAUAACCAAAAAAAAAAAACGCAGCCGGAGCUAACUAAUACGUCUAUAUCAGUUUAGGUCAUGCAAGUGUGUGUAUAUAAUAUUAACUUACGGGUAGAUCUCCGGCGCUAAGGGCCCGUCUCACUGGCCCAUCAUCAUCGUUAACGAAAUCGUGGGCCGGCGCAAAAGUACCGGAAAAGCCAUUAUGGCUACUAACACUCCUCUGCAUAACAAGACUCUCUCCACCGCUUCCCAUAGAGCUUGGUGAGUCGCAACUACUGCUUCCGCCACCACCGUUUAUGCCGGAAUCAAAGUAACCGAACCCUGAAACCGCCUCGGCAGGGAACAGAGAGUUGUGGCUCAUCAUAAGAAGCGGCAGAGACGGAGGAGGGUGGAAGUGAUGAUUGUGAUGAUGAUCAUGAUCAUGUAGCUGAGGAGGAGCAACUAUGUUUUCAGAGUAUAGGAAACAUGGACAAUUGUCGCCGGAAGUGAUGGAAGAGCUUACGUGUCCACACAUGGCGGGUUUUGGUUUUCUUGUGGUGCGUGUGUUUAUGUUUCUUUGUGUUUUGUUUGUGUGUGUGUGUGUGUGUGUGAGUGAAACUCCAAGUGGUUGGGUUUCUAUUUAAACAGAGCAAGGAGAAGCUGAGGUCACUGAUCGUCAUCGAUGGUCAACUGACUUAACCGUUGACUUCUUUUGACUGACUAUAAUAAAAAGGAAUCUCAUAUAGCCUUUCGUUUUCACGUCGUUUCUAUCUCACUCUCUCACCCGUUAUUAUUUCGUUUUAUUUUCUCCGAACACAACUGAAUUUAACAUGUAUCAUACGAAGUUGAUACUUUAAAUGAUGAUUAUUUUUUACUUUUUUUUUCAUUUAGAAUGCCUGAAAUUGUUUUUUGAUAAUAAAAAAAUUCAACUAGAUUUAAGAAAUAACAAUUCUUCAAUAAUUGUUAUUCUUGAGCAGCAAUGUCAAUAAUAAACGCAAAUAAAGAGAGCUAGUAACAAUAUAACUCUUAUUAAAGAAAAAUGUUAUUCUAUUGAUUUAUGUAUUGGCUUACUCUUUUCAUCUCUUAACACUUCAGUGUUUUAAAUUAAACUUGUACAUUUUACAGCUUUACAUUUUUUUAAUAAAGAUAUAUGUUUAAACCAUAUAAUAUAAUUUUAAGUAAAUAUUAGUAGAAACAUAAAUAUAGAAUAAUACCAAAAACCAUUUUGUUUCUGAUAAAUAUGGAAGCAAUAAUCAUUUCUAAAAAUCCCUUAAAAACAAGAAUCAAAAUUAUUUUAAAUUUGUAGAUAAAUAAUAUCUCGUGCAACAUUCUUAACUGCAAAAGAGCCAUGGAAAUUUAUUAAAACAAAAAACAAAAUAUGAACAGUGGAGAGAAAAAAUAAAAAUAAAAACUAAAGGAAAGACACGACUUAGCUUUUUAGAUGGAAAUGUAGGAGAGACAAAAAGAUGGUUAAAAGCAUUAUUUCACGCAAAACCAUGUGAGCAGCACAAAUCUACUUUAUUACCUAAUUAAUCAUUUACUUAAUCAACACUAAUUAAUCAAAGCUCAAAUACAUGUUCACAUUAGAUGGGUAUUUUUUAGUCCGGAUAAUAAACCAAGACCAAGACCAACAACAGCAAACACUAUAAAUAUUAUUGCUAUUUGCUAGCUCUGAAUUUGAAUUAGAUCGAACCGUUUCAAUCCAUUAACAGAUACUCCAGGUUAGCCAGAAUUGUUUAGGGAAUCAAAACGAAUUAGGUAACAUAACGAAAGAAAUAUCUCAAAUGAGUCUACCCCUUAAGGUGAAUUAGAUAAGUAUUAUUGUUUAUAUAUAAUUGUUACUUUAUGCUUCAUAAUUACAUUCCAAAAACGACAUUCGAAUAGUAGGAUUACUGCAUAUAUUGUAGGAACACGUUUUAGUCAGUCACUAAAUCUGCCUACUCAUCAUUAGAUACAUAUAUAUCAUUUCUCAUUCACUAUGAUCAAACAACUUCUAAUGUUCCUGUCAAAGCCACAUUUUUAUCCUUAAUUAGGACACAUAAUCAUCCCACUCUCCAUCUUUUUCUAGCAAAAAACCUUAACACACAUAUUAGAUACUACUAGAAAUGAUAUUGAUUAGAUUUAUCUAACUCUAGUCCAAUUGAACCAAGCCAAGAUUAAACUAGAAUGAUUUUGUUUAAUUAAUUAUUCUUUUGUAUACACAAAAAGAACUGCAUCAACUUAGAUGAGAAUAUAGGAUCAUCCUCCUUAUUUCCCUUGAAUGAAGGGAAAAUCCUAUUUCUUCCAUAUUUUUAUAAUCAUCCCAUAUUUUUAUAUACAUAUUGGUACGUUUGAUAAAUGUAUUUGAAGAAAUUUUUUUCCUUUGGAGAUCACUUCUCUGAGCCAAUUUAUAUAAUUUUCUUUUAUGUAUGGGGUAAAAGGUCCAACGAGAGCAUCUUUUUCCAUGUACAAGAUCGGCUCUGUAGGUCCUUCACAAUCAUCGAAAUAAAAUAUAGAUAGCUUCAUUUUUUUUUUAUUUUUUUUCUUUUUAGCUUCAUAUUUCUUAUAAAUGAAUGAUUCUCUUUUUAUUUCAUAUAAACAUAUUAGAGACAUUCCAAAACUAAAAAAAAAAAAAAAAAAAAAAAAGUAUAUAUUUUCUACACUGCAUUGUCCCACAUAAUGAGGAGACAAAAGUAAUAAUUCGCAAUCGUUACGAGGACAUAUAGGAUCUCGAGUCCUACAGUGGAUAGAUGUAGUACUAUGGGGACUAAACAGAAAGACAUUUUUGUGUAUCCUUAAGGGCAAUAUCGCCCACAAGUUGAUGGGAAAGGUCAUGCAAAAGCUAUAUCUAUACAUCAAUCGAUGGUUACCAAGACUUUUUCUAUUUCGUGGUAAACUUUCUUGCAUUAUAUAUAUAUAUAUUUUUUUUUUUUUUUUUUUUUUUUUUUUUGGAAACGUCUUUCUUGCAUUAUAUAUGUACCCUAAAAUACUAAACGUUUCAUGCUUUGGUUGGUUCAUAACUAGUUUCGAGUUUUGACGAUCCAAUAAGAAUUGUUGUUUUUGUUUUCAAUAAUUCAUUAUUGUUUUUUAUCACCACUGGAGCAAAUUAUUGGUUUUAUAUAUACUUUCGCAAGUUUCUCUCUAUCUUCUCUUCAGUAACCCACUUUGGUUAUUUUGACAGCCAACAAUUUUAACUACUAGUUGUAGAUUCAUGAAGAAGGUCAACGGUUCAGGAAAACGAUGAUAGAAUAAAGGAAAUAUUUUAAUAUUUAAAUUCUAAUUAGUAGUGAAACUAAAUAAAUAAUUCUAUGUGAAAUAAAACUCACUCAUAUAAAAUUACACAGUACACUCAUAAAACUGAACUUUGUUAUAAUCAUGUGAAUUUUCCGCCACGACUACAUGGUGACUAUGGAAUAUUUUGCACUUUUAGCACUAAAUGAUACGUAAAUAACGUAUAAUAUUUAUAUGAAACCUCAUGGUUUUAAUUACUAGGAAUUUUGUAGUGUUGGUCAUGUUGUAUAUCAAACAGAGUAUAUGUUUCAUGUCCGAUUGUCUUAACCUAGUAAGUGUCUUUAAUGUCCAAGCCUCCAAGACAUUUAGCUGCUAUAACCACACAUGCAAGUCCGUAGACAUGUAUCCUGAUAUUCGAAUCUACAAUCUCACACUUAAGAAAAUUCCAUUCAUAAAAUAAAAUAAAAAGGUAAGCGGGUCCAUGAAUGGCAAUAUGCAAAUUAUAUAUAGUCCAUGCCUAUAGAAAAGCAAUGAUAAUAGCAUAAAUGUAGGCAAUGAGUACACAAAGAGUUUAUGAUAAAAAAAAAAAAAAUGAAAUGUGUAGGGUUUACUUGUUCUUGGUUGAAAGAAAAAUAAAAGUAUCUUCAUGACAAAUCAAAGAAAGACUAGAUGUUUUUUUUUUAAGUGAUCCCAUCAUUUUGUUUUAUUGUUUUGAUAUAUUACUUUUUUAAUUGUUAAUUAGGACUCGUGCAUGUGUUCCUAUGCGUUUGUCUAAUCUUUUGGAAAGGAGAAAAAGGUCAACAAGCACAAUAGUUUCUCCACCAUUUUCACAUAUAUUCUCCAAUUUGUUGUUUUACUCACUCGUUUUCAUAUAUCGAUUCACGUCAAACUUUGGAUUCUUCGUUUUUGUUUUCAAAAAAAAGAAUUUUGGAUUUCAGUUUGAUCAUAUAAUUUUCAGUUUAGUAAAGAAAUAUCUAUCGAUUUACAAUUUUGAUAUUUCAUGUUAGUUAAGAUUAUGAAUCGAGUUUUAGUCCACCACACUCUUCCACAUAGCCCACUAUGGAGUAUGGACAGUGAUUUUUGUCAACAAAGAAACGGACAACUAUAGAAAUUUUGAAUAGCCAAAACAAAAACACAAUUAUUUAUAUGUUUUGUUUUGGAUUAAUAUAAAUUUUGGCCAAAAUAAUGUAAAUAUAUGGAAAUUUAUGAAAAUAGAACGUUCAUCAUCCUACCAACCAGUUUAUUCGGCUAUGUGGUUAUAAAUAUAUAAUGAUAUAUUUUUUUUAAUAAUCAAAGAGGUUCUGGGCCGAAACACAUACAUCCCCUCAGGCCCGAGACCAAAGCAUGUUAUAUGGUCUCGUCCUAAGCGCUACUCGAACCUGGGACCUCUAAGCUUUUGCCAGAGAUCUAGAAUGAUAUUUUCGUAGCAAUGCAGUUUAAAAUGAUGGCUACGUGAGUAGUUUAUAGUGUAUACAUGGUAUAGAUAAGCUUAUAACUGAUCUAUUUUCUAUAUAUUACCUUAUGUUAAAAUCCGUCAUUACAAUCUUUUUCUAACAGUUUGAAUUAUACAUAAUUUUGUAUCCCUUGUUGAGUUGUUUCAACCCUAAUUUUCUCUAAUCUAUAAGAUUUCUCUUUGAAAACUCAGAUUGAUUAUUUCAUUUAUACUUGUCAGGUAAAUCAUAUAGUUAAUAUGUCAACACGGCUUUUAAAAUUAUUUCGCUUUGGAUGCUAUAUAAUAUGUAUAAGUGAGUGGAUGUACAUGUCGAACAGGAUCUACAUUGGGCAAGAUAGGAAGUCCGUAAAGCCAAAAAUUAAGAACAGAAUGAAGAAAAAUAACUUUCCAAAAUAGGUAAAAUGGGUUAGGCUUCAAAAGUAAUGAUAUUUCUUUUGAUUUGGUAAGUCAACGAGAUAGAUUUGUGUGUUUUAAGUAGGUAACCAAAAUCAUGAAACCAGUUAUUUUUACUGAUUUGUGUUGACUAUACGCUUUUUGAACAAAUAACUGAAACAUAUCAUAAGUACUUAAAACAAUGAAUGAACAGUACUAGAUACAUAUCAGUAUAUCACAUAUAUCAGAAAACAUUGGGUUAAAAAAUCCUGUAGGAAAUCUCUAUAUAUAUUUAGCAGAUAAAUAACUGAAAUAUAUCGAGACGAUUCGUUUAUAUUGAAAGCACGUCUAGCUAAUUCUUGUCAAGUACAUACACAAGAUGAUCAACGUCAAAUAUUAUUAAAAUCAAAAUCAAAAUCAAAAUAUGAAGGGAGGAAAACAAAAAAGAGGUGCGAAGUUGACUAACAGUGACAAAGAAAGAUUGGUGUGGCAAAAUGCACCUUCUCUAGCUAGCUAAGAUAAGCCUUCCCCAUCACUGUCCUUUUCCUCCUCUUCCCUUUCCUCACCUUUUCAUCCUUUUUUUUUCUUAUUCAAUUUUAUUUACUUCUCUACCAAAGUUCAUAGUAUUUUCAAAUAUAUUCUAGAAUAUGAAUUUGUUUUAGUCUUCAACAUUGUUUAUUUGUUUAUGAGAUUUCUUUGACAUAGUCUGCAAAUGAAAAUAAAUGGUGAUGAAAGAGAGGUAAAGUGCGAUACGUUGCAAAUCAAAUUUUUUUCCCAUAUAUAUAUUUUUUUUUGUAAAAUAUUGGUUUCAUAUAUAAGAACGUAUCUAAAUUGAAAAAUGAAUUUUUCAAUUUAUUGUCUUUUCGGUUAAUUAUUUAAAACACUCGAAGUAAAGUUGAAGAACAUAUUAAAAAAGUUGAAGAACAUUAAGUCUACUCGACUCUGAUUGAUAAAAACGUGAGGGAAAGUCAACUAAGAUCUGACCUUAUAGUGGUUGGUUAGAUUUGUACUCUUUAAAGUUUUAUAUAUAUAUAUAUAUAUAUAUAUUACACAAACGCAUGCACAAACACAUAUUCCAUAUAUAAGCUUUGAAUAUGUGAAGAUUCUAUCAUUUUUUCAUAAUUUUCUGUUUUAAAAUAAGUAUAGUUAAGUGUUAUUUUCAAAUUUUUGUUUAGAUUUUGACAUAAAUAAGGUAAAGUAAAUUCAAGUCAAAAUCUAGAAAAAAAACUAUCAAAAGUCAACUUAAUUUUAGAGGUAUGAUAAAAAUUCAUACAUGUGAUAUAGGUUUGUGUGUAAAAUGUCAAAACAACACUAUGUAUAAUAAUGAAUAAGUUUUUGGGUUUUCUAUUUGACAUGACAAGUUGAUUUUGCGUUAAGAAUGCAUGUAACAGAUUUUGACAACAUGCAUCCACUGACCACUAUCAUUUUAUCGUCUUUAUAUCAACUCUACAUCUUAUAGAGUUUGGCAAGUUCACACUAAGCCUCUGCGAACAUGUAAAAACCCAACAUCAUUGGAACAAUAAACAUAAUGCUAGCGGAACAUAACGCUUUAUAAUUUUGCAGAGUUGUUCUAAGUCUUUGAACAACAAAAUUGAUGAACCAAAAUGUUGACAAACUAUUAGAUUAAAUUAUAUCCUUUGAAACGAACCCGAAAAUGUUAAUUAAUAUACAGAUAAAAUGAGUUACUAAUACCAAAUGAUCGGAAAAACUUUGUCCCAGAUCCUCUUGUUGUUGUUCCAACGAUAAAAUCCAUCGUCUUUGACAACGACGAAACACGAGUUUUUACACUCCGUAGCAUCUUUGUCCGAAUCGUACAAGACGUACGGUCUCUCGUGCCUCUCGAAAUGUGCUUCGCUGUAAAACGUUCCUAGGCAAGUCGUUGGCUGCCACACUUUAGAUCCCGCUGCCUUCUUAUCAUCGACGGCGUUGUCGCCACCAGCAGUGGUUGGGAUUUCUAUCAACAACUUUUGACCCAAUGGCACCAGUUUGUACAGCAGAGGGGUCGGAUGGCACGUGACAAACACGGGAACAUCACCACGCGUCUGCAGCUCGUUGGACACGAUAAGUGUGGCUGCACGUGUGGGUUCCGACGUAGAAAAGAGCAUCAUGGUCAUGAUCGAGACCAUCAUAAGAAUGUCCAUGAUUUUGAUUGGAAAUGGAUCUUCGAUUUUUUAAGUAUUCAUUACGUUUUAUCUUUGUCGUAAAAUCUCACUAUACGUUAUUCGCAGAUGAUUAAUGGCCGUAGUAUGAUGACUAUAUUCAUUAUUCUGUUACGAUUGGAGAUUUGUCUGGUCUGCUACGAAAUAAAACGAGUUCAGUAUUGGCCUAUCAGAAGCCCAUAUAGGCCCAAAAGCUAAAACACUUCAGGUUGGUCCAAUUAUUAGUAUUCAAAUCUCACUUUCAUUACAGUAUUUUCCUAAGACCAUCCUCAAUGGGGGUAUCUUAGAAGGCUAAAAUACCCCCACUUUUUCAAAGAAAAUAUGUAAUAUAAGGAUUUUCUUUGAAAAAGUGGAGGUAUCUUAGCUUUCUAAGAUACCCCAUUGAGGAUGCCCUAAGCGCCCAUCCAGCUAGAGCGCCAAGGACUGAUCUAAAUUGGCAGCCCAGUGUGACUGUCACCUCUGAUCACUGGAGCCCCAUGAUAAAUAGCUUUUAGAACUGCUAUGUACUGUUCGGCUUGUAGCCUCUUCUAGGGCAGAGAUAUAAACUCCAAAACAGUUUUGCGAGCACUUGCUUGUUUUCGUCAACCGUUACAAUUAAUAUAUUUCUCAAGUAAAAAAAGUAUUAGUAAUUACUUGGAAACAUACUUUGCAAAUUCUAUAUAGACCGCACCUCCCCGGAUUAAUUUUAAUUUAAUAACAUGAGCUUUGUAGUAGCACUAAGUCAAAUUCAGAGAUUUCAUUCUUUUUAUAGGUCUUUGAUUGGUCUGUGUGUGUUUGACCUCAAAAAAAUGCUUUCCUUAGAACUUCCUAUUUUUAGUAAAAUUUUCAUGUGUCUCGCUUACCAACUAAAUAAACUAAACAAAAAUGUUACAAACAACACUAAAAUCAAUGCCUCUCCCCCUAUUUUUUCUCCUCAUCUAAUAAUCCCUUCAAACCACACAAAAAAAAAGAAAAAAAAAAAGAAAAGAGGAAAUCAAAAACAAAACAAAACGAUCCAAGAGAAAACAAGAUAGAGUUAUAAGAUUGCCGACGAUCCUUCGAUCAAAUUAUCGGUGCCGGAGAAAGAAUAAGUAAAACUACUAUGAAAAAUAACACUACUACCGAAGAUUCGACAAAAUGGAUGUUAGAGAGUGUAGAGAUCGAUUCAAUGGGGGAAGGUUCUUCCAAAGGACCCGACAUUAACCUCAACAAGAACGAAGGUGGUCUGAAGAAGAACGCGUCAAGAAAUCUUGGUGUGGGAUCGAUAAUACGAACGUUAAGCGUUUCAAACUGGAGAAAGAGCGGUAAUCUCGCGUCUCCGAGCACAAGGAAAAGCGGGAACCUGGGUCCUCCGACCAGUGUUCUGCCCAAGAAGACAGGUCCACAAAGAGUGGAGAGGACAACAUCUAGCGCCGCUAGGGGACUUCAGAGCUUACGGUUCCUUGAUCGGACAGUCACCGGACGGGAACGAGAUGCUUGGAGAUCGAUUGAGAACCGGUUUAAUCAGUUCUCCGUUGACGGCAAGUUGCCGAAAGAGAAGUUUGGUGUCUGCAUUGGUACUUAACAUAUAUACUAAUACUUUCUAUAUAGGGUUCCACAUAUUAUACGUGAGAACGUGUGAUUAGUUUCGCUUUUCUAUAGUUGAUAAUACAGAUGUACUUAGCGACGAAUUUUUUUUUAAUUAUUAUUAUUAUUUUUGUAUACCUCUAUGAACUCGAAUUUGUUUUAUUAUUACUGUUUGCUUAGAAAGAAAUUUUAACGUCGAUGGUGAAUAUAUUACUAGGAAUGGGAGACACAAUGGAAUUUGCUGGAGAAGUUUAUGAGGCAUUGGGUCGUAGAAGACAAAUAGAGACAGACACUGGAAUCGAUAAAGAACAACUCAAGCUGUUUUGGGAAGACAUGAUCAAGAAAGACCUUGAUUGUCGUCUUCAAAUUUUCUUCGACAUGUAAAUUAUUUAAUCUUAUACGUUUUCAUAUAUUACAUAAACAAAAAAAAAAAUCCAAAGGCGGUUACUUAGUUUAACUAUCGUGGUUGUGGUUGCUGUUCAGGUGUGACAAGAACGGAGAUGGUAAGCUCACGGAAGAGGAAGUGAAAGAGGUCAUAGUUUUGAGUGCCUCUGCGAACCGCCUCGGGAAUUUGAAAAAGAACGCUGCAGCUUACGCGUCUUUGAUCAUGGAAGAACUCGACCCUGAUCACAAAGGAUACAUAGAGGUUCACAUUUUAUUUCAACUUUUAUAUGAUAGCUUUCUUUAUUAUAUUAUCCAGAGAGUAAUUAUGUUCUGAAAAAUUUCAUUGUUUGUAUCUUCCAGAUGUGGCAGUUAGAAAUACUAUUAACAGGAAUGGUGACAAACGCCGAUACGGAGAAGAUGAAGAAAUCGCAAACGCUGACACGCGCCAUGAUCCCAGAGCGGUACAGAACACCGAUGAGAAAAUACGUUUCGGUAACCGCGGAACUGAUGCAUGAGAACUGGAAAAAAAUAUGGGUACUCGCCUUGUGGCUCAUCAUCAACGUUUAUCUAUUCAUGUGGAAGUACGAAGAGUUCACGAGAAACCCUCUUUACAAUAUCACCGGACGCUGUGUUUGCGCCGCUAAAGGAGCAGCCGAAACGCUUAAACUGAACAUGGCUCUGAUCUUGGUACCAGUCUGUAGAAAAACCCUAACGAUCCUUAGGUCAACGUUUUUGAACCGCGUUGUCCCAUUCGACGACAACAUUAACUUCCACAAGGUGAUUGCAUAUGCGAUCGCGUUCCACGCUUUGCUCCACACUGCACUUCACAUCUUCUGUAACUACCCUAGGUUAAGCUCUUGCUCCUAUGACGUGUUCUUGACGUAUGCGGGAUCUGCCUUGGGAACUACGCAACCGAGUUACAUAGGUUUAAUGAUGACGUCCGUGUCGAUCACGGGUGUUUUAAUGAUUUUCUUCAUGGGAUUCUCGUUUACACUCGCGAUGCAUUAUUUUAGAAGGAACAUAGUGAAAUUGCCUAAACCGUUCAACGUUCUUGCUGGUUUUAAUGCGUUUUGGUAUGCUCAUCAUUUGUUGGUUCUUGCUUAUAUUCUUCUCAUCAUCCAUGGUUACUAUCUAAUCAUCGAGAAGCCUUGGUACCAAAAGACGGUAAUUACGUUAAAAUUUCCAUAUUUAAUGCUAAGAUAAUAUAUUAAUAUGUUCUAAUUUUAUCUUUUUGGUAAAUUAUAUUAUAAUGCAGACAUGGAUGUAUGUGGCAGUACCGAUGCUGUUCUACGCGAGUGAGAGGCUUUUCUCUCGUGUCCUUCAAGAACACAGCCAUCGUGUCAACGUUAUUAAGGUAGCAAACAAAAUGAACAUUGACUACACUAUUAACAUUUUCUAAAGUAAUUUAUACAUUUGAGUGUUUUCUGUUCCUAUAUAUAUUUAUUUGUUUUUAAUUGUUUUGCCUUUCAUCACAGGCUAUUGUAUAUUCGGGUAAUGUUCUUGCACUUUACGUGACCAAACCUCCCGGAUUCAAAUACAAAAGUGGCAUGUACAUGUUUGUCAAGUGUCCUGAUCUGUCAAAAUUCGAAUGGUAUCCUAAUUAAUUAUUUAGUAAAAUAAAUUAAAUGAUUGUUUUUUUGAUAAGGUAAACAAUAAUAUUGAAUUUAUCUUCCUUAUUAUUUAGGCAUCCGUUCUCCAUUACUUCCGCACCAGGGGAUGACUAUUUAAGUGUUCACAUAAGAGCUUUAGGAGAUUGGACUACUGAACUUAGGAGCAGAUUUGCAAAGGUGAUCGUUGUCUCUCUUUAUUUGCCUAAUUAAAUAAUUUUCGUUAUAGCUGACUUUUAUUUUAUUUUUAUAUCUCAUGUUAAUUAUAUGAAAUUUUAAUUCUAAAGGUAAAGUGUUUAACUUUGAUUGUAGACAUGCGAGCCACCUCAAGCAGCAGCUAAACCUAAACCAAACAGUCUUAUGAGGAUGGAAACAAGAGCAGCGGGUGUGAAUCCUCACAUUGAAGAGUCACAAGUCUUGUAAGUGAAUACUAAAGAACUGCCAGUAAAUUCUUAAAUUCGAUCUGAUUGCUGUCGAAAAUUUUUUUUUUAAAUGAUCCUGAUCAGGUAAUCAAUUUUAUUUUUAUUUUUUUGUAUCAGAUUCCCUAAAAUUUUCAUCAAAGGACCAUAUGGAGCUCCGGCACAAAAUUAUCAGAAGUUCGACAUCCUCUUACUAGUAGGACUAGGGAUUGGGGCAACUCCAUUCAUAAGCAUCUUGAAAGACAUGUUAAACCAUCUAAAGCCCGGGAUUCCCAAAAGUGUAAGUAGGAUAAAUGUUUUGUUCAUUAGGAGGUGAUAGUGUUAGUGGAACAAUUUUUAAAAUAUUGGAACAACAGGGACAAAAGUACGAUGCAAGUAUAGGAGGAGAGAGUAUAGGAGGUGAUAGUGUUAGUGGUGGAGGCAAGAAGUUUCCACAAAGAGCAUACUUUUUUUGGGUGACAAGAGAACAAGCUUCUUUUGAUUGGUUCAAGGGAGUUAUGGAUGACAUCGCCGAGUAUGAUAAAACUGUAAGUUUAUUUGAUUCAGUUUUACUACAUUAUUGUUUUUUUCUUUCCAUAAUGGGGCUUAUGAAUUGCUCUGUCGUAUAAAACAAAAAAAUUGUAAUGUUUUUUUGUUUUUGGCAGCAUGUGAUAGAAAUGCAUAACUACUUAACAAGCAUGUACGAAGCGGGAGAUGCAAGAUCUGCCUUAAUCGCCAUGGUUCAGAAACUUCAACAUGCCAAGAACGGUGUGGAUAUCGUCUCCGAAAGCCGAGUAAGUUUUCUGAUUUUUUUCGAUUGAUUACCAAACAGUUAUAUGACCGUUGUCCACUUUCGAUUUCAGUGUAAGAAAACAUACAUAAAAUCAUUUUUACUUUGAUGUCAAAAAAAAAAAAAAAAACUUAGAAGGGAAUGUCAUUAGCUAAUGAUCAGUUACGUGUAUCUCAAUUAGAUGAUUAAUUACUCUUAAUUAUCCCCCGAAACAAAUCAGAUACGAACACAUUUCGCAAGACCUAAUUGGAGGAAGGUUUUUUCUGAAUUGUCAAGCAAACACGAAGCUUGUCGAAUAGGUACUUACUAUCUUAAAUAAUUAAUUAUUAUCAACUUGAAAAACAUUAUUACUUCAAGUAUUUGGUUUAUAACCUUCAUAAAAUAAUUCUUAACAUGUGUAUUUUCAGGUGUAUUCUACUGUGGAAGUCCAACAUUGGUUCGACCACUAAAAGAACUUUGUCAGGAGUUUAGUCUCGAGUCAUCCACUCGUUUUACUUUCCACAAGGAAAACUUCUAAUUAACCAAUUUAAUCUUUAAAAAACAGAUUUUGCUUAAUCCUUAAUCAGAUUGGGAGUAAAUUUAUUAAAGACCAUAUAUGCAGGAUGUAAUUAGUUGGUGAGACAAUGUAAAGUAAUUUAACGACGUAAGAAAUUGUAUAGUAACAUUUAAAUUAAGAAAAUCUUAAAGUACUAAUGUUUAUUUUGACGGAGUUUCUUGUAUAUAUACUUUUGUGAUGAAAAUCUUUGCUACAAUUGUUUAGAACAGUUUCUAUAUUUGUAAAGUUUUGUGAACUUGUGACUGUUAUUUUGUCUUUGUCAAAAAUUUUGAAAUUGAGAAAAUUUCCCAAAUUAAUGAACAAACACUUUUAUGCUUUCUAAAAUUCGUUUUUUAGAUUCUUUCUCCUAAAUCAGAUAAGUGUAUGGAAAGACCAAAUUUUAUCCUUAUUCCUAAUGGAAGUGGAGUAGAGUAGGUAAUAUGAUAACGAAGUGUACAAAAGAGUCUAACUUGUUAAGCAAUUGUUAGUUUUGGACCUUUCGUACGCAUGGCUAAAUCAUGGAACUUUCCACAUUAUUGAUAUUUUUCAUAUAACAUGGAUUCUACACGAUUUUCUAAAGAUUUAUUCAAUUAGAUAGAUGAUAAUUUAUUUCCCGAAAAUUGCAUUCCUUAAAAAAAAAAUCCAUGUUGCGUAGAAUUAAUCAUAUUACAUUCCUGUUGAUUUCCUUUAGGUGUACUUAUACUCUGCUUUUUCUUUUUUCACGUUAUUAAAGAUUGGCUAAUCUUUGGCACUUAAGGUAAAGCAUCUUAAUAAUCAUCAUUGAUCAUUUCUGUUCAAAGGUUAAUAAAAAGAAUGUUGAUUAUUUUUGUACAAAUAUAUGGCUUAAUGAUAUAAUUGCUAGUAAUAUUUUUUAGUUUUCUGGUUGCCUCUAUUUGUUGGUGGAUAUAUACACAAUACAAAAUUACUUUUCACUCUUAAGAUAUUUAUUGUCAGAGAAAACUAAAAUUCUAAAAAAAAAAAAAUUAAGAAAACUAAAAUUCUAUUAAUUAUUUAAUAAAAUUAUUACCCUAUGAUUCUCUUCCACAUUAUUUCAUAUCAGUUUACCAAACAGAAAAGAGAAAAUGUUAAAUAAUAUAGGACAUAUGAUAUAGAUUAGUACAUGCAUAGGCAUUACAAAUAUCAAAUUUUAAAUAAGCUAUAAUAACGAUGAGCGCGUGGUUAAUUAAUUACAGUUAUCAUAUGGAACAUCAAACAUGCAUAUAUGAUCUGUUACGUACGUCGAACUCUUAAGAUUUUAGAGAAUUUUUAUGUAAUUAUCACCAUCUUUAUAUAUUCGCCUAAAAGGUGGCUAGUAACAGUCCGCUCAAAUUUGUACAUAUAUAUUCGUAUAUGAUACGUUCUAUAUAUGUAUACAUACGUGCACACAUUAUACUAUAUAUAUUUUGUUGGAGCCUUAAUCAGAAAUCAAGGGUUGGUGUAACCACAAUAUGUAUGUCAAAAAAUUAAAUAAGAAAAAAACAUGUUUUCGCACAAGUCCUCCAAUCUAAUAAACCUCGAUCUCUUCACAUACCAAUCAUGUAUUUAUGUGUAUAUCUUAGCUACGCGUAUGUAUUCAGUAUAAAGAACCCACUUUCUACGCGUAUCUAGAUCAAAUAUUCUUUUUUAAAUUUUUUAAUUAAAUGGUAAGUUUAAGACAUUUAGAUAGUUUCUCUAGACUAGAGUUCGUUGAAAUUGGUCUGAUCAGGAUUAGAUAAAUACGUAAAAGGUCAUAUAUAUAUGUUUUUAGUUUAGUGUAAUUCUAUAAUUAUUGUCGAAAAAACCGUUAAGAGAUAUCAGAAUUUCGUUUUCAAAUAAUAACAUGGGAGAUAAUAACACGGAAUUAACCUGUUUCUAAAUAUAGCUCUCGUGUCACAUGCAGCCUAGUUAAAAACUUUAAAAUGAAUAUCUAUCUAUAACUAUAUUUACUGUUAAUGAUUGUGAGUUACCAACUAAAAUGUUGUUAAAGACAUAAUUGUAAAAACUACAAAUGGUUUGAACUACAUACUAAUGAUCUAAACUCAUGUUUCAUCAUUAUGUCGUCGUCCGAUUAUUUUCUUUAGUUUCAACAUUUCUUUAUAACCUUUUUAACAAAAAAUUAUAUGAAAACUAUAUUUGACGGGAUAAGUUGAUACGUACUUGUUAGCAACCUGUCUAGAUCAUAUUUUGACUUUAUAUUUCUCAAAAUUAUAUAUUUGAAAGAGGAGAUCGAGCCAACAAUUUGCAAAUACACAUAUUAUAUACUUUUUUUAUUUGGUUAAAGCUAAAGUUACACAUAAACUUAUUGAUUAAUAAACAUAAUUAUAAGAAUAUAAUGUGUUUUAAAAAGUUCAAUAAAUAAGAAUAUGAGUAUAAAGUUGUGUAAAUAUGUAUAUAAGUAUAGAGAAACAUGUAUAAGUGGCAUGCCUUUGAGGAUACGAACAUAAAAGGGAGUUAGGUCACUUGCUUGGGAAAUAAAAUAGCCAACCUUAAUUUGAGGUUUCCUCAAUGUUCUAAUAUAUUAAAAAGAAGGAAAAAAUAUAUUGGAAAUUGCCUUCAUGGAUUUUGAUAUCUAACCCUAAUCGUGACCUUCUUUGAUAGCUACAAUCUCCCUCUCCUUGCUUAUACCCCAAGCAAUUUUAGCUUACGAAUGUUUUGACCAACUCCACAUCGGUUAAAUCUCCUUUAAAAAGUUCCUCACCUACAAAUAAAAUAAAUUAAAAUAAUUAACAAACAGAGAUGAAGUACUUAUCACUUAUAACAUGCUUAUUAAAUGAUGAAACUGAAAUGUAAUUUACUAAAACAUAACCACUAUAAUCACAAAAGUUACCCCUUCCAAGAAAAUCCAAGAGUGCGUAAAAUUUUGAUGUUCGUACGUAGAGUUGUGUUUUGGGUCUAAGCAAAAUUUAGCCAAAACGAUAUUCCUAAACUGCCACAUUUAGUCCAAGUCACUUACUUUCUCAUGUCAAAAAUUUGAAGUCUAAUAUACUCAAAGCUGUCAAAGAUGCAGCACAGGAAGAGGAACUGUCAUAUCUGAGAAACUAAAAUUGGCAAUUUUACAUUUCAUAUUUAGAAUCUACGCCAUAGUAUCGAGAAGGAAACAAUAGUUUUCGAGGAAUUGAAGAGGGUCAAAGAGUUUGACUUAUCUUUGACACCACUCAUACAUUAGCUGUUCAUACAUAAUCUAACAACUUGUCAAUAUCAAGUGUUUCUGAUUACAGGGAGUACUUCUCUACCAAUUAUCUUUUUGUUUUUUUCCAAAACAUUUACUAAUUGUUUUUUCUAGCUCUCUUGCUCAAGCAAACACCUAACUCUCCUUCCUAUAUAUACACUAAAUGUUGAAACAAUGAAUCCACAAUCUACAGCAAAUACAUAAACAAAUAACCGAGGCAGAGUAUUCAGUAAAACUUACUUGCUAUAAUCAAAGCCUCGGGGUCCAAAGCUCACUCAAAUGGCGUUUCAGCUUCUCUUAGCUAUUUUCUCUUGUGUUCUCCUUCUUCCUCUACCUGCAUUUGGGAUUACAAGGCAUUAUACGCUGGAAGUAUGUGAAGGAUUUGUUUCUUCUGUGUAGUAGUUUAAAUGGGAAUGCAAAUAAUGAUUGAAUAUUGUUACGUUUUCGCAGAUCAAAAUGCAGAACGUGACACGUCUUUGCCACACAAAGAGCCUUGUUUCUGUAAACGGGCAGUUUCCAGGACCUAAGCUUAUUGCUAGAGAAGGUGACCAGCUUCUGAUCAAAGUCAUUAAUCAAGUGCCAAACAACAUCUCUAUCCACUGGUAAAUAAUCUUCAAACCACUUGUAUCAUUAUUCAGAGUAACGGUUGAUUACUCAUAGCUGGCUUUAAUCCGUGAAAAAUCGCAGGCAUGGGAUCCGACAACUACGAAGUGGUUGGGCUGAUGGACCAGCCUAUAUAACCCAAUGUCCUAUUCAGACAGGACAAAGCUAUGUCUACAACUAUACCAUUGUUGGUCAAAGAGGCACCCUGUUUUAUCAUGCUCACAUUUCAUGGCUAAGAGCAACAGUCUAUGGUCCACUUAUCAUCCUUCCCAAACGCGGUGUUCCUUACCCGUUUGCUAAACCUCACAAAGAAGUUCCCAUGAUCUUUGGUAAGGAUGAUGAGGAAUAGAAGCAGACUGAGAAUCUGAUGAGAGUUUAUAAACAUAAUAGCUGAUUUUUUAUGGUUAACUUGCAGGGGAGUGGUUCAACGCAGACCCUGAGGCAAUCAUCCGCCAAGCAACACAAACAGGAGGAGGUCCUAAUGUCUCUGAUGCUUACACAAUCAAUGGGCUUCCUGGUCCAUUAUAUAACUGCUCUGCCAAAGGUAAUUAUUACUUCCUAUAUCUAAUUAUGGUUUAAUAAAUUAUAGCCCACUAAUCAACUUAACCAAUGAUGUAAAACAGAUACAUUCAGACUGAGAGUGAAGCCAGGAAAAACAUACCUUCUCAGGCUAAUCAAUGCUGCACUUAAUGACGAGCUCUUUUUUAGCAUCGCAAAUCACACGGUUACGGUUGUUGAAGCGGAUGCAAUAUAUGUAAAGCCAUUUGAGACGGAUACCAUCUUAAUUGCUCCUGGCCAGACCACAAACGUCCUGCUGAAGACGAAACCUAGUUACCCGAGUGCCUCUUUCUUCAUGUUUGCUAGACCAUACGUCACAGGUCAAGGAACUUUCGAUAACUCUACAGUUGCUGGAAUCUUAGAAUAUGAACCAUCUAAACAUAUCAAAGAUGCUCACUCAAGGGCCUCUAUCAAGAAUCUUCAACUCUUCAGACCGACACUCCCUGCUCUAAACGAUACAAAUUUUGCUACUAAGUUCAGCAAUAAGCUACGCAGUCUGAACAGCAAAAACUUCCCAGCAAAUGUGCCUCUGAAUGUUGAUCGAAAGUUCUUCUUCACAGUAGGAUUGGGAACAAACCCGUGCAAUCAUAAGAAUAACCAGACAUGCCAGGGACCUACUAACACCACAAUGUUUGCUGCCUCAAUCAGUAACAUUUCCUUCACAAUGCCAACAAAAGCUCUCCUUCAAUCUCACUAUUCUGGCCAAUCUCAUGGAGUGUAUUCCCCCAAAUUCCCAUGGAGUCCCAUUGUUCCGUUUAACUACACAGGCACUCCACCAAACAAUACCAAUGUAAGCAACGGGACAAACUUGAUGGUUCUACCUUAUAACACCAGUGUGGAGUUGGUGAUGCAAGACACUAGCAUUCUAGGUGCUGAAAGCCAUCCUCUCCACCUUCAUGGGUUCAACUUCUUCGUCGUUGGUCAAGGCUUUGGAAAUUUUGACCCUAACAAGGAUCCUAAAAACUUCAACCUUGUUGACCCAAUAGAGCGGAACACAAUCGGUGUGCCAUCCGGUGGAUGGGCUGCUAUUCGAUUCCUUGCAGAUAACCCAGGUAAGAGAAACAAUAACAAACCAAAGAAACACAACUUUACAUUAGCGUAAUCUAAGAUGAAUAAUAAUAACCAAGUUUACAAAAUAUUUCACAGGAGUGUGGUUCAUGCACUGUCACUUGGAAGUACAUACCAGUUGGGGUCUGAGGAUGGCUUGGCUUGUUCUUGAUGGAGAUAAGCCUGAUCAGAAACUUCUUCCUCCUCCAGCAGACUUGCCCAAAUGCUGAGAAUUCUUGCUUCAUGAUUCAAGUGCUUUCCAUUUUGUUUGUUGUCUCUUUUUUCGUGCAUUUUUUUCGUUUUUUCCCCGGCCAUUUAUCGGUUUGACAUGAGGUCAAUUCCUGUUCAAUAAUUUGACAUGAGGUCAAUUUCUUUACAAUUAUUUUCUGUUGCACAGCUCUGUUUUCUGUAAGUGUAGAUCUAUGUAAACCCCAGAUUAAUAUAUAUACACAAUCUAAUUUGCAUAUAUUGACCUUACCUUCGAUUGUUAUUACCACAAUCUCUGAAGCAACUAACUGCUGAAGAUAUACACAAAUCAUUUGAAUCAGAUGGUUCAUAUAAACUAUGAUGCAACAUCCACAUAUGACAUGUGCACAUUGUAUUUAUGUGUAGAUAUUUAUGAUGAAAUAUGGCUCUACAGUCAAAACGGUUCUGUACAUUUAUCCCAAGUUUCCUAGUCUAGUUUUCUAUUAAAAGACCUUCGGAGCAGUACAAAGUCUAAGUGAAACUCUCAGGAACCAUAGGCACAUUUGUAACUGACAAAUAGCAUGUAAGAUUUACGUACCUGACGAUUGAGGAUCAUCUGUACUUGCACUAGUUUAGUUGAACAGGACGUGGAAAUCCUUCUUCAGAAAACUUCAAGUGCCUCGCAAUUGUGCAGACUUCCUAUACUUUCAAUUCCUAAACAAAAUUGAGUUUCACAUAUAGCAUUUCUAGUUUAUUUUACAGCUGCAAUAAGUUGAUUUAAGUGAAUGCUAAUGCCAAAACUUUGCAAACAAGCAUCUUCGAAAUAUAGUCAAAGAUAAUAAGGUAGCAUCACACUACCAAAACAACAAAAACUUGAAUCAGACAACCAAAACUAAGAAGAGAAUUCCAAAAAUAAAAUCUUUCUCAAUCUUAAUUGCCACCAAGUAACAUCUUCAACUACAUUUUAACCAAAAUUUGAAAGAUUUGUUCAUUCCCACUACAAAAAUUUCCCCAACCUUGAGCUAAAACCCCAAAUUAACCAGCUUUAACCAUCAAUUCAAUCUCCUACAAUUUCCUCUUUUUUUUGCUCUUGCUCUCCUCUGAAUCCAUCCCUUCACCACUCUUCCUUUUUUUCUUGCUCUUUUUCUCCUCUGAAGCCAACUCUUCCUCAGCCUUCAUCUUCUUCUUCUUCUUCUUCUUUUUUCUCUCUUCGCUCAUCUCCUCGUCUUCCAACUUAUCCUUCACCUUCUCAUCAAUAACAUCUUUGUCUUUGUUCUUCUUUUUCUUCUUCUCCUUCUUUCUCUCUCCGCCCAUUUCCUCCUCUUCCAACUUAUCCUUUACCUUCUCAUCAGUAACAUCUUUGUCUGUGUUCUUCUUCUUCUUCUUUUUUUUAGUCUUCUCCUUAUCCUCCUGUUCCCUACUAUAAACUGAUUCCUCAGUCAUAGAUUCACUUUUCCGGUCAGGAACCUUCUCACCAUCGAAUUCGCCGGUGAAAUUCCUCUCACGCCUCGUUUCGGAGCUUGGCUUCGUACCCUUCGAUUUAAUCUCCCUGUGGAAACUCUUUAAUUGAGAAAAGGCAGCGGAGGCUCGUUGGAGGUACGCACUAACGUCCUGAGAGGCGCCAUUAUCAGAAGAAGUGAAUCCAGAGAGAAGCGUAGCCGCCUUGGAGAGGGAGAUUGGUUCAGCACAAAUAACUCUUCCGGUCACGGUCUUCAUCGGAAAGAAGCAAGCUCGAAGAUCGCCGCGCCUCUCUCCCUCUGCUCAAAUUAGGGCAAUUUCUCCCCAAAGUUUAGUACAGUACUUUCAAAAUAUACACGAAUGAAAACAAAAAUUACGAACUUCUCCUUGUUAUGUUUUCUACGAAUUGUUUUUUUUUUUUCAAAACCAGUAAUUUUCCUUUUUCUAAGGUUUUGUAUUUUCCUUUUCUGGUCAAGCUGAACAAUAUUUGUAUAUAUACAAGUACUCGCGACAAAAUCAAUGAUUAGGAUUAAUACCUCCGUGGUAAAGAGCUCUAGGUUAAGAAGUUGAAGGUCGCAGGUUCGAAGCUUAAACUAGGUUUUUUUUUGCCCCUUCACUCUUGCUCAGUGCUCCAUUGCUCUCUGUAUCUCCCGCCUGUUACUACUUCUGCUGCUUGUCUUUAAACCCUAAACCCACCUUCCUCCAUCCUCGUCUUUCUCACCGUAAGUUGUUGAUUUUUCCGAUUGAUCCCGAGUUUGUUUUGUUUUUGCUUCUUCUUCUCUGACGUCGAUUCGAACUUAUUCGGGCUUUUUGGUUUCCCCCUGUGUAAAAAGUUUGCAGCUUUUUGAUUGGAGAGAUGGAGACGAAGAUGGAAAUUGAAUACACUAAGAAGCCUUACAUCGAAGAUGUUGGUUCUCUUAAGAUGUAUGUUCUUUCACUUUUCUCCUCAAGUUAAACCACUCCAUUGAUAUAAUUUUCCCAACUACGCUCCUUUCAGCAGUUGGAUCAUAAUACUCAAUGUGCCUAAAAAUCGUCUCUUUUGCUACUGUUUGUAUGUUGAUUUUGAAGCUCAUGAAAUUUUGAUUUGGGUGUCUGAAUUCUUAUGUCAAUUGAGAUGACUGUUUACCAGUUAAAGAGUUUCUUAGCUGACGUUUUCUCUGAUUUACUUUCAUGAUUCUCUUUUUGUAUGGUCUUCUGUAGAUUUAGCUUAUGAUGAUCUUACUUUGAUACAAAUGAAUGCCUUUGGGUGUUGUUUAUGAAUGUCUGACUUUUAUGGUUUGACAUUAUUGAUUUUGUGGAGCAAAACUUGCUUGUCAGUUUCUGCUGUUUUUUCCUGCUCCGCUUUUGACUUAACUAUUAUCUCUGCAGAAAAAGCAUAAACUUCUCUAUGCUUUCUGAUCUUGAGGUCAUGAAAGCCGCUGAAGUUCAGGUCUGGAAGAAUAGUUACUACGAUCCCAAUUGUAAACCCUUUGAAGGCGGCUUGUUGGAUCCUCGAAUGGUAUCCGACUCUCUUAUAUAUGUGUUUCUUUUGGUUUAACUUUUUAUGCAUAUAACCAGUUAUUUGUAUCUGUAUAUGUAAUUCUAACCAUUCUCUAAGUGGUUUGUUCAUUAUGAUUGGGCAGGGUCCUCCAAACAAAAAGUCUAUAUGCACAACCUGUGAGGGGAACUUCCAAAAUUGUCCAGGACACUAUGGAUAUCUGAAGCUUGACCUCCCAGUUUACAACAUUGGAUACUUCAAUUUUAUCCUCGACAUAUUGAAAUGCAUUUGUAAGGUAACAGAGUUAGCCAAUUAUAUCUCUCUAGUUUCUGUUCUCGACCCUUUUAUUUUUGUUGAAUGGAAACAGUAAAGAAAAGUACAUUAUAGAAAAAUUAUUUCUAGGGAAGAUCCCUUUCGAAAUGCAGACAAUACCUAAUUUUCAUAACAAAACUGGCUGGUUAUUUCACUGUCUUUGUAGCAUCAACCGUAGUUCACAAAUAUUGUUUUUCUCCUUUCUUUUACCGCAGUGCUGUUCGAACAUGCUUUUGGACGAGAAAUUGUAUGAAGAUCACUUGAGGAAGAUGCGGAAUCCCAAAAUGGAGCCAUUGAAGAAGACUGAAUUGGCAAAAGCGGUUGUCAAGAAGUGCAGUACGAUGGCUAGCCAGAGAAUUAUAACGUGCAAAAAAUGUGGCUACCUGAAUGGUAUACUUUUGAACUAUUUUUUGACUGAAACCAAUUAGAUUCGAUAUGCUAUUUCGAAGAUGUUUAUAACCUUGAUAUAUUUUCUCAUUCUUCAUGUGUUUCAUCUUAGUUGCAAAAUUUAGCUCACAGAACAUUCUAACGAAUCUUAAGUUGCACAAGCAGAGAACUUGGGAUUUUUUUUUUUGUCAUUCUGAUUUCCAGUGCCAAAAUCCUUUAAUUGUUGUUAUUGGUUAAUCUCAAAUUAUGUUAUAUUCUAAUUUAUGCUAUGUUCUUGAAAGUGCUUCUUCCUACCCAGUUCAGUUAUAUAUACAUAUAUAUAUUUCAGUUAUGAUAAUCUAUUGAUUAUUGCAGGUAUGGUGAAAAAGAUUCCAGCCCAGAUGGGUAUAGGUAUCAGUCAUGACCGAUCUAAAAUUCAUGGUGGAGAGGUUGAUGAAUUUAAAGCUGCAAUAUCCCACAUAAAGGAGUCUACUCAAGCAAUAAAUCCUCUUACAUAUGUUCUUGAUCCUAACGUGGUGCUUGGGCUUUUUAAAGGAAUGAGUGACAAGGUAUAUUUGAGUUUAUAUCUAUAAUGCACAUGUUUUUCUACAUAGUUUCCUGCAGUAUGUUCUUUUGCUCGCAGAACAUAUGCAUUAGUAUAAAGGGAUUUUCUUAUUUAUUAUUACAGGACUGUGAACUUCUUUAUAUUGCCCACAGACCUGAGAAUCUUAUCAUAACGUGCAUGCUUGUGCCACCUUUAUCAAUCCGACCAUCUGUUAUGGUUGGUGGCUCCCAAAGGUAAGCUAUCAUUUUGAUCUUUCUCAUGUCAAUUAUACUUUUUACUGCUGGUUUUCUUGAAAGAGCGUGUUUUCUUGCUGCAGUAAUGAAAAUGAUUUAUCAGCGCGAUUAAAGCAAAUCAUUCAAGACAAUGCUUCACUUCAUAGAAUUUUAAGUCAACCUACCACUUCGGCGAAAAACAUGGUACGAUGAGUUAUCUAUUGCAUUAUUGCAUCCCUGUUAUAUUUGUGUAUUAAUGCAUUUGGUGCUGUAAAGUUUGUCUCUGUUUUUGUUAAAUCUUACUUCGAAAUGUUUUCUUGGUUUACCCUUUUAUUAACUUUUCUUAUAUUACUAUUUCUUGUUAUAUCAUUUUCUUCUUACUUAUUUUUUGAGGAUUUCUUUUUAGCAAGUGUGGGAUACAGUACAAAGCGAGGUUGCAAAAUACAUUAACAGUGAAGUCCGUGGUGUUCAAAACCAGCCAGACAGCAAACCAAUGAGUGGAAUUCUUCAGCGUCUCAAAGGAAAACAGGGACGUUUCCGUGCAAACUUGUCAGGAAAGCGUGUCGAGUACACUGGUAGAACUGUUAUUUCACCUGAUCCCAAUCUGAAAAUUACAGAGGUAUCUUUUCAUAAAUGGUGUUAAAUUUUUGCUUUUUGUUUAUAUUUUUGGUUUAACUUAUCACAGAGGUAACUAAACUUUUCAGGUAGGAAUUCCCAUCCUUAUGGCUCGGAUCUUAACUUUUCCUGAAUGUGUUUCCCGUCAUAAUAUUGAGAAGUUAAGACAAUGUGUCCGUAAUGGCCCUAAUAAAUACCCUGGUGCCAGAAAUGUCAGAUAUCCGGAUGGUUCUUCAAGGUAAUGUUGUGUCCUAGCUUUGUUACUUCUUGGUUGAUGCAUACUUUUAAAGGGGAGGAAACUGAUCUUGAUGAGUUAAUAUAUCUAGAUAGCUAGUUUUCUCAGUUGAAGUGAUCUUCAGAUUCUGUAAAAUUAUGUGAAAUUGUAAAUCUAUGUUGACUCGUGUAUAGGUUUUGUUCAUGGUAUAUAGGUAGAAAUGAAAAUGUGCAAGUAACAAUUUUUCCUCUUAAUGAAGCCAAGUCAAACCAUUGAGACUUGUUUCAAGAAAAUAGUUACAUUAUUACUGAACUGAAGUUACCUGAUACCACUGAAGGACUCGUCAUAGGGUCAUUUGCAUGUGAUUGGGUCAUCAUAUGGGGGCAUUAACACAUUUCAUUUCAGGGCUUUGGUUGGUGAUUAUCGCAAGCGUAUUGCUGAUGAACUGGCCAUUGGGUGCAUAGUUGACCGCCAUUUGGAAGAAGGGGAUGCUGUUCUUUUUAACAGGCAGCCAAGUCUGCAUCGAAUGUCUAUCAUGUGUCACAGGGUCAGUACUGCUUUAGAAUGCUUAGUCCUAAUCCUAUGCUUUAGAAUGUCUAUAAUUUUUUGCUCUCAUACUAAUCCUAAUCCUAAUUUUACAUUUGUUGUCCUGUAGGCAAGAAUAAUGCCUUGGAGAACGUUGAGGUUCAAUGAAUCGGUUUGUAACCCAUAUAAUGCUGAUUUCGAUGGUGAUGAGAUGAACAUGCAUGUACCACAAACAGAGGAGGCUCGGACAGAGGCUAUUACAUUAAUGGGGGUACUUGCUCUUUUACUUAGCAUCAUAUUAAGUUUCUUAGGGGUAGUCAAUUAUACGUUGGUUACAUUUAACACUCUUUAUGCUCAUAUUAAUGCACACAUACAUAAGUAGCAGAUGAUUAUGAGAUGGAGUCUUACUUAACAAAUUCCACCAAUGAUUUUCAACUAAAUCAACUGAACCUUUAGGCUUUCCAAAGCAAUUUAGAUUCUGUAGUUGAGGGAAUUCUGAGUUUAAAAAUGUUUGAAAAACUUUAUUUGUAAUGUGUAUAUGAACGAUCUUGAUGGACAGAAGGGAUGAUAGAGUUAAAGAGAGGAAAUUUUUUCAUCUAAGUUGUGUUUGUCGUUAGAUAGCUACAGUUAUACUCGUCUGUAUAACUGUUGACAGGACUAAUUAUCUGGUUGAUAUUUUCCCUUCUGGUUGAUUAUUUACUUCUUCCUUGAUUGGUAUUUCAGGUACAAAACAAUUUAUGCACCCCAAAAAAUGGAGAAAUUUUAGUAGCAUCAACGCAGGAUUUUUUGACAUCUUCCUUUUUGAUAACGAGAAAGGACACAUUUUAUGACCGUGCAGCCUUUUCACUUAUAUGUUCUUACAUGGGAGAUGGCAUGGAUGCUAUUGAUUUGCCCACACCCACAGUCCUUAAGGUAUGAGACCUCUACAUGUUUUUCACCUCUAUAGUUUAUCUCAACUGACUUGAGAUUGUUAGAUAGCUACAGCUUGUUCUGUUGGUAUCAACUAUUUUAUAUUUUUAUUUCUAUUUUAUGUGCUUGUUUAAUUCUCUCAUUAGCUUUCUGCUGUCCUACUUCUUCUGGGAAUCCGUCGUCACUGAUUCUUUCUUUUCUUUUAAUCUAGAGAUAAUAGUUCUUAUCUUUGCUCAUCUCACCUUAAUUUCUUUUUCUGGAUGCUCAAGGUUAUAGACAUACUUUGUGGCUAUAUUUUGGCCUUCCCAUAAUGUUAAAGACCUUUUACAUAUCACAUGUUUAAAAACUGCUCCAGUCCAACUACUGUAUCAGCCUGAAUUUGCAUGACAUUUUACAUUAUUGUCUUGAGUUUAAUUAAUGGGUCAAUGUUAGUUAUUGAUAUUUAAUCUGCAUGGUCAAAUAAGUUUUGGUCUUGUGGACACUGGGAAUUCUUCUGCCUUUUUAGCAUUUUCUUUCUUUCUAUUAAUUUCUUAUCUAGAUGCUAUUUUUUAUGCAGCCAAUAGAGCUUUGGACUGGUAAACAAAUUUUUAGUGUUUUGCUGCGUCCAAAUGCAAGUGUUAGAGUCUACGUAACUCUUAAUGUGAAAGAGAAGAACUUCAAGAAGGGAAAUCAUGGUUUCGAUGAGACAAUGUGCACAAAUGAUGGAUGGGUUUAUUUUCGAAAUAGUGAGCUAAUAUCAGGACAAUUGGGGAAGGCUACGUUAGGUAAGUCCAAGAUGGAAUGCAAGAUGUAGCAAAUGCAUCAGAUAGCUGUUCAUUCUGGGAUUUUCUUUCGUGUAUUUUGAGCACUUGAUAUUUUUAUCUAGGGAAUGGAAACAAGGAUGGAUUAUAUUCUAUUCUUCUAAGAGAUUACAACUCUCAUGCUGCUGCAGUUUGCAUGAAUCGGCUAGCAAAAUUGAGGUGAGUUCAUUUUUAUGCAUAUGGGAUUGUUUUAUCUUUUCUGACUACUUUUUCCUUGAUCUCACUGCAACACUUCAAUCUUUAUUAUCCAUCUUUGUCUUGAUUAUUCGUUUUCUGCUUCAUCUCUAUAAUUAAUUUCAAAAGUUAUCUGUUCUUGCUUUGUAUGUACUGUGUUUUCUGUGACCUUUCUCUGCUAUCUGCCAUUGCUGCAUCGCGGCAUUGAGUAAAUCAAAGUUUCUUGUCUAAUUGGUAGCUUUUUUAUCUUGUUUUGUGCAGUGCUCGGUGGAUUGGAAUCCAUGGAUUCUCCAUUGGAAUCGAUGACGUUCAACCUGGGGAAGAGUUGAGUAGGCAAAGGAAAGACGCAAUCCAGUCUGGAUAUGACGACUGCCAUAGCAUAAUUGAGAAUUUUAAUCGAGGAAAUUUGCAACUUAAAGCUGGUCUAGAUGGUGCAAAAACAUUAGAAGCUGGCAUAACAGGGAUUCUUAAUACAAUUCGAGAAGACACUGGGAAGGUGAAUACGUAGCUUAUAUUUCCAGUUAGUAUAUUCAUGUUUUAAGGUAGAAAUGUGAUUUAAUUUACUAAGAUAGGUGUAUGGCCUGAGGUGACACUUUGAUUUGCAAUUAUAUUAUUUUUUUGCGUUCUAGUUUCAUUAGUUUCUUGUUUCAAAGGUGAGUUAUAAAUGUUUCCAAGAUGAGUAACGAGUAAAAAACUCUAUACUGAAGGAAUAUCUUUGACAGUUUAUCUACAUUAAUCAAAUGACAAUGAAUCCUUAAUCUUGUCAUUAUAUUUGUGAUAUACAGGCCUGUAUGGACGGAUUACAUUGGAGAAACAGUCCCUUGAUCAUGUCACAAUGUGGUUCCAAAGGAUCUCCUAUCAAUAUCAGUCAGAUGGUCGCAUGUGUUGGUCAGCAGACAGUUAAUGGUCACCGUGCUCCUGAUGGAUUUAUAGAUCGAAGCCUUCCUCAUUUCCCUAGGAUGUCCAAAUCACCUGCAGUAAGUAUACAGCUUGCCAACCACUCCCCCCGAUUGACUGAUUUAUUUUUGUUCGAAGAUGAUCUGUUAAGUGUUUGUUCUAUUUUCACCUCUCUUGCGUUGCAAUACUCCCCCUAUUUUAACCCCCCUGAGCAAUCUUUAACAUAUUGGAUGCUGCUAGCUCUCCUAAUUACCAGAAAUGUUUUGGAAAAUUUCUUAAGCUAUUAGUUGGAGGUGCUCUGAACAAGUAGAACCAUUUCUCACCACUGAAUAAUUUAUAGUAGGCUUCUUGAGCCUGACCCUAUAGUAGCCUGAUCAAACCAUUUUCCGGUCUGAUUUACUGCUUUGAGAGCUAGGACCUGAUCUCAUGUCUUCUUGGCAUUGCAGGCUAAAGGUUUUGUUGCUAAUUCGUUCUACAGUGGUCUUACUGCCACAGAAUUUUUCUUUCACACUAUGGGUGGACGAGAAGGUCUAGUUGAUACAGCGGUAUGCAUAAAUCCGUCUCUUGUUUUUUCCAUCCUGCUCCACUGUAAAAUAUGAAAAGGUUUUCACUGAAAGAGACAGCCAUGAUGGUUCUCUGUAGGGUGACAGUGUUUUAAUAUCUGGAAUGAAGAUAGUCUUCACCCUUUUGUAACUAUACUCUUGUCUAUUGCAGGUGAAAACUGCCAGUACAGGUUACAUGUCCCGUAGAUUGAUGAAAGCCUUGGAGGAUCUAUUAGUCCAUUAUGACAACACAGUACGAAAUGCCAGCGGAUGUAUACUUCAAUUUACUUAUGGGGAUGAUGGAAUGGACCCAGCACUAAUGGAAGGAAAGGAUGGAGCUCCUUUAAAUUUUAAUAGAUUAUUUCUGAAAAUUCAGGUGCUUUUUUUGGAUAUUUGUAUAUUGGUUGUUUGGUCUCUCUUUAUUUAGAGUUUUAUCACAAUCGGUUGUUGCAUUUGCAGGCUACAUGUCCUCCUCGAUCUCACCACAACUAUCUUUCUUCAGAAGAAUUGUCGCAAAAGUUUGAAGAGGAAUUAGUAAGACAUGAUAAAAAUCGGGUUUGCACUGAUGCCUUUGUGAAAUCUCUUCGAGAUUUUGUUUCCUUGCUCGGAGUUAAGUCUGCAAGCCCGCCCCAGGUUUUAUAUAAAGCAUCUGGUGUGACUGAUAAGCAACUCGAGGUGAGUUUCUUUGUCUUCCUUUUGUAGAAGAAAAAUACUCUGUGCAUUUUGCAUUUCAGUGUUCUUUGUGCGAGUCCUUGAUUAUAUGUACUACAUCUAAUCGACUAAAAAAUUUCACACCUAUUUUCUCCAGCGGUAUAUUUUCUAUAAGCUGAAGAAAAUUUCCCAUUUCUUGUGGUGUUUGGAAAAAAUAUGAAAUAUUACCUCUGAUAUAUAGAAAUAUGCAGGUAUUUGUAAAAAUUUGUGUAUCUCGCUAUCGGGAAAAAAAAAUUGAGGCUGGGACUGCAAUUGGGACAAUAGGAGCUCAGAGUAUUGGAGAACCUGGGACACAAAUGACUCUUAAAACUUUUCACUUUGCCGGAGUUGCGAGCAUGAGUAUCCUUGUUAAAAAUAUGUAUUUUCAGAAUGUCGCUACAAAACUAGUGCUUAUGAGCACAUAUGAGUAGUUUGUUGUUUUGAUUUCCUGAUUCUGGUUCAGAUAUCACACAAGGAGUCCCCCGAAUUAACGAAAUCAUAAAUGCUUCAAAAAAUAUAAGCACACCUGUCAUCUCUGCAGAACUUGAGAACCCCCUGGAAUUGACUAGUGCACGAUGGGUGAAAGGACGCAUCGAAAAAACUACUCUAGGACAGGUUCUCUUUUCCUCCAAAUUUUGAUCUCAAUUAUUUUACCUAUCCAAUCUUUUUGAUAGUUGCUGCUGCUUGUUUUAAGUUCAUAUUGCAGAUGGCAAUUUAUUAAUAACAACUAUUGGAUUGUUGGACCAGGUUGCUGAGAGUAUCGAGGUGCUAAUGACUUCAACAUCAGCGUCAGUGAGAAUAAUUCUUGACAAUAAAAUAAUCGAGGAGGCAUGUUUAUCUAUAAGCCCCUGGUCGGUAAAAAAUUCCAUCCUUAAGACCCCCAGAAUCAAACUGACCGAUAAUGUAAGUUCCUUAGAUUUUAUUGAUGUGUUCAUUGCGGGGCACACAGGUCUUUAGUCUCAUAGCAAUGUAAAUUUUGCAGGAUAUUAGGGUCUUAGAUACGGGAUUGGACAUUACUCCUGUGGUGGAUAAAAGUAGAACUCAUUUUAAUCUCCACAAUCUGAAGAAUGUGCUGCCAAGUAUUAUAGUGAAUGUGAUAUUCGUUAAACCACUCUCUCUCGCAUAUAUACAAAAAAUUUGUACGAUUCUUCAAGUAUAUUUUAUCUUUCACCGACUGAGAGAAUUCUUUCUGUUGAUUUGUUAUUAUAGGGGAUCAAAACAGUUGAGCGAGUUGUUGUCGCGGAGGAUAUGGAUAAAAAUAAACAGAUAGAUGGGAAAAAAAGGUGGAAACUAUUUGUGGAGGGGUAAGUUUUCUUGAGCUUCAAGAGACGAGAUUUCCUCUGUUCUUUUUUCCUUACUGUAAGUGCUAGCUUAGCUGAUAUAACAUGUCUCGUUGGGCAUGAUUUGAUAUGGUGGAUACUUGAUUUUGUCAUUAAGCAGUCUUUGUUUCUGUUUUUUGGUAAGCCACUGAUAUGAUUGUCAGUAUUUCACAUGCUUAAACCAAAAUUUUGAACUAAACGAAAUGCUUUCUAAUACAAAUACAUGUCCAUUUGGAACUCUCAUGAAUAACCAACAGAACUUCGAAGGAUAGUUAUUGACAAAAUUGUGGUGUGAAAGAGAAAAUGUGCUCUCUUUCUAUUUCCCGUUUGAAUAUUUUUCUUGAUAUAUGUUUCAGCACAAACCUCCUGGCUGUUAUGGGAACUCCAGGAAUCAAUGGGAGAACUACUACAAGUAAUAAUGUUGUCGAAGUGAGCAAAACACUGGGAAUCGAAGCUGCAAGGACAACAAUUAUUGAUGAAAUAGGGACAGUAAUGGGAAACCAUGGUAUGAGUAUAGACAUUCGUCACAUGAUGCUUUUGGCUGAUGUCAUGACGUACAGGGUCAGUUCUAAGACACCUGAAUCUGUUAUUAUGAUGUCUAUUCUCUAAUAAUAACUUUUUCUAAUCUUGUCAUAUUAACGAUAAAAAUGUCAUUUCAAUUUCUUGAUCAGGGGGAGGUUCUCGGGAUACAAAGAACCGGGAUUCAGAAGAUGGAUAAAAGUGUGCUGAUGCAGGCAUCUUUUGAGAGGACUGGAGAUCAUUUAUUUAGUGCAGCAAUUAGUGGAAAGGUGGAUAACAUAGAGGGAGUUACAGAAUGUGUGAUUAUGGGCAUACCAAUGAAGCUCGGAACCGGAAUACUCAAAGUCCUCCAAAGGUCAGAUUUCAUUCCUCUUUUUUAAGGUUCAGGUUGCGACUUUUCCUUAUGACAUUACUGGAUUUCUCUUGACUUACUGCAUCCAUGAGCCCUUUUAUGAUAUUGGAAAAUAUGUAAACGUUCAACAUAGGCUUAAGCUUAAUUCGUUAUCCUUUCAUUGUCUUCAUAGAUUCCGGUAUCAAAUACCAUUUUUUCGGUUUGUGCCAUAGCCGUAUAAAUCUCCUCUGUGAAACUAACUAUGUGUUAAUCUUGAUCAACAGGACCGAUGAUCUACCCAAGUUGAAAUAUGGAGCUGAUCCAAUUAUCUCUUGAAAAGACGGAAACAUAGUUUCAUAGCAGUUCACUUUGCAAACUAUAUAAGAUGACAAGCAAUGCAAGAUCAGGCAGAUGAAUGAAAUCAAUUCUUUGGCUCUAACUCAAGCACCCAAUUUGCAUACUAACGGGUAAGCAAAGGCCGGGCAAUAAUCCGCCAAUUUAGAUAAGCCCACGGUUAGGAAAACUUUGCAAGCAUAAUUUAGAUUCAAACUAGAUAUCGGAUUUUUGGUUUACACAAGGGAAAAAUGGUUGGGUGCCCUGACUGUUAUUGACAAAAUAUCCCUGAGCCACUUUCGUUUGAAUCUUUAUAUCUCAGUGAAAGUCACAAAUAGUAACAGUUUACAAAAGAAGAACAAAAAAAAAAAUAUGCUAUUUUGGCUUAGUCAUAGAGUGUAAUCUGCAGCUGCGAUCCAUCUGGCUCUGUCAAGACCUGUCUUAUGAAAGCUCUUCUCCACCACACCUCAAACGCACGUUGAACAUUUGGACAGUCAUCGCCUUUGCUCAGAAACCGAUCAAACCAUUUCAUUAGAAUCACCUGUUGUUGUCUCAGCGACAAGGUCAAUAUGGUCUGGCUGAGUCCAUCUUCCACAAGUUUCCUAUCCAGAGAUCUCGAAGAUAACCGUCUCAUCCACCCAAAAUCAUCAUACAAAGCCUCUAACCAGGUAUUCAAAACCGCAAACCUAGUCUCCCUGUUCACCAAGAUCCUUCCUUUACCUAUACCAACACAUAUCUGCGCGGUGAUCUUGCUUAUUUCGUGUCUGUACAUUGUUGGGAUCUUGGAAUGAAGAUUCGCAAGCUCCUUUUGAUCCGCCCAUAGUUUCACAAACUCAUCACACAUUUUCUUCUCAAUCAAGAUAUCUACCAUCCAUAGCAUGUUCUCGGCUUCUCUGGCGAUUUCUCCCAUCAAAGCACCACGGUCUUUCCCCGGAUCAUUCAUUUGUGUAGUCACUUCAGAUAAGCAAAGCACAAGAGAUGUGAGACAUCUAUGGCACAAACCGUAGAGUGUGUCUUUAGAGACAUCAUAAUCAGCUUCUUCCCUAAUCAACUUAAAGAUCAAAACUUUCAUCUCUCGCCGAGCUUUAUCAUCUUUGGCUUGUAGAACACCAGUGAGAAGCUUCAAGAAGAUAUCAUCGGUUCUCGUUCUCGUCGAGGAAGUCGAAGGUUCAGAUGAAACUCUCUGAAGAAUCAAAGUGACCGAAUCAGCAGGAAGAUGAAGCUCUUCAAGGCAAGACACAACAAUCUCUUCUUCAUCUUCUGACCAAGGAGCAGCUUCCAAAUGCUGCAAACAAGACUCUACUCCUUCAUCAAACAUUAUAGCUGCAGAAACCUAUACAAAAAAAAAAAAGAGAUUCACCAUCCAUCACAAAAUCAAAGCAAACAAACCAAAAAACAAUCUUAUCAAAAUCAAGAUGGAACAAAAUACCUUAAGUAAAGCCAAGAUUUUGAUGACAUUUUCACCGAUCAACUUCUUCUUGAGAUCAUCACUAUACAUCAAAACCACAGUCUCAACAUAAAUCUCCAACUCAUCACACUCGCUUAUCUCCACCAUGUGAGAAACCCCUUUCUCUCUUCUAGAAUUCAUCUUCUCCAUGAAAAACCUGCUCUUCUCCGACAAAACCUUCCGAUGAACAUCCAUGGUGACUCUGUAACCGUCUUUUCCCACCACAGUCAGCUUAACGUCGCUUGGCCCGAGGCUGUGGCCGUAAACGACGCCGUUCUUGAACUCGGUCAAGAUUUGAGCCACGCGCGCGUGAGAUUUCCUCCGUGGUGGCGGCUCGCGGUUGUGCUCAUCGGACAUCAUAUCAAAAAGAGUCGGGUUGGAGUGGGUCGAUUCGUUAGGCGGAGGAGGCGGCGGAGGAGGAGGAGGGGAGGCGGUGGAGAAUUUAACGGGAGAUGUGAUUCUUGACGGAGAAAACGAGAGAGAAGGGUCAGCGAUAAACCCUUGUUUGAUCAUCGUUGAUACUUCUCUUGACGCCAUUGAAGAAAGAAAAAAUUCUCAAACUUUCUCGAGCAAGAAAAUUCCCGCGGGAAAAAUUUAGCAAAGUGACUGAGUGAAGAAAAACAAAAAAUAUAAUCUCAAAAAGAAACAAGAAAAAGAGGUAAAUGGGGGAAACCACAAAAUCUUGUCGACUUUAAGAAGAAGUUUAAAGAGAAGACAAAGAAGAUUGUGAAAAAAUUUGUUUUUCUUGGGAAAACAAAACAAAGGUGCAGAUAUGUUUUAUGUUUAUAUAUAUGUAUCCCCACAAGAAAAAUGAAAUUGGGAGAAUCAGAAUCCAAGAAAAUGAUAGGACUUUGGAUCUGUGAAUAGAAAUACAAAUACAAUUGCAAUGGCGAGUGAGUGAGUGAGUGAGUAAGAGAAAAAAAAUGAUUAUAAAAAAUAAAAUAAAAAGUUACUUGUUUUAUGUAUCUUUUUACAGAUAGACAGAUAGAUAGAUCAUUGCCUCCAUGUGCUCUCAAAUUACAUACAUUGAGAAAAUUUAAAUAUUUUCAUAUAUCAUAUAGUUGGAAUUCGAGAUAAACUCAAAGACCAAAGGUAACAAACUUUUACGGUUGAAAUUUGUCAUUUAGUAAAUAUAUCAUUUCAUUCAUAUUUUCGAUUUUACAUUUUUUUUAUUAUCCCAUCUGAGAGAGAGAGGGGUACACAUGGAUUUGAAAGCUGAGGGACAAAUCUAUAUAAAUCAUCUGUUCAUACUGUUAGAAUUAUGCGUUUGUUUGAUCAAAAGAUUUUUAUCUCUUGGAUCUUGUCAAUCAACUAAAAACUUUGUCGUCUAUAUGCGUAAGGUUGUUUAUAAAAAAUAAAAAAACAUUCACAUAUCAAGCUCAAACUUGUUCCAUCACCGACUACUACUACUUAUAACAAAAAAGAAAGAUAGUUGUGGGAAGGCAUCACUGGCCCAAAGCAUUAACUUUUAUUUCUCCAAAUUUUGUGGCAACUAGAAGAGACCUAUCAGGAUUAUUGUUUGGAAAACAAGUAGACAAUUUAUUUCUCCAAUUGAAAACUUUGGUUACCCUCUCUCACAUGGCAAAUUUUGUAAAAUCGUUAGAUGUUGUUGCAGUCCACAUGCUUCCAUUGUAAUACAAUCACAAAUUCUGAUGUAUAACACAUUCAUUAACUUUGUAAUAUUCCGUUUGUCAUAUACAAUUACGGCUUAUUAUUUUAUAAAUUGAACAGCGGAACUGAAGGCCCAAAUCAUAGAAUAGGCCCAAAUAUUUGGGCUUUAUAGGAAAUGUCCACAUUGAAGACACCAUCACCGUCGCUGCAAAUCCUUCUGCUUCGUCCUCCAUUUCUAUAGUCUCUAUAGAAUAUACAACCUCCGGCGGAAUCUCCGGCAGGAAUCUGAACGGAGAAAGAACAGUCAUCUCCUAUAAACAGAGCCACGUCUCCUAACUCUCUCACCUCUUCCCAUCUCUUCUCUUCUCUCUUCAGCUUAUAAACUCUAAACUCCACCGCAGAUUUGGAGUUCUCCGAUUUGCACCAAACGUGUUUCACGUAUUUGUCAACCAGCAGCACUUCUCCGCCGGGAUAUUCCACCAGAUGCUUCUUGUGGCCUCCUCCUCCGACCAAACCAUCAGCCAAAUCCGAAACCUUGAAAUCCACAUCGUAAAUUACGGUUUUGCCCUUGUCGUCUACAACGAUGCAAUAGCUCUCCUCUCUGUACAACAAUAUGUCCUCGUAAAUCACAUUCCACGAAUUGUCCAAAAUUCUCCAUCUUUCUUCGUCUCCGCUUUUCAAAUACCCUAAUUUCCCACCACUGUGAAUCGCCAUUAUCGCAGAGCAUUCCCCUGAAGAAAAAAUCACAACUUUCUCGGAGCUCAGAGACCAGAAACACGACAUCUCACCACCACCAUUGUUUGCGUACUCCAUACGAUAAGCUCUACGAACCAAUCUCACAUGAAACUCCUGCAAAUCGAUCUUUCCCGGGAAUUUAUCAGGUAAGAAACAGAUUCUGUCGUUUGAGAAGAGAUCCAAUACUCGCAUUUUCCCAGGGGAUGUCUCUUGAAGCUUAACCAGCCAAGUACUUGGAUUCAAAGGAGCUUCGAGUUUAUAGAUACUACUCUGUUUCAGAACGAAGAAACCAGAGGCUGGUGAAGAAGAUGACCAAAAAGGAAGGUACUCUGGGAAUUUAGACAAACGAUUUUUUUUGUUGUUGUCGGAGAGAGGAAGACAGAGACGCCACGUGGCGCACACAGAGCGGAGACAGAGGAGAUCAACUGCGUCUGAUGAGCCGCCGUGGUCAAGACGACCGGAGAUCAACUCAAGAAUAUCUAAAGGAAGAUCAGACCAUUGAGAAGGAAGAAGAGAAGAAGAAGACUCCAUGAAAAAAGAACACAAAAGAAGGAUUAUGAAUUGUUCUGUUCUGUUUUUCUUCUUGGUUUUAGGAAUUUGGAUCAUAUAACUGUAUAAAUAAUGUCUAUAUAAUGUCGUUAUGAUUCAUCUUUGAUGUUGACAUCAUUUCAUUUUUUUUCUAAUUAUAUAAUCAUAAAUGUCUACUUUCAGUAGUUGUCUUUGUAGUUUUUAUAAUUUUAUACAGGUGCAUGAUGUCUAUUUAUGUCUAUUUAAACAUAUUUUACUAGUAAACCAUGUUUUGAUAUAAAUUAAUAAAAUGUUUAGAGAAUAUUUUUUGUUAUUUUACAAUGUACCAUUGACCAAUAGGCUUUUUAAAAAUUUAUCAUGGUAAUAACGAUUGUAUUAUUUUGAUAUAUUUAUUAAAAUAUUGACGUGUAAGCGAUACACAAUGAUCUCAGAAUCAAUUUUCUUAUCCAUUGAUAACUUCCACUUUUUUUUUUGUCAACUGCUACAUUUUAAAAAAAAAAUAGAAAGAAAUGUUCAUUUCUAUAAAAUUCAAUACUAGUUUUAAACGUGGCAUGAAAUAAUUUUUGUAAGAGAGAACAUUAUAAUUAUAUCAUAAACGGAAGAAACAUUUUACCAAAAAAAAAAUAAACGGAAGAAACAAAUAACACAAUUUUUACGUUAUAACUUUGUUUACUUCUUUCACACGCUUCAUCAGUCUCUGCUUAAUUUCUACAUGAUCUUUGUAUCUAAAUCACUAAAUAGCAUACAUUCUCUUUGUUAAAAUCCCAGAAAAUUCCAGCAAUCCUGAUUGUCUCGACCUUUCCAUGGACUCUUUCCUGGACUUUCUCACAUUAGAAGCCUCGAUACGAUGCAUUAUGACCCAAUAGCACAUUGUCCCUAGCGUCGUGAGCAUUAUAGACGCACCAAACACCGUCACCCCAACGGCUAGCCACCGCUCAUCAUCACCAACCACCACAAACGCUAACGCCAAAAACGCCACCGAUAUCAAAACGCAAGCCAACCACAUCAGCUUGUUUAUUACAGCCAUCAUGUUCUUCUUAGCCUUGUGCUCGAUUGCAACCACCGAAGUCUGAACCACCACAACCGCUAAAGAUAUAAAAAGAGCGAUGGAAUCGAAUAUGAAGAAGAUCGCAAACGCUGGUCUAUCCGCUAUAUUCGCUUCUCCUAAGGAUUGUCCCGGAGAGAGCGAACUCAAGUCAUCGGCGUAUUGUCCCGGUACGGUGAAAAUGGCGGCGAAAGCUACGGUUGCGAUUAAAACGGCCACGACUGUGGUUGAGUUAAUAGCGUUGUCAAGACCUUCUACGUGCAUUUUGUUAAUGCGUUUGGCGAUUCCUUGAACGCGUUUCCUCGUCUCUCGAGCGUGCUCUAGCUGGUGGUGAACCUCGUGUUUGAUGUCGCUCACCGUUUGUUUAAGCUCACGGGCAGCGUUUGGCCGAGUAGAGUUGUUGAUGGCUUUGGCUGAUGGAACGCCGCGGGUUUUCAGAACCGCAGCGAUCUCCGGAUGGCCUAUUUUCUCAGCCGUAUCGAGCGGCGUUUCUCCGGCUCUGUUUAUCGCUGUUGUGCUUGUGCUUGUCUCGUUGUUGUCUAGAAGCAAUUCCACUAUCUGCAAUCAUGCACGUUAAUUAAAAUCUCAAUAAACUAUAUAUUUUUUCAAUAAUUUCCAAGAUUUAUCAUAACACAUAGUGAAGACUCGAUUCUUUGUGUGUAUUAUAGAGUUUAUACCAUAAUAUUCAUUUUCUAACGUAUAAAUGUCGCUAAAUGUCACACGUAAUGAAAAGGACAUAAAAAAACGAAAAGUUGCAUGUACAUCUUACAAAAGUAUAUAUAUUUAAGCUGUUUUAUUACCUAUUUAAGUUACAGAGGACAUGUCUACACAUUACAUUAUUUAAGUACUAGUGUGUUUAAAAACACUCGUCGUAUGUUUUAAAUUUUUCUCUAUAAAUUGUAGACACAAAAACGCAAAUAUUUGAUAUAAAGAUAUAUGGAUUAAGUAAUUUCUAAGACGAGUAAAAACACCAUUUGUAACACAAAUUAUGUAAUUGGAGAUGAUUAACUAACCUUAAUGCGACCUUUCCUAGUAGCAACAUGUAACGCAGUGUUCCCUUUAAAAUCAGCCAUAUUCAGUGACGACCGAUGUCCCUUCAUCAGCUCAACCACCACGUCAAUGCUUUGUCCUUUCACGGCCAUAUGAAGUGGCGUCUGACCUUUUUUAUCAGUUCUCGUUGCCGUGUCCGGCUCAACCGCCACAAUCGCCUUUACGACUUCCUCGUGACCAUUCCUAGCCGCCGAGUGCAAUGCUGUUUUACCGUUGCUCUUUGCGAUCGCGGCUAGGCUACUACCUGCCGCUUCUAGUAGAUACUCUACAACCUCCACGUGUCCCUGAGCUGCCGCAGUGUGUAGAGCCGUCGUGUUUGAUAAGUCCACCGUCAUUGCUAGCUCCGGAUGUUCCUCCAUUAGUACUCUCAAAACGUCUAUAAAAAAUAUUCCAAAUUUCAUCAGUUUAUCACACAUUAAUUUUAUGAACGUGGUUCCUUAUAUCAAACAAAGAUUAACACUUUCAUCAUGUGUUUAUCUAGUUGUUUCUCCCCAAUGCUUAAGAUCAAAGAUCACAAAUUUCUUCAUAUGUUUAGGUCAUUUUAAGUUCAAUUCUUAAUAUCAAGCAAAAAGAUUGAAAUUUCAUGAAAGACAACAAAAUCCAUACCCAAUUCGCCUUGUUUAGCAGCAAUGUGGAAAGGAUCAAACCCAUUUCUAGCUUUAGUCUCAGCGUCUUCAAGAUCAUAGUACUUGAUGAGCUCUGCAACCACCUCGGCAUCACCAUAUUCUGCCGCCACAUAAAGAGCUGUCUCACCGCAUUGGUUCUGUUUCCGCAACAACUCUCUCAGUUCCUCUUCUGAUUCCAUAUGAUUACUCAAAAUCUCUGUCACCGCAGAGAAAUCUCCACGUCUGACAGCCGAAUGGAGCGGCGAAUCUUCACGUUUACCAGUCAGCUGUUUGGCCAUUGUCUUUCUAACAACAUUUGGUUUUGCAGCCAUUGGUGCUGAUGUCGAUGUUGAUGCUUCCUCCAUUAGAUCAACACGGUUUGAAAAUUUGAUUCAAUACCUAUAUCAAAUAGGAUGUAAAACAACAUCAUUUUUGUAAUGUUAAGACUAAUUAUUGUAUUGAAACAUUCAAUAAGAUGUGGAUCUAAAGAUAACCUAACAACCGGUAAAACGUUUUGUGGUAUAUAUGAUCAAGACUCAAGACCUUUACAACAUGACUUGUAAAGUUGAAGAAUCAUCCAUCUGAUCCAGUUUGAUUUGGUGGGUUUUCAAGGAAUUCGAAUUCAAAUCUAUGCAUCAUCGGAAACCAAAGAGAUUGUUUUGAAAAUUCCAAAGGUAAGAACCAUUCUGUUCUGUUUUUCCUUCUCCCUCAUCUUCUCUUCUAUUUUAAGAAAGUUUAGUAACAGAGAAAUGAAGAAAAAUAAUCUCAAACGUUGAUUAACAACUACUUUACAGAUGGCAUUGUCUCAAAAACUUCACACCCUGACCUUGUCUCAUUUCAUAAAAGCAGUAACAAAACCAUCCGUUACAUAACCCAGUCUGAUAUAUGUUUCUGACAAAACCAAAAAAAGCCUACAUAAUAAUAUCGCCUGAUCAAACUUCUUAUGUAGAACGUCGCUCCUCCUCUUUCGCCUCGGGAACCACUUGAACCGGGAACGCUGCAGCUUCACGAACCAAAGUUUCCACAAAAUCCAUAGCAGGCCGUUCAAGUGGCUGUGCGUUUAUACACAUCCUCGCAGUUUGAAAUAUUCUGUUUAAACCUUCAGCCGAGUACUUUUUACCGAGAGCAACAUCAAGUACCACAGGCGCAUACUCCAAUCUACCCAAUACUGGCAUUAACUGCAAAAGAAAUAUACACAUCCGAGAAAACCUAUAUUACUUCAGUAACACGAAACGUUUAAACAAAGUUUUUGAGUCUUACCCAAUCAGUGAGUUUCACUUUCGCUUCAGGUCUCUCCGGAUCAUAAGCUUUCCUUCCAGUGAAGAGCACCAACAGUAAAACUCCAAAGCUAUAGACAUCGGACUUGGUCGAAACCAACCCGGAGUUCUCUGUUUCCGGUGCGAUGUCUUCUUCACUUCCAUUCGUAUUGAUCUCCCACUGUCUCUCAGUGCCGUCUUCAUUGUAAGCGAUCUUACCCGCAUUUCCAAAACCAGUCAGCUUUGGCACAAAGUCAUCAUCAAGUAAAAUGUUUGUGGCUUUGACAUCUCUGUGAAUCGAAGAAAGCCCCUGGUGUACGUAAACCAGGCCUUCGGCUACACCCACAGCAAUUCUCAUCCUCGUGUCCCAGUCCAAAACCCUAGUUUCUUGCGUUAGACCUUGAACCUUCCUCGCGUGUGCUACAAAAAACGAGAAGGAGUUAACAAAACUGGAACUGGAAUACAAGUAAAACAGAGUUGAUUAGGGUUUGUAUUGAUUACCAAAGAGAUGGUGGUCAAGAGAGCCAUUAGGCAUGAAUUCGUAAACUAAGGCAGUGUCUUGGUGGCCGAAGAAUUUUCCGAGAAGUUUAAUCACAUUUGGGUGAUCAGCUUCAUCAUGUAACGUUGUAAUCUCUGCCAAAAACUCAGAAAGACCAGAAUGGUCGCCAUGAUUAUGAAUCUUUGCAGCUCCAACCUAAUUAACCAAUCAAAAGUUGCUGGUUUUAGAAAUUGGGUUUCGAAUUUCUAACCAUAAAGGACAAGACUUUUAGGUUCAUCAUACCUUAUGAAUUCUUGGGAAAUUGCAGCGAUAAACUUUGCCGUAUUUGCCUUGGCCGAUCAAAUGUGUCACCCCGAAGUUCUCAGUUCCGUCUACGAUCUCUUGCCAUUGAAAUGUAACUAAGCCUUAAGAAAUAAAGAUAACAAAGAAGAAGAAGAAGAAGAAUCCUAGAUUAGUUUCACGAUCAUCAGAGAAAACAGACUUGCUUGUGAUACAAGAAAAUAAGAAAAGGAGAAAAUUCACGAUCAUCAGAGAGUUCAAUAUUCCAAAUUGAAACUACUCACCUCGUUCGUCAUUACUUUCCGAUGCUUGUGGUAGUUCCGCUGGAUCUUGCACCACUUUACUUGAGCUUCCGCCUCCGAGACAGCAUGCGAAACGACUCAUCGCAGCGAUCGACGAAGAUAUAUCUUUCUUGAGGCUUUUCUUGUUUUCUUUUCUCCCGAGAAUCUCUUUCCCGGAAAAUGUAAUUAGAUAGAGAGAGAGAGAGAACUCUCUACCAAAAAACUAGAGCGAGAAGAUGUGGGACUUUGUGUGGGAGACUGAUAGAGAAACUCGAAUGAUGAUCACUAAAAGAACUAGCAGGGAGAUAUAUAUACAUACACAGGUAAAAAAAUUAUUAUUAAUUAUAGAAUUAAUAAUACUUUCUUUAUUUUUUUGUCGCCACUUAUUAGAUUUUAUAAAAGAAGAAAAACGGGUAAAUAGUCUAAUCAAGAUUACAAUUGUGUAUUCGGUGAAAUUUGAAUGUUAAAGACCAAUCAUGACUCAUGAGUGAAUACAUACUGUAAAUAGCUACAUACUAUGGCCAAAUACAAUAUUUAAAACAGAGUACUUACUAAGCUUUCUAUAAGAGUAUAGCCAAACUCUCUUAAAGUUAGUGAAACUAUCUUAUUGUUCUUCAGAUUUGUGAAGUAAAAUCUCUCUUUUAUACCAAAGUUGGUGAAACUAUCUUAUUGUUCUUCAGAUCUUUGAAGUGAAUCACUCUUUUAUACCUUAAAGGCAAUUGACUCCAUGUUUACGGAGAUGAUAACCACUAAACUACUGAUUCAAACCAUAUAUAGAGUUUCCUUCUUGGUAUAUAUGAUCAAGAGUCAAGACCUUUCCCAACUUGACUUGUAAAGUUGCAGAAUCAUAUGCAUUGAUCCGAUAGAAUCGAUUUGGUGGGUUCUUGAAUCUGAAAUCAAAAGGAUUAAACAUCUAAUUAACAAAACUCCAACAAGAACGUUUGUGCAUUUGUGCUCUGAUUUUUACCUCUUCCCUGUUUUAAGAAGUUUCAUAAACAGAUAAAUGAAGACAAAAGAUCUUAAACGUUGAUUAACAACUUUUAGAUGGUAUUGUCUCAAAAAAAUCACAACAUGAUCAAAUUAGCUAGUAGAACCAGUAACAAAACCAAGUCUAUAAUAUGUUUCUGAAAAAAACCCAAAAAACCAUAAAAAAAAAAGAAGCCUGCAUAAAACCGCCUGAAGAAACUUCUGUUAUAUCGUAUGGCUCAUUUCCAGCAGAGGCACCACUUGAACCGGGAAAUUUGCAGCUCCAAGAACCAUCUGUACUACAUCAGCCAUGGCAGGGCGUGCACGUGGCUCUUCCUUUAUACACAUAAAUGCAGUCUCAAAUAUUCUCCUUAAACCUUCAACCGAAAAUCUAUUGCCGAGCGCAGUAUCAGCUGUCAUCACAGACUCAGACGCAUUCCCAAAUCUACCCCAUACACGCAGAAACUGUCAAAAAGAGAACAUCCAAACACCAACUCAGUUUUAUAUAUUACUUGCAGAACACGAAACAUAUAAAAAGUUCCUAAAUGCAAGGUUUGAGUCAUACCCAAUUAGUGAUUUUAUGUUUCUCGGCCUCAGCAGGUACUUGGUUAGGAAUAAAAGGUUUCCUUCCGGUGAAAAGCACUAACAGGAAAGCCCCAUAGCUAUAGACGUCGGACUUGGUCGAAACCAACUUGGAGUACUCUGAUUCCGGUGCGAUGUAUCCUGGAGUUCCCUUCAUCAGAUCGAUCUUCCUCUCCUUCUCAACGCCUUUUUUAUUUACUUUGACUUUAGUAGCCAGCCCAAAAUCAGUCAGCUUCGGCACAAAAUCCGCAUCAAGGAGAAUAUUCCCGGCCUUGACAUCUCGGUUUAUUACUUUGAGCUCCUGGUGUAGAUAAAGCAGACCUUCAGCUACACCCACGGCAAUUUUCAUCCUCGUCUCCCAAUCCAAACGCCUAGUUGGCUGAUCUAUACCCUGAGGUCGCACUCUCUGACGCUGCCUCGCGUAAUCUACAAAAAACCGAAUGUUAAUGAAGGAGUUAAGUAAGUUUAAACACCAGACUAAAUAAAGGUUUGUUUGAGUAUUUCUUUACCAAAGAUGUGGCGUUCAAGAGAGCCAUUGGGCAUGAACUCGUAAACAAUAGCACGGUUUCUGCGGCCGUAACAUUUUCCAAGAAGUUUAAUCACGUUUGGGUGAUUAGCUUCAUGUAACGUUGUAACCUCUGCCAAGAACUCUUGAUGACCUGCUGGAUUGUCUCGAUUCUGAAUCUUCACAGCUCCAACCUAAUCAAUUAAAAGUUUAGAAACCGGGUUUCGACAUUUAACCAUAAAGGACACGACUUUUGGGUCUAUACCUGGUUAGUUCUUCUGAAUUCGCAGCGAUAGACAUCGCCGAAGUUGCCUCUGCCGAGUAAACACGUUUGCCGGAAGUUUAGGGUUCCGUCUAAGAUCUCGCGCCAUUGGUAUGAUGGUCCACAAUUGGCAGGUAGAGGUGGGUUUAUAGGGAAAAGAAUAGCAUUCGGAUCUGCAAAAUGAAUCACUAAAACGUUAGAGAUAGAUUGAACAAGAUCACCCUAAAUCAAUUUCUUGUGGUACACGACUAUAAUAUGACGUUAAUGAUUCAGUUAAUUUCGAGACAAGAAGAACUCUACGACUUUCACUUGCAUGAGAAAGUGACGAGAUCAAAACGAAGAAACAAGUAACUCUUAAAGAACAGAUUUGCUUAAGGUACAAGAAACCAUAAACACACAAGAAAUCUCGAUUCCUAAAGAUUUGAAACGAAAGCGGAACCUUCAACUCCAGGACUUUGAGGGAUCUGGAGCUCAUCUCUCCAAAUACGAUUGAGGAACUCGUUUCGCCCAGAUGGUUCGUCGUCAAACACUUGAUUCUGCGCUGCGCUAUUUGAGCUUUCUCCUUUGACACAGCAGAAGAAACCUUUCAUCAUCGUAACGAUCAGCGAAGAGAAAUCUUUCUUGAGGCUUUUCUAUUUAGUUUCUCGAGAAACCUUUUUCCCGGAAAAGAACGUAAUUAAACAGACUCUCAACUAGAAAACUUGAGCGAGAAAGAGAACGAGAGAGAGUGAGUUAAUGAUGAGCACUAAACGAUCUCGGCGGAAAAAAAUGUAUAUAUAUAUAGAGAGAGAGAGGUGAGAGUAUGCUCUGUUUAUUUAUUAAAUUGGUAAAUUAAUAAUACUCUGUUUUUUUUACUCUGUUUACUGGUUCGUUUCUUAACGGCAUGGAAGUUAACAAAAAAAAAAGUGUAAUUAAGGGAUACUCAAUGAAUAUUUUUUUUUAAAUAUAAAUCAGAGAUUACUGAGUAAAAUGAUUGAAGGAACUAAUACACUAAUGCACAAGAAAAUUCUGUAGCAACAUUAUUAUGUUUGUAGAAAUACGAUAUUUAAACAAUACACUAAUACACAAGAAAAUUCUCAUGACAAUAGUCUUUGUAAGACUUUAUUUGAAAAAAGUAUAUACUGUAUAUAUAUGCCCUCCACUUUAGUGAAACUUUUUUUUUUGUUCUUUAGAUCUUCUAAGUGUGUAUAUCUAUUCUCUCUUUUAUACCAAUUUCGUUGUUUAGCUGUCGUCACUACUUGGACACUCACUUCCUGAUUUAGUAUCAUCCCUCCUAAUGUUAAAAAAAAAGGUUUCUCUACGUCAGUAAAUUACUAUAUGAGGAAUAAAUUUGUAUAUUCAGAGAGUGAUAUGGUAAGUGGAUUCAGACUUACUUGCGAAUAAAUUGACCUUUGACGCGAGGCCGUUGCUCAGCUAGUUUCUUCCUGCUAUGGUACCUAACCUAAAGAAAACAAACAGGCGCAUAAUUUUUGCCUCAAAAAACUAGAGCUUAAGCUUGUUUGGAGCUACCUUUUUCUCAAAACAUCGUUCUUUACGUUUGAGGCGAAACUUCAUCAGAGCAGCUUCUCUUUGUGCUGAUCUUUCGCUUCCACUAGACUGCUGAUUCAAAGGAUUAUCACUGCUUGAACCCGAACCUAUCAGUUUUGCAAUAGGACUGUCAUGAGGAGAACAACUUCCCACAUUUUCUUCUGGAGCCUAAGUCAGCAAAAAUUAAAGCUUGUUGAUGAAAACUGUCAUAGAUUUUAAAGACAGCACCACACAUCAUAAAAUACCUUACAAGCAGAAGUAGCACAGUUAUUGUACCUGCAUAUCACACACGAAACAAUAACUCCAAAUCAGUCACAGGUUUGAUUUGUCAGUUGAGGUCAAGAACUUACUUUGAGAAUGCAGAGUGACUGGAAUGCCUCAAAACACUUUGAUCACCGAUUCUGUAAUCCCCAGCCUCUCUUGGCAAAUCUUCUGGGAGAGAUGAAGGUGCUUUGCUUUCUACUUGUGAGUUAUCAUUGUUUCUCUCCAAAGCUUGAACAUGAUUUUUUGCAUCCUUGUCAUGGUUUCCUCGUUCUUCAACUUUUUUACCUAUAAACAUUCCUUCCUGCGAUCCCAUUCCUACUGCAAAAUCAUCUAAAGUCAUCGUUCUGAGUUAGAGUACAACAGAGAAAUUAUCCGGAAUGUUUCUCCAAAACCAGUGUAUUGUGAUUUUAAUUGGCCAAUAAAUUUAUGCUCUUACCUAUCUGUUCAUUCUGAUCUUCAAUUUCCUUCAGUUUAUUAACAUCAUCCAAUCUGUUGCCAUUAGUUCUCGGGUUCAUAUUGGUUCCAUCGGGAAAUUGAUAUGAAGGCGAGAUACUGUUGAUAUCACCGGCUCUUUUGGUCCAAGAACUCUGUUAUUAUAAUUGAAAACCAAUUAUAACUCACAACAGAUUCCUCAGACAUAACUGUUCUCUAUUGCCAUGGAAACAUAUUACCUGCGUUCCACUCCCGUUAUCACUCCCACCAUCUUGGUCACCCAAACCAUUACUCCCAUUUUCAUUCCCCUGAUCUUCAUCACUAAUGCUGGCAUCGUUUUCUGACCCUUCAGAGCUUUCAGUUUUCACUGGCUUCUUGUUCUGUAUUGCACUCUCACUUCCGCUUCCGCUAGACUGGUAUAUAAAGAAACUCAUAAACAAAAAAUAAGAACACAGUCCACAGAGUAACUUCAAAAAUAAAAAGUAAUCAAAGCAGAACACUUACACUGUGACAUCUUCUCCAGACAUGUUGCCAAAGAUUCUUUAGUUCGUUCUUUCUAAUGGGUUUCACGAGAAAAUCAACAGCACCAUUCGACAAACACUUAAAGACCAGAACCAUAGAAUCAUGAGAUGACAUCACUACAAAAAAAGAGAACAUCACAUCUUGAGUUAGACUAACUGAGCAUCACAUACUGAAACUAGGUCCAGAAAAUUUAAUGAAGAUUAAGUAAAUACUUAUAACAGGGAUGUUCUUUAGUGUCUUAUGGCUCGUAAUCUUGGACAACAGACAAGUUCCAGAUUGCACAGGCAUGACAACCUCUGUUAAUACAAGAUCAAUGCAACUCUUCUCGUCUUCUAGGAUUCUCCAGGCUUCAAGGACAUUCGAAGCUGCAGUGACUGAUGAAAUGUUUCCAAAUUUACAACAGUUAGUCGAAAGCAACAAUGUGAUAGCUAAACAGGAUGAUAAAUUCAAUCAAUAUACCUUCAUAGCUACAAUUCUUCAAAAGGGCAGUAACAAUAUGGCGUGUUGAGUCAUCAUUCUCCACGAGAAGAACCUUAAGUGAUCUAACCGGGAGAUACCUCUCCCACUUCACAACAGGAGCUAGUGGUGGUUGUUGUUGAGAAAUCUGUAUCAAAUUGUUGGCAUUUCCAGUAGUAUCUCCAACUCGAAAUUCAUCUUGUUCGGAUAAACCAAACACUUGCCUCUCGGUUUCAACUUCAUCACCAGUUUCGUUGUUAUUAAAACACAUUUUAGAAUACUAAUGUCUGAUGACAGUGUUAAGACCAGCCUCCAUGAACAAGAUAGAACAGAAGCAGCAUCAAAUAACGUCUAAGAUUUUGCAGAAACUUCCCCUCUACACUGGCAUAACAUUUGCACAUAUCUUCUUUUGCCAAACUUAUUUUAAUCCCUUCAGCAAAACCUCAACAUUAUAAGAGAGAGAGAGAAAAAAAAAGCACAACAAUUCGUAAGAAAAUCACACCAGAACCAAAUAAAAACCUGAAUUUGGAUAAAUUAACAAGCUUUGUCCAAAUAAAAGCUAAACAAGCCAAAGGCAAAUUCAAAUUUCAAUAGUAACACAAUCAGCUUUCAAAAACAAUCCGAAAGUUAUUGCUUCUGAAAUGUGUACCAAUACAAAAUCAUCACAAUACUUGGCAACAAGAGAUUGGAAACAACUAAAGAAGAAGAGAUGAGUAACACUGAUUACAGUCUCUUUGAUUUCAUAGAUCUAGGAUCUCCUACUUUCCCAUAGUCCUUAGAAAUUUUCAGAACCCAGAUAGGCAGAUACAACAUCAAACUAUAAGCAAAUGGUACAAAAUGAAACUAUAAGCUACGGUAUACUAAACGAGAUAGGCACAAAAUUGAAACAGCACCAGCUUGUCAAAGGGACAAAAAAAAAAAAAAACAGACCUUUGUAGCUUAAAGCCUAUCCAUAAAUGAAGAACACCACCACCACCAAAACCUCUCAUCAUGUCUGACUUCAAAACCCCAAAAAAAAAAAAGAACAGAUUUUGCUUAAUCUGGUUUGUUUAGCAUUUAAUCUGGUUUUGAUUCGUAUCAAUAUUUUCUUUUACCAACAACUAUACAAGAUCCAAUUGCUACUAUAAAUAGAAUUUAAAAAAAAAACAAAAUUAUAAACUUUAUAGAGAAACAGAGAAGAAGAGAUUGAAAGAUUGGGACUUUUGGGGAGGUGGUGGAACAGAAAGAGAAGAUAUUAUUUUGGGAUUGAUGACGUGGCGUAUUUAGCCUACGUGUAAUGUGCGACUCGAUUCCGAGAUUGGUGACGUAGACAAAAUCAAAAGCUUGGACACUGAAGGUUGGUUAAGAGCUAAACCGAAUGUCGUGGCCAAAGAGUCAACAAACGUCGACGUUUCGAUUUACAUAUAUAUUUUUUUUUUUUCUAAUUUUUGACUUUAGUAAUAAUAUUGUAAAUAUUUGGAUAUAUAGAAUUAUGAUUUCCCCCGAUUAUCUUGGAAUAUUCUUAACUCAGAUAAUGAUUACUGUCUAUCUAUAUAUACACCAUAAGUCUUAUAACAUUAAUACGUAAACCUGUGGCAUGUGAAAUGAACUUCGACGGCGGCUCAGUGAUUCCCGGUGCCGCUAAAGAAACACUCAAUGCGGAACCUCAGUUUCAUAAGCUUUACUUUAAUAGUUUUGUAUGCGUAGAGAGAGUGGUGGUCCAGAGCGAAAAGCCGGUCACAACUACUAGAUUUGAGGUUUCAAUCUACGACCACAAGGACUAUCUGGUAUUGAAGACUAAUGGACUGCUGCGUGACCACUACGUGACUUCCACAGAGGCUCAUGUUAGGGCUUUAAUGCGUGGCCUAGAAGAAACCACUAAACUAGGGAUCAAUCACGUUUCUAUAUACUGCCGUCUCCCUCAGAUUUUCAAAUACGUAAGAUUCACAUUUUCUUCUGCUUAUAUCUCAGCCAUGAAUAAUAAUAUUGGAAAAUGUAACCUUGAUUUUUGUUUUUUUGAAUCUAGCUAUCGAAUAUAUCGAAUCCCAAAGAGAAAAAGAUUGCUUUGCUGAUGGAUGAUGUGAGAGUUAUGAGGAAGCAAUUCAUGUCUUGCAAUCUUGUUAAGAUGUUCGAUGAGAGUACUACCAAUCAUAGGGGAUUCGCUAAAAAAGAGACUUGCCAAAUCUGUUUCGACGACGUUGAUCAUGAUCUAAUGUUCUCUGCUUGUGUACACGGCCAUAGAUUUUGCUUAGCUUGUGUGAAAUCACAUAUCGAAGUGAAGCUUCUUGAUCGAAAGAUACCGACAUGUCCUCAGCAUCUCUGCAAGUCUCACCUAUAUAUGGAUAGAUGUGGCGAGAUAUUGAAUGAAAAGCUGCGUUUGAUGUGGAAGCCGAUGACUAGGGAGUAUUCAAUUCCUUAUAACCAGAGAAUUUGGACGUAGGACAUGCUUCAACUGCGGUGGCGACUUCUGUAUCAGCUGCAAAGUUCCGUGGCAUGGUAAGCUAAGCUGCGCCGCGUACGAGAAAUUGCAUAGUCAAUUGUUAACAAAUGGCGUCGAUGUGACAAUUGCCAACACAUGGUUGAACGCUCUGCCGGAUGCGACCACAUGACUUGCAGGUACGACCUACAUACAUAUUUUUCCAGAAAGCAACAUUGUUGUUAAGAGAUGUAGAAUUGGUUAUCGAACUAACUUGAUUUUAUUAACAUCCCAAACUUGGGUAUUUAUACAAACGUUUAUGAACAUAAGAUAGACACAAACUCUCCUAAUCCUUAUCACAAUAUAUUUAGAAAACUUAUCUAAAUAGAUAAUCCUUAUCCUCAAUAAGAGAUGCUUCCUUUUGUAACCUUAUUAGGUGUGGACAUAUUUUUAACUACACGUAUGGAGCUCAUAGGAUCAGCUUACCCGGCCACGGCGAAUUCAUUUCUACUAGGCACACAAACCAAUUUGGGAACAGGUUAACCGGCCAUAGAGAAGUCAAUUCUCGGAACGUAAAGCGGUUCCAAGAUGGCGAGGAAUUUGGUGUGACGAUAUUUGUUGUUUAUUGCCUAUUUGUGUUGUGUUUUAUCUUCUAUGCCUAGACUUUUAGUGGAAUAAUAUCCAUUUACAAUCUCGGUUUGCUAUUUUAUCUUUUUUUUUUUUUUUUUUUUUGUUGGUUGUUGCAGUUAGAGGUAAUAAUAAUAAAGUUUAAAUUUUUACACCUCUCGAAUUCAAUCCCGAAGAUUGGACCAGAUUUAUUGGAUGUGAAAAAAUUAAGGACUUUAUAAUAUUUGAUAAGUGAUGAUGAAAUACAAAAUUUAAUAUAUUAUUUAUAUAUAGAAAUCAAACAAAAUCUAAUUUAGUUCAUUAAAAGAUAAUAAACUCCUAAGUUUUAGUUAAAUAUAUCUAUCACUAGAUAUUAAUCUAAUAUGUUUUGCCUGCUAAAAUGUGGCUUUUUAUUAAUAGUUUUUUAGAAGAAAAAAAUAUAUUAAAAUUUACAGAUUUUAUUAUUUUAAAAAUAUCAGAUUUGAUUUUCCUAUAGUAGAAUAUCAGAGUAAAAUAUCAGAUUUGAUUUUCCUAUAAUAUCAGAUUUUAUUUAAAAUAUCAGAGUAUGAUACUUUAGAUACACGAAGAUACAGUGCCGGUUCUCUUCAACUUUGACAUUCCCGGUUUAAUUUCCUAAACCCAAUGUCAACCAAUUUACAAACAGUUUCUUAAUAAGAAAUUGGGCCGUUAAUCAUGGGCCGUGAUUGAGGACUGUUUAGUUUCGUAUUUAUAUCAUUCGCUGGGAAGUUUUGAAAACUCUAGUUCCUCUGUUCUCUCUCUUUUGUCAUUUCUUCUUCCUCUGGGUAAGACGAACGAACGAUCUUUCCUGGUUUGAUUUUCUCGGAAUCUUAGAAUUUUCUUUCCGCUGCAUCUUUUUAUACUUUAGAAGUAGGCUUAAGUAAUAAUAGAGUACAUCUUCAUCGUCUUUUAGGUGAUUUUUUCUCAAUUUUCUUGUCAAUUUGAUGUUGAAGUUACACGGCGAUUUCUUGAUAAUAUUUUUAUCAGAUUUCCGAAGUUUUCUCUUCCAUUGUUUCCGCUAACGAAUCCAUCUGAAUCUUGUGUUCUUCGUGUGUCAUCAUCGUAGAUAUAUACUGAGAUCUGCUGGGAAAAUAUUCGGACGAAAAUGGGGAGAUUGUUCAAGAUAGACCUGGAGGGAUCGGUUUACAAAUGCAAGCACUGCGAAAUCGAAUUCGUUGUUUACGAGGAUCCUCCAGUCAAAAGGGUUUGAUUUAAUCUUCUUUCUCAAACUUGACUUGUUUCUUUCGGUUUCCUUGUGGUCGUUGAUGAAGUCUUCAGCAAGAAUCCAACGUUUGAUUAUUAGAUGCUUGGUUUGUCUUAUGUGCUUUUAGAAAUCGAAACAAGUUGUAGAAUUCGAUAUUAUUUCAUCUGUUCUCAACCAGCAUUACUGAAAAACUUUUAUCUGAUGUCUGGAGGAUUUGUUUUGCAGAAUCUGCUAUUACAAUAUCCAGCCAGCCUUGGAAAACUAUACUGCAUCACCAAAUGGUAAAAAGCAUGCUUCAGAUUUCAUUCAUCUUACUUUAUGACAACUUCUAAAAACCCUUUAUGGUGGCAGCUACAAUGUGGUGAUUGGGACUGAUAAAAUGACAUUCACUGCUAAUGGCCGAAUUGACAAUACUAUGCUUCCACUGUUCUGUAUCGGUUGUGGCUCUCGUCUUGGCAUGUACUAUGUAUGACACAAGACUCUUUCCCUUCGACACCAUGUAUUGGUUUGAAGUUAAAAUGUUUUUUGAUUGUGGUUUUUGCUCUUUCACACAGGAAGGCGCUGAUGAUACAGUGAUGUACAAUGAAGGAAAUUUCUACAUCAAUAGGUGACGGAGCCAUAUUGUUUUUGCAUUAAGAAGAUCUUACUUAAUCCUUCUCACUCUCUGAAUAAUGAUGGUUUCAUUACAACUAAAUGCAGGUUUAAGAUCCAUGGACCACCAGAAGGAAGCGAUGAUGAGAAUCCAGGAAACGAGGAGCAAUAGUGUGUGAUUGAAGAAUUUUACAUUCUCUCUGUUUCUUCUCUUCUUUUACUUUGCUACUUUCUUUUCAAAAGUGAAUUAUAGUCCUCAGAGGCCUUUUCUUUGCUCCUCCAAAAGACUUGUGACAACACAAACCAUAUUUGGAUUAGUAUGACUUCAAAGACAUUUGUGAAUUUGUGAGUACUUUAUGCAGAACGUUGUAUAUUGUACAAAAUUUACUUGUUUCCAUUUUUUCAAUUAUGUUAAUGUUAGUAGAAUCAUUUAUAGAUACGAAAAUAAAAUAAAAAGGAAAACUCCACAAAAAUAAGUUUCCUUUUUUUCUACAAAAGAAAAAAAAGUUAAUUUGAUUUUCCUGGUGGAAUAAUAUAAAUUCAACUUUUUCGUUUAACGUUGUAGAUUUUUUUUUUUGGUAGGAAACCAGGAGUAAAACUCCCGGCUAAUAAAAUAAAAACAUUAUGCAAAAUUCUAAUUGUAGAUUGUAGAUUAUGCACUUGGAAUAAGCUUAAACAAAAUAUUCUAAUUCCACCGGUCUUUCGUUUAACGUUGUAGAUUGUACAUAAUUCUAAUUGUUUUUCAUUUUUUAAACAAAAUAAGCUUCCUUUUUCUAGUAGAGAAAAAUAAUGUAAAUCCGACUAGGAAAAGGAAAACAAAGAAAGAGCCUAACUUUGUUAGCUUCUUCUUCUAUAAAUACUAAUUUACAUGAUCACCACAGAUCCAACACUAGUCUCAUCAUCAUUCACAAGUCUCUGAUCACACUUCUCCAAAAUCACACAAAUCAUAACUAAUCCCUUGUACGUCUGUACAUCAUCAAUGGCAGUCAACAAUAAUACCUUUUCAAUGUCGACCAUGUUCGAUGCUUUACCAUACCCUAAUGGAGUCUCCAGUUCCAUCCCUCCUCCUGGAUUCGCCCCACACGCCUCGUCCGCCACUAACUUGCACGCGGCCAUGUUCAGCCUAAUGACUAGCUGCGAAGGUCUGUCCUACUUCAAGGAGACGAUCUCAACGCUAGACAAGACAGAGCUUCAGAGGAUGGCGUCGCUCCUGACGUCAGACUCCGAUUACUUCAUGGCCAUCGUCACAAAUAAGUUCGGCUCGAAACGCGUGCAGAAGCUCCUCGGGAUAUCAGAUGACUUGGACGCCCUCUUCUGCGCCGCUAUCUUGCGCCGUUUCUUGCACAUCACGGCUGACAAAUACGCAUCCUACGUGACGAUACGAGCCAUGACCGUUUUCGAAGAGGAGAAGAAAAAGGUAAUGUACGAGCACAUUCUCCACCACGCUCUCGACCUAGCGUGUGACCAACACGGCUGCAUCGCACUCAACGAUAUCAUAACCGAUGCGGAUGAUCCUUACUACAGGGAUCAGAUACUAGACCUGGUCGCAGACAACGCUCACGGUCUAAGCAACCACGCUUCAGGGAACUUUGUGGUCCAACAUGUGCUUACACUGUUUGACUCUCGUAGCAUUCACAACAUCGUGGUAAAUCUCCGUGGUCAUUGCAUUGAUCUCUCGUUUAAGAAGUACGGAAGCUACGUUAUGGAGAAGCUUCUGGAGGCAGAGGAGUCAAUUGCGGUGGUGGUUGUGGAGCUAUUGGAGUGCGAGGGAAACAGGUUGAUGAGGCUGGGGAGGAAUGAGUUUGGAAGUUUCGUGGUCUGCAAGGCACUGAGAAUGACCAAGGAGAUGUCUAGGAUGGAUCUGUUUUGGUGUUUGGUGGAGAAGCUCAUGCCUUUCGUCCAUCUCUUGCGUAGGUCUCACGGAAACAACAUUGCAAACAUCUUGGAAUCAUUAAAGCUUCGUUGCUGACUAUAAUUACUUUGUGUUUAUGUCUCAAAACUGGUUAAGUUGUUCGGGUGUUUAAGGUAGUUGCAUUGCAUGCAUGACUCUUGUAAGAAAUGGUUUUUUCGCAAUUAAUGUUUUUUGAAAAGCAAGGUUGGAGUUUUUACACAAGGGUUACCAUUUGAGAUGAAGAGGUAUCUUACUAUGUUAUGGACCUAUUGGUCAUAAAAUAUCAAAUCCACAACACUAGAAAACUUACGCUGGUUACAUGUACUGACAUACAUAUACGUAAUGUGGCAUUGACGGUAAACACAAACUUGGGCUGUUUUAGUUGGAGAUUUUUACCUAAGUAUGUACUCUGCAGCUCUGCUGCAAUGCAAGCUUAUUGGGAAUUAGUUAUCGAUAUAUAAUUAUAAAUAACUGUUGCAGGACAGUUUAUUGGAUUUUUAUUUUGUAAACAAAACACAAAUAAUUACCCUGUUUUAAUUCACCCUUACUUUGAGAUAUUAAUUAAAGGAUUAUUUGGAUAUUUAGUACGUUUCUGAUUAAAAGAUACUAUCGCCAAUUCUUAUAGACAUACUUUGUAAUAAAAUGGGAUAAUUGAAUAAUCGCACGAAAAGAUGGCCAACUUGAACUUGCAGUGUCACAUCGUACCAAAAACAAUAUUCAUUUUUCUGAUUAAUAGUAAACUCACAUGAUCAUGGACUUUCUGGACAACUAUGAUAAUUUAAAUAUAUUAUCUGUGAUUUUUAAUAUAUACGUUGUUUUGUUUUUAUUCCACUUGAGGAACUUUAAAAUAAUUAAAAAAGAAAAAUGAUAUCAUAGUAACAACCAGGUUUCAUUAUCCUAUAACUAUUUUAAAAAGGUAAUAAAUGGAAUAAUGAGUAAAAGAGUUUCCAAACAAGAAUCAAUUAUAGUGAAUCUGUAUUAAGUAAUGUGAUGUUUCGCAAAACAAAUGUUACUAAUUUUUAUAUAGACCAAUCUUGAACAAGCCUUCGACCGAAGUAUACACAAAUAGAUGAAAAUGCGAUCUAGUCAAAUGAAAAAUAUGAGAUCUUGCGAUGAUGUCUUUAGCCAUAAGUUAGGUAUGUAGAGUUUUGCCAAAAUAAUAAUAAUUAUAUAUAUAUAUGUUAUAACAUAUAUCCUUUUCAAAAGAGAUUGGACAUAAGGCGUCCACGUCUGCAGUAUAUGAUUAAUAUAUUUAUGAUUUCACAAAGAAAUGAUUGAUAAUAUUUAUUAAAGAAUAUGACAACAAAUAAGAAAAUAAUAUAAUAACAGUGACAUUUAAAAAAAAAAUCUAGAUAAAGACUAGUUAUUGUCUUAUUUCUCUGGUUUUAUUUUAAUAAAUGUAACCUAAUUCUGUAUUUUGAAAGUUUGAAGACUCCACAAUACAGUAUAUACAACAGCAUAACAUUUACAGUUUUGUUUUAGUCAAAAGUAAAAUUAAGGUUGUUGUAGUUGUUAAAAUGGCAAAUAUUUAAGAAAAGGUAAAAACAUGAAAGAAAAAACAGGAAAAAAAUGAAUCCCUAAAUUUCAGGAAAGUAAGAACGGACGUGGGCCGUCAGAUCAGAUAGACAGAUGAGGAAGAUUUUUGACCUGAGAGAGAGAGAGAGUAGUUGAAUGGCUGGGGUUCAAUCUCUGUUGUACACGUGGCUUCAUUCUACUCGUUAAUAUCCAUGAUCUUCGAGAUUUUUCUGACACUCCAAUUUUUUGGCAACCGGCUAAAACCAGUCAGCAAUUUAUUUCAUUUGACAUACCCUUCCCCCAUUACAUAAACAUCAACAUUCACAAAUAAGUUAGAGUUGCCCAAAAAAAAAAAAAAAAAAAAUUAGAGAUUCGUAUUUUUCAAGUAAUUUCUUUCCUUUCUUCAUCGACAGCAACCUGAGUUCGAACUCCGGUGGAUGCAACAUAAAGAACAUGAUAUGUAUGUAGUUUGGUCUCACUUGUGUGUAGUUGCCUUAAUAAUAUUGUCACCACCCAUAUUAAGAAUUGCGAUCCAUAUAUAAGAUAAAUUAAAAAACUGAACCGACUUCAACCAAAAUUUGUGAUAACACUCUCGGCUCUUUAAACAAUGGUGUAUACAUACAAUAGUCAAAUGACUUUGUUGGUUAUUAUGUUUGCAAUUAAGCUUUACUUGUUUCUCUUUAAUUUAAGUUCCUAUGAUUAAAACAGAGUAGCUUCAUUGCUUUGUCAAAGAAACAACAGUAAUGGCUUCUUUGUUUUUUCUUCUUUCUUUUAUUUUACUAUGGGGCAUAUCUAUGCCUUUAUCUCAAAAACCUAUUAAGUAUUUAAGUUCGUCGUUGAUCUCUUUGGUUUAUAUUUCCUCACCCCUCACACAAUACUCGUGAAUACGAUAUAUUCUUCAUCCAAAACCAUAAGAUUGAAUACAAAUUGUUGAUAUUUAAUUUGUUAUCUUUCAAUUUUUUACUUUAUUUAUACAUUAUAAUAUAGUUUAUAUCACCGAUUAGCAAUGUUUGUAGAACUUGAAUAAAUAGAUUUCCUCUACACUUGAUAGAUAUAUAUUAACCCUAUGUUGAGAUCUUGUAGCAAACACAUGAAUCGUUUUUUUUAUUUCUAUUAAAACUUACAAACCAGUCAAAGAUAACUAACAUCUUCAAUAUAUGUCAAUAGCCAAUCAAUAUGCGUGUGUGUGACUGUCAAAACCUUACACAUAGAAACCAAAUUUCAUCACUAUGUUGAGAGUUGUCGACCAAAUUUUGUAUUUUGAGCUAUUAAUCUUGUGUUAGUAAAAUUUUUUAUUUUCUAUCAUCUCAAACUAUUUCACAAAUUUUAAAUGAUAUAAUUUUUGCUAUGUUUAAGCAUGUAAUUUUUUCCUUAUAUGUGUGACACAUUUGUUUACAGUAGUUGGAAUCAAACUUGACAUCCAUUUCUAAUAAAGUCAUAAUAUUCUAUCUCACUCUUCAUAGAUUUUUUUCUUCUUCUAGUGAGGAGGACGUAUCUAGAAAAAAUAGGACCCGCCUAUAAAUGAAAAACAAAUGCUUUGUCUUCAAAGUUAUGAAUAUGUGUCUUCUAAGUGUUUCUUGGUUUUAUGUGUCUUCAAAGUUGUGAAUAGGUGUAGAUUCGUUUUUUUCUUCUGUUCUCUUCCGAUCUUGUUUUCUUAAUCUUUACACUCGAUAAAUUUAUAUUUGAAUUCUCGUUAGAACAAUUUACGAAAAAAGAAAAGAACCACACCUAGCACAAAAUUGUUCUGGUCAGAAAUGUGAACUACUACUGUUCCACUUUAGUUCAGUUUGUUCAAGAAUAAAAAGUCAAACCUAAGUUUGAUGAUUUUCUGAUGUGUUUACAAAAUGGUUAGAGAAACACUCUUCAAAGUUGAAACUAGUGUAACUAAUAGGAGACUUAACUCAUCCUUAAUUACGAAUUAAACACUCUCUUUUUUUCUUCCAUGAACUCCUAAUUAGCUCUUAUUGUUUAAUGUUUAAUAGGCUCUAGCAUAUCUAUUUAAAUAAACUUAUCUUUGUUCAGUAAAGAAAACACCAAAAGCUGUACAACACACACAAAUAGUAUAAUUCUAAAGUUUAAAACAGUAAAUAUAUCACUAAUCCUCAGUUAAUUUGUAAGUUUUUAACCAUGAUAAUAAAACAAAAACAAGAAGCACGUUUAACUUUAACCGGAAACUGGCAUUACCGGUAUCAAAUUGCCGAGAAAGAUGGAAGGAAUAAUAAUAAAAAACUUAUAAUGUUCCUUUGUUGCCACUAACCCACAGGCUUACGUCCCAUCACCAUUCCCGUUUUUUUUUUUUUCCUUUCUUCUCCUAAUCGCCGACGAUAGUCUCUUUCGUCCGGCGAAAGCUAGUUUUGUCUCUUCAAAUCCCCAUAGAGCAACUUAACUCUUCAUCGCCAUGUUUCCACUGAAUCUCGUUUUUCUCCGUAGUGAUCAAGCUAUUCUUUAGAUUAUUCCUUGUCCAUCUUCGUGUUUUGAUCGAUUUCAGAAUCUGAAAUCUCCGUCUGUUGCUGUCUCUGAUUUUUCCAUACCCUUGUAGAUUUUCAAAGAUGAAAUGUGAUUUCUGAUCUCUGUUCAUUUCAAAUCGACGGCGAUCGUUGAAUUUAUUGGUCGGAUUAGUUUGAUGAAUGUGUGUGUGUAAAGGGGUUGACGAAAUAGCUGUUGUGCUUGUAUAAAAAUCUCAGAGUUUGUUUGCUUUGCUUUUUUUUCUUCUUCUUUGGUUGAAUUUUUGAGAUUGAUGCUGGAUCUCAAUCUCGACGUCGACUCGACCGAGUCUACUCAGAACGGACGAGAUUCGGUUACUGUUAAAGGGGUUUCUUUGAAUCAGAUGGAUGAAUCGGUGACGUCGAACUCUUCCGUUGUUAAUGCUGAGGCAUCUAGCUGCAUCGAUGGUGAAGAAGAGCUGUGUUCCACUAGAACCGUCAAGUUUCAAUUUGAAAUACUGAAAGGUGGAGGAGAAGAAGAUGAAGGCGAAGAUGAUGAUAAUGAUGACAGAAGUGCCCUGAUGAUGACUAAGGAUUUUUUCCCUGUUCCUAGAGACGGCAUUAAUUUUAUGGAUUCGAGCGCACAAAGCUCCAGGAGCACCGUUGAUAUUUCCUUCCAGAGAGGGAAACAAGGCGGAGACUUUGUUGGCAGCGGAAGCGGCGGUGGCGACGCUGCACGGGUGAUGCAGCCACCCUCACAGCCGGUGAAGAAAAGCAGGAGAGGUCCUAGGUCUAAGAGUUCGCAGUAUAGAGGUGUCACUUUCUACCGGAGGACCGGGAGAUGGGAAUCGCAUAUCUGGUAAAAUUUACUUAGAUGACUCUCUUUGGUCAGACUUUGGAAGAACUGGGUUUAUCUUUCAGGUCCUAAGCUCUGGGCUUUGUAGAUUUUGUAUUAAUCUGCCCUUUUGUCAAUUUUCUGGUGAUUGCAGGGAUUGCGGCAAACAAGUUUAUUUAGGUAUGGAUUCUAUUGGCUCUACCACCGUGAGCUGUUUUUUUUGCUGUGUUCUUAGCUCUCUAAUAAAAGCUUUACCUUUUUGAAUUUAAUAGGUGGAUUUGAUACUGCCCAUGCUGCAGCUAGGUAAUCUCUUUGGAAAUUGUGUUCUUUUUUAUGAUCUAAUUGAUCCUUCAACUGUCAUUCGUUGUGAUAUAUUAGUUUUAUAAGCUCAACAUUGGUUCGUGUAGGGCUUAUGAUCGAGCUGCUGUCAAGUUCCGGGGUCUGGAGGCUGACAUCAAUUUCAUUAUCAGCGAUUAUGAAGAGGAUCUCAAGCAGGUUUUGAUUAUGGAUAUAGAAAAUAUGAUGAAGACAUGUAUGCUUUGAUCUGUGCUUAUCUUGUUUUCAAACUUUACAGAUGGCAAACCUUUCCAAAGAGGAAGUUGUGCAAGUACUUCGGCGGCAGAGCUCUGGUUUCUCAAGGAAUAAUUCAAGAUAUCAAGGAGUUGCUUUGCAAAAGAUUGGCGGGUGGGGAGCUCAAAUGGAGCAAUUUCAUGGAAACAUGUAAUAAACUUUUCCUGCUAUCUAAUUUUGGGUUUCUACACAUGCAAUGUGCUCUGUGUUUUUGUCUAAAUGUGGUUGUCAUUCAUUACUAAAAAAAAGAGUGAAGGGACUCAGAUGAAGUUUUUGGUUAUUUAUCGUUGAUGUGAAAAAGUUUCCGUUAGAACUAUUAGUAGGAAAAACCCAUUUGUGAUUAUGAGUUAAUAUCUAGAGAUUCUUUCUAUCUUGGGAUGAUUGUCAUAUGAGUAUAAGCUGCAUGCUGUUUGUGAUUGUAGUAAAUUACAGUAUGCAUCAAAUCUUCUAUCCUGAAUUUGUAUCUAUUAGAAAAAUGUGCAAGACUAAUUGUUCAGAUUCUUAUGGAAUUAGGGCUUGUGACAAGGCAGCUAUACAAUGGAAUGGAAGGCAAGCUGCUUCCUUCAUUGAGCCUCAUGGAUCCCGGAUGAUUCCCGAGGCAGGUAAUGGAAUUGAUGCUCGGUUCAUUGUUUAUUAAGCUUUUGCUGCCAUCCUUGAUAUCUCUGCUCUCAAUAUGUGAAAAGCUACUACAAACUCGUCUGUUUUCUGAUUUCAUUAUUCAGCUAAUGUUAAGCUUGACCUCAACUUGGGAAUUUCUCUUUCACUGGGAGAUGGUCCAAAACAAAAAGAUAGGACACACCGGCUUCACCAUGUCCCUAACAGUAUCAUAUGUGGAAGAAACACCAAGGUGCAAUUUUCCCUCUAGUGCACCAAAUAUUAUUUACUUUACUUUCAUAUGCAUUUUGCUGCAAUUAGUCAAGUUUUUCUUUGUCAAUCUGUCAUUGCAUAUGUGGAACUCAAAGCUACUAAUUUCCCUAGCUCAAGCCAUCAUAGUUCUUCACUGAUUCAUAAUUUUCUUGCUCUUCUAUGUUGUAUUAUAUUCACAGAUGGAGAACCACAUGGCUGCAGCGUCAUGUGAUACGCCUUUCAAUUUCUUGAAGAGGGGUUCAGACCAUCUUAAUAACCGGCAAGCCCUUCCUUCUGCAUUCUUUUCACCCAUGGUAAAUUUAAAUACCAUAGCAUACAUCUCUUUAUAUCUAACCGUUUUUCAUUACCACACAUUUAUAACUUUCACAAUCUUCUUCUGUCCAGAACUAGAACACCAGAAGAAAUAGAAAGACAAGUUUAAAACUUUCUCAAACUUUACUUGACCUAGGAGUAAUUUGUGUAAUAAGUACAAUUAGAUUUUCAGAAGUGGCACCGUUACGAUAUUUGAUCAGUUGAGUAAUAAGUGAGUUCAAUUAGAUUUCCAGACUUGGUGAUAUCCUUUAAAAACAGUUCUAUGUUGUUGCUUGUUGUUUCUGUAUUGAAUAUCUGCGCAUCAUUAAACCGGAAAACUUGAAGAUUUCAGUGAAUAAUCUUCUGUGCGCUAAAAUUUCAAUUCUUGUCUCCAGGAAAGAACACCCGAGAAAGGUCCAAUGUUACGUUCUCAUCAAAGCUUCCCAGCCAGGACAUGGCAAGGGCAUGAUCAGUCCAGUGGUGGGACCGCUGUAGCAGCUACAGCACCGCAACUGUUCUCAAAUGCAGCAUCAUCAGGAUUCUCACUCUCAGAUACACGCCCACCUUCAUCGCCAGCUACUCCUCAAUCUUCUCAGCCCUUCGUCAAUCUGAAUCAUCCCGGUCUCUAUGUUAUCCACCCAUCUGAUUACACAACUCAGCACCACCACCACAAUCUCAUGAACCGCUCACAACCACCACCAUAGCUUCCUCCUUCCUACAUCUAAUCAAGGUAAGACUUUCUGGGAAAUAACUUCAUUCAACUCAUCUUUUUGGCUCAGCGCAUAAGCUGCAGUAUGAUCCUCGUGUUCAAUACGUUAAUCUUACUAUUCACAUGAACAUAGCCAAAUUUUAAUGUAAGACCCCUAGAAUUCGAGAUGCUUGUACUAGUAUGAUUCUUGAUGGAAACAUGAGAAAAGAAUGAGAAAUUCUUAGUGAAUAGAAGACGAAGACAGAGUUUCCAAGUUUUCUAGCAUUAUCCUCCUCCUGUUUUCAGCUUCUUUGUCAAUCCUAAGCACAUAUUUUGGGCAAUAGUGUUCUUACGGUCCUAUAUAACUACUGGUAAUUACAUUCUUCUUACGUGAACGUGCAGGUUCUAGACAACCCUGAAGUUGGAAUAACUUGGAUCCAACCGUGGAAGGCCAGCCAAUACGACGAUGUCUCUUAAAAUCUAUAUUGCACUUAUUGUCACUGUGUGGUUAUCUUUCUGCUUAUAAUUUGUAACAUAAACUGAGGGAUAAUACCAAAAUAGAAACCCUAUCCCAUUUGUAAUUUACUAUAUUGUCUCUGAGAUUAAUCCAUACAAUGUAAGUACAAUGCAUUUUAUUUGUAUGAAGCUACUGGGAUACUUAUCACUACUUGGUGCAGCCACACAGAACAAGAGGAGAUAGAUUUGUAUAAUCCAUAACACAAGACAUAGUAUAGAUCUGAUAAGAUUAAAAAAAUAGUCUCUUACAUGAAUUCAAUACACCACAGUAGUCUUAAUUUAUCUUUCAAACUCAAAUACGCAGAUAACUAAAGAUAGGUACAUGUAUGAUCAUCCACGAAUAAUGUGGAUCUUCAUUGUUUGAACCAUGUUGUUGUCACCAGUCUUCUCCAUCUCGCAUAUCAUCUUAUCCGUUGUCUUCACUUUAUUUCUUCUGAUGAUACUGCCAAAUCCCUUGACAAACACACUGCCAUUUGUCUGAAUCUUGAUCAGCUUCUCCAAUGUCCCAAAUUUUUUCACAAGUGGAUCGACGAGAGUGAUACUCUCAGGAAAGUGCAAACCAUAGUCGUUUAUAACUCGAGCCGGUAUGAGCUGCAUUAUGAAAGGAACAUCAACAAAACAAGGUAUAAACUGAUUGCUAUAUAUGUAAUAGCAUUCACAUAAAAACUCAUAACACAAUGAUGCUAAAUGUACCAGUUGGCUUUUCUUUUUCGGAUUCAGUCUCAAAGUAAAAGACGGAUUCUCGGGAUCAUCCAGAUGAUUGCGAUCAUCUUCAGAAGCAUGAUCACCAAGUUUAAAAGCCUCAACAUCAACAUCAUUUUCCUCAGUAGCAGCAUCAUUAACAACAUAUAUAUCAGUCUCAUCACCAUCAUUAUCUUCUUCCUCAAGAGCAGCAUCACUAUCAUAAUCUUCAACAUAGUUAUAAUCAGAAUCUUCAGAAUCAUCAUCCAGAGCUGAAACGUCAUCGUCAUCACUAUCCUGAGUUCCUUCUUCAAUAUCAGACUCCACUAUGAGCUCCUCGCUUUGCUCUGAACAAUGUCUGAGCCUUUUACACAUCGUCUCACGCUCGUAGAUACAGAAGUUGAAGAGCUGAGAGCCAUCGAACUCAAACCCCAAGAAAUCUCCACCCUUCAGAUCUUCGUCCUUAACUAUCAUCUUCCACCCAUCAACCAACACAAAUCUCUCAACUUCACCAGAGCAUUUCCUAAACUGCAAUGUCCAUAAGCUCCCAGAAAUGCUUCUAACAGUUACGGUUUCAGGGAAAGGCUCUGGUAAAAAUCUGGUGAAAGAAAUGGGUAUUUCCUGAAAACCAUGUAAAAGUCUCAACCAUAAAGAAAUCUAUAGAUGAACAUCUAAGAAAAACCCAUAAACCAAAACCAAAAACAGAGUGAAGAGAAGAGUAUCAAAGACUCUAUCCAGACUCUAUACAGAUAGUAAGUGUUUUCUUACCAGAUCAUCUCCUGAAUCAUCAGGUAAAUAAACUUUAAAGAACUUUGGAAGACAAUCUUCCAAAUAUUUUCCUGUUCCAAAGCAAGAAAAAAUCAGAAACAGAGGAUACAUUGUGUAGUUAUAGAAUCAAGAACCAAAAAAAAAGUGUAAAGAAGAAACCUUUGUUCAUCUUCACUUGACUUCUUUGUGUCUACCUUUCUCUGGAACCCUAAUUUUCUGAUCGAGUAGAUAAUUUAGGAAAGUUCUUCCAACCCCAGUUUUCUCAGAUCGCAAGGUUUGGUUUGAGUGGCUUUUAGACUUUUGUAGCAAAAACUCGGAAAACAGAGGUUUCUCUCUGUUUCUAUACUCUUGCUUCAAAUGGAAAACACUACAAGAAACGACUGCGUUUUCUAAAAGAAAAUUCGGUGUAGAACAAAAGCAUUCGCCAAAGCCCACAUAAAUAAAUGGGCCUAAAUUUUGGUCCAUUCUUGGUUUUUGCUUGAUUCAUGAAUUGCUUGCUUACCUUCACAGAUGGAGAACCACAUGGCUGCAGCAACAUGUGACACGCCUUUUCAUUUAUUUCCAUUACCUUCUGCAUUUUUUUCACCCAUGGUGAAUAAUAUCACACAUCUUUUUAUAUCCAUCCAACUGUUUUGUCACUGGGCUCACAUUUUUCACAGGCCCAAUCUUGUGCACCUUCUUUCCAGAACUAGAACACCAUUAGAAAUAACAAGACAACUUUUAACUUGGAAUAUCUGCAGCAUUAAACUGGAAAACGAGAAUAGUUUAGUGAAUAAAUCUUCUACGCUAUAAGUUUAAGUUUUCUGUCUCCAGGAAUAAACACAAGGUCUUAUGUCACGUUAUCAUCAAAUCAUCACAGCCAGGAUAUAGCAAAUGCAAGAUCAGUCCAGUGGCACCAUUGCAGCUACAGCGUCACUUUUCUUCUCAAAGGCAGCAAUCUUCAGGAUUCUCAUUCUCAUCGGAAGCUACACACUUGCCUUCAUUCACAGCUACUUGCUAUCAUUCUUAGCGCUUCUUCAGUUUGAAUAUAUCUGCCCCCAUCUGAUUAAGCAUCUCUUCAGCAUCACCACCAUUGCAUGAAACCACCAACGAGCUCCACCAUUACCUCCUUUGCCAAACUUCAAGGUAACACUUUCUAGGAAACCGUAACAUUCAAUUUAUCUGUACCUCAGCACUACAUUUUCCCCUCGCGAUGAGUACACUUUGAUAACAUUCUACAUUCUAAGUUAUAAAAAGAAGAAAACCCUGAUUUUUGAUGGAAAACGCCCAUAGUUUGUGGUACUAUUUCCUCAUGAUUCUUAAUGGAUAAACUUGAAAGCAGAAAGAGAAAUGUUUAGUGAAUAGAAGCAGGCUUAGGUUUGUAGCAUUACUAUCCUUGUGUCUUCCCCUUCUCUGUCAACCGUUUUCUUAAGGUCAUAUAAUGCUAGGAGUAAUAACAUUCUUCUUACAUGAACUUGCAGGUUCUUAAAAAUCCCUGAAGUUGGACAUAACUUGGAACCUUUUCGUGGAAGGCCAAUAUCAUGAUUUCUUCCAAAUCUAUUGCAACAUUUUUUUAUUUUUUUUGGUUCUCUUUCUUAUUUUGAUUUGUAAGUUUAUAAAAAAAAGUGGUACCAACAACAAAAUACAAUCCUAAACACAUUUGUCACUUCUGUAGUGUCAUUUGAUUUACUCCAACCCAAAGGGCGACCUUUGUCCUCCGAACAAUGUAAGUACCAUUUGUCUGAAGAGUUUUUUCGACCCUAGUCAUUGUAGACAACAAGACAACAUGAUUUGCUUAGAAGACAUCAACAUAAAUUUUGUUGCAGGAAAAAGCAGGGAGAUUAUGAGAUUCAGGAACUCUUUAUAAAAAAGUCUUGAUUUACUUUAACAUCUCUCUCGACCAAAUCCUUAGUUAUAUAUAUAAACCAAAUCCUAAGAUAGACGUUUUAGCAUUGCUAACACAAUAAAACCAACUCACAGCUACGACACAUAAGACUCAUAAAAGCUUAAUGAGGUGAAGAGAUCAUCCUCUGAUAACGUUGACCUUGAUGGUGUGAACCACAUUAGCACCGGUCCUCUUAACCUCGCAUAUCAUUUGAUCAGUCGUCUUCACUUUGUUCCUUCUGAAGACACUUCCAAAUCCUUUGACAAAGAUGCAGCCAUUCACUUGAAUCUUGAUUUCUUUCUCCAAUGCUCCCAAUUUGUCCACGACUGUUAUACGUUCGGGGAAGGUUAAGUCAAAGUCUCUUAUGACAUGAGCCGGUAUGUGCUACAUAAAUAAACAAACAUCGUGAAACAUAUUGAUAUAUUCCUAUUGAUGCAUUCACAUAAAACACCAUUACCCAAAGAUUCUUUAAACAUUCAGUUUUUUGCUUACCAGUUGGCUUUUCCUGUUUGGAUUGAGUGUCACAGUGAACUGUGGGUUCCUGUGAUCAUCCUUGUCCUCAUCCUCAACAUCAUCAUCAUGCUCAUUCUCCGCAUCAUCCUCAGGCUCAGGCUCAACAUCCUCAUCCUCAGCAUCAUCAUCAUCCUCAACAGAAGCAUGAUGAUAAUCAGAAUCAGAAUCAUCAGUAUCAUCAUCAUGCAAAACGAUAACAUCAUUGCUAGUCCUAGUUUCUUCUUCACCAUCAGAUUCCAAGUUUUGCUCUGAACUUCUCUUAACCCUCUUACACAUGGUCUCAUGCUCGUAGAUAGAGAAAUUAAAACACCGAGAACCAUCAAACUCAAAUGCCAAGAGAUCUCCACCGUUCAGAUCUUCGUCUUUUACUAUCUUCUUCCAACCAUUAACCAAAACAAAUCUCUCAACCUCACCACCACAUUUCCUCAACACCAUAUUCCAAAUCUUUCCGUAGGUACUUCUAAUAGUAACAGUUUUAGGCAGAGGAUUUGGUAAACAGCAGUUGAAAGAAAUGGGUAGCACCUGAAACGUAUUUACAAGUUUCAAGCAAACCAGAAACCAGAAAAACCAAAAAACAGUGAAGAGAAGUGUGUUUGAUUACCAGAUCAUCUCCGGAUUCACCAGGAACGUAAGCUUUAAAGAACUUUGAAGUAGACCCAUUCGAAGAAUUUCCUGAUCCAAAAGAACAAAAGGAAGAACAUAAAUUUCUACAGCACAUUACAAUGGAAGAAUCCGAAACAGAGAAGGUUGGAAACCUUGGUUCAUUGUCGUCAACUUCUUGUUUUUCUUGGACACUCUCCGUAAACCCUAAAAUUUAUCUGAAAUAAAAAGUUGGAGCUGUUUUCUCCAGAUCUAAGCUUUUUCAGAUGUGUUUUGAUCUAAAGGUUUUGGCCUUUUGUAGCUAAAACUUGCAAAAACAGAGUGUUCUCUCUGUUUCGAUGCUUAUUGCUUCAAAUGGAAAACAGACCAUUAAUAGUACUCUUCUUAUUCAAAAAAAAUCGUUAAGAGAGCCGAAGUAUCAUCGCCAAGGCCCAAUAAAAAUAUAAAUGGGCUUAAAGUUCGAUCCAAUCUAUAUUGCUUAAAUGACUACAUAUAUAGUCCUAAGCAAAGAGCCACAAAGUCACAAACAAUAAUCGCCGAGGGGCCUUUUUUUUGUAGUCACGUGCAGUGCCACAACCAACCACAAUAGUUGUAGAGCUUUUGUAUUUCCUAUUUUACGGAUAUCCCUACUAUAGUAAAAGAGAAGUAUAAAAGAGAUUCGGGUCGGGUUUUUCAAAAAAUUCCGGGUUAAAUUUUCAAUCGGAUACUUGCCAAAUUUUUUGUUAAAUAUUUUUCAAAUAUUUCAAUAAUAUACACCAGAUUCCUAUCAUUUAGGAAACUAUAUUAAUGCUAAAUAAAAAUAUGUCUUAUAAGGAAAAUUUGUUUAUGAAUAUAAAGAUCUCAAUCUUUUAAAAAUAUUCUAAUUAUUAUAUUAAUUUCUUAUAUGAAAAAACAAAAAAAAAUUAUAAUUUUUUAUAAGUUUAAAUAUUUGAUAUAUAGAAAAAUAUAAUUUAAAAAUAUUUGGUAUAACAAAUAUAAAAAUGCAUCUAAAAUACAUAAAAAUGGUAAUAUAAUUAAUAAAAAUGUUAAUUAGUUUGAAUUAGUUAAAUGUUUCGAAAAAUAAAAUUUGAAUAUAUAUGGCUAUAAAAAAGAAAGAUUUUAUUAAAGAUUUUAUAAAAAACGAAAGACUUUAUAUAUAUUAAAUCUUUAUUAUUAUUUUUUAUAUUUCCUAAUAUGUUAAAUGAAAGAUUUAAUCAGAAUAAAAAAAUAGUAUAUGAAAAGAGGUUUCAAAAUUAUUCCAAUCUUUAUCAAUUUGAAUUACCUAUAAAAAAAGAAUAAUAUUUUAUCAAUAGCAUAACUAAUGCAAAAUUAUAGAGAUCCAUAUAUAUAUCUAGAAAUGGUUAUAUUUGAAUUUUGAAAAAAAAGAAAGAAAUUUGACAAUCAUUAAUAUAUUUCAAUGAGUAAUACGAAAUAUUUUGGAUACAAAAAAAAUAAUUAAAAUUUUAGGAUAAUUAUUGUAAUUAACUAAAAAUACUUUAAUAACGAUAUUUUAUCUUUAUAAUUAUUAAUCAUCGAAUCACUACUAAUACAAAAUCAGUCAUAAAGAAUAUAUUCCAUAAGUUAGUUUAAAUAAAUUACCUUAAAUUCUGAAUUUUCCUUAAAAUGUUCUAAAUAUUUUAAGGAAAAUGAAUAACAAGAAUAUUAUGGUCUCUUAUUCAAUAUUAAGUAUAUUAAUAUUUUUAUUUUAUUUUUAUAGGAUACAAGUAUAUACAAAUCUUUCAAACUCAUAUAUUCUUGUGUGAUACAUGUAUAUACAUGAUUUUCAUAAUUUUUCAAUAUCAUAUAUUUUCAUGAUUUUUUUUAAAAUACACGGGUUUUUGCUGAUUGGUUCGUCACCACAUACAUUGUGAGUAUACAAUUUGUUUAAUAAACGUUCUUUUAUUUAGUUUAUAAAAAUAUUAUAUUUAAUUUCCGAAAACACACUUUUCUCAAAGAAUUGAAACCAAAUAUACAUUUCGAAAUAAUAAUUGUUGAUACUAAAAUGAGCGAAAUAAUAACACAUACGACAAAACACGUUAAAAUAAAAUAAACCUGAAAAUAUUCUUUCGCGCUAUAGCGCGGAUCUGAACCUAGCAUACGUGACAAAGUACACAUCCAUGAUAGUACAUAUUCUCAUACUUGCCACAUUCAACACCAACAAUCCAUUUUAACAGUUAAAAGUUUACGUAAUUCGGAAAAAGUAAAAACCCACACUUUUCCCCCGCGGUGUAGCGCGGGUCCGGGCCUAGUGUAUAUGAAACUCAAAUCUUUUUGUGAAGUGGUUAGAGGCAACGCAAGCAUGAAGCAGGAAAAGGAAUGAAGUUGAUUUUUCCCAAACUGAGCGUAGAUCCACAACACAGUGGAAUUGCCCAAACAUGGAGUUAAUUUUGCAUAAAAUCUCUUUAGGUAACGUAAUGGUCUAUGGUACUAAGAUGUGCAAUGUGGUCUUGGGAUUGGUUGAAUUUUCUAUCUGUUAUGACAUAAAUUCUUGCUAAACUGUUGGAGAUCUCUUACUUUCCAUUCAGUAAGAGUUGAGAUAGUCAUAAAUAUCAAUUUCCAAAAAUGUACUAUGUUUCAGCAGAACUGCAAGGCCUUCAUUGCAUUAUAUGAUUUUGUUCCUCUCACUUGUUAACCUUUAACUUCCUUUGAAAACAGCGCUUCUUAGUUUUUAUGUUGUGAUAUCAAAACAGAAAGUUCAGUUCUUGUCUCCAUGAAAGAACAACAGAGAAAGGACUUUGGUUGUGAUAUCUGCAUCAUUAAACCCCAGAGUUUGUAUUAGUAUUAUCUCAAAUCUCAGCAUGGAGUCAGGAAAUAGUCUUGUCCAAUAUACUUGAAGAAGGAUGCUGAGAUAUGUUAGAAUAUAAGAAGAAAGGAAGCGUUUACAAGUUUUGUAACAUUGAUUUCCUUGUGUAUUCUGCUCUUCUGUUGAUAGAUUUCUUAAGGUCCUAUAAAACUAGAAGUAACAACGUUUUUCUUACAUGAACUUCCAGGAGUGGAAACCAUGGUCUAAGAAUUUGGACCCAAACAUGGAAGGCCGAUUCUAAUGAUUUCUCCCAAAAUGUAAGGAUAUUCGAAUUGUUUUGUUUUCUUUCUUUUUUUUACCUGUAAACUGGAUCCAACAAGCAACAAUAAAAGUCAAACCCGUUAUUCACUAUUGUCUUUUUAGAUUUCAUUCAACCUUACACUAAUACAAAGUAUGACCUCGUUUGAACAAUGCACUUGAUUUUUGCACUUCAUAUUACAAACACACAAUCAAGAUCUAGAAGUACAUUUGCUUAUACAAUCAACAUUGCUUAUUAUGUUCAGAGAAUACCAGUAAGAUGCAUAAGUGCAAGUUCUCUACUCAGCUCAUAUAAGAACUCUAUACCAUAGAUAAUGUCUUAAUGUUAACGCAUUGAUGAGCUUUAUCAAGAGAUCAUCCUCUUAUAACAUGGACCUUGAAUUCGCGAACCAAACCAUCCAUCUCUUUUUCUAACUCACAAAUCACUUUAUCAGUCAACUUCACAUUGUUCCUUCUGAUUAUACUACCGAACCUCCUGAUUCUCUGGCCUUCAAUUCUCCUCUUCAAUUUACCAAACUUUUGCUCGAGUGGAUCAAUCAGAUUUAUGAACUCAGAGAAGUGUAAGCCAUUAUUAGCUAUGACUUUAGUUGGUAUGCGCUGCAUUACAACAAAAACAUCAUAAAACAGAUCUGGUACAUGAUUUUAAAUUGAUGGUUAAUGGAAAUGCAAAAAGACAUGAAAUUUUUACAAGUCUUACCAGAUUUUCACGUUGCAUAUUCUUCUUGUUCACUGUAAAGAAAGGGUUCAUGUGAUUGUCCAGAUAUUGUCUGUCAUGUUCUCCAGAAGAACCUAUCAAAAUUUAAACACAACAAUAUUAAAAGACAGCGAUGCUCAGUCAACUUUACAAGACAGAACUUUCUAUCAUACUUUUCUCUUUUCUCUCCGUUUGAAGUCCUCUCCUUCUUUCAUCCUCUUCCUCAGCAUAAUUAUCGUCGCCAUAAUCUUGAUCAUCAUCAUCAUCCUCAAUAACUAUGAUAUCUUCACCAGAUGUAUCUUCCUCACCAUAAUCUUGAACAUCAUUAGUAUCAUCAUUAUCAGCAUAAUCAAGAACUGUAGUAUCUUCACUAUAUGUAUCUUCCUCAUUACAAUCUUGAACAUCACUAAUUUCCUCAUCAAGAACUAUGAUAUUUUCACUAGAUCUAUCUUCGUCACCAUAAUAUUGAUCAUCAAUAACACCAUCAUUCAGAACUGUGAUAUCAUCAUCACUGCAUUUAUCAUCUUCGCCAUCAGAUACAUGUUCGAUCUCUUUGAUUUGCUCUGAACUUCUAAGCUUUUUACACGUUUCAUGGCCAAAGAUACAGAAAUUGAAACACCGAGAGCCAUCAAACUCAAACUCCAAGAACUCUCCACCUUUCAAACCUACGUUCUUUACAAUCUUCUUCCACCCAUGAACCAUAACUAAUCUCUCAAUAUCACCACAACACUUCCUAAACGCCAUUUUCCAAAUGUUCCCACAAAUACUUCUCACAAUUACAUUUUUAGGCAACGAGCUUGGUAAAAAGGUGUUGAAAGAGAUGGGUAAUUCCUGAAAUGGAUUUAAAGUUUCAAUGAACUAGAAAUCCCAAGAAAACAAAACCAUAAACAGAGUGAAGAGAAGUGUGUGUUUUACCAGAUCAUCUCCAGAUUCAUCAGGUAAGUACACUUUGAAGAACUUUGGAAGACGAUCAUCUACAGAAUUUUCUGUUCCAUAGAAAAAAAAAAGUCAGAACAUAUGGUACAUUGUGUAAUUGUAGAAUCAAUAACAAAGAAGAGUCUAUAAAGGAGAGACCUUCAUUCAUCGUCAUCUCUUUUCUCACUCCCGCUCUUUGGAACCCUAACUCUUUUAAUGGAAGUGAAGGUGAAAAUGAGGUUUUUCAAUAUAGAAAAAUAGUAAAGCUUGUUUAAAAGAUCCUCCGAUCUUAUGGUUUGCUCGAGAGAUUUUGCCCUUUUUAGCAAAAACAGAGAGUGUCCUGUCCUGGUAACGUUUAUACUUUAUUGCUUCAAAUGGAAAAAUAAAGACAUUAAAGUUACACUAACGAUGCAGUCUGUUUUAAAUCAAACCAAAAAGUUCAAAUACUUGCACAUUGGUUAGUUCCUAAUUAUUGAGAUAAGGUCAAUCCCCAAAAACUUGAAAUGGGCUUUAAAUCACGGCCCAACAUAUUUGAAUUAAAUGACAAUAUUAACCUGAGAUUAUAGAGUAACGUUGGUCCGAUCUUCUUUUCAAUUUUCAAGUUUUUUCAACCUCUCUUCCCGCUUACGAAGCCGGAAUAUUCCUUUCUACAUCGGCCGAACGAUUUCCAAUUGCCGACUUGGGACAUUGGCGUGAAAGUCCCGACGUGAUUCGCUCAGUGUAAUUAAGGGGAAACCCUUAGCUAAGCUAUACGAUUUCGGAUUUAUCACUUGUCAGAUCUCAGAAACUGCUAGAAAGCGAAGGAGGCUAGAAAUGGACAAGGAUCUCUUAGAUAUCUCUGGAGGAGACGACGAAGACAACUGGCUUCUGAAUAAUACUCCGAAGAAAGUUAAUUCGAGCCGAGGAAAGAGUUAUUUGAAUUGCUCCCCUCUCCAAAUCCCUAGAUCGAGUCGUAUCGUUCCUACUCGGCCUCCUUUUUCCCCAAUUGGUAAGCGCUUCCAUUUCUGGAUCCGAGCUUCCUCCUGAUAAAUUCAUUAAGAGUAUUUGAACAUUUGAAUCAGCAAUGUUUGAGCCCUUUGUUUGAAAAUGGGAAUUUAUAUAUUUUAAAUACUAGUUGAAUUAGCAUUGUUUUGAAUCUUUGUUAGAGUGUUUGAACAUUUCUCCGAUUUGUUAGAGUGUAUUUUGCGGAUACAUAAAAGGUGGAUUCUUUUUGCAGGAAGAGUAACAGGCAACAACAUGGAGCAGCCAUGCCCUUCUGUUGAUACAGAUAGUAUCGGAAAGGAGAAUUCUAAAGUCGAAUUGCCCAAACUGAGUGUGGAGCGACAACAGAUGAAGAAGAAGAAAAAGAAUGCAGGAUUUAAUUUGCGCAAAAGCUUAGCAUGGGAUAGAGCGUUUUCAACGGAAGAAGGUGAAUUUUUUUAUGGAUUUGUUUUCCCAUUGUCCUGUUUGUCGUAAAGGUCAAAGGUAAUGUACUAAGAUGUGUGAUAUGGCCAUGAACCAGGUGUUUUGGAUUCAUCUGAGCUAUCUAAAAUAACUGGAACUGCUUGUCAUAUUGGUGGAGAUCGGUUACCAGCCAUUCCGGAAGAGUUCAGAGAUUCCGUGUCUGCUUCCAAGUGUACUAGUGUUUCACCAGGACUACAAGCACUUGAAGAAAACUUAUUUGACGAUUUGCCAGUGAAUAGUAAAAACAGAGAGAAGAAGUUUGUGAAUGGCAUACUGCCGAAGUACGCAUCACCAUCUAAAUCCCAAUCUUCCAUGGUGAGUUUAGUGGACCUAGAUUUUAUGGAGCUAGUGAGGGUGAUCAGUCAUUUCUUACAAUGUUCCUUUCAUAGCCAAAAAUUUCCUUGAAGGCGCAUUCUAUCUAACAUUGAAUGUCUGCCUUAUAGGCCCAGAAAAAAGUUAUCUCAGCUCAGGAUUUGAGGAGUGGUUCCAAGCGCAGUGGCUGUCCGCGGCCUCCUCCUUUAUCUUCAUAUCCUUUUCUUACUUAAGAGUACCAAGUGUUUAGGCAUCGUAGGUUGCUUCUAUGCUUUCUUGUUUUUGUGCUUUUUGCUUGUUAACCUUAACUUCCUUGAACCCUGAAAAGACCUGCAAAUGUGCAUACAACAACAUCACGUAGCAGGGAUCUGAAUAUAUCUAAAGUUCCUACCACCAAAUCUGACCCAAUUACAGUUGCAAACAGUUUGAAAAGGACUACUCCAAGUCCAAGCAAAGCGCAAAAUAGUCAACCUACGCAAUUAAGUACGUCCACAUUCAGUUAGCAAAUGGAACAUCUGCAUCUUAUAACCUUUUUGGCUUUCUUAAUUUUCACAAAAAUGCUGUUGCAACAUCUUGUUUAUAUAUUGGUACAUGGUCACAUUACCUUGGUUUUCUCUUCUGAUAUGACAGAGAACUCUCAGAGGAGCUUAGGAUCUGGAAGCUCCUGUAAAAACACUUCAAGCACCAAGAGUAAAACAAAAUCCAGUCUCGCGAGUAAAUCUUCAAUUCCUAAGCCCUCUCUUAAGCAAGCUAGAAAAAAUAUGGUAAAGCUAUGCUUCCCUCUGCAAACCAAUAUAGCAAAUACUUUAUGCACUGGAAAUUUGCAGCAAAUGCUUUCUUUCCCUUUUUUCUUCCGACUGAGAGUAACGUAUUGCAGUUUCUUGAACUCCAGAUCAGCAAAAGAUCAGAAAUUCCUUCAGUAUCCAACUCACAGCAUUCUGUUGUUGGAAAGUCCAGUGUUGGCCCUAUGACUACAUCAAAUGUGGUUAUGCUUGGUCAUGCAUCGACAGACUCUAAUGUAAUUACUCUGGGCACCUCGUUAGCUCAAAGUUCUUGCAAUAAAGUUGGAAACACGCAGCCCGCAGUUUCACGACUGGGAAAACCAUCAGGCUUAAGAGUGCCAAAACCCUCAAUUGGCUAUUUCAGUCAGGUAUAUUACUGAAUUAUAACGUGUCAUAACUAGUUUUUGUGCUUGUAAAUCUCUCAUACUUAAUAUUCCUGAUUUUUGCAGUCCGACUCUCAACCGUCGCACAGUGCAGGAGACAAACAUAGUCAGCUAGCCAGAUCUGAUAUUUGUUCAGCCUCUCAAUUUUCCUUGAUUCCUACCUUCAAGAAACCCCAAGUUGCUGAAAAGAUGCCCGGUGUCAACUCCAAGGCAGCAACUGGAAACUUCGGCAGUGCAAGUUCAACUGCAAGAUUCUCUGCUCAAUCUAUAUUUCUCAAACCUUCACAAGAAAAGAUGAAAGUGGACUUGAAAAGCACUGAGGAAGUAGAAUCCAAAGCGUUGAGUUAUUCAUGGAGUUCUCAGAUGAAAGAAAACCUGGAGCACCAAUGUUCCGUUCAAGGUGAUACUGGAAACUUAGUUCUGGACGAUACAUCUGAGAAGAUUUCUACUGCAAAGUGUGAAGAAUUCCAUAGUAACAGUGAGAUGUCGCACUCAGGCUGCAAAAAUAAUGUGCAUGGUGGUUAUAAUAGGGAUGAGAAAAGGAAGUCUUGCUGCUCAGAAAAAGAAUACUGUGCUUCACCGCUGAAAGAUUCAAUGGAUUCACCGAUGCAGGGUCCUCCAUGCGAUGAGUUAACACUGUUUAAUAACUACUCACAGUUGAAAGUCAGCAAUCAGGGGGAAGAAGAUAUGUUUUCCACCAAUGAUUUUAGUGGAGAUUUUGAUACCCUGGCUGUACAUGGACAACCUCUAAAUGAAUGCGUGCACCCUGGAAAUGAAGAGGAGAUUAGUCCUUGCCCUUCUGGAGAAAAAGAUGCGUUAAUUGUUUAUUCUACUGAAAAUGUAGCAAAGCAGCCUGAGGUUUUGAAUUCUUUCACUGCAGACCCAACUUUCAAUGGGGAUUUUGAUUCAAUUAAGGGUGAUGUAGAUGAUCCAUCUUCUUCAGUAAAUCAGUUAGGUAACACUGAAUAUGUUUCCCUACCUUUGCGGCCUGCUGAAGCACCAGAUUGUGUUCAAUCACCAUGCAACCAUCUUGAGGAAAAUGCUGUGUCGAACUCUAUUUUGUGUGAUCAUAACAUGGUGUGUAAUGGUCAAGCUGUACUAGAAAUGGAGGUAAGAAGUGAAAAAAGCAAUAUCACAGAGACAAACUGUGAAGCUGAUUUCGUUGGUCCAUUUUCCGAAUGCCAAGACUUGUUUAGAGAAUCUGAAGAACAGCAUUUGUCGAGCCAUUCAAUCUUUGAAAUGAAAGAGGGUGGUCAUGAGAUAGAUGUCUUGACCAGGGACGAAAGAGCUAAUGAGUCUGAUAUGCAGAUAGAAUGCUUUACUGGUUCUUCUGAUGCUGACAACAUGGAACAAGUGCAAUUACUAAUGCCUUCUUCCGUUGAAGUUAGCAAGGAGGUUCAACCUCUGGAAUUAUGUCAUGAGCCCUUCCCUGAGAAAUCAACUUCUGAAAAGCAGAAGCAAUACAGUUGUUCUAGUAGUGGAAUUGCAUCUGAUGUAAAUGUUGGUAGUGUAAUGAAACAAGCUGAUCAACUUGGAACAUUAGUUGGUUGUUCUCCAGAAAAAGAUGCAUCUGCUGCUGUUUUCUCCUGUUCCAAUGAGGAGCUUGAAGAUAAUUCAGAGCUGGAGGAUAUGGAUUUGGUUACAGACUCAGAUUUCUCGGAUGAGGAACUUGAGGAUAAUUUGGAGCGGACAGAGGUGGAUGUGAUUACUAAUUCAGAGCUUAUUAGUCACAUUGAUGAGUUUUCAGUCAAGGGCAUUCUUAAGCAAGAAUUUCCCGUAGUAGAAGAUAUCCAUACUGCAUCAGGCCUGUGUGGAAAAACUAAAAUUCCACUGAGUGAAUCCAUCAGUUCCUCGAAUUCUAUAUCUGGAGAUCCUGAGUGUCUGAAUGAGGGCACAUUUUUUUCCAGAAUACCUGAAGAGAUGUCAAAAGAGGAUUCAAAUUCUGGAAGCAUUGAGCAUAACUAUGUUGUAAAAGCUAAAUUCCAGAUAGAUGCUGAAAAGGAUUUCAGUGCACAGGUUACUGGUCGAAAUUCCAUCCCCCAUGAAGGAGAGGAAGUUAAAGUUGUAAAAAGCUCUCUUGAUCUUGUAGCAUUUGCGCCCAGAGAGGAAGAUUCUGGAACUCCAGUAGCCAUGAAAGAAGCUUUCUCAGUGAGAGAUGAUAUUCAAAUUAACGAGUUCAAUGUACUCAGCGAUGACAUUUUGACAUUAGAAAGCAAGGCAUCAGAAGGCCAGGAUAAGAUGAUACCACUGUAAGUAAUUUAGCCUCCGCUAGUAAACAUUUUCUGUUCCUCCAGUGCAGUUCAUUUUAAGAAUUGGCUGAUAAUUCAUUGUUUUAAUAGGGAUGCUAAACUUGAGAAGAAACCUGAUCCUAUAACUGUAAAGCCUCCAAAUGCCGUUCCAUUUUCUGACGAGUGGUUAGCUGCAAUUGAAGCUGCUGGGGAGGUAUAUAGUUCUCAAAUAUAUGAAUUAAACCAUGAUGAUGAACUGACGACCCACUUUCUGUUAUCAAAUAUUAUAUAUAAUUAUUUUGGCAAUGCCUCAGCAGAACUCUUCUGUUAAAUAUGCAGGAAAUCUUAACACUGAAAAGUGGACGUGUGCAACAUUCACCAACAGAGAAAUCUGCUCCUGAACCAGGUCCAUGGUCACCGGUAUAAUCCUCUCUCCCUCUCAAAUUACCAUUCGGUGUUGAUAAAAGGAAACAAGUUGAAACAUUGGGACUUUCAGAACAUCUGGACUUGAUAAGUUUGAUUGAUUUUAUACCAGUGCUAUAGAUAACAGCACUACAUAGAAUUCAACUCCUAAUUAUCUUUCAUAACUGACCAACUUAUUAAAUAGCUUAAUUCAAAGGAUAAGCAGAUGUGCUAAAGUUAGUUCGUGAAAACUAACUCGAGGAAACCAUUUUUUCUUUUGUGAUGGCCAGGUCAAGAAGAAGAGUAAUCAAGUUGUAGGGCCAUUUGACUGUACAAAGUAUAAUAACAAAGGUCUUCCUCCUGCUUUUGACUGAAAAACUAGGUUUCAUCUUCCUUAACCAUUUUCUUAGACCCUUUCAUCACUAGAAAACUUUGUUAAACACACUCAGAUUUUGUAUACUUGAGAAAUAAAAUAUGUAGAAAGCACUUGUUGUUGAGGCAUGAAUCGCUUCCACAAGAGCUAUAUCUUCUGAUCACAAAUUUGUGAUAUUCAUGAGGUUAAACCUAUAAUGGAAGUAUUUGACACGAUUUGAGACGAAUACAAGUGAAGAUGUCGUACAUUUUCUAUUCAAUUCCAUGACAUUUACAAAGAUGGAACCAAAUUUAUGGUUUGCUAGAGACUUAAGAGUCCGAUCAGGCUAAUUCAUCAUCAUGGACCAUGACGGUUUUGCCAUUGCAUGCAUCAUCCCUAAUUGUUAUCUUUGUGUCUGGCUUCUUCAAUAUUCCAAUAAAAUUAUCAUGUUCUUCGAUCUUCUCAUUUGAAGAUAAUUAACAUAAUCAACCCAAUUAAAUCUUCAAGUAAGAGGAUGAAUAUUCUUAAGUGUAAAUUGAUGGUAACCUCAAGAACAUAACAUGGCUAUAACAAUCCUUUUAUUAUUGUAAACAUGAAUUCCUAAAGGAUUAAGAUUUCUUCAGUUCCAACUUGAACAUGAAUAAGAUUUAAGAAGCUCUCAAACAUCAACAGUGAGUUUGGCGUCAAGGUGAGUGAAUUCUUGGAAGAAAGCUUUAAAGUGUUCAUAUGAAUGCUCCACGUCAUCUGCAGCACACAUCUCACGGAUGCUAUGCAUCGACAGCUGAGGAGCUCCAACAUCAACAGUCCUUAUCCCCACACUGCUUGCUAGGAUUGGACCAAUGGUAGAUCCACAAGCCAUAUCAUUACGUACCACAAAAUCCUGCAGUUUUUAUGCCCAUAUACAUUAGUUUUGUUUUGGCCUACAUGCCCAUAUCUAUAAACCUGUAGCAAGUUAGAAAAUUUUCUGGAUUACGCUCAGGCAAAUCAUACCUGAACAGGAAGAUUAUGCUUCUCUGCUAUCUCUCUGAAUACGAAAGAAGUUAGGGCAUUGGUUGCAUAACGUUGAUUUGCAUUGUGCUUGAUGACAAGUCCUCCAUGCAUCUUCGGCUGAUGAUUCUCGUCGUGUUUGUCCUAUAAAAUUAAAUCACAAUGCAAUGAUGGAUAAACAUCAGCUUAUGUGCAUAAAAUAUAGAAAUUUGUAUAGAAGUAUUGCCAAAUGAUGAAAUGAUUACCAUAAAGUUUGGAUGUAAAGCAUGUGCCAUGUCAGCUGAUACUAGCAAACUUUUUUGAAUUGCUUUCUUAAGCACCUGUAACAGUUAAAUAAUAGUGAACUAUAAUGAGCAACAAGAAACAAAAAGUAUAUCACAAGACCAAUUUAAUGUUUAUCACUUAAAUGGGUUGCUACCUUAGUGUCAGAACUGAAGCAACUUGUGAUGUGUGACAUAGCAUCAAUCAUGACAGGGGAUCCAGCUCCUUGCGCGGAAUUGGAACCAACUUCUUCGUGAUCAAAUAGUGCCACCAUUCUUAUUCCGCUUUCUUCCCCUAAGUCACUUUCAGAAGACGUUGCAUCUAUAAGUGCCUGUGUACAAAGUUCAAACAUAUAGUUCAGCAUCAGAUUAAAAUAAGAAAUAUGCAAUUGCAGACAGAUUAAUUGAGCACCCAAAUCAACUGACAUUUGUUCAUCAAUGUUUUCAGUAGCAACAUGGCUAAAGUUAGAUGUUGAAUCCCAUUCAAAGAGAGGGACAAAUUGUUAGAGAUGCUUUAGUUGCACAAAAACAAGGGGGAAAAACAAAAGAGAUGCUCACUUUGAUGUGAAAUGUGACCCAUAUCAAAACAUACACUCAACGGAGUUAACAUACUUGUACAGAAACUUCUACUAGGUGGCCAAUAAGUUAAAUUGGGCCUUAAUUCAUGUCUUUAAAUGUGAAGAACAUGGAGAGAGUGGAGGCCAACUAAGGCACAGUUAAGAUCAGGAAAUAUGCACAACGGACUCAUAUAUUCCUCUAAAAGUAAAAGUGAAAGACGUACCUUCAAAGAGCAAAAUGACAUACAGAGAUUAUCUAGCCUUCCAGAGAAAAUAAAUUCUUUUGCUGCACCAGCUAGAAUGCUUGGCUGAGUGUCACAUGCUUGCAGCUCAAAAUCGCAUAUUUCCUCAGGUUUACAACCCAGCGCAUUUGCAAUAAUCUAAGAAUUUGAAAGAGAAAAAAAAGGACUACUUGGUUAUUAAACCAGAAGAAGAUCUAACAUUCACAAUGAAAACUAUAAAUCUCAUUGUUCAACUAGACCUCCAUUAGAAGUGGGUGAUGCUUUGAUUUUGAACUAGUUUGGGUACACUUCUUUCCUCCAUCAAGUUCACCACCUUCAGCUGGCAUUUUGUUGAGCUCCGCCUUCAAAGAUAUAAUUCACACAAUUUAAAUAAAAUGCAAAGAGGCAAGAAUUCACGUAUGCUGCAAAUCUGACAACCAUGGUUUGACAUCAUAGAUAAAACAACCAAAAGUUAAAGGUUUCACAAAGAUGGGUUCUGGUAUCAGCAAAUGACUAAUGUGCAAACAAAGGUUUUAGCAAUACUGAAUGGAAAAAAAUGAAACAGCGGAACUAAGAAAGAAAUAAGUGAAGAUGGCUUCCAUGUCCUGUAACAAUUGUCUAAUUUAAGUAAAGUUCCGAACAACAUAGCAAGCACUGAAAGAGCACCUUGAUAGCUGUUGCCAGUACUGGAACGAGGUGUGUCUGAGUGUUUGGCUUAAAACCUUCACUGUUCACGUUCCUGUCAGCAAGGCAUAAGGCAACAAAAAGUCUUAUUUUAACUUCUCUACAAAAAGGAGUGAGAAACAUAUAGUCUUCUGCUUAUCGCAAACACAGUUGAAAAGAGUCUAAGAAGUAUUCCACUGGAAAGCGGUGAUUCAAAGGGAAACCUGUCCAAGUGGAUGGCCAAGGUAGGAAUCCUCAUAAUAGGAUCCUGAAUCCUGACAAGGCGAUGAGAAUAUGAGACAGAACCAGCUUUCUCCUCUUUAACGAUAACACGUCCUGCAACUGUCAAGUCACGAUCAAACCAGGUAUACCACAGGCCACCUCCAUAAGUUUGAACACCAACCUCCAAGUACCCAGCUUUGCUAAUCUGUCAAACACUUUCUUGUCAAAAAACAAAGAAUACUUUAAAAGGGGAAAAUUGAAAAUCCAAAGAAUCCAAACGGGCACCUACCUUUGAUACAGGCUUCAAUUUGAGACAAGGGCUAUCAGUGUGAGCUCCUAUGAUAUGGAACCCGUUUCCAGCUACGUAUCUGUUAAGAAAAUGCAAAAGAUUCUCGCUUUAAGUUGCAGCUAAACUGAGCUCAGAAGAAAAAUAACAAUUUUUUUUUUGAGAAUGGUUGCAAUCUCAGGCUAAUAGAUAGUAGAGAAGAAGAGAGAUGGUACUUUUGACCAAUGGCAAAAGCAACGAUAGUGGAGUAGUUUCUGGUGAAGAAGUAUUUUUGGCCAGCUUGGAGUUUCCAGUCAUCUCUCUCAAAAACCUGCUCAUACCCAGCUUCUACAAGCCGCUUCUUUGACUCGUCUACAAAAAUCAAUCAAAAUAUCAGAACUGAAACAGCGACUUUAGUAAUUUAAUCAGAAAAUCAAUUGAUUGUGUAAAGCUUUGGUGGUGAGAGGAGAGGGGGGAAUAAAAAGAGAAUAUUUGAAAAAGGAAAAGGGAUGAUGAGGUUACCGACGGCAUGAAAAGCGGUGGGGGAAGCAUUGAGAAAGGAGAGAAAAUCAGAGACGAGGCAGCUCUUCUUAUCCAUGGUCACUCUUUUAUUAUGGAUCUGAUUUCAGCAGAGGAGAGGAGCUUCGAGAGAGCAGACCCGAUCGAGUUUUUUUCUUUUGUGUGUGUGUGUUAAGGAUCUCGAGCUAAAAAGAAAUAUUAGUACAGUUAAGAUUCUCACGCUGAAUAUUUUUAGCGGGUUUAAAGGUUUUAUUUUUAUGAACAAAAACAAAGGAAAAUAAGAAUUUUCACUUUUUUGUCCAAAAAAAAAAAAGAAAGAAUUUUCACUUUAGUUUUUUUUUUGUUUAGUUAUAACUUACAAGUUUGUGCUUUUUAUCCUUAUCUAAUAAAAUUUGGAGUGAGUAUAGUGAGUUAGUGACAAUGUUUGAAAUAGCUACAAAGUUAAAGAACAAAAUAUAGUCAACACUAUAAGUAAAAGUUGCUUCUUCUUACUUAUGUCUAUCGAUCUAUUUCGUCAUUUCUCCUAUCCCACCGUUAGGGAUAAGUGAGUAAUAGUUAAGGCAAUCAAGGCCAUGGUAUAGUGGUAAUGGUUGUGCCAUGAGGUCUCUUCAACUGUCUCUCUACAUAACAACAACAAAGGAAACGUUUCGGAUGCUACGACCAAAGUAAAAGGGUAAAUUAUUUGUCAAAAGUUGUAAAUUAAUAAUCAUCCCACUAAGUUUCAUUUUUUUCUUAUAUAUAAAAAAAUAUAUAUUUAUAAUAUGUCACAUUAGCCAUCAUCUCCAUUAUUUUUUUUAUUUGCAAAAUAAAAAUUAACUUAAUUAAUCAACCAAAAAUGUGACUAAUGAUGUUGUCAUUUAUUUUGUUUACCUAAAUAAAUUAAUUAAAAAUGUAGUCAUAUAGCUAUAAAAUAAAUACCUUUCCUUUAAUUUGUUGGUUAGUUUUGGUAAUAACAUUAAACAAAAACCAAAACUAGAAGAUUUUAUGUGGUUGGGUAAUGUAAAUAACCGGCCAAAAUCAAUAAGGUCACAAAAACCGAACCGGACUAAAACAGUAAUAAAAAUGGAAAUCGAAGGGCAAUAAAUUGUAGAAAGCCUUUUUAAAAUUAUUAUAAUAACAAGACAGCAACGUGAAUCUGGCAGACAAAAACAAUUAUAUAUAUAUAUAUAUAUCAAGAGGGUUAAAAAAGCCAUCGCCUCUAAAAAUCACAGCCAUCCAUAUCUCUCUCUCUCUCUCUCUCGUUCGAGCUUCCUCCUUUUUUCCUCAUCUCAAAUCUUCUUCUUCAUCUCCCUCCCCAGCAAUCUCUAUCGAUCCUUCUCGAAUCGUAUGUCUUCUCUUCUUUACAUCUUAUUCGUAAUCUCCCUUCCCUUCUUCCGUUUAGUUUGAGAAUUUGCUGAAUCUCAAAACCCUAAUUCUGUGCUCCCAGGUUUUUUUAAAAACAAUUAAUGGGAUCAUCGGUUUAUUAGCUUAGAUCGUAUAUUCUGAUUGAGAUUUUGGAUUUUAUUCGUGAUUUUUUCAUUUUGUUGUCUGUGAUUGUUUUAUAACGAUUGGUUUUCACAUUUUUCCGUUGACGCGUCUGUAAUUGAAUCGUCACGGCGCAUGCACAGAUCGAUUCUGGUUUAGUUCUUCAUUGUAGAUUUUUUUUUUUUUUUUUCAUUUCUGAUUGUUAUAUUCUAGUAUUCGAUCUGAAAUUUUUAAAAUUUAACAGUAAAUUAUAUAUUUUUAAGUUGACGUUUGAUAACGUUGAUGAGAUGAGUGAACAUAGGUUUAUAAGAUUUGAUUGCGAAUAUGCUGAAUGUUCAUUGACUUUCUUCUGAUGAUUAAUCAAGUUUCCCGCAAAAAAAAAAUUUUAAAAGUUUUUCUUCUGUUGUUCAUUUCUGUGAAAGCAACGAACAACCUACAUGUAGUUUCAAACAAUGCAGGAAAUAUCAAACUUUUGGCCUAUUUAGUCUGUGGUUACGGUGCAGUUUGGCUUUUACUUGUAUUUUAUCUGAUUGCUUAUGAAUCUACAGAAACCUUGUGGGUGGCCUUUACUAUGUUGAAUAAUGUAUCCCAUUUCUCUUGUAGGCCAACAUGAGUGACCAUGGAGAGAAGACCUGUCCACUCUGUGCUGAAGAGAUGGACCUGACUGAUCAACAAUUGAAGCCUUGCAAAUGCGGCUAUCAGGUCUUGCAUUCUACCUUUAUUUUUCUGUAAAGUGUAUUUGACAUGUUACUACUUUGUCUCGAAACCGUGUAUUAUAGUAGGGAGAACAGUUUUGCUUAUUGGAAGGUUCCUAAGUUACAAUAUGCUUUUCGUGGCUUAUCUCAAAGUUGCUGCUACUGUUUAUCAGUGUAGCACAAAAAUAGAAUAUAUGUGACAAGAAUUAUCUCAGUGGUGGAAUUUUGCACAUCUUGUGCUAAGCCCCAUUGACCAUUGAUCUUUGUUCUGUUAACAUUUUUAUGAUUUGUGAUUCAGAUAUGUGUUUGGUGCUGGCAUCACAUAGUGGACAUGGCGGAGAAAGAUCAAAUAGAAGGGCGUUGUCCAGCUUGUCGCACUCCAUAUGACAAAGAAAAGAUUGUAGGGAUGACUGUCAAUUGUGACAGGUUGUACUAUGAUACAUUAUCUUUUUGGCGAAUUAAAUUUUUAAUCUGGGAAAAUAUUUUUUGGUUUCUUUUGCUGAUGGCUUUUGUCUAUCACCCCUUUCACAGUCUAGCCUCGGAAGGCAACAUGGCGCACAAGAAGAUCCAAAAGUCUAAAUCAAAACCUUCUGAGGGAAGAAAGCAACUCACCAGUGUGCGAGUGAUUCAAAGGAAUCUUGUUUACAUUGUUGGGUUACCCCUUGAUCUAGCAGAUGAAGAUGUAUGUGAAUUUUCAUCCAAACCUCUAAUAUUCGUUACUGUGGAUUGCCCUUUAACUAUCGGUCCAUUUUUCUUUCAGCUACUCCAACAUAAAGAAUAUUUUGGUCAGUAUGGAAUUGUUCUAAAGGUUUCCAUGUCCCGAACAGCAUCUGGUGUCAUCCAACAAUUCCCAAACAAUACAUGCAGUGUGUGCGUUUCUGUUUAUACUUCUCUUGUCGAACAAAUUUUCCUCUUAGCGUUAACUUCUUUGGCUUUUUCUAUAAAUUUUUGUUGUCUGAUAACAAUUUCUCGUGUCCCAGAUAUAUUACUUAUGGAAAAGAGGAAGAGGCUGUUCGCUGCAUUCAGGCUGUUCAUGGGUUCACCUUGGAUGGUAAAUUACUGAAGUAAGUUUUAAUUAGCUUUUUCUGAAACUAUCUGAAAGCAUUUACCUAAUGAUCAAAUUUGAUGCUCAGUCACUCUAAAUAUUUUGCAGGGCAUGUUUUGGGACAACAAAGUAUUGUCAUGCAUGGCUGAGAAAUGUGGUAUGUCUCCAAUGGAUUUACGUUCUGGUUGCUGACUCCCUGAGUUGUUCUUUUGGUUACCUCCUUUUAGAUAAAUGUUGAAAUUCUUCUUUGGAGUGAUGAAUUGCAUGUUUUUAUUUUAGGCAUGUGUCAAUCCUGAUUGUCUCUAUUUGCACGAGGUUGGUUCUCAAGAGGAUAGUUUCACAAAAGAUGAAAUCAUAUCAGCUUAUACAAGGUAAUUUUUACAAUCUAAAAUUUUGAUAUUCGCACUUGCAUUCAUGAUUGUUCUGUUUCCUGGAUCCAUAUUCCUUAAGUAUAUGUAAAAGAUAUGAUGGUUGGUCUAGUAUUUUUGGAUGAUUAGUUAAGUCUUAUAGUAAUUUUGAAGGAGUAGAGUUCAACAAAUCACUGGAGCAACAAAUAUUCAGCAGUACCGUUCAGGGAACAUACUACCUCCACCAAUGGAUGCUUAUUGCAGUGACAUUUCUUCUGCAAAAGCAGUUGUAAAGGUUCCUUCAACUGUAAGUUCAGUUCAAUCUCAACUAUUACUUGAGAGUGCUAUUUGGUUUGAGUCAUGUGUUCCAAGAAUAUAUUUUCUCAACUUCUGAUCAGAUUAAUCAUACAAUUUCCUAGGAUUUUAGCCUCUAAAAAAAUUCUCGAAAGCCUCAAAUAGUUAAAACCAACCUCCAAAGUUGUAGCAUGAGUAGCUUAUGAAAAUUCUUUUAGUUUACUGAGCUUAUUAUUUGAUGUCUCGCUAUAUUUUUAUAUGAGCAGAAUGCAGCAAGUGUUCCCAAGUAUUCUCCUCCUAGUGGGAGUGGGAGCGGGAGCUCUAGCAGAUCAACAGCUCUUCCUGCUGCAGCGUCAUGGUAAGUUUCCACUGGAUACUUUUUAUGUAAAGACUUUCUGACUGGUUAUUCUGAUCAAAUAGGGAUUUCUAUUUCAGGGGGACACAUAUUGCAAACCAGCAGCAUUUAGCUACUUCGGCUACCUCAAAUGGUUCUUCUGAUAUACAAAGAUCAACAUCAGUAAAUGGAAACUUGGCGUUUUCAGCUGUUGUUGCAAAUGCAGCUCAUGGGCCUGUAUCCUCUAGUCACAUUCUUAAAAGACCAUCUCGCAAAGAAGAAAGCCAAAUAGUUGUGGAAAAAAGCAAACCUAGCAUAUUUAAGUCUUCGCAGCAUAAUGUUGUGGUUGACUCCGGGUCCAAGAUAACUACCUUACCUGAUAGAGAUCCUACUAGCAAUCAGUUAUCCAGUUCGGUAGACUCUUCCUACGGUGGAGGGGACAUUGACAAGCCAUCAGCUACUGUGAACUCAUUCGAUGAUGCGAAUGAAGCUUUGAAUGAAGCUGUAGAAGAUGGCCCUAUUGUAAGCAACUUGUCGGACGAUGUUGCACGCAUGGGAAUUGAUAUGAAUCGUAGGAAUGAACAUCCUAAUAGUACAAUGGCGAUUGGUAGUCAGUGUGAUCAAGGUUCUAUUAGACAACCUGGUCAUGAGGUAUCAAAGUUGCCACAGUUAGAGCAAUGUAGGAUGGAUAGUUCUAUAAACACUGAUAAGAAUGCUAUCCUGUCAGAGGACAGGGUCCCCCUCACUAGGCCAGAUCUGCAAUUGCAGGUGCAAGGUAGCUCAAAAUUAGAAGUGGAGGAUAGAACACUAUUGGGUAGCCAACAGCAUCACCUUGAAGAGGAUACAAGCCGCUCGCGGUUUAUAUCUAAUUUGCCAAGUUCCAUCUUAGAUACAAAUCAUAUGGCUUCUCGUUCUUCCCUGCCUUGUGAAAAUUUAGGUUUGUCAGGUGUGAACGACUCAAAUUUGAGGUCCUCAUUGGAUAGAGGUAGUGAUAGAUUGCAUCUUCCAAAUGGACAUCUUCCAAAUGGAUUUGGUGAUAAAUCCAUGACCAAUGUGGGACACUCUCUGUUUCCUAAUGAAGGCAGGAAUAAAAUUAACACUGUGGAGCACUCUCUGUUUGCUAAUGAAGGCAGGAACAAAUUCAACAGUGCAGAGGAUGCUAUAAUUUCAAACAUUUUGUCACUCGAUUUUGAUCCAUGGGACGAAUCCUUGACUUGUCCCCACAAUUUGGCAGAGUUGCUUGGUGAAGUUGAUCAGCGAUCUAGUACUCUUAAACCCUCAAACCUCCUGAAGCAACAUAACGGCCAGUCUAGAUUUUCUUUUGCACGGUACGAUGAAUCUAAUAAUCAAGCAUAUGACAGCGAGAACCAUAAUAUUUAUGGGCUGUUGUCAAAAAAUCAACCUAUUCAGGAGUCUGUAGGGAGCCGAGAUAUUUACCGAGGUAAUCUCGGUAGUCUAAAUGGAUUCACUUCAAAUUACUCUGGUGGAUUGGAUAACUUUGCUGCUAGUCCUUUAUUCUCUUCGCACAAGAAUCCUGGUUAGUAUGCGUAGCUUUCUGACUUUUCUUGUUUGGAUAUUUUUUUUGCUUUAUUUCCAACAUUUGUUUCCUGCUUACUUGCAGUUUCACGUCCCCAAGUUUCUGCUCCUCCAGGAUUUUCUGCUCCGAACAGGUUACCGCCUCCUGGGUUCUCUUCACAUGAUAGGGUGGGCUUAUCUUCUGAUACUGUGCCAGGUAUUUUUUUUCCUUCUAUUAUUAUGGAGUAGAGUAGAGUGUGGUUGAUGCUAGCGACUUUAACUAUUGUGUACUUGUAUCAUAGGAACUCGUUUUCUUGACUCUACUUCCUUGCUGAGGAAUGCAUAUCAAGUACAACCUUCAGUUGGUAAUUCGAGUGGUGGAAGUGAUAUUGAAUUUGUGGAUCCUGCAAUUUUAGCUGUUGGAAGAGGGAUGGUAAAUGCAGACUUGGAUAUGAGAUCAGGAUUCUCAUCACAACUGAAUUCUUUUGAAAAUGAAACAGGACUGCAGAUGUUGAGACAGCAGUCAUUGUCUGCUGCACAACAACAAGUCAAUGGGUUUCAUCAUGAUCUCAGAAACAUAUCUCCUUCACUUACCGAUCCUUAUGGAUAUAGCUCAAGGCUAAUGGAUCAAACACAGGGAAGUAGCUUGUCACCUUUCUCACAGCACUCAAGACAACAACCAUCUUCAAAUUCAACCUUGUCUAAUGGUCACUGGGAUAAGUGGAAUGAAGGCCAAAGUGUAAACUCUCUAGGCAUGGCAGAGCUUCUUAGGAAUGAACGGCUGGGGUUUAAUGGGAGCCUAUACAACAACGGAUACGAAGAACCCAAAUUCCGGAUUCCAAGUCCUGGAGAUGUGUAUAAUAGGACAUAUGGGAUGUGAUUCGGGCAUGAGGGGAGGUUUCAGCUUUGUUGGAUUUUCUCUGGUUGUUCCCAAGUGCUGGGAAAGUCAUACUCAAAAACUGCUCCGACUGCUCACAUAUAGAAUUGAGUUCUCAUCAAAGAUGCAGGGCCCUAACAUAGAUUCCCUAAGAGCAUAUUGAACUUGAAAGGUACUGACUGAGUCAUUUUAAUCUUUAAAGUGUCAUAUUGGUUUAUCCAUUCGUUUUGGCAGUAUAUGCUGAGUACUAGAUAUGUUUUCUUUUUUGCAGAGAGCAGUGAUGUUAAUGUUUGGAUUGCCUUGGAUAGAUUUUGAUUUCUGCUGAUUGGUUUGGUCGGUUUUCUGGCAAAUUUUGAGGUUUCAACGGUAACAGAGGUCGAAGUCGUGCCUCUGAUUUUUUUGUUCUUAUAUAAAAUUGUAAAUGAAUUUAGUUACAGAAAACAGUAUAGCUUUUUGAAGUAUUCUAUAUAAACAUCAGAUCUUUCUUUUUGUUCUUGACUUCUGUUAAUGUUGUCUUCUGUAUAUAAAGGAGUAGAAAAAAGACCGAACAACAAUUCUAACAUAACUCAAAAAGUACACGAAUAAAACAACAAGCCUUAGUUUUGUAGUAUUAUUCUCCUCGUGUCAUAUACAAGAGUGGAGAAGCCUUAUUCUUAGACUAACCAGCUUUCUCAACAGUUUGAAUAUCUCAAGUGAUUUGUGUAAAUGGGAUUGAAUAUAUGCAACACAAGUGCUUCUCUGGUUUCUAAGCUUUUUGUUCCAUUCUCAUCAGGUUGAUGAUACCUGAAGUACAUCCACAAAACGAUUACGAAACUAAUAAGAGGGCUAAUCAUAAAUUCCCUAAAAGAUUCAUUUUGCACAUUUUGUGUCUGGUUUAAGCAUCUGGCAAGGAUCAAGCAGUGGCUUACACAAAACUGUAACUGUGGAUUCUCUUUGUGAAGGAUAUAAUAAAACGCCACGCCACGAUCGUGUAGAGUAGAAAAGUAGUAAUUUCAAAUUGUUGUACACUAUUAACUAUUAAGGAGCAUAUGCAUAUAAAUCUCAGAGAGUAAAAAUAGUAGACUCAAACCCAAUUCCACACUAGUAGUAAUCUAUUGUUAAAAAAUAUCUGAAACGAGAUCUGAGAAGAAGCAAGGAUUUUUAAUUCUGAUGUUGAUCCACUCGGAGUUACUCUCUGUGCGGGUCUGAAAAAGCUCAGUUGAGGUCCCAAGAACUUGACGGCCACAACACAAUCCUAUACCAUAGAUGAUAGAACUCUCAUUAACUUACCUUUUUACAUUUCCUAAUUUAAAACUUAAAUAAAUAAUGCAAUAAUAUAUUCUGAUUCGAAAUUUUAUUAUUUUCCUAUGGGUUGCAUUCUCUAUAUAACUUUUUUCAUUCGAUUGUCAUUCACCUUCCUUUUUUUUUCAUAGAAUAAGCAUCUUUUUGGCAGUAGUGUUGGGGAUUUGAAGUUAGAUUAGUACUAACUCUGUUUUGUUGUAACUUUUUAAUGUCAUUCCAGGAGUCAGGUUGUGAUCACCACCUUUAUUACUAAAAAAAACCUUUCUUACCAGAGUCAUAUUCCUGAAGAUUCCUCUGAUCCUCAUCUCCUAUUUUGGUUUGUUUUAUGCUUUUAGCUUCCUGUAGCUCUAGAGCUCUCCAUUUAUGUUUGUUUUGUUUUCGGAAAUAACAACACUAGAAGAAAUUGAUGUAAUGGCCAUUUUACGUUAUUGUUAACACUUGUUAUAUAAAUAAAUAAAACUCCAACCUUGCUUUUCAAAAAACCUUUCUUAUAAGAGUCAUGCAAAUACCUUAAACACCCGAACAAUUUAACUAUCGUUUUGAGACAUAAACACAGAGUAAAUAUAUUAUAGUCAGCAACGAAGCUUUAAUGAUUCCAAGAUGUUUGCAAUGUUGUUUCCGUGAGACCUACGCAAGAGAUGGAUGAAAGGCAUGAGCUUCUCCACCAAACGCCAAAACAGGUCCAUCCUAGACAUCUUCGUGGUCAUUAUCAGUGCCUUCAACACCACGAAACUCCCAAACUCAUUCCUCCCCAGCCUCAUCAACCUGUCUCCCUCGCACUGCAAAAGCUCCACAACCACCACUACCAUUGAUGACUCCUCCGCCUUCAGAAGCUUCUCCAUGAUGUAGCUUCCGUACUUCUUGAACGAGAGAUCAAUGCAAUGCCCACGGAGACUUACCGCGAUGUUGCGUAUGCUACGAGAGUCAAACAGUGUAAGCACAUGUUGGACCACAAAGUUCCCUGAAGCGUGGUUGCUUAGGCGGAGAGCGUUGUAUGCGACCAAGUCUAGUAUCUGAUUUCUGUAGUAAGGAUCAUCCGCAUCGGUUAUGAUAUCGUUGAGUGCGAUGCAGCCGUGUUGGUCACACGCUAGGUCGAGAGCGUGGUGGAGAAUGUGUUCAUACAUUGCCUUUUUCUUCUCCUCUUCGAAAACGAUCAUGGCUCGUAUCGUCACGUAGGAUGCGUAUUUGUCAGACGUGAUGUGCAAGAAACGGCGCAAGAUAGCGGCGCAGAAGAGGGCGUCCAAGUCAUCUGAUAUCCCGAGGAGCUUCUGCACGCGUUUCGAGCCGUUCUUGUUUGUGACGAUGGCCAUGAAGUAAUCGGAGUCUGACGUCAGCAACGACGCCAUCCUCUGAAGCUCUGUUUUGUCUAGCGUUGAGAUCGUCUCCUUGAAGUAGGACAGACCUUCGCAGCUAGUCAUUAGGCUGAACAUGGCCGCGUGCAAGUUAGUGGCGGACGAGGCGUGUGGGGGGAAUCCAGGAGGAGGGAUGGAACCGGAGACUCCAUUAGGGUAUGGUAAAGCAUCGAACAUGGUCGACAUCGAAAAGGUAUCAUCGUUGACAGCCAUUGAUGAUGUACAGACGUACAAGGGUUUCGUUAUGAUUUGUGAGAUCUUGAAGAAGUAUGAUCAGAGACUUGUGGAUGAUGAUGAGACUAGUGUUGGAUCUGUGGUGAUCAUGUAAAUUAGUAUUUAUAGAAGAAGAAGCUAACAAAGUUAGGCUCUUUGUUUGUUUUCCUUUUCCUAGUCUGAUUUACAUUAUUUUUCUCUACUAGAAAAAGGAAACUUAUUUUGUAGAAAAAAUGGAAAACAAUUAGAAUUUUGUACAAUCUACAACGUUAUACAAAAAGGUUGAAUUAAUUAAUAUAUUUAACCACGAAAAUCAAAUUAAAUUUGUUUCUUUUGUAAAAAAAUUGAAAAACGUACUGAAGAUGCAGUAAUUAGGAUCCAUGCCUCUGCAUAGAGAGGUAAUAAAUGUAGCUUUUGCAUUCACUUAAGAAAAGAAAGUAGCAAAGUAAAAAAGAGAAGAAACAGAGAGAAUGUAUAAUUCAUGCUUCUGCAUUCUUCAACAAGACAUUAUUCUUCAUGUUUCAUGGAUUCUCAUUAUCACUUCCGUCUGGUGGUCCAUGGAUCUUAAACCUGCAUUUGAAUGAAACCAUGUUUGAUAAUUGACAGAAUGAGAAAGAUUUAAAAGUAAGAUUUUCUUAGUGCAAAAACAAUAUGGAUGCAUCACCUAUUUAUGAAGAAGUUUCCUUCACUGUACAUAUCUGACUCAUCUUUGCCUUUCUGUGUGAAACAAAAAGAAACCACAAUGAGAAACACUGAUUUCUCAAACCAAAAACCAGUUCAUGGUUGGUGUCAAAGAAUUUGAUGGAAAGAGUCAUUUCAUACGUAGCACGAGCCAAGAUGAGAGCCACAUCCGAUACAGAACACUGGACGCAUUGUAUUGUCAGCUUUGCCAUCUACAAUGAUGGUCACUUUAGCAGGUUCGAUCACCACAUUGAAGCUAUACCACCAAAAGUGUUGUUAGUUUUAGUAAAUUAAUAAUAACGUAACGUGGGUUUCGAAGCAUUAUUUUUACCAUUUCAUGAAGAAAUAAACUUUCCUAAGGUUGGCAGGAUAUUCAAUGAACGGUAUCUGCAAACACACACAAAUUCUCAGUGUUGGUUGAAAAAGUAAACUUUGUAUAAUCAGAUUUGUUGAGUUUCACCAAUUCUCCAUAAGCAAGAAACAAACAAAUAAACCUGAGUUUGAUGAGAAAGAAGCAGAGGAGAAAUCAAACCGUUUUGAGUGGAAGCUCGUCGUAAACAAAGAAUUCAACUUGGCAGUGCUUGCAUUUAUACACAGAUCCCUCAAGGUCUAUCUUGAAUAACCUUCCCAUUUAUUUCUCUCGAACAAAUCCGUCACCUGAAAAGAUUCAAACCUGAUGAUCUCAAUAUGAUCUACGAUGCCAUAAACAAUACUAUACUCCAAGAACACCAAGAUCUUCAGAUGGAGUCGGUAGAAAGAUACAAAAACACCAACGCCGCAAUUUUCAAGAAAUCAGGAAACGAUUAUCAAGAAUUCUUUCCAUAACUAGUCAAAUAUAUCAUAUCGCUUCAAAAUCCACAAGAUAAUGGAAGAAAAUAACCAGCAAAAACUACUUAAGCAUACUUCUCAAGUAUAUAAGAAAAUGCAGCAGAAAGAACAUUCUAAGAUUACGAGAAAAUCCAUGUCUUACGUACGUAAGACAAAUGAGGAAGGACCGCCAAAGAAAAAGCAGAGGAACUAGAGUUUUCGAAUUUUCUCACGAAUCGGUUAUGUACUGUAUGUGAAAUUAAAAAUUUGGUAUACAUUUGGGUUAGGCCUUAGGGAGUAAACCGGGAAUUGUCGAGUUGAAGAGAACCGGAGCUAUAUCUGUAGAAAUUACUCCUUUGGGCUAUUGGGUUUGUUAUUGGAUCACACGAACUUCAUGAAUUUUAUUUCCUUGUAAAACAAUAAAUUACUAAACCAAGGCACACCACAAGUACAACAAAUUUUCCGGUAAUUAGUACAACAUCGUCGAAUAAGUAGUGCAUACUGCAAUGACUAUGAUCGUAGCUGCUACUCCAGCUGCCUCCACACCCGUAGCAAAAAACAUUUCCACACCUGAGAGGUUUACAUAGCACGAAGCAAAACAUUCAAAUUCGACACACAAUAGAGAGAAAACAAAAACAGGAAAACUUCUUAUAUAUUUCCCUUCUUUUGAUGGCAAUAUUGCUGUUUUUUAAAACCAGUUCUUGAAACAGGACGGUAAAAAGAAAAUAUCGAAGAGAACUGUAUCGAGCGAGAGUUUAUAUAUAUAUACCUGCAAACCAUGUAGUUGCAUCCAAAAGAACGUUCAACCAUGUGUAGCCACAUUGACGCCACUUUUUAUAUUUAGCUAGAGAUAUUAGCUUUUCAUCAUCAUUCUGAGGAUGCAGUAUCCUGUACUCGGUGCAGGAUAGCGUAUUGUGCCAUGGAACUCUGCAGUCGAUACAGAAAGAACCACCACAUUUGAAGCAUGCCCUACGUCGACAUUCAGAAGAUGCAGAAAACUCGGUUUUGGACAUAACAUACGAACAGCUUUGGUGUGGACAAUAAACUCUGUGUCCAAUAGGAAUUGAAUUCUCUCUAAUUAUCUGAGUCCACAUAAAACUCUGCAUUUUAGUCAAGAUCCCGCGAAAUCUAACCAGAGACAGCUGAGACCUGCAGCGAUGCUGAGGACAAUCUGGUAUCUCUCGAUCAAGAAGCUUCACCUCUAUAUGUGAUUUCGCACAAGUUAAGCAAAAUCUAUGACCGUAUUCACAAGCUGAAAACAUGAGAUGAGAGGGGAAGUGGUCGAAACAGAUAAUGCAAGUCUCAGCAGCAACGAGUCUGGAGACGAAUUUAACAUCUUCUUCAAGCAUCAUGACGAGAUUGCUAGACCUGAACAGCUUUCUGAUAAGUUUCACAUCAUCCAUUAGCAAAGCAAUCUUUUUCUCCUCGGGUUCAGAUAUUUCCAAUAGCUACAAAAUUAAUGCCAAGAUCCACGUUACAUCAAACAUACACGACAUGAGAGAUUUAUGUAAGCAAAAGAAUCUUACGUAUUCGAAAAUGGGAUGACGAGGGCGGCAGUAUAUAGAGAUGCGAGUGAUCCCCAGAAACGUGGCUUCGGUUAAACCAAGCAUCAAAGCUCUAAUAUCAGCUUCCAUGGAAGUCAUGUAGGGAAGAAGAUUCUGUAGCGGUGGAUUAGUAGUCUUAAACACCAUAUUAUCCUCUGGGUCGCAGAUUAUAACCUCCACUCUAGUAGUUUUAACAUGCCUUUCUCUCUCUACCAAACUGUUGAAGUAAAGCUUGUGAAAUUGAGGUUCUUCCGGGGUUUUCACGGCGGCAAAGUCCAUUGAAUAAGCAGCAGCCGUCUGAUGGGAUUGGUGUGACACUGAGAUUUAUCAUGAUCCAUAUAUAGUUGUACCAUCUGAAUCCUUCGGAAGAAUCUGGCCAGAGCACCAAAUCAAUUCUACAGAUUAGAUUCUCGAACCUCCGCGAUCCUCGUCAAGAAAUAUUCCGAGAAAAUCGAGGGGAAAAUAAUAAGCGAAAAUAAUCAAGGUUACCUGAAACUUCGAGCUCUUUCAACCAUGUUCUACGUCGUCGACCGUGGAAGUUUUACUUAAUCACAGCGGGUAACGACGGAGGUCCUUCUCCGGCCGUUGAUGAUUGCUUUUUGCGACGGCGGUGGUGGGAAAUCGUAAUAUUCAAUGGAUUACAAGGGUAUAAUCGUCAUUUUGGGAAUCGCUUAUAAUCUUAUUCCGUGAAAAUACUCAUACGACCGAACUUUCGGCCCACGUAAGUUGGGUUUAUGGGCCCAAUAAGUCACAAUUGUCUUAAAUACUGUAAUGUAUUCCCCGUUUCUUUUCAUUUCUUUUCUCCUCUUCUUCUUAUGGAGUACUCUCGCGAUGAACCUAUCUAAGGUUUUCUAAAGAAAUUCAGAUUCCAGUUCUGUCGAGCGGUGGAUUGGUGGAAAACGAAGCUGUAAAUCGCGUAUACAUAUCAAUCGAAUCAAGGUAAUUUUCUUAAUUUUACGUGCUUUUUCCUGAUCAAAACCAGAAAAUAUUAUGAAUGAAUGAAUGAAUCUUUAAGAAGUUUCUCUCCGCUGUUAGAGCCUGAGUUUCUUUAUCUCGAGUCAGUAUUUGGAAUCUAUAUUUGAGGAACCACUGGUUUAGUUGGACGUAUACAUGUUUGGAACAGUUUGAUCCUUGUUUUGUGGAUGUUUAUUAAGAAACGAUUUUUGUUGGAUUCAAACUGUUCGAUAAAAUGCCUCAACGAGAAUUUUGGUUCUAUAGCGAUCUUUGAUGUAUAAACUAAGUGUGAUUUUAUUUUCUUGAGCAUAUGGUUUGAUUCAGUUAGGUGUUAGUUGUAUACUGUCAACAACUUUAGUUUUUGAAGUUUGAUUUGAUUGAAUCAAACUGAUGAUGUUUGAAUGAAUAUUCUCUGGACAUUGUCCGGUGUUCAUCAUUAGCUUUUUUUUUCUAGUUAACCUUUUAUGCUUGAUAUGAAGACCUCAUGUUAGAAUGAACAAGAAGCAAUACGUUCUGGCUUGUAAUUAGAAUGAACAAGAAGCAAUUUAUAGCUUAAGCUAUGACGAGGUUGGUUUGCUCAUUGACAAAGCAAAUCAGCUUAUUGAAACUUACGCUCAUAAUAAUAUUUACUUUUCUGUGUUUUACUUUCUGGAACAUGGUAUUCAUUUUUUCACAUUUUCAUAAUUGGCUUUAACAAAUUGUAUUUAUGUAUAUUUCAGAGUUUACAGAUUCUUCAGUGUAGCCAUUUGAAGCUUAUCAGUGUACGCUAUGGGAGAUAUUUCUGGUGAUGACAAGAUCCUUAGCUAUGACGAUGUUGUCCUUAGGAGAUCCGAUUUGGACAUCCUAAAUGGACACAAUUUUCUGAAUGAUCGUGUUAUCGAGUUCUACCUAAGCUACUUAUCCUCAGUUCACAGUACCCCUACCAUCUCACUAAUCCCUCCUUCCAUUGCCUUCUGGAUCUCCAACUGCCCUGACGCUGAAUCCCUCAAAGAUUUCAUGAAACCCCUCAAGUGUGGCGACAAAGACCUCCUGAUAUUCCCUGUUAACGACAAUCUAAAUGUGGAGGAAGCUGAAGGCGGAUUACAUUGGAGCUUGCUAGUGUACUACAAAGAUGCCAACACGUUUUUCCAUCAUGAUAGCUUAAUGGGAGUGAAUAAAUGGAGCGCUAAACAACUCUUCGAGGCGGUUUCUCCAUUUGUGUCUGAUGGUGAUGCGGUAUACAGAGAAUAUAAUGAGACACCGCAGCAAAAGAAUGGGUACGAUUGUGGUGUUUACCUUCUUGCAAUAGCUCGGGUUGUAUGCGAAUGGUUUACCUCUGAGGGAAUGAAGAAGCGGGAUGAGCUGUGGUUUACUGAUGUGAAGGAGGCUGUACCAGAUGUGGUGAACCAUUUGAGAGAAGAAAUACUGGAGCUGAUCAAAAGGUUGAUGUCUGAGAGUGUUUGUAAAUGAGAAAUGUCGUUAGAUUAUGGUUGGAUAAUCCGGUUUGAUGGAUGAUUUUAACUGUUUACCGGAGCUAAAACAUUUGAUACAUCAUUUUCACCGGUUAUGGAAACCAUCUGUUCUGCUCUCUACUUUUGAGUAUUAAACCAGUAAGGUCAAAACAAGGAUAUAUAUAUAAGCCCAUUGAUAUAGUGAGUGUAGGCCCAAUUUCAUAGAGCGUUAUGAAGUUAAUUUAUAUAGGCCCACUGUGUGAAUCGAAACUCAAUCACGCGAACCAGUGACGCGCUUCUACGUCAUGGCAUCAUUUUGAUGACAACAUUGCUAAACAUAUAUACGAAAAAUAAUCUUUAACAUGAUCGAUUUUUUAAAAAAUUUCAGUAGAUUUGCUGAAAAGAAAGAAAAAAACCAUAGUGACAAACAAGUUUUUUCUUCUAAAACUACUAUAUGAAUUUCCAAUAAUCAAGAACUCAUGUUGGAUAUAUGUAAUUAAAUACUAAAUAUUUGUUAACAGAAUUAUAUAAAUCAGUUAUGAGAAUGGUUACUGGAUCGAGCGGUUAAAACCAUUUGUGGACCGAACCAUUAUUUAUUUACCAUUCACUAAUUAUAUUUGUAGUAGUGCGAUUUCAAAGAAAAACAAAAGAAAAUCACUACAAACCAAAUGCGGAUUGUUUUUAUAUACGAAUAGAGUUGGUUUGCCGCAAUUUGUUGUCCAUCUCAAAAUAGAAUAGACUAAAAUUGCACACAGAUUUGUUUAUUUCGACCAUCGUAACCAUAACACCUUUGAUAGAUGGUUAAAGAUAUUUUUUUUUAAAAAAAAAAACAUUUUCCAAAAGUGAAGUAGAUGUGUUUGCAUUAGAUCACAUAAUGAAUGAAUGAAUACAAAGAAAAACAAAUAAGAUAGUGAAAAAAACGAAUCCAUUUGUUUAUGAAAUCGAGAAACAUUUUCACAAAAGUGGAAACAAACAAACAAAAGGAAGGAAGAGAGGGAGAGAGGUGCUGGUGUGGGAAUCUACACUUUUAGAUGCUUUGCUUGAAGAUGGAGGCAAGAAUAUUAUUAGGUUCCUUUUGGCACUUGCCCCUCAAAUCUCUUUUCUAAUCCGAUCCUAAUUACAUCUUCUUUUAAUGUUUCUUUUUUUAGUUUUUAAUUUUUAUACAAUACACGUCUCUAGUUAGUGUACUCAACUAUACGUUAAACAUAAUCAUGCAAUUUUUUGAAGUAAAACAACUAGAAACACUAACCAGAAACGUGUGUUGAUCUUAAUUACUAGAUAUAUUAUAAACAAAUAAUUGGAAAGCAUAACUGCGUGAUUCAUAUUCAUAAUGAACAUUGUAUUUUUUUUUUUGUGAUAAUUGAGAUUAUAAAUAAUAAUAAAUAAAUAAAGAAACGAAAACAUAAUCUUUACUAGUAGAUAAAUAUGGACUAAAUACUAUACAAGCAAACUAGAGUAAGAUUGGUUUCAGUACUGUUUUUGUCAGAGAUAAUUUCGAAACAGAUAGAUUUGGUUAUGUUAUUACGUUUUUUAUGAUGAGUGUGGGAGAGCUAUCCCCUCCUACGUACGUAGUUUCAAAUUGAAAAAUAUAUUACUGGAGUGAGUGAGACAGCACAUGCCAAGCAACAACAACGACAAACAAAAAUAAAACCUAUAUUUAGAGAUAUUCAGGCUCAGGCUGCUGCUGCGACGACCACUUGCUCUCCUCAGCUUCUUUAUACAAUCACUAUAUUUAUCAUUCCUUUCAUUCGUAAGUCUUUACCUCGAUUUCCUCUAAAACCUGUAUUCCUUUGUCAUGCCGCCACGUGUCAUUCUCAAACCCGACAACAUUGGUCCAGCUCUUACCGCCGGCCAAUCACUCUGUCGCUGUCCCCUCCACCCUAAAUUUACUUUACUUUACUUGUUCUGUUUUUUUCUUUCUUAUUUCUUUACAACAUUAUGUUUAUAUAUUUCGGGAAACUAAAUUAGGGUUUCUUUCUUAUUUUGCUUUCAUAUGUAUGUUAUUUCUGUAUUGAUACGAUUUGGGUGUGGUUGGUUCUUUACGUAUGUUAGUGUUAAAAUUUGGUAGUGGAUCUAUAUAGUAAUCUAUAUAUGCUUAAUUCCGGUAUUUACAAAUUUGUAACCAUAAUUUUAAUAAUGAGAUAUAUAUGGACCAACUUUGAUGCAGUAGUCAUCAAUUGCUUAGACCGUCAACGAAGCACCAACGGUACGAUCAUGAUCUCUUUAAGGGAUAUUAAUAACUAAUGAGCGCGCACAAGAUUUAAAAUGAUCACAUCUCGAUGACUUACGCUUAGUUAUUCGCUUCGAAUCUUAUUAUAAACCAAAGUUUUUGAUUAAUGAUAAUCCCAAUAAUUAGUAUUCAAACAUAUAUACAUAUGACACAUUCACUAAUCUUAUGUGUAUUGAGAGUCAUUAGGAAAGGAAUAAAAACAGUGUUACUUUGGGGGGGGGGGGUUACUAUCAGGAUAUUUAAAUAUUACAAAUAACGAUCGCUUUAUAAAAAACUGCGAUAAAUUAGGAGUACAUCGAUCAUGUCGAGAUAGAUUGCAAUAUAUGAUCAUAUAUAUAGAAAUAUGAGAGUGCUAGCUCUCUUAUCAAUACGAUCUAGCUUUAACUUCUUUUUAUUGCCCAUGAAAUUCUCUAGUUUUGUCACUCUUGUCUAAUUGAGAGACACUAUCUAAAGCAACUGAACAUGUUGCAACUUUGACUGGUCAACCCCAAAACUCUUAUCUAUGUCUUUUUUUUCUUUUCUUUCCCAAUUAUGUUUUCCUGUGGUGCCCUCCACUUCCAGUUAUUAAUACAUAUAUAUAGAAAUAUUAUAACGUGUUCGAUUCCUGAAUUGUUGAUUUAGUAAGGAAGAAUCAUGUUAUGUCACUCUCAUAUUCCUGUUUCUCCACAGCUUUCCAACACAUGUAUAGUAUGUUUAUACUGAAAAUAAUCGAUUACACUUUCAAUAAAUUAAAUAUAACUUCAUAAUUGUAAAACGACUUAAAAACUGAAAUAGGUGAAAAUAUGUGUGUUUAACAUAUGCCAAAUACUGGAAAUAAUUAAAGAAAUAAAAAGAGUGGAAAAUCUUUAAUUGAUUAAAAAGGUGUGUGUGAACUGUUUGUGGUGGUAUAAUUCUAUUUUAUAUGAAUACGAGAUUAAUAAACUUCAAAUCAAAAUUUUCUAAGGAUAUUAUUGGUCAUCAUUAGUUUGAUAUAAAAAUUUGGGAGCCACAAGUAGGUAGGGUCCAAAGGGGAAUUAUAAUGAUCAUCAGUUUUGAUUUGGAGACCAAUGAUUGUUUGUUUAAUUUGUGAAUGAAUGGAUCACCACUCCUGGAUCACGGAAACAAACAGGUUCGUAAGAAAAUGAUUUUUCAAUCCUAUUAUAUACUAUAUAGUAAAUAUAGUUUAGUAAGUGUGGGAGUUAUUGAGUUAUCGAAUUAAUCUACAACCAAAUUAAUUAGGUACGUAUCACUAGAAAACUAUCAAACAUUAGUUUAUGAUGAUAGUUUGAGACUAUGAGAGUUAGUCAUUAUAUCAAUAUCACAUGACACAAGGUUCAAAAAAUCGUAUAUAAUAUAGUAUAAGAUUCUAUAAGAUGAAAAAGCAAUUUAAUUAUAUAUAGUAGUAUAUGAUCAUCUUACAUUAUAAUGUGUGGAUAUGGUCCUUAGACCAAAUCUCGGUCUUCAUAGAAGUGUCUUUCCCGAAAACCGAUGUGUGAUUUGUGUCUCUAUGAACUUUAAAAUCCCCAUCGGAUAAUGCAAGCCACAUCAUGAUGAUGGACUACACAUUGUCCGGCCAAUUUCUUUGCUUUUUCAUAUAACAUGUGUGUGUGUGUUCUAUUUACAUAUCUUAUUGUGCAUAUAUGUAGAAAGCAAUGUACCUAGAAUUAAAUAUUCAAUUUAGAAAGAAAAAUAUUUCAAAGAAAUCAACAUUAGUUAAUGAUGAUAUAUAGUUGCUCCAGAUUGAAAAUCAUUAGUUAAAAACACACAUACAUAUAUAUUUUUAAAAAUACAUAAGUACUUGUCUUCAAGAAAUCAUUGAAAAUUAUGCUCAACAAAUUGCAGAAGUUAUAAAAGCAUAAAAGCAGAAAUUUGGAAGGAGAGAAAAAAAACUGUGGCCAAUAUGUUUUGACAGAAAUAGAAACAUUAGUAGCCUAUCAAAAUUUAUAUGAGUUUUUUUUUUUUUAAGAAAGGAAAAAGAGUUAAGGCAAUGAGAGUGGAGGACAAAUUUAAUGCAAUUUACUAAUUAAUAUCCGAUAGAAGAAGAAAAAAGGCUAAAGAAAUCAUUUAAACGUUUUACAAUUCACAUAAUCCUAUCAAACCACAUGCUAAAAAACCAACUAACAUUAAUAUAAAAGUUCAGUAUUUGUAAAUGUCUUUGCUUUUUCUAUACAUAGGAAUUAGUUAGUUAUAAUGUACUCAUCAUGAUAUAUAUGACUGAACACUGAUCGAAAUAGAAAUUUGUUGAGUCCUCGAGCUAGCUAGUACGAACUACGAAAGGUCACAAUUUGAAACGGUACGUAGUGUCCAUUAAGGAAGAAACGAGACACUGCGAAUGAGGAUGGGAACCGGACCCGCGUGGCGACAACUCAACGGGCCAUUUGGGGACACACAGAAAUGACAACGAAGUUGAGUGCGACGUCGAUCGAACACUACUUACUAAUACUAUCUCUUCUCUCAUUGCAUCCAUCAUCGUACGAAGUUUACUAUUCAUUUCUUGUCUCAAAUAGAUCCCAUUUCACAUUGUUUAUUGAUAUAGGGACGAUAUCGAUUGCAACUCAUCAUCAUUGGGUGUAUAUUUUGACCGCAAAUAGAAAUUGACCGAUACACUAUUACUGUGGAGUUUGGUGAUUAUUUCGGACUAUUGUGGACUUAUUCACUUUUAUGAGUUUUUUUUUUUUUUUUUUUUUUUUUUUUUUUUUUUUUAUAGUUCCCAAGUUUUUCAUGUGGCUAUAAUUAAUUACUUCAAUUGUAACACUACAAUUUGAUCUUCGUAUUAAUUAUAUUAAUAUAUAUAGGCAAAAGAUAUAAUUAAUUAGGAGAAUUUAUACAUAGUAGUAAUUAAAAUGUAAGGUCCUUUUCAAAUUUCAGAUAUCAAAAUCAUCCAAAACAUUAGUUUAUGCGACCAAAAGAAUAAUCUUUUUUGAAGUAGCUAUAUACAUAUAACAAAGCCUUAAUUAAAACACUAGCUAGCUAUACGAAGAGAUAAAGACAUAUUAUUAGUCUAUAGUUUAUACAGUGGCACAUGCCUUUAUAUAUCGAUGCUUCCUUACUAUACUAUACUAAUUAUGUACAAACAUGUAUUUUCUAAUAUGCAUACGUAGAAAUUUUGUUUACAUUAUAAAAAUGAAUAAACGGCGGCUUUAUGUCUGUCUGUUCCAAAUCACGUUCCGAAUUGGUUCACAUUCUUCUUCUUCUUCAUACCAUUACCAUUUUAAAAAUAUAUAUAAAUAUGAGAUCGAGGUCACAACUCACAACAACAAUUGUGUGUGUCUCUAUCUCCUCGCAUACAUUCCCAUGUAUAUAUAAAUACAUAUGCUUGGCUUUUCCUUUUGCUUCACUUUUACUCAUAUCCAAAAAUUCUCUCUCUCUCUCUCUCUCUGAUCUCAACAAACAAUCUCCUAUACAUAUAAACACUCCAUCACACUCGUUACAAUCAGCUUUCUCAGAUUCACCUCUUAUGGAUCAUUUGCUACAGCAUCAGGUAAAAACUAUACAGUUUAAGAACAUCUUUGAUGGGUUUUGCUUGUCUGUAUAUAUAUAUGAUUAGAAUCUUGAUGUGUGUGUGUGUUUUCUUUCUUUCUUAUGAAAGGAUGUUUUUGGGAACUAUAACAAAGCAAGAGAAGCCAUGGGAGUAUCAUCAUAUCCAUCGAACCCGACACAACUAGAUCAGGAUCAGAAAAAACGUUCUCAUCAGGCGACUGAGGCGGCAGCCACAAGGCCACAGCCACCGGAGCUAGCUCUGAGAUGUCCACGCUGUGACUCAACAAACACAAAGUUUUGUUACUACAACAACUACAGCCUCACUCAGCCUCGCUACUUCUGCAAAUCAUGCCGGAGAUAUUGGACCAAAGGCGGAACCCUAAGGAAUAUCCCCGUUGGCGGAGGCUGCCGCAAAAACAAACGGUCCACAUCUUCGGCUACAAGAAGCCUCAGAACCACCCCAGAACCGGCGUCCUACGACGAGAAAGCAUUCUCUGCGGCGAGUUUCGGUGGGUAUAGUACCAAUGAACAGAACGAUCUCAGCUUAGCCUUUGCCUUGCUGAACAAACAACCUCCGGGAAGCUCUGCACAGCUAGGGUUUCCUUCGGAAUUCAGCAGCUCUCAUCAGUCUGACAUGGAGAGUAGUGUGUUUGGGACAAGCCAACAAAAAGGGAACGCUAGUUAUGCGUUUGGAAACGGGAGCAGCGGUUUGGAUAUUGGGAUGGGUACUGAUCCAAGCAAGGUCUUGUGGGGAUUCCCGUGGCAGCUGAGUGGAGAGAGCUUUGGAAUGAUGAACAUAGGAGCAGGUGGUGGUGGUCAUGUAGAUCAGAUUGACUCAGGGAGAGAGAUUUGGACUAAUAUGAACUAUAUUAAUUCUGGUGCUUUAAUGUAGUUCAACUUAAAACCCCAAUUUUAUUUGGGUUUUGAUUUAGGGUUUGAAUUUCAUGUUUUUUAUUGGGAGAAAAAGGGGGGUACGUAGCUGUAUUAUGAAAUGUUUAAGGGAAGUAUAGAAAGAUAUAUAUUAAUUAGGGCUUCUUCAAGAGUUUUAAACUUGCCAAAUGGGGUUAAUUGGGGUAGUUUUUUGUUUUUGUAUUUCAAUUUCUGUUUAAAAUUGUCGAGUUUCUUUAUUUGUAUGUUCACUUCACUAUCUUCUGAAUGAAACAUUUCCUUUGUUGUUUAUAACUUUGAAUUUCAUCUUUCCCCUAAAUUACGUUCCGUUUUUGGAUUUUUACUACUUACUAUAAUGGAAGUGUGAGUUCAAACCCUAAUUUCACUCGCUGAAACCUAAUCAUUAAUUAGUUUCUCCUAAAAAAAAAUCCGACAUCUAGACGCUUCUUAAUGGAUCAGUCAAUGAAGUUGAUGUUUAUACUUAAUUGAUUUAGUGACGUAAAGAAUCAAUGUUAGUAAUGUAUAAUAUAAUUUCAAUUUGAGUAUUUGUAUAAUGUGGACUAGUUAAUACUAUAUCAAGUACUCUAAUCGAUUCUGACUAGAAUUUAAAUAUGUAUAUUGAAUUUACUGGUUGAAAAUAUAAGACCAGAAAUGAUGAUGACUCUAGCAAAGAUGAAAGAUCUCACCUAACCUAAUUUUGCUUACAUAUGCCAACUAUACACACUUGUGAGAAUGUUUUAAAUAUUUUAUAUGUUUGUUGGUUGGUAGUUUAGUUUAGUUAUUUCUUUAUAGAAACACGUGUUUAUGUAUAUAUACAAACAUACCCUAAAUAACAAAACCUAAGUUAAUGAAUAAAAUUCGCCAGUAAUAUAUGCUUAUGUAUUGAAGCUAAUUACCCGAGCAAGUAAUACUAUGAAGUGUAAUAUAUAUGUUUAUACUGACAUCAUCAUACAAAAAUCCACAUAUAAAUAUGAAGUGUGCAUAUAUAUAUAUAUAUAUAUAUAUAAGUUUAGUUAAAAUGAACAGUAAAGAAAAAGAUAAAACAAGUAUAGAAUAAAACUUUCUAUAUAUAGAAUGCUAUCUCUCUCUAUAUAUAUAUAUAUAUAUAUCUUUAUUUUUUAAAAUUUAACAUUUUUGUGCUGUUAAAAGAGAAAAGAAUGCAAGUUUUUGUUUGCCAAACUCUGAAAAUUAAAUGUUUGAUUUUCCAUUGUCAACAAUUUUUGUGACAUUCUUUUUUGUUUCUUGCAUACAUUUAUUUUCUAUUACAAAGGAUGAAGGAACGUACACGUCGUACAGUAUUAGAAAAAUCAGAAACGACAGGUGAAGGACCCAUUGGGCCCAUUAGGCCAAGGCCCAGUGAUGAUUCUAAUACAGCUAAGUGCACCAGAGGCUUUCAUGUUUUUGACAUUAACAGACACCAACUGGUUUCAAAAUGACAUGCUUUUAGUUUAUAUUUCGAACAAGUAUCUUUUCCAGAGCAUAGUUCUCAAACUACUAUUUCACAUCAUUACCGGAGGCACAUGAGUUGCUCUUAUAAUCCAACUCCAAACCGACGGUACCUGAGAAGCAAAAAUCAAGAGGGGCAAAGCAAGAGUCAGUUUCUUUGGAGAAAUUAGAACACCAGAUACAAAAAAAAAAAAACAAAGAUACUAACUUUAGAAGAGAGACCUAAUUAUAUUUGUCAUUCUCCAUCUAUUUCUGAGGCUUCUUCCACAAAACACCAAUUUUCUUGAGCACAUUCCCAUUUUUCUUCUUUAUCAAUUCAUCGUCAAUAUCCUCAGAGUAAGGGGAGUUCGUUUGGUUAUUGUUCUCCGCGAAUUUCUCAUUGUUUCCAGCAGAGAGCAUGGCAGUAGCUGCUUCAGCAGCUUUUCUCCAUUGGUUUGAUUGAACUUUAAGCUUCCUGAGUUCCGUUUCCAUUUCUGAGUUCGAAGCUUGAGUAGCCUCUAGUUGCUCUGUAACUAUAACUGCUCUUUUGCUACUCUUGUCAGCCUCUUCCAUUGCAAUCCCUAGCUUCAUGAACACGUCUUGAACAUCUGUCUCUCUCUUCUGGAUAUCUGACUUCAAUGUCUCAUUCUCAUCUGAAAUGAUCUGGAGUUCUGUCUCUUUAUCCAUCAAAUCCGCCUUUGAAUUCUCAAUUGCUUCCCUUAGUUUCUUCAGCUCAGCUUCAAUAUCUAUUUCCUUCUGGUUCUUCAUCAGUUUCAGGCAUAGGUUAUCUCUCUCCUCUGAAAUAAACUGCAAUUCUGUUUCCUUGUCCAUCAACCUCGCCUUUAGCUCGUCUGUCUCAGAUUUAGCUAUCUUUAGCUCAGAUUGGAGUUCAGCUUGUAUCCGUAACCAAGAAGAAGCCUCCACGUUCCCCUCUUGGUCUUUCUGGUCAGAAUCUUCUAGAGCCGCUCUCAGUCGCUCUACCUCACAUCUUAAGGAAGAUACUUCUUCUUCCAUCUCAUUUGAUUCCCCACGUUUUAAACUUCCAUAGUCUUUGAGCAGGGUUUCGUGGUUUUCCAAAUCCUCUGGAUUGGUCUGAAGUUUAUUCACAAGAGCUUCAAGCCAUGCCAUCCUUGAUUUUGACUGUUCAAGCUCCACCGCCAUCUUCUUGUAACUCUCAACUGCUUUUGUGCCAUCUAACUUCAGUUCUUCGACUGCCUUUUUCGCAUUCUCCAAUUGCCUAAGAGUUUCAGUGGCUAAAGCCUCGGUCUCAGCUUCUGAUACCUCACAGUCCUUCAGUUGGUUCCUGAAAUCUUCGACAAGGAAAAACGUGUCCAUUAGGUCUCCUCUCAAUAGUUGUACCUCCGAGUUAUGCAACUCAGCUUGUUUCACAUGACCAGCUUCAGAAGUAGCCAGCAUCUCAAUGUGAAGCUUGAGUUCUCGAAUCUCAUGAGCAACAGCAGCCAAUCCUGCUCUUUCACCAGCAGUAGCACUAAACUCCAAACCACACUCCUGAGAGAUACCUUGAUGAACAAGAGAACAUGUUUUAUCAGUUUCUUCUUCCGAGGCUGAAACUUCCAAAAACUGAUUCUGGUUCUCCUCAAGCUUAGAGGAAACUUCUUGCAGCUGUUUCCUGGACUUAUCUGCUUCUUGCUCUGCUUGCUUCUUUGAUGUUUCAGAUACUGAGACUUGAUCUUUCGCCUUCUUUAACUCCUCCUGAAGAUGUGAUACUAGCGACUCUAACUCCUUUAUUAUACUUGGCCUCUUCUUCUGUUAGCCAUGAAACAUAUCACAGUGUUACACUAAUCUCAAGAAUAAGAAUAAGCAGAAAAUUCAGUUAAAAAUUAGUUACACUAUCAUCUCUCAACUACCCAAAUUAAAUGUUCCACCUAAUUCUAUAUCCCAUAGGCCCCCAUAUCAAAUGUAUCCUAAAUUUUCCAUCAUCAAAAUCAAUACAGAAACAUGUUAUGUCGGAAAGGCUUAUUUUGGAUCAUGCAAAUAAAAGGGAUUUAUGAAAUCGAACGUUCAAUUGACCCCAACAAUGAAUAAAACAAAAGAAGGAUUUUUUCAAGACCCUUAUUACAUCUGAUUCAGCUUAUUACAUGAAGCUCAUACCUCAGAGACAGGGCUUCGUGGAGACCUACGAUCCGGAACUUUUGGACUUUUAUCCUUUGGUGUUCUGUUAUUAACUGAGACAGGAGGUGAAGAGGAAUCAGACUCUAGCGCUGCUAUCUUCAGUGGCCGAGCAGCUCGAGAAGAUACCUUCUUAGGAACACCUGGAGAUCCAUUUCUGCCCCAAAACCCAAAGAUAAAUUAAAUUGUAAAUCAAGAAGAUACCACACUCCAGAGCUGCAAGCAAAUGAGCCAGAGAACAAAAAGAACUUCAACUAAUAGAAACAGAUCAUAACUGUCGUAACUUGUUGCUACAUAGAUUGGGUCUUCUUCUUCAUGACGAGACUACAGUAAAUUCGUGAUAAAAUGGAAACAAAUAUGUUCUGAGGACCACAAGAAUGUAACCUUCAAGAUUCCCCGUUGAAAAAGUGCAAAAACUCUCACAAAACAGGAGAAGAAUCAGCUAUAAAUGCAAAGAACCAUUCAAAGACAAAAACCAAUAUCUACCUUGCCUUUUGGGACUGCAUAAUGUAAUCUUAUCACUCCAAGGCACAGGAUGAAUAAAACCUUGUUUACAGAAUUGAUAUUGUCAGCCUCCUCUUUACUUCUUCAAUGUCGCCUGACCCACCAAGAAUUGUAUAGAGCUCAUGAAUAUUUAAUGCAGAAGGAUGGAGACAUAUUUAAAAAUCCAAUGGCAGAGAAUAAACAUGAUAGGAGUUAUUACAGUGAAAAGAUAAGCGUAAGAAAAAUAUUUCUUUUCGUCGAUUAUCAAGUCUACUAACAGAAAAUAAGUAAAACAUAACUGUAUGUUAUGCAUCUUAAAGAAAAUAAAUUUCCAAUUGAUACAUAAAAUUCAAACUAGUACUGAGUUAAGCGGGAAUGGUUCUUCAAGGGUUUUUCAAAUUACUCACAGAGGUAACAAUUGGUUUUGAAUUUGUGGUUUCAUCUUCACGACUAAGUUCGGGACUCCACCUACUUACUGUCUGUUCCUCCACUGUGAAGUCCUCCAAACACGCAGGUAGAUUCAAUCCCUCUCCUUUGAAAUUACCAUUGACGUAGAGAGUCAACAACGUUUUGGCAACACUUCCGCUUAACCGAACAGCACAAUGGAUAUCAGACCACACUCUUAGUCGAUCACUAUCACCAGACUGAACCAAAACCGAGUAUUCAGAGUGGACAAGAGAUGGAUGGUGACGGUAUGCCACGAAAUCCACACCGUAUUGCAACCCUGAUCUCAAAACCCAGUUCUUCGAUCGUAGAUGUGAAUAAGCUUUGUAAAACAUUGGGAAGUUUGGUCUUUUUGAUUUCAUAUACAUCCAUGUGUCUACUUCAUUCUCCAAGCAACGACCUUGAAGAGAGAUUUUGAUGCAUUUGAGAGUGUGGAACAAAAAGAAAGCUUCUUCAAAAGAUAACUGAAUCCAUUUCUUCACUUUUUCUGCAGAUAGAACGAGUCUGCCAAAACAACAACGGUCGAGAAGCUCAGCUUGCUCUGGCUCAACCGCUAGAAGAACAUUGCAACUCGAGAGGGUACCCGAGGACUCUGUUUUGGCUAGAGAAAGCUGGAGCUCUAAUACGGAAUUUGAAAUAGGUUCGGCGAGAGCUUUUGCUUCAGCACCUUUCCAUUUCCAUCUCGGCGCCAUGGAAUCGAACUGCAUAUUAUAGCAUCAAAAAUCAAACCUUUUGACCAUAUAGAAACAAAAAAGCAUAAUAUGUUGAAUAAAGGAUAUUGUAAAUGAUUUUUAGUUUAUUACUAACUACAACUCUUUUAGUCUAGGAACUCGUAAAAACAUCGUAUAAACGCAUUUUAAAGUAGGAACUGGGUUGAACAAAACUAAGAACGUUUGAUAUUUAUCCCUUUUUGAUUCAAAGAUGAAUCGGCCAAGUGAUUUAUAAAAAAAGUAAUCACGUUAUUUUUAAGAUGAUGCAUUCUACAGAAGCAAGCAAUCACAAUGUCGUUGAACUUGUCCUGACAUGAUAGUAACCACGAAUGGAGGAUAAAACUAGAAAGGGAUAUAGGCAGAAACGAAACCUGAAGUUUAGAUUUUGAAGAAGAAACAGAGAGAAUCGAGGAAUUAGGCAGCAGAGUUAACAAUGGAGAAGUAUGCUUCAAGGAUCCAGUGGAGAGCUAUGAAGUAGCGGAAAAAAGUAAUCCCAUAGAAAAUUAGAUUAUUGUUGAGUUCGACUUAACUGUGGAAAAAUCGAGAAGGACAGUGGAGAAAGACUAACUAACGUAGAGAUGAUGAAGACCCACCACGAAGAAUUUCCGAACUUGAGAUUUAAGAAUGGGAGCGGGAUUCGGAUCUCUUGAAGAACGAAACGAGACCGUCGAGACUCGAGCAGCAGAGAUUGUCGUGUCUCGAAAUCCAAAACGAUUUUAGCAAAACAAAAAACCUUAUAAAAACAAAAUUAUCAAUGGGUCUAAUUGGGCUGUCUAGAGUUGCAUCCGUUUAGGCCCGUGAAAUAGAUCCGAGAGCCUUGCAAAGGGAGUCAACGGUUUCUCAAAUCACUAAGGCCGAAGAAGCUAACAAAGAGACUUGCGGUAUGAUCAUCUAUUUCGACAAAAUUGACUCUGUUCUGAUGUUCUGCUUUAACUUGUGUGAGAAACAAACCACAUAUCGAGGUGAAGCUGCAUGUCAUCGAAUGAUACCGGAUUGUCCUCAGCAUCACUACAAGCCCUCAGGCCUCAGGUAUCUAUUGUAAUAGUUGUUGCAUGCUUUUUGACUCCAAAGCUGACUUUGAUGUGGAAACAGAUAAUAAGAGACGGGGAAGCCUUUCGAGUGAAACUAAUACUAAUAACUCAAAACAUUAUAUUGAUACAUUCAACAACUUUCGAGCUGCAACUCAUAUUUAUUAAGAUUAAAGACAAAUUCACCACGAAGUAAACUCUGAUAAAAUUUCUGAUGUCCACACUUAUUCAUCUUUUACGAAGAAAAAAUAAAAACUAAAUGAGUUAAAUACAGAUAUAUAUAUUUUUUUUUUAUGUAACAAAAUUCUCAUAAUAAUAUAUUUUUCAUUCAUUUUCUUGAUAUUGUCUUUGAUUGAUUUAAGAUUUAAUUUGAUCUUUAUGGAUUCGUUUUUCUACUCAAAUACUCAGCUUUUUUUACCAAAAAAAAAAAAAAUACUCCAAGCUGACUGAAGGAUAAUAGAUGGACAUCAAUCUAUAUUUACCUUUUUAUUCUCUGGGUCAUAUCAAAUAAUUAACGGGAAAAAUGUCUUUAAAAUCAUCAACUUUCAAAUUGUGGCCAUUAUAAUCAUCAACUUCUUCUCUGGCCAUUUAAAGCAUAUANNNNNNNNNNNNNNNNNNNNNNNNNNNNNNNNNNNNNNNNNNNNNNNNNNNNNNNNNNNNNNNNNNNNNNNNNNNNNNNNNNNNNNNNNNNNNNNNNNNNNNNNNNNNNNNNNNNNNNNNNNNNNNNNNNNNNNNNNNNNNNNNNNNNNNNNNNNNNNNNNNNNNNNNNNNNNNNNNNNNNNNNNNNNNNNNNNNNNNNNNNNNNNNNNNNNNNNNNNNNNNNNNNNNNNNNNNNNNNNNNNNNNNNNNNNNNNNNNNNNNNNNNNNNNNNNNNNNNNNNNNNNNNNNNNNNNNNNNNNNNNNNNNNNNNNNNNNNNNNNNNNNNNNNNNNNNNNNNNNNNNNNNNNNNNNNNNNNNNNNNNNNNNNNNNNNNNNNNNNNNNNNNNNNNNNNNNNNNNNNNNNNNNNNNNNNNNNNNNNNNNNNNNNNNNNNNNNNNNNNNNNNNNNNNNNNNNNNNNNNNNNNNNNNNNNNNNNNNNNNNNNNNNNNNNNNNNNNNNNNNNNNNNNNNNNNNNNNNNNNNNNNNNNNNNNNNNNNNNNNNNNNNNNNNNNNNNNNNNNNNNNNNNNNNNNNNNNNNNNNNNNNNNNNNNNNNNNNNNNNNNNNNNNNNNNNNNNNNNNNNNNNNNNNNNNNNNNNNNNNNNNNNNNNNNNNNNNNNNNNNNNNNNNNNNNNNNNNNNNNNNNNNNNNNNNNNNNNNNNNNNNNNNNNNNNNNNNNNNNNNNNNNNNNNNNNNNNNNNNNNNNNNNNNNNNNNNNNNNNNNNNNNNNNNNNNNNNNNNNNNNNNNNNNNNNNNNNNNNNNNNNNNNNNNNNNNNNNNNNNNNNNNNNNNNNNNNNNNNNNNNNNNNNNNNNNNNNNNNNNNNNNNNNNNNNNNNNNNNNNNNNNNNNNNNNNNNNNNNNNNNNNNNNNNNNNNNNNNNNNNNNNNNNNNNNNNNNNNNNNNNNNNNNNNNNNNNNNNNNNNNNNNNNNNNNNNNNNNNNNNNNNNNNNNNNNNNNNNNNNNNNNNNNNNNNNNNNNNNNNNNNNNNNNNNNNNNNNNNNNNNNNNNNNNNNNNNNNNNNNNNNNNNNNNNNNNNNNNNNNNNNNNNNNNNNNNNNNNNNNNNNNNNNNNNNNNNNNNNNNNNNNNNNNNNNNNNNNNNNNNNNNNNNNNNNNNNNNNNNNNNNNNNNNNNNNNNNNNNNNNNNNNNNNNNNNNNNNNNNNNNNNNNNNNNNNNNNNNNNNNNNNNNNNNNNNNNNNNNNNNNNNNNNNNNNNNNNNNNNNNNNNNNNNNNNNNNNNNNNNNNNNNNNNNNNNNNNNNNNNNNNNNNNNNNNNNNNNNNNNNNNNNNNNNNNNNNNNNNNNNNNNNNNNNNNNNNNNNNNNNNNNNNNNNNNNNNNNNNNNNNNNNNNNNNNNNNNNNNNNNNNNNNNNNNNNNNNNNNNNNNNNNNNNNNNNNNNNNNNNNNNNNNNNNNNNNNNNNNNNNNNNNNNNNNNNNNNNNNNNNNNNNNNNNNNNNNNNNNNNNNNNNNNNNNNNNNNNNNNNNNNNNNNNNNNNNNNNNNNNNNNNNNNNNNNNNNNNNNNNNNNNNNNNNNNNNNNNNNNNNNNNNNNNNNNNNNNNNNNNNNNNNNNNNNNNNNNNNNNNNNNNNNNNNNNNNNNNNNNNNNNNNNNNNNNNNNNNNNNNNNNNNNNNNNNNNNNNNNNNNNNNNNNNNNNNNNNNNNNNNNNNNNNNNNNNNNNNNNNNNNNNNNNNNNNNNNNNNNNNNNNNNNNNNNNNNNNNNNNNNNNNNNNNNNNNNNNNNNNNNNNNNNNNNNNNNNNNNNNNNNNNNNNNNNNNNNNNNNNNNNNNNNNNNNNNNNNNNNNNNNNNNNNNNNNNNNNNNNNNNNNNNNNNNNNNNNNNNNNNNNNNNNNNNNNNNNNNNNNNNNNNNNNNNNNNNNNNNNNNNNNNNNNNNNNNNNNNNNNNNNNNNNNNNNNNNNNNNNNNNNNNNNNNNNNNNNNNNNNNNNNNNNNNNNNNNNNNNNNNNNNNNNNNNNNNNNNNNNNNNNNNNNNNNNNNNNNNNNNNNNNNNNNNNNNNNNNNNNNNNNNNNNNNNNNNNNNNNNNNNNNNNNNNNNNNNNNNNNNNNNNNNNNNNNNNNNNNNNNNNNNNNNNNNNNNNNNNNNNNNNNNNNNNNNNNNNNNNNNNNNNNNNNNNNNNNNNNNNNNNNNNNNNNNNNNNNNNNNNNNNNNNNNNNNNNNNNNNNNNNNNNNNNNNNNNNNNNNNNNNNNNNNNNNNNNNNNNNNNNNNNNNNNNNNNNNNNNNNNNNNNNNNNNNNNNNNNNNNNNNNNNNNNNNNNNNNNNNNNNNNNNNNNNNNNNNNNNNNNNNNNNNNNNNNNNNNNNNNNNNNNNNNNNNNNNNNNNNNNNNNNNNNNNNNNNNNNNNNNNNNNNNNNNNNNNNNNNNNNNNNNNNNNNNNNNNNNNNNNNNNNNNNNNNNNNNNNNNNNNNNNNNNNNNNNNNNNNNNNNNNNNNNNNNNNNNNNNNNNNNNNNNNNNNNNNNNNNNNNNNNNNNNNNNNNNNNNNNNNNNNNNNNNNNNNNNNNNNNNNNNNNNNNNNNNNNNNNNNNNNNNNNNNNNNNNNNNNNNNNNNNNNNNNNNNNNNNNNNNNNNNNNNNNNNNNNNNNNNNNNNNNNNNNNNNNNNNNNNNNNNNNNNNNNNNNNNNNNNNNNNNNNNNNNNNNNNNNNNNNNNNNNNNNNNNNNNNNNNNNNNNNNNNNNNNNNNNNNNNNNNNNNNNNNNNNNNNNNNNNNNNNNNNNNNNNNNNNNNNNNNNNNNNNNNNNNNNNNNNNNNNNNNNNNNNNNNNNNNNNNNNNNNNNNNNNNNNNNNNNNNNNNNNNNNNNNNNNNNNNNNNNNNNNNNNNNNNNNNNNNNNNNNNNNNNNNNNNNNNNNNNNNNNNNNNNNNNNNNNNNNNNNNNNNNNNNNNNNNNNNNNNNNNNNNNNNNNNNNNNNNNNNNNNNNNNNNNNNNNNNNNNNNNNNNNNNNNNNNNNNNNNNNNNNNNNNNNNNNNNNNNNNNNNNNNNNNNNNNNNNNNNNNNNNNNNNNNNNNNNNNNNNNNNNNNNNNNNNNNNNNNNNNNNNNNNNNNNNNNNNNNNNNNNNNNNNNNNNNNNNNNNNNNNNNNNNNNNNNNNNNNNNNNNNNNNNNNNNNNNNNNNNNNNNNNNNNNNNNNNNNNNNNNNNNNNNNNNNNNNNNNNNNNNNNNNNNNNNNNNNNNNNNNNNNNNNNNNNNNNNNNNNNNNNNNNNNNNNNNNNNNNNNNNNNNNNNNNNNNNNNNNNNNNNNNNNNNNNNNNNNNNNNNNNNNNNNNNNNNNNNNNNNNNNNNNNNNNNNNNNNNNNNNNNNNNNNNNNNNNNNNNNNNNNNNNNNNNNNNNNNNNNNNNNNNNNNNNNNNNNNNNNNNNNNNNNNNNNNNNNNNNNNNNNNNNNNNNNNNNNNNNNNNNNNNNNNNNNNNNNNNNNNNNNNNNNNNNNNNNNNNNNNNNNNNNNNNNNNNNNNNNNNNNNNNNNNNNNNNNNNNNNNNNNNNNNNNNNNNNNNNNNNNNNNNNNNNNNNNNNNNNNNNNNNNNNNNNNNNNNNNNNNNNNNNNNNNNNNNNNNNNNNNNNNNNNNNNNNNNNNNNNNNNNNNNNNNNNNNNNNNNNNNNNNNNNNNNNNNNNNNNNNNNNNNNNNNNNNNNNNNNNNNNNNNNNNNNNNNNNNNNNNNNNNNNNNNNNNNNNNNNNNNNNNNNNNNNNNNNNNNNNNNNNNNNNNNNNNNNNNNNNNNNNNNNNNNNNNNNNNNNNNNNNNNNNNNNNNNNNNNNNNNNNNNNNNNNNNNNNNNNNNNNNNNNNNNNNNNNNNNNNNNNNNNNNNNNNNNNNNNNNNNNNNNNNNNNNNNNNNNNNNNNNNNNNNNNNNNNNNNNNNNNNNNNNNNNNNNNNNNNNNNNNNNNNNNNNNNNNNNNNNNNNNNNNNNNNNNNNNNNNNNNNNNNNNNNNNNNNNNNNNNNNNNNNNNNNNNNNNNNNNNNNNNNNNNNNNNNNNNNNNNNNNNNNNNNNNNNNNNNNNNNNNNNNNNNNNNNNNNNNNNNNNNNNNNNNNNNNNNNNNNNNNNNNNNNNNNNNNNNNNNNNNNNNNNNNNNNNNNNNNNNNNNNNNNNNNNNNNNNNNNNNNNNNNNNNNNNNNNNNNNNNNNNNNNNNNNNNNNNNNNNNNNNNNNNNNNNNNNNNNNNNNNNNNNNNNNNNNNNNNNNNNNNNNNNNNNNNNNNNNNNNNNNNNNNNNNNNNNNNNNNNNNNNNNNNNNNNNNNNNNNNNNNNNNNNNNNNNNNNNNNNNNNNNNNNNNNNNNNNNNNNNNNNNNNNNNNNNNNNNNNNNNNNNNNNNNNNNNNNNNNNNNNNNNNNNNNNNNNNNNNNNNNNNNNNNNNNNNNNNNNNNNNNNNNNNNNNNNNNNNNNNNNNNNNNNNNNNNNNNNNNNNNNNNNNNNNNNNNNNNNNNNNNNNNNNNNNNNNNNNNNNNNNNNNNNNNNNNNNNNNNNNNNNNNNNNNNNNNNNNNNNNNNNNNNNNNNNNNNNNNNNNNNNNNNNNNNNNNNNNNNNNNNNNNNNNNNNNNNNNNNNNNNNNNNNNNNNNNNNNNNNNNNNNNNNNNNNNNNNNNNNNNNNNNNNNNNNNNNNNNNNNNNNNNNNNNNNNNNNNNNNNNNNNNNNNNNNNNNNNNNNNNNNNNNNNNNNNNNNNNNNNNNNNNNNNNNNNNNNNNNNNNNNNNNNNNNNNNNNNNNNNNNNNNNNNNNNNNNNNNNNNNNNNNNNNNNNNNNNNNNNNNNNNNNNNNNNNNNNNNNNNNNNNNNNNNNNNNNNNNNNNNNNNNNNNNNNNNNNNNNNNNNNNNNNNNNNNNNNNNNNNNNNNNNNNNNNNNNNNNNNNNNNNNNNNNNNNNNNNNNNNNNNNNNNNNNNNNNNNNNNNNNNNNNNNNNNNNNNNNNNNNNNNNNNNNNNNNNNNNNNNNNNNNNNNNNNNNNNNNNNNNNNNNNNNNNNNNNNNNNNNNNNNNNNNNNNNNNNNNNNNNNNNNNNNNNNNNNNNNNNNNNNNNNNNNNNNNNNNNNNNNNNNNNNNNNNNNNNNNNNNNNNNNNNNNNNNNNNNNNNNNNNNNNNNNNNNNNNNNNNNNNNNNNNNNNNNNNNNNNNNNNNNNNNNNNNNNNNNNNNNNNNNNNNNNNNNNNNNNNNNNNNNNNNNNNNNNNNNNNNNNNNNNNNNNNNNNNNNNNNNNNNNNNNNNNNNNNNNNNNNNNNNNNNNNNNNNNNNNNNNNNNNNNNNNNNNNNNNNNNNNNNNNNNNNNNNNNNNNNNNNNNNNNNNNNNNNNNNNNNNNNNNNNNNNNNNNNNNNNNNNNNNNNNNNNNNNNNNNNNNNNNNNNNNNNNNNNNNNNNNNNNNNNNNNNNNNNNNNNNNNNNNNNNNNNNNNNNNNNNNNNNNNNNNNNNNNNNNNNNNNNNNNNNNNNNNNNNNNNNNNNNNNNNNNNNNNNNNNNNNNNNNNNNNNNNNNNNNNNNNNNNNNNNNNNNNNNNNNNNNNNNNNNNNNNNNNNNNNNNNNNNNNNNNNNNNNNNNNNNNNNNNNNNNNNNNNNNNNNNNNNNNNNNNNNNNNNNNNNNNNNNNNNNNNNNNNNNNNNNNNNNNNNNNNNNNNNNNNNNNNNNNNNNNNNNNNNNNNNNNNNNNNNNNNNNNNNNNNNNNNNNNNNNNNNNNNNNNNNNNNNNNNNNNNNNNNNNNNNNNNNNNNNNNNNNNNNNNNNNNNNNNNNNNNNNNNNNNNNNNNNNNNNNNNNNNNNNNNNNNNNNNNNNNNNNNNNNNNNNNNNNNNNNNNNNNNNNNNNNNNNNNNNNNNNNNNNNNNNNNNNNNNNNNNNNNNNNNNNNNNNNNNNNNNNNNNNNNNNNNNNNNNNNNNNNNNNNNNNNNNNNNNNNNNNNNNNNNNNNNNNNNNNNNNNNNNNNNNNNNNNNNNNNNNNNNNNNNNNNNNNNNNNNNNNNNNNNNNNNNNNNNNNNNNNNNNNNNNNNNNNNNNNNNNNNNNNNNNNNNNNNNNNNNNNNNNNNNNNNNNNNNNNNNNNNNNNNNNNNNNNNNNNNNNNNNNNNNNNNNNNNNNNNNNNNNNNNNNNNNNNNNNNNNNNNNNNNNNNNNNNNNNNNNNNNNNNNNNNNNNNNNNNNNNNNNNNNNNNNNNNNNNNNNNNNNNNNNNNNNNNNNNNNNNNNNNNNNNNNNNNNNNNNNNNNNNNNNNNNNNNNNNNNNNNNNNNNNNNNNNNNNNNNNNNNNNNNNNNNNNNNNNNNNNNNNNNNNNNNNNNNNNNNNNNNNNNNNNNNNNNNNNNNNNNNNNNNNNNNNNNNNNNNNNNNNNNNNNNNNNNNNNNNNNNNNNNNNNNNNNNNNNNNNNNNNNNNNNNNNNNNNNNNNNNNNNNNNNNNNNNNNNNNNNNNNNNNNNNNNNNNNNNNNNNNNNNNNNNNNNNNNNNNNNNNNNNNNNNNNNNNNNNNNNNNNNNNNNNNNNNNNNNNNNNNNNNNNNNNNNNNNNNNNNNNNNNNNNNNNNNNNNNNNNNNNNNNNNNNNNNNNNNNNNNNNNNNNNNNNNNNNNNNNNNNNNNNNNNNNNNNNNNNNNNNNNNNNNNNNNNNNNNNNNNNNNNNNNNNNNNNNNNNNNNNNNNNNNNNNNNNNNNNNNNNNNNNNNNNNNNNNNNNNNNNNNNNNNNNNNNNNNNNNNNNNNNNNNNNNNNNNNNNNNNNNNNNNNNNNNNNNNNNNNNNNNNNNNNNNNNNNNNNNNNNNNNNNNNNNNNNNNNNNNNNNNNNNNNNNNNNNNNNNNNNNNNNNNNNNNNNNNNNNNNNNNNNNNNNNNNNNNNNNNNNNNNNNNNNNNNNNNNNNNNNNNNNNNNNNNNNNNNNNNNNNNNNNNNNNNNNNNNNNNNNNNNNNNNNNNNNNNNNNNNNNNNNNNNNNNNNNNNNNNNNNNNNNNNNNNNNNNNNNNNNNNNNNNNNNNNNNNNNNNNNNNNNNNNNNNNNNNNNNNNNNNNNNNNNNNNNNNNNNNNNNNNNNNNNNNNNNNNNNNNNNNNNNNNNNNNNNNNNNNNNNNNNNNNNNNNNNNNNNNNNNNNNNNNNNNNNNNNNNNNNNNNNNNNNNNNNNNNNNNNNNNNNNNNNNNNNNNNNNNNNNNNNNNNNNNNNNNNNNNNNNNNNNNNNNNNNNNNNNNNNNNNNNNNNNNNNNNNNNNNNNNNNNNNNNNNNNNNNNNNNNNNNNNNNNNNNNNNNNNNNNNNNNNNNNNNNNNNNNNNNNNNNNNNNNNNNNNNNNNNNNNNNNNNNNNNNNNNNNNNNNNNNNNNNNNNNNNNNNNNNNNNNNNNNNNNNNNNNNNNNNNNNNNNNNNNNNNNNNNNNNNNNNNNNNNNNNNNNNNNNNNNNNNNNNNNNNNNNNNNNNNNNNNNNNNNNNNNNNNNNNNNNNNNNNNNNNNNNNNNNNNNNNNNNNNNNNNNNNNNNNNNNNNNNNNNNNNNNNNNNNNNNNNNNNNNNNNNNNNNNNNNNNNNNNNNNNNNNNNNNNNNNNNNNNNNNNNNNNNNNNNNNNNNNNNNNNNNNNNNNNNNNNNNNNNNNNNNNNNNNNNNNNNNNNNNNNNNNNNNNNNNNNNNNNNNNNNNNNNNNNNNNNNNNNNNNNNNNNNNNNNNNNNNNNNNNNNNNNNNNNNNNNNNNNNNNNNNNNNNNNNNNNNNNNNNNNNNNNNNNNNNNNNNNNNNNNNNNNNNNNNNNNNNNNNNNNNNNNNNNNNNNNNNNNNNNNNNNNNNNNNNNNNNNNNNNNNNNNNNNNNNNNNNNNNNNNNNNNNNNNNNNNNNNNNNNNNNNNNNNNNNNNNNNNNNNNNNNNNNNNNNNNNNNNNNNNNNNNNNNNNNNNNNNNNNNNNNNNNNNNNNNNNNNNNNNNNNNNNNNNNNNNNNNNNNNNNNNNNNNNNNNNNNNNNNNNNNNNNNNNNNNNNNNNNNNNNNNNNNNNNNNNNNNNNNNNNNNNNNNNNNNNNNNNNNNNNNNNNNNNNNNNNNNNNNNNNNNNNNNNNNNNNNNNNNNNNNNNNNNNNNNNNNNNNNNNNNNNNNNNNNNNNNNNNNNNNNNNNNNNNNNNNNNNNNNNNNNNNNNNNNNNNNNNNNNNNNNNNNNNNNNNNNNNNNNNNNNNNNNNNNNNNNNNNNNNNNNNNNNNNNNNNNNNNNNNNNNNNNNNNNNNNNNNNNNNNNNNNNNNNNNNNNNNNNNNNNNNNNNNNNNNNNNNNNNNNNNNNNNNNNNNNNNNNNNNNNNNNNNNNNNNNNNNNNNNNNNNNNNNNNNNNNNNNNNNNNNNNNNNNNNNNNNNNNNNNNNNNNNNNNNNNNNNNNNNNNNNNNNNNNNNNNNNNNNNNNNNNNNNNNNNNNNNNNNNNNNNNNNNNNNNNNNNNNNNNNNNNNNNNNNNNNNNNNNNNNNNNNNNNNNNNNNNNNNNNNNNNNNNNNNNNNNNNNNNNNNNNNNNNNNNNNNNNNNNNNNNNNNNNNNNNNNNNNNNNNNNNNNNNNNNNNNNNNNNNNNNNNNNNNNNNNNNNNNNNNNNNNNNNNNNNNNNNNNNNNNNNNNNNNNNNNNNNNNNNNNNNNNNNNNNNNNNNNNNNNNNNNNNNNNNNNNNNNNNNNNNNNNNNNNNNNNNNNNNNNNNNNNNNNNNNNNNNNNNNNNNNNNNNNNNNNNNNNNNNNNNNNNNNNNNNNNNNNNNNNNNNNNNNNNNNNNNNNNNNNNNNNNNNNNNNNNNNNNNNNNNNNNNNNNNNNNNNNNNNNNNNNNNNNNNNNNNNNNNNNNNNNNNNNNNNNNNNNNNNNNNNNNNNNNNNNNNNNNNNNNNNNNNNNNNNNNNNNNNNNNNNNNNNNNNNNNNNNNNNNNNNNNNNNNNNNNNNNNNNNNNNNNNNNNNNNNNNNNNNNNNNNNNNNNNNNNNNNNNNNNNNNNNNNNNNNNNNNNNNNNNNNNNNNNNNNNNNNNNNNNNNNNNNNNNNNNNNNNNNNNNNNNNNNNNNNNNNNNNNNNNNNNNNNNNNNNNNNNNNNNNNNNNNNNNNNNNNNNNNNNNNNNNNNNNNNNNNNNNNNNNNNNNNNNNNNNNNNNNNNNNNNNNNNNNNNNNNNNNNNNNNNNNNNNNNNNNNNNNNNNNNNNNNNNNNNNNNNNNNNNNNNNNNNNNNNNNNNNNNNNNNNNNNNNNNNNNNNNNNNNNNNNNNNNNNNNNNNNNNNNNNNNNNNNNNNNNNNNNNNNNNNNNNNNNNNNNNNNNNNNNNNNNNNNNNNNNNNNNNNNNNNNNNNNNNNNNNNNNNNNNNNNNNNNNNNNNNNNNNNNNNNNNNNNNNNNNNNNNNNNNNNNNNNNNNNNNNNNNNNNNNNNNNNNNNNNNNNNNNNNNNNNNNNNNNNNNNNNNNNNNNNNNNNNNNNNNNNNNNNNNNNNNNNNNNNNNNNNNNNNNNNNNNNNNNNNNNNNNNNNNNNNNNNNNNNNNNNNNNNNNNNNNNNNNNNNNNNNNNNNNNNNNNNNNNNNNNNNNNNNNNNNNNNNNNNNNNNNNNNNNNNNNNNNNNNNNNNNNNNNNNNNNNNNNNNNNNNNNNNNNNNNNNNNNNNNNNNNNNNNNNNNNNNNNNNNNNNNNNNNNNNNNNNNNNNNNNNNNNNNNNNNNNNNNNNNNNNNNNNNNNNNNNNNNNNNNNNNNNNNNNNNNNNNNNNNNNNNNNNNNNNNNNNNNNNNNNNNNNNNNNNNNNNNNNNNNNNNNNNNNNNNNNNNNNNNNNNNNNNNNNNNNNNNNNNNNNNNNNNNNNNNNNNNNNNNNNNNNNNNNNNNNNNNNNNNNNNNNNNNNNNNNNNNNNNNNNNNNNNNNNNNNNNNNNNNNNNNNNNNNNNNNNNNNNNNNNNNNNNNNNNNNNNNNNNNNNNNNNNNNNNNNNNNNNNNNNNNNNNNNNNNNNNNNNNNNNNNNNNNNNNNNNNNNNNNNNNNNNNNNNNNNNNNNNNNNNNNNNNNNNNNNNNNNNNNNNNNNNNNNNNNNNNNNNNNNNNNNNNNNNGUAUAUGUAGCUCCAAGAGAUGUUGAAGAUCCAGAUGGUUUGCUAGCUUUGGAGAAGACUUUCAAUUCUCCUGAAGACUUUAAGCUUACAGUUUUGAGGUACUCUUUGAAGACAAGGUAUGAUAUUAAGCUCUAUAGGUCUCAAGCGCUAAGGGUUGGUGCAAAGUGCUGCUAUGUUGAUGAAGAUGGGCUUAAAUGUCCUUGGAGAGUGUAUUGUUCAUAUGAAAGGAGCAAACAUAAGAUGCAGAUCAAGGUUUAUAUCAAUGAGCAUAGAUGUGUGAGGUCUGGGUAUACAAAGAUGUUGNNNNNNNNNNNNNNNNNNNNNNNNNNNNNNNNNNNNNNNNNNNNNNNNNNNNNNNNNNNNNNNNNNNNNNNNNNNNNNNNNNNNNNNNNNNNNNNNNNNNNNNNNNNNNNNNNNNNNNNNNNNNCAAAGGCGAAGACCAAGGUGUUACGUGCUAGGAAGGCUAGCCAUGAAUCACAGUUUGCUCGAAUAUGGGAUUAUCAAGCUGAGGUUUUACAGCAGAAUCCGGACUCAGAGUUUGAGAUCGAGACGAUACCAGGGCCAGUCAUUGGAAGCAAACAGAGGUUUUAUCGUCUCUAUAUUUGUUUCAAUUCACAGAAAGAGAGUUGGAAAAAAACGUGUAGGCCCAUCAUAGGAUUAGAUGGAGCUUUUCUGAAAUAGGAUAUAAAAGGUCAUCUUCUAGCUGCAGUUGGAAGAGAUGGGGAUAAUAGGAUAGUUCCUAUUGCUUGGGCUGUUGUAGAAAUAGAGAAUGAUGAUAACUGGGAAUGGUUUGUGAAGAAUAUUUCUAGAAGUUUGGGACUUGAUACAAUGACAGAUAUAGCUAUCAUUUCAGAUAAACAACAGGUUUGUGUAAUUUCAUACUUUUGAUUUUCUGUAUGUUGGUAGUCUCUUUGAUGAAUAUGACAUUAUGAUUGUUUUGCAGGGCCUAGUGAAAGCUAUACAUGGUGUACUUCCACAUGCUGAACAUCGACAGUGUGCUAAACAUAUUAUGGAAAACUGGAAAAGGGACAGCCAUGAUCAAGAACUUCAACGCUUGUUUUGGAGGAUAGCUAGGAGUUAUACAACUGGACAGUUCAAUGAUCGAAUGGAAGCACUCAAAAAGUACAACCCGCAAGCUUUUAUAUCUCUUCAAGAUACUAAUCCUACAACAUGGUCCAGAGCUUUCUUUAGGAUUGGUACUUGCUGCAAUGACAACCUCAACAACCUCAGUGAGUCUUUUAAUAGGACUAUUCGACAAGCAAGGAGAAAGCCUUUGUUAGAUUUGCUAGAGGAUAUUAGAAGGCAAUGCAUGGUGAGAAAUGCAAAGAGGUAUAUCAUUGCUGAAAGGUUGAAGACACGGUUCACAAAGAGAGCUCACGCUGAAAUUGAAAAGAUGAUCGCUGGGACACAAAACUGCACAAGAUACAUGGCCAGAAACAAUUUGCAUGAGGUAGACGAGAAUGAUGUUACUUACCGAGUUGAUAUGAAUAACAAUACUUGUGGUUGCAGAAAGUGGCAAAUGGUUGGAAUCCCAUGUAUUCAUGCUGCAAGUGUGAUCAUUGGAAGAAAGGAGAAAGUUGAGAACUAUGUCAGUGAGUAUUACACAAAGAAAAGGUGGAAAGAGACCUAUAAAGAUGGUAUUAAGCCUGUCCAAGGGAUGUCUUUGUGGCCUAGAUUGAAUAGGUUGCCUGUCCUGCCACCACCAUGGAGAAGAGGUAAUCCGGGAAGACCAUCUAACUAUGCUAGGAGAAAAGGAAGAAAUGAAUCUUCAUCUUCUUCAAAUAACAAGAUGUCAAGGGCUAAGAGGGUGAUGACUUGUUCUAACUGCAAAGAGGAAGGACACAAUAAGCAAGCUUGCAAAAAUCCACCUGCUGCGACUCAACCAAAGAGACCAAGAGGUCGACCACGAAAAUAUCAAGAACCACAAGCUUCACAACCUCCUCACGGAUCACAAGGGUUAGGUGCUUCACAACCUCCUCACGGAUCACAAGGGUUAGGUGCUUCACAACCUCCUCACGGAUCACAAGGGUUAGGUGCUUCACAAGGGCAAGGUUCACAACCUCCUCAAGCACAUGGAUCACAACCUCCUCAAGCACAUGGAUCACAAAGGCAAGCACAUGGAUCACAAAGGCAAGCACAUGGAUCACAAAGGCUAGCUCACGGAUCACAAAGGCAAGCUCACGGAUCUCAACCCCAAGGNNNNNNNNNNNNNNNNNNNNNNNNNNNNNNNNNNNNNNNNNNNNNNNNNNNNNNNNNNNNNNNNNNNNNNNNNNNNNNNNNNNNNNNNNNNNNNNNNNNNNNNNNNNNNNNNNNNNNNNNNNNNNNNNNNNNNNNNNNNNNNNNNNNNNNNNNNNNNNNNNNNNNNNNNNNNNNNNNNNNNNNNNNNNNNNNNNNNNNNNNNNNNNNNNNNNNNNNNNNNNNNNNNNNNNNNNNNNNNNNNNNNNNNNNNNNNNNNNNNNNNNNNNNNNNNNNNNNNNNNNNNNNNNNNNNNNNNNNNNNNNNNNNNNNNNNNNNNNNNNNNNNNNNNNNNNNNNNNNNNNNNNNNNNNNNNNNNNNNNNNNNNNNNNNNNNNNNNNNNNNNNNNNNNNNNNNNNNNNNNNNNNNNNNNNNNNNNNNNNNNNNNNNNNNNNNNNNNNNNNNNNNNNNNNNNNNNNNNNNNNNNNNNNNNNNNNNNNNNNNNNNNNNNNNNNNNNNNNNNNNNNNNNNNNNNNNNNNNNNNNNNNNNNNNNNNNNNNNNNNNNNNNNNNNNNNNNNNNNNNNNNNNNNNNNNNNNNNNNNNNNNNNNNNNNNNNNNNNNNNNNNNNNNNNNNNNNNNNNNNNNNNNNNNNNNNNNNNNNNNNNNNNNNNNNNNNNNNNNNNNNNNNNNNNNNNNNNNNNNNNNNNNNNNNNNNNNNNNNNNNNNNNNNNNNNNNNNNNNNNNNNNNNNNNNNNNNNNNNNNNNNNNNNNNNNNNNNNNNNNNNUGGACGAAAAUAUAGAGAAGAAGAUGGAGGAGUUGAUUGCCCAGAUUCUGUAGAAGAUAGAGAAGAAGAUAGAGAAGAAGAUGGAGAAGAAGGUAGAGAAGAAGAUGGAGAAGACAAAUGAGAUUUUAGGGAUUUGAUUCUCAAUUUGGGGAUUUUACUAUCGAUUAAUUAGUUUCGUUUAAGUGAAAAACGAUGUCGUUUUGACUAACAGAAAUCGAUUAACGUCGGCUAAACGUCAGUUAACUAGUCUGUUAAAGGAUUUGACGACGUGUUGGUUUUGGCUCGGUCAACAGCAGUUUAUGAUUUACAACAAAGUCAACAUGACAUAGAUGCUUUAAAUGGCCAGAGAAGAAGUUGAUGAUUAUAAUGGCCACAAUUUGAAAGUUGAUGAUUUUAAAGACAUUUUUCCCAAUAAUUAACUGUUCUUUUACUUAUUUUGACCAAGUUCAAAAAGGAAAGUAAGAAGCGUCUCAUGUAAGCCAUUGGCAAGUUACGUUUUUACCCUUUUCUCCACACACGUGUGAUGCGACAUGCGAAGGGGUCUCUCUGUAAAAGGGACGAUCAUCGUAAAGCAAACAAACCCAAUCGUCGUCGUCACUCACUCACCCCAACAGAGUAACUAUUGAUUUUAUCGCUGCCGUGAGACCAAAAACAUGAAUUUCUUGCCUCACGAUUCCGAUUCCGAGUUUGCGUUCCGGUUACAGAUGGAGGAAGCACUCGCGGCUUCUCUCUCUUCCCGAUCUCGUACUCCUCAACGACCACCGUCGCCGCCUCCGGUUGUUGCUAGGUGUGGUAUCGCUAUCGUCGUUGAAGACGAUAUGAACCAACCUAAACCGGCUGAGAAAAGUAGAGGUUACGGUUUCGAUUUUAGGAGAGCCGUCGGCGAAGGAAGCUCUAAAGGAAAUGGCAAAACCCACGACACUGUCACUGGUGUACGUACGGAUGUACGAAACCCUAACAUUGGAGUCGGUAACACCCGAAACACUUCGGGAAACUUACCCUCGCAGGGCCAAUCAGUCGGAGAGGGUAGCUCGAGGGUUCACGCUGCUGCUGGAAAAUUCAACGGAAAUGUACUGUACAGGCUUUACUUUAAGGGUUUAGUUAGCGAAGAAAGCGGCAAGGGGAAGAUGACGGACGUCUUGGCUGGAUUUGGGGUUGCUAUUUGUGACCAGAGUGAUAAUUUGUUGUUCGAGAUGAAGGGACCAUUGGUUGACCAUGGCGUGAGUCGUCAGGGAGCGGAGCUCAAGGCAUUGAUACAAGGACUAACCAAAGCUUUGACGUUGGGGAUCAAACAUAUCGCCUUUUGUUGCGAUACUUAUCCUAUUUUCCAAUACGUAAGUUUCCCUUCCAUGGCUAUUCAUUGUUACGAUUCACUCUCUCACAAUCUUUUUGUUGCUGAAUCCGAAUUCAAAGCUAUGUUUGUUUUCUUCUGUUUUCUCGGGGCAUUGACUACUAGGAUAGGAACUUGUUGCUUGAAUUUUAAUGAGAUUAGCUUAUUUGGUCUGGAAUCUUUAAAGUGUAGUGAAUGUUUGUGUCUCUGUUGGGAGUUUUCAUAUGUAGAUUAGGAUGAGUAGAAAGGAAAACAAAAUUCACGGUUAAGAAUAUGAUAAGAUGGAGUUGCUAACUCUAACAUACCAUAUCGUGGCCAUUUUGUAAGCCACUAUCAUAUGUCUUCAGUUUGGCAUUGUAUAGAUAUGAUCGCGCUAAUGGUUUACUAGUUAUGAGAUGGUAGACUCUGACUUCUAUGGUUAUAUGCUUGUGUUUUUCUGAGAUCGUUUAGCUUGUGUUCUAGCUCUUCUUGUCAUUAUCUUACAUAAGAUUGUAUUUUUACUUGAAUGUAGGCCAGGGGAAGGUAUGUGGCUAAGCAAAAGAAGAUUUCCCUGUUGUUAAAUGAUCUACAAAGCAUCAUGCAACGCUUUUCAUCUAGUCAGCCUGUUCUGGUGGCCGGAAACAAUGUGAAAUUUGCCUAUAAACUUGCAAGGGAAUCAAUACUUUCUAAGGUCACCCCUCAUGCAGAACCUCGCCAGGCAAAAGCAGCUCGGAAAGAGGAGUGUGCUAUCUGUUUCAACGACAUCUAUGCUGAGCGCAUGUUUGCUGUUGACAAAUGCUGUCACCGCUUUUGCCUUCAAUGUGUGAAACAACAUGUAGAGGUGAAGCUGCUGCAUGGAAUGGUUCCGAGGUGUCCUCACGAUGGCUGCAAGUCUGAGCUGGUAAUUGAUGCCUGUGGCAAGCUUUUGACUCAAAAACUGAGCAAAAUGUGGCAACAAAGACUCAAAGAGAAUUCAAUACCUGUCACGGAGAGAGUUUACUGCCCUUACCCAAGGUGCUCGGCUUUGAUGUCCAAAACCAAGAUUUCUGAAGCUGCCAAGACCUUACUGUCUGUUUAUCCCAAAUCUGGAGUUAGGAGAUGUGUUGAAUGUCGUGGCCUCUUCUGUGUGGACUGUAAAGUUCCAUGGCAUGGCAAUCUGUCCUGCACGGAGUAUAAGAAAUUGCAUCCUAACCCUCCAGCAGAUGAUGUGAAGCUAAAGUCUCUCGCAAAUAAUAAGAUGUGGCGCCAAUGUGGCAAGUGCCAACACAUGAUUGAACUUACACAAGGAUGCAAUCACAUAACUUGCAGGUAUCUAUCUAUUCCUCUACGCUUUUUCAAAUAAGACCAUGUAAUCUAAAGCACAUGUUAUAAAUUGCAAUGUUUAACUAUUCAACGUUCCUCUUUGGUAUUCUCCUUAGAUGUGGACAUGAGUUUUGUUACAAUUGCGGAGGUGGAUGGAACCUAGAAAUGGGGACUUGUUUAAAUCACUGCCCAACCUGGGACGAAGCAUACAUCAGACGUCAAGAUCCAGCGCGUGAAAAUGUGGCUCCUAACAACUACUUUGAUGAUGAUGAUGAUGAUGAUGAUGAUUAUGAGGAUGGUUACGAAUAUGAUGACUUCCACCACCUUGUUGGACUUGCGCAUGCUAUGGAUAAUCUUAAGCCUGAGGAGCCCUUCGACCCCUUCUUCGACUUGCCAGAUGGUAAUGUGACUUCCGGAUCUCUCUAAAACCUUUAAAUCUCAUAGACUUGAUACAAAAAGUACUCUCUGCUAAUCCUGUAGGUGUGAUAUUUACCCCCGAUAUGCUAUCUCCCAAGACUCGUCGCCAAUUGUACAUGUCGGAUGAUGAUUCAGAUGAUAAUGUUCCUGCAAAUGAGUUUGACGAAUACUUUGGAAAGUAUGGAAAGUACAGUACAGUAUACGACUCCGACGGCCUUGAAAUUGAGGACUUCACGAACCCUUUCCAUCCUGACUAUCUUUAGUUUGGCACCAAAGAUGGCAUCUUUCUUUUUUAUAUUCCAGGUCCAAACUCUUUGCUAUAUGCUCUCUCCUCUUGAAACUUUUUGAGGUGCAUGUUUCUUCUAUGACUUGUUAUGUAUGACAGUAUGUAUGAGUUUGGGUUAUCUUGGAAUUUGUAGACAACUUGGGUUUCAAGUUAGGGCAAUUUUUUCUCUUUUUUUUGACGUCUUUUGGUGAGUUUGGUUUCGGCUUGCGCAUCUUUAUGUUUCCCUUCAAUGAGAUUGAUAGCGAGCUGAAUUACAAAUUUACACGCCAUAUCUUACGGACACAAAGAUCAUUAAAAUCAAAUUUGUAAUUUCAAUGAUGGAUCGUGUGAAUCGUGAUCGACUUCAAAAUUUUGUAAUUGAUUAUCGAUUGUUUAUUACCAAACUCAACGACGUAAUUAGUGUAGUCAGAAAUUAGUAAUUUAGUAGAGCCUUACGAAUGGGCCGGGAUCGGGCCAGACAAAACCCAGUUUACAUCGCCCACCCACCCACUUAGGCGAAAUCGACACUUUUCUUUCUUUCUUUCUCUCAGUUUGUCAAUUGUCAUCACUCAUCACUGUAUCGGAAUCUCCAGCCGGCCGGAGAUAUAAGUCGCCGUCUUUUUCUCUCCCGGUCACGAAAGAUCCAACAUUGGCGCUGUUUCUACGAUUAACACAGAUAAAUUCACUGUAUGAUGAGUCCCUAUCUAUUGGGAUAUGCGGCAAUGCAAACGUCUCGCAGUCAAGAAGCUAAGACGGAGAUUAAAAUGUGCUUUGACGUUUUGCUUGAGCUUUCUAUAGCCUGCAGGUUCCUACUUUCCUAGUAUACUAGUGUCAUAUUGAACCAUUUAUAAAUGUCUCAAGUCAAAUUCUAUAUUGUUCUGUGAUGAGACGGAUAAUAAAUCUGGUUAUAAUACUGCUCCUUAAUAUAGAGUUUCAUCUCUAGACUAUUAUUUCAUGAAGAUGAUCAUGUUAACUUACAUAGUUACAUACAUACUACUCAACAAUAGAGAAUGAAUAAAUGUUUAGAAAACCCCUCUGGGUUGUACUAAGCAAGCCUCUUGUGUUAUUCUAACUAUGUUUUUUUCUGUAGAUGUACAAAACAUAAACUUGUGGAAGACUACAGUGACCCUUCAAUUUCUUAUAUGACUUGGACUGAAAAUGAUGGACUACUUACCUUGGAAACAUCUUAGAUUGCAAGGAAAUUUUAAUGAAAUUCUAUUUGUGCAUCUUCUUUUUAAAUGCUUGUCCUUUGAACCUAGGAAUGUUAUGAAUUUGAUAGGAGAAUCUAAUAAUAGCAUUUGUCUCCCUGCAGCAUAUUCUGAAUAACCAUUCAGGAAAGAUGGUGGAAAUUUCCUUCAAGCGUGUGGAUACGAUACUCUGACUUUGUUAAGGGUAAGUAUGAGCCAUGAGGUGGUCAUUAUUCAAUAAAGUUGACCUUGACAUAAUAUAUAAUAUACAUUACUGUAUUUUAAAAGUGAUCCAUCUUAUAGUAUCCUAUAUUAUCUUAACGCCAAUAAGUAUUUUGAGCCCCAUAUUUUUAAUUUAUACCGUGAAACACGAUAGAAGUGUUAUCCGUUAAAUUAACACUUAGUUUAAUGAUUGACAAAAAAAAGAAAGACAACCUUUGAAGUCAUAUCCAAAUGAUCCACUGCUUCUGCCAACUGGAGACUUUGUUUUUAUCAAUAGAUUUGUUUUGCACCGUCUCGCCCUUCCUUUUCAAUGAUCAGUCUUUUGGUAUUUUCCUCUUUAAAUAACUGUAUUAAAGACCAAUCCUUUUUCAUCUCUUUUCUCUUGUCUCAUGGAAAUAUUAUUUUUGCUGUCUUCGACUUUGACAGGUGUUCGAAAGUCUUACCAACGGAAAAAGUAACACACCAUAAAGAUUCCAAAGCAGUCGUAAUAUUUUGACUAUUGAAGUCGUAUUCAAUGGGUCUACCAACCAAAGGGAAAGAGAGAUUAUUGUUAAGCAUUUGAGAGCAGAUAGAUAGAGAGUAAACAAAAACAAAAGAGAAACGAUAACUCUCUCUCUGUUUGUUUUAUCACCAAUGAUUCGAGGACUGCUUCUGGGGAUCAUCUGGGUGAUAUUUUUUGUUUGCUCAUCAUUUCAACAAGAGACGACGUUUGUUUACAACAACUUUGGCCAAGCUGAUGAUCAUCUUUAUUUUGACGGCAGUGCAAGAAUCAUUCCCAAUGGUGGUGGCAUCCUGCAACUGACAAAUGCAACGAAUAGUCAAAUAGGUCAUGCGUUCUCCAAGAAGCCUAUUGAGUUCAAAUCAGGUGAAUCAGUCUCGUUCUCGACACAUUUUGUGUGUGCACUGCUCCCUGCAGGUGAUCCGAGUGGCCAUGGCAUUACCUUUUUUGUGUCUAAUUCCACUGAUUUCAAAGGUGCAGAGGCAACUCGAUAUUUCGGGAUUUUCAACAAAAAUGGAUCUACUUCCACACGUGUGUUGGCUGUUGAGCUUGAUAUUUCUGUAGCUUCAGAGUUGUUUGACAUCAGCGAUAAUCAUGUUGGGAUUGAUGUGAACAGCCCUGUGUCUGUGGAAUCUGCCAACGCUUCUUAUUUUUCAGACAAAGAAGGGAAGAAGAUAGACAUAAAACUCUUGAGUGGGGAUCCUAUCCAGGUUUGGGUGGAUUAUGCAGGAUCAACUCUGAACGUUUCAUUGGCCCCUCUUAAAAACAAGAAACCAAGCCGACCUCUUUUGUCAUCAACAUCCAUCAUUCUUACUAAUAUUUUGCAAGGUAGGAGAAUGUUUGUCGGGUUUUCUGGUUCAACCGGGUCUAGCAUGAGUUACCAGUACAUACUCGGGUGGAGUUUCAGCAAAAGCAUGGCGUCUCUCCCCAUCAUUGACAUCUCAAAACUUCCCAAAAUUCCUCACACUAGGCUCACUAGCACUAAGCAUAACUCUUCAUCUCUUGUGCUCGAUAUUCUGCUUGGUUUAAUAGCUUUCAUAGUUUUGGGGAUUCUUGUUGCAGCUUAUUUGUAUAGGAGAAACUUGUACUCUGAAGUAAGAGAGGAAUGGGAAAAGGAGUAUGGUCCACUCAGGUAUUCCUACAAAUCUCUAUACAAAGCAACAAAAGGGUUCAAUAGGAAUGAAUUUCUUGGGAGAGGAGGUUUUGGUGAAGUCUACAAAGGAACUCUCCCUCGGAACAGAGAACUGAGAGAAGUAGCUGUGAAGCGAGUAUCACAUGAUGGUGAGCACGGUAUGAAGCAAUUUGUUGCUGAGAUCGUGAGCAUGAGGAGUUUAAAACACCGGAGCUUGGUUCCACUUCUUGGGUAUUGCAGGAGAAAACAUGAGUUAUUACUGGUCUCUGAGUACAUGCCAAAUGGUAGUCUUGACCAUUACUUGUUUAAUCAUGAUAGGCUGUCUCUCCCCUGGUGGAGAAGACUUUUGAUCCUCCAAGACAUCGCAUCAGCUCUUAGUUACUUGCAUACAGAAGCUGACCAAGUUGUUGUACACAGAGAUAUCAAAGCUGCAAAUGUUAUGUUGGACGCAGAGUUCAAUGGGAGGUUGGGAGAUUUUGGUAUGUCUAGGUUAUAUGACAGAGGGGCUGAUCCAAGCACAACAGCUGCUGUGGGAACUGUUGGUUACAUGGCACCUGAGCUUACAACAAUGGGAGCUUCCACCGGAACAGAUGUGUAUGCGUUUGGUGUUUUCUUGCUUGAAGUAACAUGUGGGAGGAGACCUGUGGAACCUGGAUUGCCUGCUGCAAAACGUUUUCUGAUUAAAUGGGUUAGUGAAUGCUGGAAAAGGUCUUCUUUGGUUGAUGCUAGAGAUCCAAGGUUGACAGAAUUUUCACCCCAGGAAGUCGAGAAGGUUCUGAAACUCGGUUUGCUAUGUGCAAACCUUGCUCCAGAUUCAAGACCGACCAUGGAACAAGUGGUGCAAUACUUAAAUGGGAACCUAGCUAUGCCUGAGUUUUGGCCCAACUCUCCAGGUAUUGGAGUUCUUUCUCCAAUGGGGCUUUCACCAGCACAACUCAUGAUCCCUUCACUAUCACUGUCGUCUUCUUCUUCCAACAACUCUAUGUUUAUUACUCACUCGGUCCUCUACGGGAGUGGACGAUGAAAGUGUCUAACAACUUCCCUCUUCUUAGCCUCUUUGAUAUUUGACUGAUUUUCAACCAGGUUCACCCGAUUUUGUUUUAUGUACAUACUCACACUAUGUUCAUUCUUGACAGUCUCCAUCAAGCUUGGCUUAUAGAAAGGUUAAAAAAGACUGAUAUUUAGUGUAAAAUCUUGAAGUUACUAUACUAAACAUUUGUAAAGCAUGUUGUUUAUCAGCUUUUGAUUCAACGACAACCAGUGAUCUAGUGUUCUGUAAAGAGAAUGCUGCUAUAUGAUCAUUUUAUGAAAUUGUUUCUUUACAGGGUUAGAUUAUUUUAGAAAUCUGACAGAUAUCAAAGACACAACAGUUUAGUUUUCAGCUAACCUUGUUCAUGCUAGAUCUCAGGUAUCUGCAUUAUAUUUUCGCAAAUCAGACAUCCUAUGAGAUGUUUCAGUCCAUUUAAGUAGGCUCUCGACUUGUAAAGAGUUGAAAUACUCAGAGAUAGUGACAGUUCAACAUUCUAUAUUUGUUUACGACAAGUAGGACUUGGUAUGACAAUUAGUGAGAAGCUCGCUUUUGAAUACUGUUAAAUUACACGGAAAAUUCUGUUAAGUGGAAUUCAUGUAUUCUUUUAACAAAGAAGACCAAAAAUGUGACAGCUAUGAUUUUGUUUAAGUCAACUAUCUUGAAUUGGAAAAUGCGAAAUUUUCUUCUUGUGAAGCAAUGAUCCGACCUUGUUUCGCAGAUGGGGAGAAUAGUUCUUUGCCAUACCAUUGACUUAGAGACAAGAUUUUUCCCGGAAUAGCAAACACUUUGCUGCACUAAAAAUGGCUCCAGGAUUGGAUCUGAUCUGGAUGGUGAUCUCCUUUCUUCUUCUGAUUCACCUGUCAAGUGAACAAGAAACUGGGUUUAUCUUCAACAGUUUUCGCCAGGGAGAUCUUCAUGUUGAUGGGGUUGCUCAAAUCCUUCCCGGUGGACUUUUGCGGCUGACUGACACUUCAGAGCAGAAAAUGGGUCAUGCUUUCUUCAGGCAGCCUUUUGUGUUCAAUUCAUCUGAAUCUCUCUCGUUCUCAACGCAUUUCGUGUGUGCAAUGGUGCGUAAACCAGAGGUUACUGGAGGAAAUGGGAUUGCUUUCUUUCUAUCUCCUUCCAUGGAUCUUUCAAACGCAGAUGCAACUCAGUAUUUGGGUCUUUUUAACACCACAACCAACAGAUCUCCCUCAUCUCAUAUCUUUGCUAUUGAGCUUGAUACCGUUCAAAGUGCAGAGUUCGAUGACAUCAAUAAUAAUCAUGUUGGCAUCGAUGUUAACAGCCUGACCUCUGUUGACUCUUCUCCAGCAUCUUACUUUUCAGACAACGGUCUGAACAAAAGCAUAAAUCUGUUGAGUGGAGAUUCCAUACAAGUCUGGGUGGACUUUGAUGGAACUGUACUAAACGUUUCACUGGCGCCUCUUGGGAUUCAGAAGCCAAGUCAGAGUCUUUUAUCAAGAUCCAUGAAUCUUUCAGAGGUUCUCAAGGAUAGAAUGUUUGUCGGAUUAUCUGCAGCAACAGGACAGUUGGCAAAUAACCAUUACAUCCUUGGUUGGAGUUUCAGCAGAAGCAAGGCGUUAUUGCAAAGCCUAGACAUCUCAAAACUUCCACAAGUUCCUCAUCCUAAGAAAAAACCUUCUAUCGUGCUGAUUCUUCUGUUGACUAUACUUGUAAUCAUACUCUUGACCCUUCUGGUAGGAUAUUAUCUAUAUAGGAGAAACAAGUAUGCAGAAGUAAGAGAGGAAUGGGAGAAAGAGUAUGGUCCACACCGAUACUCUUACAAAUCCAUGUACAAAGCAACAAAAGGGUUCCACAAAGAUGGUUUUCUCGGAAAAGGAGGAUUUGGAGAAGUCUACAAAGGAACUCUGCCUGGUGAUGGAGACAUAGCCGUGAAAAGAUUCUCCCAUGAUGGAGAACGAGGGAUGAAGCAAUUCGUAGCUGAAAUCGCAAGCAUGGGUUGUUUGGAUCACAGGAACUUGGUUCCACUCUUCGGGUAUUGCAGGCGAAAAGGCGAGUUUCUUCUAGUAUCCAAGUACAUGCCUAAUGGAAGUCUUGACCAGUUCUUGUUUCAUAACAGAGAACCAUCUCUUACUUGGUCCAAAAGGCUUACGAUUCUACGGGACAUAGCUUCAGCACUCCAAUACUUGCACACAGAAGCCACACAAGUUGUUCUACACCGAGAUAUCAAAGCUUCUAACGUAAUGUUAGACAGAGAUUUCACUGGAAAGCUGGGAGAUUUUGGUAUGGCUAGGUUUCAUGACCAUGGAGCUAAUCCAAUAACAACAGGAGCCGUAGGCACUGUAGGGUACAUGGCACCUGAGCUAACAUCAAUGGGAGCUUCAACUAAAACCGAUGUAUACGCAUUUGGUGCACUGAUCCUCGAAGUAAUUUGCGGGAGAAGACCUGUAGAACCUAAUCUGCCGGUUGAGAAACAAUUUCUGGUGAAAUGGGUUUGUGAUUGCUGGAAAAAGAAAGCUUUGAUGACUGCUCGAGAUCCCAAAUUGAGUGGAGACUCAAGGUCUCAAAUCGAGAUGGUGUUGAAAUUAGGGCUGCUAUGCACAAAUCUUGUGCCGGAAUCGAGACCUGACAUGAGAGAAGUGAUGCAGUACCUUGACGGACAGGUUUCGUUGCCGGAUUUCUCACCAGAUUCACCGGGAAUCGGGAUUCUCACUCCGGUUUUGGUAGGAGGAAGCUCCGCCGUGUUAUCUAACAAUUAUUCUUCUCCGGCGACGGAGUUUAUCACUCACUCGAUCCAAUACGGAGUUGGACGAUGAAGACUUAACAAUUUCAAGAUUGAAGGCCAACGUUAUUCACAAAAGUUGAUAUGGCCGAGUUGGUCUAAGGCGCCAGAUUAAGGUUCUGGUCCGAAAGGGCGUGGGUUCAAAUCCCACUGUCAACAUUUCUCUUUUUUUUUUUUUAAAUGUCAGAAAAAUAUUGAAAAACUCGAAACAGGUAUGUAAUAUUAAAAUUAUGAAUACACCCUUACUAAUUUUCUAAUUUACAAAACGAAGGUUUCUCAAUUUCGGCGAAAUGGUUUUGAUGUCCAUUACAUCUAUUUUGGUUCAUCAUCUUGUCUAGCUAGAUACAGUACGCUUUCUCUGUCUUUCUUACUGUCGCAGUCUCCUCAGUCCCCUUUUGCUUCUUUUUUCUCGUAUCGCUCCAAAUUGCUGUACUGUACUCUUCUUCAUUCAAUGUAAAUGUAGAAGCUUCUUCUUCCUCAGAGAGCAAUGGCUGUAAUUGGCAUCAAUACCAUUUCGCUCUACGAACUCGAAUCCGCCGUCUCUGCUCUCCGUACGUCUCCUAUCAUUUUAUGAUUUUGGUUCAUUUUUCCAGAUAUUUCUCCGAAAAGUUUUCAAUUUUCCAAGUAAAGAUUUAGCCUUUUCAAUUUUUUGUCUCUAUGAUUACAUGAGUUUUCUCAUCGUGGAACUUUUACUUUUACCUUCUUGGCAUUUGAUGGGUAAACAUGAUUCCAGGAAUUUACUGGUUUUGAGCUAUUCUUUGCUACGAAAAUAGCUUCGCAACAACCAGGCUUUAUGUUUCAGUCAGAUACAGGUAAAAUGUUUUCAUUUAGUCUCGAUAAUUUCAUGUGUUCUUCUAAAGUUAACAAUAAGCUGGGUUUAUUGAUUAUCUUGUGUAUACUGACGAAACUAAAGCAUGAGAGAAGGUUCUUCCUGGUGGUAAAGACUUGUAUUCUUAAUGAUAUUGCUUUGGCUUUCAGCUGUGCACACAGGAGCUCACUAAGUUGUUAUUGUAUCAGGUAUUUUGAUGUUAUGCUAGAUGCUGAAGUAAAGAGAAGGUUAAGGAAUUUUUUAAUGGUUAGGCUUCGCGGCCUCAGUGAGAACUUUAGACCACAUCUGUCAAGAGCUUGCAAACAUGGUAGCUCGCUGAGCAACCGACAUGUAUGCCUUUUGCUGCCUUUGUAAAGUGUGAUUGAACUCAACUAACCUUUGGGAAGAAACCUGUGUGAAUGCCAGUCGGUAGACGGUUUAUAAAUGCUGGAAAAUGGUUUAGAUCCGAGUUUCACAGUUGAAUUCUCAGUUGAGGAAGUCGAGAUGGCUCUGAAACUAGGGUUGCUUUGCAAAAAUGGUGUUCCAAAACUAAGAGACUCCAUGGAAGAAGUGGUGCGGACUUUUGGAAUCUUCUUUGUUCGGCAGUUAUCCAGAAAACGUUAAAGCUAUACAAGGUGGAGGUACUUGACCAUUGAUCUUUUAGCUUUUCACUUUACAUUAAUGGCUUUUCACCAAGAUACUAUUUCCUGCUGCCACCAAAUAGAGCUUCUUAUGUAGGUAGCUAGUAAUUAAGUUCAUAAGUAUCGUACCUCUUCGGAAUUUAGGUUGUCUAAGAGAACUAGUCAAUUCUAAUAUUGUGCUGUUCUUGGUGUGGUUUACUACUGUGACAUAACCAAGCUAUAAAAGAAGUUGCUCUAUGCAAUUCCUGCUGCCAUUUGCAGAUUUUGAUUAGCAGAAGACUUUAUUAUUGUAUAGUGGCUGUUUUUUUCUUGUCUCUAAUCUUAGCUUUAGUGAUUUGAUCUCUUGUAUAUGUGAGGAUGUAUUCUCUUGCACCUGUAGAGCUGAAUUCGGAAGGUAGGACCUAACUAUAUUUUCUAAACAAGAGAUCAAAUCACCUGUAGAGCUGAAUUAGGAAGUCCUCAGAGGUCAGGCUAACAAGGUAGGACCUAACUAUAUUUUCUAAAGAAAAUUCGUAGUUGUCAUGAAUAGGACAGGCUUUCCUAGGCUUCUUCCGUUUGGUCGGGCUCAUUAUUGUGUCGGUAUCAUACAAACCUUGGGAUUUUUAUUCAUUUGACGUCUGAAAGGUGAAGGGCAUGUUUAAAAUAUGUCUUUUUCUCAUAAUAUAUUUUUUUGUCUGCUUCCUUAGAAGAUGGCUUCUAGUAGAAUCAGAAGAAAAAUCUAAUGCAAGUGGGAGCGUGAUCUACUCCUAGACACAUUUUAAAUUCAUUUAUAAACGUUGGUUACGUAUAUUAUUGUUUCAGGGUUACCCCGAGGAGCAGUUGCGUUGUCUAUUUAGAUUGAAGUUGAGAUCAUAUAAGUUAAAAUAUUGUCUGAAGCAUAUUUUGAAAAGCGUGAAGCUUUCAUUGUUAAUUUUUAUUGUUCAACCUUUUUUAGAAAAUAUCGUGUUAGUGGAGUACAGUUUGUAAAGCGAGGUGAUUCCCUUGAUUAAAUAAACUAAUAUUAGAAAGUUUGAUAGGCUUGGAUCACUAAAACAGAAGCUCACAUACUUUGUUUUGUUCAUUUUUUUUCUUCAGCUUGCAUCGUAUUGAGUUGAGAGAAUACCUGCACAUCAGAUCCAGACUCUCUGGUUCAUCAUCUGGGAUGGCUCGUUGGUUGCUUCAGAUCCUGAUAAUCUCUUCUCUUCAUCUGAUUUCUCUAUCAAGUCAACAAGAGACAAGGUUUGUCUAUGAAAGCUUUCUCGACCAAGAAAAUCUUUAUAUUGAUAAAUCGGCUGUAGUACUUCCCAGUGGAUUAUUGCGGUUGACGAACGCUUCGGAGCAUCAGAUUGGUCAUGCUUUCCACAAGAAACCACUUGAGUUCAGUCCAACCGGGCCACUCUCUUUCUCAACACACUUUGUGUGUGCUCUGGUGCCUAAGCCAGGUGUUGAAGGUGGCCAUGGUAUUGCCUUUGUAUUAUCUCCUUCUAUGGAUUUCACGCACGCAGAGUCAACUAGAUACUUGGGGAUUUUCAAUGCUUCAACAAGUGGAUCUUCCUCUUAUCACGUGCUUGCUGUUGAGCUUGACACUAUUUGGAACCCAGAUUUCAAAGAUAUCGACCACAAUCAUGUGGGGAUUGAUGUGAACAGUCCUAUAUCUGUCGCAAUUGCUUCGGCAUCUUACUAUUCCGACAUGAAAGGGAGUAACAAAAGCAUAAUCCUUAGAAGCGGAAAACCAGUACAGGUCUGGGUGGAUUAUGAAGGCACUUUGCUCAAUGUUACGAUUGCUCCGCUUAAAUUGCAGAAGCCAAGUCGACCUCUUUUGUCACACCCCAUCAACCUUUCAGAAAUCUUUCCGAAAAGAUCAAGACUGUUUGUUGGGUUCUCUGCAUCAACAGGGACAGCGAUCAGUGAUCAAUAUAUUCUUGGGUGGAGUUUUAGCACAAGCAGAGGAUCGCUGCAGCGACUCAAUAUCUCAAACCUUCCUGGUGUUCCUCAUCCACAUAAGAAACUACCGAAACUUUAUAUCAUCCUGCCUGUUUGUUUGGCUAUUGUGCUGUUGGCUGCGCUUGCAGGACUUUAUUUCCGCAGGAGAAAGAAGUAUUCAGAAGUAUCGGAAACAUGGGAAAAGGAGUUUGAUGCACAUCGGUUCUCUUACAGGUCCUUGUACAAAGCAACAAAGGGGUUCAGCAAAGAUGAAUUUCUCGGAAAAGGAGGUUUUGGAGAAGUUUAUAGAGGAAAUCUCCCACAAGGCAGAGAUAUAGCCGUGAAGAGAGUUUCCCAUAAUGGUGAUGAAGGUGUGAAGCAAUUUGUGGCUGAAGUCGUGAGUAUGAGAUGUCUGAAACACAGGAAUCUUGUACCACUUUUUGGGUAUUGCAGAAGAAAACGAGAACUUCUUCUUGUCUCAGAGUAUAUGCCGAACGGUAGUCUUGACGAGCAUCUGUUUGAUGACCAGAAGCCGGUUCUUUCUUGGUCACAAAGACUCGUGGUUGUUAAGGGUAUUGCUUCUGCUCUCUGGUACUUGCAUACAGGUGCUGACCAAGUUGUUCUGCACCGAGAUGUCAAAGCUUCCAACAUUAUGUUAGACACGGAGUACAAUGGAAGGUUAGGGGAUUUUGGCAUGGCCAGGUUUCACGAGCAUGGAGGCAGUGCAGCUACAACAGCAGCCGUGGGCACUGUAGGGUACAUGGCACCAGAGCUAAUCACAAUGGGAGCUUCCACUGGAACUGAUGUUUAUGCAUUUGGUGUUUUCAUGCUUGAAGUAACCUGUGGGAGGAGACCCGUGGAACCGCAGUUGCAAGUUGAGAAACGACAUAUGAUCAAAUGGGUUUGUGAGUGCUGGAAAAAGGAUUCUUUGCUUGAUGCUACCGACCCAAGAUUGGGAGGUGAAUACAUAGCCGAAGAAGUCGAGAUGGUUAUGAAACUCGGUCUGCUCUGUUCAAAUAUAGUGCCAGAAUCCAGACCUACAAUGGAACAAGUGGUUCUGUACCUCAACAAAAACCUACCUUUGCCAGAGUUCUCACCAUAUACUUUGGGGAUUGGCACAUUUGCUCCUGUUCUGGUUGAUGCAUCCUCCCUUGUAGUCUCUUCCGCGUCAUGGAGUUGGUCAGCCCCCUCAAUGUCUUCUUCCUCAACAAACCACUCACCUUAUGCUUGUCAGUCAACCGAUCAGCCAUGGGGACAGACAUUGGACACUACAAACUCUAUUCACAUAGUUGCAGAACCAGAGAAGCCUAAGACUAUCGCACCCGCUGUCAAAACGGUCACAUUGUCUGGAGAAAAUCUUUAGUCCAAUCAUUCCAGCAUCGGCAGUGAGAGGUAAUUCCUGAUGUACAUAUCAACAAGAAGAUCUCAUUAGCUCUCAAUAUUGUUUUAUCUGUCUCACUUGUCCCAACAAAAUCAGUUUGUUCUUUGGAAAUACUUAUCUGAUUAAUGAGAUUAUACAUUUUUCAUAUUAUAACUUGUAGACUUGUAGUCCUCUCUCUGUUACCAAAUCCUCAGGUAUUACUCCUCAAUGUGCUCUGAUAUAUGAUUUGGUCAGAUACUAAAGGGUCUCUGCUAGAAAGUUGUUUGAGUUAUAGACUGGAAUAAACCAAACUGAUUGGUUCCAAUACAAGUAUACAAGAAGUAAACAAAACUAAUUUUUAAAAACCAAAAUGUAUCUUAACUGUUGAACGUGAUUACAAUGCUAUUCAGUAGUGCUGAUUCAAGCACGUAACCCGUCUUUCUCCCUCAAUUUCGCGCUCUCUGUUUUGUCCUGAAUAAGCUUGAGAAAUUUUGUGAUGAUGAAGGUCUACCAAAAAGUCAGGUCAUUCUCCAAAACCAUCCUCUAAAAAAUGUGUUCCUCUCUGUGCGGUGUACCGCCAUACUGAAAAUAAAUUGGUCAUAUCACUGACCCCCUUAGAGAAUUAUUGGCCUGAAGUAACUGGUGAAGGCAACAGGAUCAAGGAAACAUCGUGACAUAUUAGAUCUUCAACUACACAAGGUGCACUUAUUUGAACAAUAGUCUUAUUAUAUGAUUUUUCAUCUUCUCCUAGAUGAUUUUGAUCUAUUUCCAAGAUGAUUGUGUGUUUCACAUGAAAAUUUAUGUCAAUUAAUUUGGUAAGACUUGAAGCUAUAAACCAUAUUCGUCAUCUAGAGACCAUUCAUAGCUGUCUUAACUUUGCCAAGCUUUAUUAGCCUUGUUCCUUUUAGUCUGGCUCAUACUUUUGCUGGGGAAAAAAACAUGGCUUUUAGUUGAAUUGUCUUUUUAGAACAGAUCUUAAUGGGUUUUUUUGGGUCAAAGCCUAAGAUGACUUUAAGUUGAAGAAGUAGGAGUAAAAUCUAAUGAAAGCUAGUGAGCAUCUAGUCCAAGAUAUAAGCUAUAGUGUUUAAUUUUUGUUUGACCCGUUAUUACCGUUUGUAAGUGUACCACCACAUGCAGCAUUUCAUAGUUUCAUUGAGUUGAACUUGGGUCACCUUUUGUUUUUUGCUCAACUUGGUUAAAUCAUGUUAAAAUAUUGUUUCAAAUGAAGCUUUAGUGUUAAUUUAUCUAAUACUGUAACAUUAGUAGAGUCCAGCUUGUAAAGGAAAAAAAACGGCGACUGCAUCUGAUGCUAAUGUUCCCUUGGAUAAACAAACAUUACUUUAAACUUUUAGAUUACUAAUACAUAAACAUCUUUCAUUUGUUCCUUUUUUUUUGUUCAGCUUGUGAGGUUAUGAUGAAUAUGCACCGUUUUGAGUUGAGAGAAAAUCUGCAAAUCAGAUCCAGACUCUCUUAUUCAUCAUCAGAAAUGACUCGUGGAUUGUUUCAGAUCGUGAUGAUGAUCUCUUCUUUUUGUCUAAUUAAACUAUCAAGUCAGCAAGAGACAAGGUUUGUCUAUGAAACUUUUCGUGGCCAAGACAAUCUUUAUCUUGAUGGAUCUGCGACACUACUUCCCAAUGGAAUAUUGCAGCUUACAAAUGCUUUACAUCAUCAAAUUGGUCAUGUUUUCUACAAGGAUUCAAUUGGUCUCAGUUCCUCUAAACCACUCUCCUUCUCAACACACUUCGUUUGCGCUCUGGUGCCUCAGCCAGGAGUUGAAGGUGGUCAUGGCAUGGCCUUUGUAGUAUCUCCUUCUAUGGAUUUCUCGCAUGGAGAACCAGCUAGAUACUUGGGGAUUUUCAACGUAUCAAAAAAUGGAUCUCCUUCUUCUCAUGUGCUUGCUGUUGAGCUUGACACUAUUUGGAAUCCAGAUUUUGAAGAUAUUGACCACAAUCAUGUGGGGAUUGAUGUGAACAUUCCUCUGUCGGUUGGAACAGCUUCAGCAUCUUACUAUUCCGACAUAAAGCGGCGGAACGAAAGCAUAAACCUUUUGAGUGGAAAACCAAUACAGGUUUGGGUUGAUUAUGAUGGCACUAUGCUCAAUGUUUCGAUGGCUCCUUGUGAAGCCCUGAAGCCAAGUCGGCCUCUUUUGUCUCAACACAUCAAUCUUUCAGAUAUUUUCCCCAACAGAAGACUUUUUGUUGGGUUCUCUGCAGCAACAGGGACAGCUAUCAGUUAUCAGUAUAUUCUUUCUUGGAGUUUUAGCACAAGCAGAGGAUCACUGCAGCGACUUGACAUCUCAAGACUCCCUGAAGUUCCUCAUCCUAGAGCUGAACAUAAGAACUUAACUCCACUGUUUAUUGUCCUGCUUUGUUUUCUUGCUAUCAUUGGCUUGUCUACCCUUUUUGGAAUCUAUUGUUUUAAGAAGUGCAAGUAUGCAGAAGUAACCGAGGCAUGGGAAAAGGAAUUUGGUGCACAUCGAUUCUCUUACAAAUACUUGUACAAAGCAACAAAAGGGUUUAACAAGGAUGGAUUUCUUGGUAAAGGAGGUUUUGGAGAAGUCUACAGAGGAAAUCUCUUUUUAAGCAGAGAAAUAGCUGUGAAGAGAAUGACACAUAACGGUGAUCAAGGUGUGAAGCAAUUUGUGGCAGAAGUGGUGAGCAUGAGAUGUCUGAAACACAGGAAUCUUGUUCCACUUCUUGGAUAUUGCAGGAGAAAGCAUGAGUUUCUUCUUGUCUCCGAUUACAUGACCAAUGGUAGUCUGGACGAGCAUUUGUUUGAUGACCAGAAACCGGUACUUUCUUGGCCACAAAGACUGGUGAUUAUUAAGGGUAUUGCAUCUGCUCUCUGUUACCUUCAUACAGGUGCUGACCAAGUUGUUCUGCACCGAGAUAUCAAAGCUUCAAACAUUAUGUUGGAUGCUGAUUUCAACGGAAGGUUAGGGGAUUUUGGCAUGGCCAGCUUUCAUGACCAUGGAGGCAUCUCAGACUCAACAUGCGCCGUUGGGACUAUCGGGUACAUGGCUCCAGAGGUACUUUAUAUGGGAGCUUCAACUAGAACGGAUGUGUAUGCCUUUGGUGUAUUCAUGGUUGAAGUAACAUGUGGGAGGAGACCUGUGGAACCACAGCUGCAACUUGAGAAACGAAUUCUGAUCGAAUGGGUUUGUGAGUGCUGGAAAAGGGAUUCUUUGCUUGAUGCUAUCGACCCCCGGUUAUCGCGUGGAACAUUCGUAUCCGAGGAAGUCGAGAUGGUUAUGAAACUCGGUUUGCUCUGCUCAAAUACUGUGCCAGAAUCCAGACCUACAAUGGAACAAGUUGUCCUAUACUUAAACAAGAACCUACCUUUGCCAGAUUUCUCACCAUAUACUGUGGGGAUUAGCAAUCAUUCUUCGGUUCUGAUUGAUGUAGCCUCCCUUGUAGCUUCAAGGAACUGGUCACCUGCUUCCUCAGCCAAUAACUCACCUUAAUACAGAUCAGCCAUGGGGAAACACACUGGAUACUAAGAACUCUGAUCACCCCAAUGUACACAGUAGAAAAAGCAGUUAUAUUAUUAGCUCUCAAGAUUGUUUUAUCUGUCUCACUUAUCCCAAUCAAUGAAUUUUUCUGUUGAAAAUGUUGUAAAUGAAUUCUCCCAACCAAUAAAAGAAACUAACUCUUAUCAAUUUCUCAGAAAAUUAGUACUGUAAUCAUCCAUAACUGUAUCUUCUUGUUUUGCUGAAGAUUUUUGAACGUAUGUUUAAUGGUCCAACCUCUUAGUUAUGGUUUGUUCUGAUGAAACCAUCUUCAUUUCAUGAGUCAUCUCUUCCUUUCGUCCUUCGUUGACUUCAAAAUGCUUUGAUGAUGAAACUUAUUUAAACAUGUGGAUAAUUGUAUAUAAUAUUCUUCCUACCAAAAAAAAAUAAAAAUUCAACUGUUUUCGUCAAUGUGAAUGAUGUACACUAUUAUCAUAUAAAGCAACUUAAAUGUGACUAAUACACAUGGUUAUAAAAUACAAAGAAGAUAAUAUAGUUUUCUUACUCUGUCAACAUCCAAAACAAUAGUAUUUUGAGGCGCUAUUAUGACAACUACGUUGGGUUGUAUUUUAAAAUUAGACAUGCACUUUAACAUGGAGAUAAAUUUGGCUUCAUUCUCCAAGCCAUGUGUGUAUUAUGCCAUCUGAGUUAGACAUUUUUAGAACCAGACAAGAGACCAUAUUAUUAUUGUAUGAACAACAGCACAGAAAUACAGGUUUGGGGUUACUGUCACGGAUACAUUUAAAAGUACUGUAUUUUCAUUUUUGUGUAUUCAACUCAGGAGAUGCCUAUAGGAAAUAUACUUUCUGAAGAGAAUUGACUUUGUAAUAUAGAAACUUUGGUUUGAAAAGUUUCACCUAUAUUUGUAUAUUGAAACCCAUAAACGAAACCAGACCUCUCUGUUUCAUAAGCAAUGGCUACUGAAAAAUUACAUCUGAUCUUACUGAUCUUCUUUAAUCAUCUGAUUUGCUUAUAUAGUCAACAAGGAGAAGCUGGGUUCUUCUACAAUGGUUUUGGCCAAGCUCAAGCUGAUCUUCAUCUAGAUGGAGCUGCGAGAAUCCUCUCCCCAGAUGGAUUGUUGCAGCUGACAAAUGCCUCUACACAGCAAAUGGGCCAUGCUUUCUUCAAGAAACCAUUCAAGUUUGAUUCAUCUGAGAAUAAACUCUCUUUCUCGACUCAUUUUGUGUGCGCGCUUGUGCCUAAACCAGGAGCUGAUGGUGGCCAUGGAAUUGCAUUUGUUGUAUCUUCUACCAUAGAUUUCACACAAGCAGAUCCAACUCAGUACUUGGGACUUUUCAACAUCUCAACAAACGGAUCUCCUUCUUCUCAGCUUCUAGCUAUUGAGCUUGAUACAGUUGAGAGCGCAGAGUUUGAUGAUAUCGACAAGAAUCAUGUCGGUAUAGACAUCAACAGCAUGAAUUCUGUAGAGUCUGCUUCAGCUUCUUACUUUUCAAACGCCGAAGGGAAGAAUCAUAGCAUCAAGCUCUUAAGUGGAUACCCUUUACAAGUCUGGGUUGAUUAUGAGGGAUCUUUACUCAAUGUCACAGUGGCUCCUCUAAGAAUCCAGAAACCAAACCAUCCUCUUUUGUCAAGAUCCAUCAACCUUACUGAAAUCUUCCCGGGCCAAAGACUGUUUUUCGGAUUUUCUGCCGCAACAGGGUCAUUAGUCAGUUACCAAUAUAUAUUAGGAUGGAGUUUCAGCAGAAGCAGAAUGUUGUUGCAGGGACUGGACUUCUCAAAAAUUCCUCAGAUUCCUCAUCCAAGAGCUAGGAAGGAGGAAGCAUCUCCGCUGCUUAUCACUCUACUCUUGUUACUAGUACUCAUAAUGUUGGCUGUUCUUGGAGGAAUUUACUUAUACAGGAAAAAGAAGUAUGCAGAAAUCAGAGAAGCAUGGGAAAAAGAAUACGGUCCACACCGGUUUUCUUAUAAAUCUCUAUACAAAGCAACAAAAGGGUUUGACAAUGACGGUCGUUUAGGUAAAGGCGGUUUUGGAGAAGUCAACAGAGGAACUCUGCCUCACGUUGGAGAUAUAGCGGUAAAAAGAGUGUGCCACGAUGCGAAGCAAGGCAUGAAACAGUUUGUUGCUGAAGUAGUGACUAUGGGAAGUUUAAAGCACCGGAACUUGGUUCCUCUUCUCGGGUAUUGCAGGAGGAAGGGAGAGCUUCUACUAGUCUCUGAGUAUAUGUCUAAUGGCAGUCUUGAUCAAUACUUGUUUCAAAGAAAAACUCCGGCUCUUUCAUGGCCGCAAAGGCUAGUCAUUUUGAAAGAUAUAGCCUCUGCUCUAAAUUACCUACAUACAGGAGCUAAUCAAGUCGUGUUACACCGAGAUAUAAAAGCUUCUAAUAUCAUGUUAGAUUCUGAUUUCAACGGAAGGUUGGGAGACUUUGGAAUGGCGAGGUUUGAAGAUUAUGGAGAUAGCUUACCGGCAACAGCAGCAGUAGGAACAAUGGGUUACAUGGCACCUGAGCUAACAACAAUGGGAACUUCUACAAGAACCGAUGUUUAUGCAUUUGGCGCUUUCAUGCUUGAAGUAACUUGUGGAAGGAGACCAUUAGAUCCCAAGAUUCCAGCUGAGACACGGCAUUUGAUCAAAUGGGUUUGUGACUGCUGGAGGAGGGAUUCUAUAGUUGAUGCUAUCGACACAGGAUUGGGAGGUGAUUACUCAGAAGAAGAAACCGAAAUGGUUCUGAAACUUGGAUUGCUCUGCACAAACGUUGUUGCAGAAUCCAGACCAACCAUGGAACAAGUGAUACAAUACAUAAACCAGAAUCUCCCAUUGCCAAGUUUCUCCCCAGAUUCUCCAGGAAUUGGAGUUCCUACUCCAGUUUUGCUGGAAUCACUCUUCAAUUCAAGGAGCUCAUUAGCACCCUCGACCUCUCCUCCAUCCCCCCAUAACUCUAUGUUUGUUACUCAUACAAUCACAUACGGAGAUGGAAGGUGAGAACCUAAGAACUAUUUUGGUUCUUCAAUAUACUAUGGUUUUAGACAAAUGGGUCUUUGUAUAUUGGUUUAGUUACGUUCGCAAUGUGUUUUAGAGGUUUGGAUGUGAAUCUGUAAUUAAAAAAAACAUAAGGUUUGUAGCAAUCAAAUUCAUUAAACUACUGAAACGUACAAUGAAAAACUCAUAAAAACUUGUAAGCACUACAAGUAUCAGACCAGCUGAAGUUUGGGAAAAAAACAAACAAACAAAUAAAAAACAGAACAUAGAACAGAGUCAUAGUUUAAGAAGCAACAGGUGAUCCAUUAGUGAGAAGUUUGGUGUUAUUUCUUCCUUGUUCAAUCUCCUUGAGAAGUUCCAAAGGCGUUGCAGAAGAUCCAUCCUUUGGACUUCUAGGACCAUCAGCACCAAUCACAAUCCUAAUCUCGUACUCAUCCACAUCACCUUUCUUCAGAACCUGGAGAGACGAAAGAGGAGAUGAACAAGUAGAAGUAGUUGUGGUGGUGGCGACAUUCGUGUGAUGAAGCUUUUUAGAUUUUGGUAACUGAACAAUCCACAUGAGAUUGUAACCUUCGGUCUUAUGCAGCAAUAUUACAACACAAGUGACCAGAAGCUGGAUAAUCCAAGGCAAGGUUAUGAGUAAUGUUCCGGUAAUGGAAAAGAAUUUGAUGUAACCAAAUUUUUGUUUUUUGGUGUUGGAGAGACUGAACAAGAGGAUUCCAGUGAGAGUGAUCCAGAGUGAGUGAAUGAGGAUUGAUGUAAGGGUGAAACCUGUUUUUUCCAUUUUUUCUCUUUCGUUUUUGUUUCCUCAGAGAAAAAUUCUAAACUUCGAAGUUAAAAGUUAAAACAUUACGAAAAUCAGAAAAGGCUGUUAGAGGAUUUACAGUAGGUUGUUAGAUAUUCUGGUUGGGGUUUUAAAUCAAAUAUUUUGGAAACAAAAAUAAAAUAAGUGUUAAAUUGAUAACACAAAUAAAGAAAACUUACAAUUUGCUGCUACUCCGAAGAACUUGGCUGCAACAUUUCAAGAGUUGGUAAUAUUGCAGUAGCUUCACCGUCGAGAACAACAAGUUCUUUGUGGUUCUUGAAGCAUUUAGUUGAGAAUUUGACACUAACAUGACGAAAUGAGGAUCAAGUUAUGACAGCGGAACAGAUCAACAGAUGUUCUUUUUUUUUUUUUUUUAUUCCAAUGGGUUUAGAUUAGCUUACAUGUACUUAUUUUUGGUUUCUCUUAAAGCUGUGGCUUGAACCAGUCCGAGAAUUUCAUCCCCUACGUAAACCGGUGACCGAAAAUGCAGACUUUGAGAUACAUAUACUGCUCCAGGCUGCAAAAAGGCCAAAUUAGAGUUAGUCAUGUUUCUGUAAAGUCAGGUAUAAGGACAGGUCAAAGGUAAAUAUGACUGCAAAUUAAAACUAGAGAACUUACGAAAUGGGCAGAGAUGAUACGAGGAAACAUGGAAGAAACAAGCAUCCCGUGGACAAGGCGAUUCUCGAAUCCGGCUUUACGGGCAGAUUCUGGAUCGAAAUGGAGAGGGUUGCAGUCAUGGCUCACCUCAGCAUAGGCCUUAACAUCUUCACUUGAGAAUACUCUUGUUUCUCUAAACACAUCUCCCACUUUAACUAGUGUCUUUGAAGUAACUGACGAGAAACACCUUGAAACAAGAAGAUGUGUAGGGAGAAACGUUCUCGUCAGCAUUUGUUUCACCUGAAGAAGGGGGACUAAUCAAACUGAAGAUCUGCCAAAACAAACAAAAAAACCUUGAGUUAUAUUAAUUUGCCUUUUUUAUUAUUCUCAUUGAGUCAUUUUGUCGAACAGCUUAUAGACACACCGUUGAAAGUCAAAAGAUUCAAACUUUGCCAAUUUAAUUGCCCAGUUGCUCACAGCGUAUGAUCAGAUGGUUAUCUUAUCAAACACGCUCAAAUAUUUCAAGGUGAAGACGUUUGAUCUGAGGGGAGCAGAGACAAGCGAGAUGGGAAGAAAAGGCAUAUUUGCUAAUGAAUCAAAAUUCAUCUUGUAGGCUAAUCAGUUGGGUCAUAAAUUAACACAUAAGCAAGUUGCUUGAUUUCUACGGAAGUAUGACAUAAUUUCAUGGGCUAUUUUGCAAUUUACCCUAUAAAAGUUCAUGAAAGUAUGACAUCACAGUACAGGUCAACAUUCCAAGCAUACAAGACAAAUACAAUCCACUCAAAAUACACCACGUGGACCGAUAACGUUUCCGUCUGUAUCUCUCUCGCUUCCGUCUUCUACUCUUCUUCUUCUACUUCUCACUCACCAUCUCUGAAGCUAAACUCACUGAAGCAGACACUAGCGUUGAGAAAAAGAACCAAACAAAAAAGUAAACAACGAGAGAGAGAGAAAAAAAGCUAUGUCUGUGAGAACAAUCCUAUCAUCAUUAGUUCUUGUGAUUCUCAUCGCCGCAUCGACGGCGGCGGAAAUCGGAUUCGAUGAGUUAAACCCGAUCCGGAUGGUCUCCGACGGUCUUCGGGAGGUAGAAGAAUCUGUUUCCCAGAUUUUAGGCCAAUCUCGUCACGUUCUCUCUUUUGCUCGCUUCACCCACCGGUAAGUCCUUAUCCCUUUACACCACUUAGCCACUGAGGCCUUGGCCAUUGACUUUGAGUCCAUUGGUUUUGAUAAUCGUGUUUUUUUGGUGAUGGAUGAAGGUAUGGGAAAAGGUAUCAGAACGUCGAGGAGAUGAAGCUUCGAUUCUCUAUUUUUAAGGAGAAUCUUGAUUUGAUCAGAUCCACUAACAACAAAGGCUUAUCUUACAAACUCGCUGUUAAUCGUAACUCUCUUUUUUUAAUCUUUCUUCUCUUUAAUUUGCUGUUUUAUUCUUCUCGUAUGAGCCUUUUUUAUUACUAGAACAAAGUCAACAAGUUCUGGACUCUUUAACGAACUGACAUAUGUUUAAGAGCUUUGUAAAAGGAAACGUGGAAACUAACUUGUUCUGUCUUGGAAUCUUCCAAUUUAAUAUUUUAGCUUCUUUUUUUUUUCUUUUUCUUUUAGUUCACGUGAUUCAAGAUUGUUAUUGGUCUUAGAUAUUUGCAGACUUUAUGGGUAUUUGAACUCUGUAUGAGAGACUAGUUUGCGUGAAUAUUUAGCAUCCUAGGUAUUGUUCUGUUUUCUUAUGAUUUAGCUGUCCUGAUUCAAGAUUGUUCGUGUUUAGAUAGACAUUGCUAGUGGUUUGAGACUAAAUAUUCUGUGUCUCUUGAAUCUACGCAGAAUUUGCUGAUUUGACCUGGCAAGAGUUUGAAAGGAACAAGCUUGGUGCUGCUCAGAACUGCUCUGCCACUUUAAAGGGCAGCCACAAACUCACAGAAGCAGCUCUUCCGGAAACGGUGAGUGCAUGACACAAUCUUUCUACACUAAACCAUCUAUUUCCUGUUUUUAGCUUUAAAGAUAUGUGUUUAGCUGCUGCAGAACCUCUUUUUUGGUUCUGAUUCCUCAAGUUGUGUAAGUGCAGAAAGACUGGAGAGAAGAUGGUAUUGUUAGCCCGGUCAAAGACCAAGGAGGUUGUGGAUCUUGCUGGACAUUCAGGUAAAACCAAUGAUUAGGAUACUAAUAUCUCCUGAGUUUUUGGUGGGAUCCCGUGAUGUAUAAUUAAAAGGUCAAGAUUGAAUGUCAUAUAAUCGAUAUUUGUACUGCAGCACAACUGGAGCUCUUGAGGCAGCUUAUCAUCAGGCAUUUGGGAAAGGAAUAUCUCUCUCUGAGCAACAGCUUGUAGAUUGUGCUGGAGCUUUCAAUAAUUAUGGCUGCAAUGGUGGUCUUCCUUCUCAAGCCUUUGAAUACAUUAAAUCCAACGGUGGCCUCGACACAGAGGAAGCUUAUCCUUACACCGGGAAAGAUGGAACCUGCAAAUUUUCAGCAGAAAACAUCGGUGUACAAGUCCUCAAUUCAGUCAACAUUACUCUGGUAAGCAUCUUUUAUGGAUUUUGUAUUUCACUUGCUUGAAAAUAUAUAUUCUAUAAUCUGUAAUGAUGAUUAAAACAACAACAACAGGGGGCUGAAGAGGAACUGAAGCAUGCGGUUGGAUUGAUACGGCCAGUAAGCAUAGCAUUCGAGGUUGUGAACUCCUUCCGACUGUACAAGAGUGGAGUUUACACUAGUAGUGACUGUGGAAGUACUCCAAUGGUAAGACUUUCUUCUUUAAACUGCUACAAAGACUUUCAUGUGUUUCAUAUAAAAUCAUCUUAGGCACUUAGCUUAGUGUUCAAUUCGGUUUUUCAUAAUGUGGCAAUAGGAUGUGAACCACGCGGUUUUGGCCGUUGGUUAUGGAGUUGAAGACGGUGUACCAUAUUGGCUUAUAAAGAACUCGUGGGGAGCGGAUUGGGGUGACAAAGGGUACUUCAAGAUGGAGAUGGGGAAGAACAUGUGCGGUAAGUUCUUCAACCAUCAUGAAACCAUAACAUCAUUAUCAUAUGCGAUACUCAGAUCUUUACAUUUGCUCUCUCUCAGUCCGUUGUUAAUUCGUUAUUGAACUGCAGGUAUUGCUACAUGUGCAUCGUACCCCGUUGUGGCUUGAGAUUGAUCAGCGAAUGUGGUUUGGUCGAUUAUUAAACUACGAAAUGGUGGCAUAUUUAUUGGCUUAAUAGGUUACUCUAAAGUUGGGACUUGGGAGUGCAUAUUGUUUAUGCUUGUAACAUAAGGGUCUGUUCAUAUGUACAAAACAAUGCAAAAACCAUAGACGAUAAAUUUUAUAAUACAUGCAUGUUGAAUUCAGAACAUAUAUUGAUUAAGACCAAAGUCGCUUUGUUCUUGUUCCUAACGAUAAUUUUGAAUAUAUACCUACAGCUUGCAAGUUAUGGUCUUUGAGAAACACCAAUACGUACUUAAUUGCUUUUGGUGAUCAGUAGUGGUCACAUGGAUAAUGGAUCUUCUCAUCAUAGAAUGCUUAGUUAGUUUUGAAGAAAUCUCUAGACCAGUUGAACUAACAACACGCCAAACUGCUAAUAAAGUUACAAAGUUAAGCAAAUCUUCCACACAAACUUUGUCUAGUAUAUGGACAUCAAUUCACAAAAAGCAUAAUAGCACUAAGAUAAUUGAUAUGGUUCUCUCAUUCUCUGGUUCACCAUUCCCAAACCCAAUGGUUGGUUUUUUUUUACUUACAAUUAAUCUUUCUAGUUUCGACCAAUUGGUUUUGAAACUUUGAAUAUUUUUUACAUGGCCACGAAAGAAGAGAAGACCACACGUUGCUUCCGCUUAAAAACAUGGCCGAGUCACCCUCCGAGUCAACCUCCGCGAGUGCUACUAUUUCAAGCCCUCAAACUCAGCAUGACUUCCCCGAGAUCCCAAUCGAGAUCGUUAGUGAAGAAGAAAUGGCUAUCCUCGAUGCAGCUCUUGCAGCCACCCGCUCCAUCCUCCCUUCUGCGCUCCGUUCGGCUUCCCCGUCGCGGGUGAUCGCCGGCGGAAGCCCAAAGAACAUCCGUUCGAUUACUCUCUUCUCCAAGAGGAAAUUCUCGGCGGCUUGUUCGGAUAUCGAAGAGUCUUAUUUGCAUCGAUUUAGGAGAAAUCAAGCUUUAGGUGUCACGGAUCUCACCAGCACUGUACGUUUAUCUUACGAUUAAAUGGAGAUAUAAUUCAUUGGAAGAAGAUCUUUGAAAACGGUAUUGAACUCUUAUUUGUUUUAGGAAUGGUGUGAGAAACAAAUGGAGAAUGUUCUCUGUUUUGGCAGGAGAAAGGUUAAUAAAGCCAUGAAAGCUGGUCAGGCUCGUCAUUUGCAGCUUGAAGAAGAGGUACACUAUUCUAUAUGAUAGAUCUUUAGGCUUAUUCAUGUCUGGCUCAUUGCUUCUAACUCAUCUACUACUUACAAUGAAUACUAACUUACACAUCUCUUGAUUUGGUAUUCUUGUUUAUCCAAGUGAAAGUGAUUAACUUUACUGUUAAGAGCUCUACAUCUUUUCUUAUGAAGAAUUUGAUGAAAGAUCUAGCUUUUGUUCUGUUUAUAAAUGGCUAGGUAGUUAAAAAGGUGAGAGUAAGAGUUGAAUCAAAUGAAGAUAAGUGGGCAUUGAAGCUGUUGAAUUCCAUCGCGGGUGUUAAUCAGUUCUUGUUUGAAGGACGAACUCGUGAAUUGCUACUGUGAGUUCCUACUACACCUCUAUUUUUCCAUUCUAGUUUAUGUCCUUCCAUAAUAUUUUCAUAGCUUUUACCUUUUGCUAACAAGAUAAUCUUGUUAGUUGUAUAAAUCAAAUGAAACUUUUAAUUGUUUGCGUUUUGCUUAUUAUGGAGUUGGGUGUCAUUGAUUUUCAUCUUCUUUUGAUCCAAGUUUGUAACUUUGCGUAUAUCUAAUUUGCUCACUGGAUUUGUUUCAGUCUCAUGAUCGUUCUAUUGUUACUUACACCUACUUUCUUGUGUACCCAGUUCUUGGUAAUGUAUUUAUGACAAUUGAUUCAAUCAUGCUCUAUAUCAUCAGCUUAGGUUUUGUUGGAGGUCAAUGGAUUGUGGGAAUUAUUGACGAGCUUAGAAAGGCGUAUGCAGAAGAGUCUUCUGAUAGCGGACCAAUAUUGAUAGAUACAAAGACUCGACUCCGUGAUACACUCCCAGCUGAGCCACAAAGGAGGAAUGGAAGGUAAGUGCUUGUAAGUGUUGAAGAAAACGUUCUCAACUUCAGUUUUCAUAGGGAGUUUUAUGCUAAUUGUACUUAAAUUAAUAAUAUUUGAUAGGCUUCAGCUAAUGCUUUAUAAGCUUCUAUGGGACACGAUUGUGAAAGAGGGGUUCCCGAAAGAAUCCUUUUUCGACUACUUCUCUUUGAAUCGCCAUUGUGUCUUAUCCCAGGAUGUGCGAGAUAACAUUGCUAAUGCAGGUAUCAAAGCUCAGGUAUGCUAAUCUUUGACUCUACACAAUACAUCUUUCCCCAAGCCAAAGUUAACUGUGUUUAUGAAGAGAGAAUUACUCACUUCCAAAUAAGUUUAUUAAUGUUUUUUGCUCGGUGCAGACACUUGAAGAGAUAGUUAUGUACUAUGAAAAUACUUUUAAGAUGCUUCCGACAGCAAACGAUCAAUUACUACUAAAGUAAGUAGAAUAUGACUUGCUAUUAAUCUUACCAAACACAUUGAUAUAUCUCUGAUGAUCUGACUGUAGCUAAAAUGGGAAACUUGACCCCAGGUACGAGUUUCAGAAGGACCAAUCUAUAAUAGCUGAGAUUAGAUUCCACCAUGAUCAUGAGUGGGUGAUGAGCAAAUAUAGAGAAAUCAUUGAGUUCUGGAGAAAUGAACGAGAAUCUGAGUACACUCCUGAAGAAGAGCGCUGGAAAUGUCGAUAUUGCCAAUUCGCCAAGUCUUGCCCUGGAAACCCGAGCUUCGAAUAUUCUCCUCCGAGCUCGCCACCAAGAGAGGCUUCUCCUCCUUUAGCAAGCUAAAGAAAAGAUGAAAGGUUGAUUCUUUCAACCGAAAGCUACAAACGAAUGUUUGUUUUGUCAUUUGCAUAUUUUGCUUUCCUCUUUCUUUUUAGUCCUUGCAUAGUGAUUAAUUGAUUAAACCGUGAUUCGGUUAGGCGUGCCAAAAUUGAUUUGUACUGGGAUGCCGCAAUUUGAUUAUGCCGUAUUGUGUAUACGUUCUGUAUAUAUUAAUUUAAUUCGUCAAAUAGAAAAAUGUUUGUUGUAUUAUCACAGUUUUUGAAAAUUGAAAGAUGUAACAUGUACAAAACACGUCUCUUUUGCAAACUUAUCUGAAUGAGAGGAUUAGUGGUCAAUGCACUAUUAUAGUCGGAUUGUUUACUAUUAAAUAUCCAGCCUAGCUCUAUUAUAGUGGUCAAUGCACUAUUAUAGUCGGAUGUUCUCUAUUAAAUGUAACAUAAGUUUCAAGAAAUACGAUUUUGCAUCUUACUGGUUUCUCCGUUAUUUUUUUCAAAUUUUAUCAUUUAUAGUAUGAGCGAGCUAUUAAUUUUAGUAUUAACCUUAUACAGUAACAAAAUCCAGUCAAAUAUUUUAUAUUUAAUUCCUUAAUCAGAAUAGAUUUGUUUCCGUAAACGAAUAUUAUCAAAUGCAGUGUUAAUUUCUAUUGAGAUAUGGUACUGCAUGUUGUGUAUAAAACUACAGAGGGUCGUUAUAUUAUUCCAAGGGAAACAAAACUAGAGUUAAAAAUGUCUCCUACCAGUAUUAGAAUGGCUCUUGUGGUGGUGAAUCUUUUACAUCUUCUUCUGUUCUCAGUAGCUCUUGUUCGUUCGGAUCGAAGUACAAUGCCUCUCAGAUCUUUCAAGGUCAGUUUCCCCAACAAAAACUUGAGUCCCACGCUCCCUCCUAUUGUUGUGAUCUAUUUAAUUGAUUCCACAUCAUCUUUUACUAUCUUAGACCAAGUUCAACAUAUUUUCGCUUAUUUUUGUUUAUAAAAUAAAACUAAUCUCAUGUCUUCUUUUUUUUUUUAACCGUAGAUAAGUGGAAAUGUAACAUACGAUUGCAUAGAUAUUGAUAAGCAACCAGGACUUGAUCAUCCCUUGCUAAAAAAUCACAAAAUCCAGGUGCAUAGUUUCAGAAAUUAGCCUCCUAAUACAUACAUAUAUGUUUUUUUAUAUAUAAAUAAAACGUGAUUAUGAAUUUAACUAUACAUUUUUUCUUUCGAGAAGAUGAAACCAUCAGUUUCAAUACAUGAAAUAAAGAAUCAAACUCAGAUCAACAAAACAUAUAAGGAGAAAAUCAAAUGUCCAUAUGGAACUGUUCCUAUAGUGAGACGUACAAACGAAUUCAUCACCAACGCUCAACUCUUAGCCGAUAAGUAUUUCCAUCCGCUAUCACCGGAUAGCUCUGGAACACAUGUAAACCAUUCUUUUUUGUUCUCAUAAUAUAUCAAUGCCUUUGAUCUAAUAAAUAUCUCUAUGUAUAUUACAAGUAUCAAUGUAUAAUGGCAGAUUGCUGGAAUAAAGCAACACGGUGGUCCAUAUCAUGGUAUAUCAGCUAGGUUUAAUGCAUAUAAACUAGACAUAGGAGAAGACCAAGCCUCGUAUAGUCAAAUGUAUAUAGGCAAUGGAUAUUAUGGUGAAUUUAAUUUCAUCUCAGCUGGGUUGAUGGUAGGUUUUACAUUAUUUUUUUCUUAAUUUGUUUCAUUCUCUGAGUAGUCUUACAGUUUUGCAAAUCAUUUCUUACAGACAAAUCCAAGCAUUUUUGGUGAUAGUCGUCUUUGGUCAUAUGGAUACUGGAAGGUGUGCUUGUGUACAAUAUAUAUUUGACAAAAUUCUUAAACCAAAGAACAUGUAACUUAUGGAAUAUGAUUUUGAUAGGGUAAAUAUGCAAAAGGAUGUUACAAUACGGUAUGUCCAGGAUUUGUUCAAGUAUCUAAUGUGGUUCCCAUAGUCAAACCCUUUGACCUUAAACCAGGGGAACAAGCAGCAUUGGAGUGGUCCAUCGCAAGGGUAUUUCCUAAUUUCUUUCACAAUUUUUUCGUUUUUUUUUUCAUAAUAUGGUUUUACAAACUAUUCGUUUGUUUCAUUUUCUUUAAAAAUAACUUAAUAAACAAUUUUUAUAUUGAAAAUUUAUUUUAACAAAUUUUUAUACUGCACAUUUAUUUUAACAAAUUAUUUUUUUGUUCUUUUAAUGUACACCAAAAGGAUAAACAAACAGGAAAUUGGUGGAUUAUUCAGACUGGAAAACCUAAUGCAUAUAUUGGUUAUUGGCCAAAAGAGCUAUUUCACCUUAUGUAUGAUGGUGCAAGUAUGGUUGGAGUUGGAGGUGUAUCUCAGGCUUUAAAAUCUGGUUUCAGCCCUCCAAUGGGUAACGGCAAGUUCCCGAAAAGAGGUAUUCUGACAUCAGCAUUGUUUUCAAAUGUUGAUGUCUUGAAUUCUAUGUAUGAGAAGCGUAGAAUCAAUGUUGAUGUACCUGUAGAAAAGUUGCUAGAUAGUGUCAAUUGUUAUGGGAUAAGAAUUGGUAACAGAGUUAAAUUUUGGACUACUCCACUCGGAUACUUUUUCAAUUAUGGAGGUCCGGGAGGAACCUCUUGUGGAGUUUGAUAUAUGCCAGUGUAAUCUUUAAGCUUAAUAAAUCUUAUCUUAAUUAAUAAUAUAUGCUAAUGUACUAAUUAGCAAUUAAAAAAAAGAUAUAUAUUUGCAUUUUCCAGCAUAUGAAGCAUAAUUGAGAAACACACCUUGAACUAGUUUUUAGAGAUCAUAUAAUGCCAGUGGAUAGAUGAAAACCCAAACCAGAAAUACAACAAUCAAGAAAAAUUGAGGAGCGUUAUUAGCAAACACGCGUGAGAUGAAUAACCUAAAGACCUAUAUUGUCCAAUCAAUGUGGAUAUUAUAGAUAUAUUGUAUUCAAGUCCUAUCAACUACAGAGUUGGCAUCUCAAAACCCAGUUAGGAGAUGCAUGCGCUCGUGGGUGCUUCCAAGAUUUUACUAUCGACAGCGCAUUACACAAGAUGAUGUUGUAAAAACCAUAUGCCAAAGUUUAUUACAUUGUGGAAUAGAAUCAAGAACCAAUUUCCUAAACUUGUUUAGGUCUUAAAAAACACAGCUAAAUAAAGAUUUAUAAGAUAAAGAAAAAAAAAAACGGAUGAUCCAGGUCAUUCAAAAGCCCAUGAAUUCUCCCUACGAAUUUGUUCUUUCUCCUCUGGUGUCAAAUCAUCAUUGACCUUGAAGAAUGAACGUAACUCAUCUUCAGAUUUAUAUGGGAUCAUGUCAGCGACUGUUUUGCAAGUGAGCUGACACAGGCUUUUGAUGUUUAGGUCAUACGCAGCCAUGAGAAGAUCGUAGAGUUUGGUCUGAUCAUUGAACUUCAUGAACUCAGUGUCCCACUCCUUGAGUUCUUCUUCGUCGGAAGCACCAUCGACAUGUUUUGAGCAAUACUCUAUCACCAAGGCGAGGGUCAUGCUCUUCACGUUUGGAAGCGGGACGACUACGUUGUCGGAGCGAUCGUCUUUAACAAGAUCUGCUAUCUUCUGUGACUGAAGUGCGACCGCUUCUCUGACCUCAAAAGUUACGCCUUCGGUGCUCGUCAACGUAAUCCUCUUUUGCGACAUUGUGCAACAGAUUAGGGAUGGAGAGAAUUAACGAGAGCGAUUGAAUAAUAGUAAUUUAGGUAAAGAAGUGAUGAUGAUCAAUUUAAUUAUAUUUAUAAGUCCUAAUUUUGAGAGUCGGUUGAUUGUUAUUUUCCCUUUCAGAAAAGAACAAAAAGUUAAUUACUUAAUUCCAAUAGAGUAAACCAAGCUAAACCGAUUCUCAAAUGGUUUAGAAUUUUUAAAAAUAAUUUGUCAUCUCAAUUGUGGUUUGACUAAAACUUAUUCUCGACAUGUAAAAGUUGUAUGCAUGUACUAGAGAAGAUUUGAUUAAGCAAACUAAAUAUUUGUAGUGCAAAAUUUGAAACCUAAUUAGUAGUGUGGUAGGUUGUUUUUAUAUGUCAACACAUGGCCACAUAAUGAUGACAUGCACGUACCUUUGAUUCAACGUUUUGGAGCAAAUUUAUCUAUAGUCAUCUCUCAUUAAUCCUCCGUUAAUAGUUCAAAUAUAAUUAAAUUUAUUUUUAAUAAUAGCAAAAACCAACUUAUUAUAGAUUUGUUUGAAUUAAAAAUGGUUACUGUAUUAUGAUUCUACAAAUUUUAUUUUGUAAUCCAUAUUUGUUUAUGAAAAAUCUAAGUACCAAAGUUGACAAAAAAAAAAAAAUCUAACUACCAAAUUUAACAAUAGCUCCAUUAUGUAAAUAUGCAUUUAAAUAAAUGUUUUUUCCAAUGAUUUAGCUGUGAUUUCUAUGAUAUAAUGAUCAAAUCUAUAAUUUUAUCGAAGCCAACUUAUGACGGCUAGGGUUUUUUAUUCUCUUAUAAUGGUCACAAAAAUAAAAUCACCAAUUUUAGAUUUUUUUCAAACUAAUCAUCACACGAAAAUAAGAUUUAUACAAUUUCACAUUGGAAAAAUCGAAAGUAAAAAAAACAUAUACAAUUUAUAACUUGAAAGAGAAUUACACAUUUUUACUUUGUUUAUCACAAAAGAAAAAGAAAGAAAAAACAAAUUAGAAAAGGCCCAAAACGCAUAAGGGCAUAUUGGUAAAAGUAGAACCACAAGGGGAUGGGAAAACCCUAGACCUCGUAGCUAUAAGUACCCCUGAGUCGUCCAGUUUUAGGGUGCGCUCUCACAUUUCUCACUUACGUAGCCGCAAGACUCCUCUUCCAGAUACUUACUUGCAGGUGAGACUCCUCUCUUUAGGUUUUCGAUCUUCGUCUUCUUUAUGCUGUUUAGGCUUUAGAUCUUCAUCUUCUCUAUGCUGUUUAGCUUUAGAUUCUUCUCAUAAGCUCUGUUUUUAGAUUCAUGUCUUUUAGCUGUAUGUUCACUGUGAUAAUCGCUGCCUUUUGAUAUUCGAGUUUAGGAUCGGUUUUAUUCGUAGAUCUGUCUUACCUCCUUUUAGUCUGUUGGAGAAUCUUCUGGUUUGCUGAUAACUUCAACUUUUUUAUAUAAUCUAGGCGAUCUGCCAUAUCACUGUUCGUUUCGUUACUUGAAUCGAUUUUAGAUGUUCUAGUUUAUUCUGAUGCCUUUGGUUGAUGAUGUAUACUUAGAUGAUGAUAUUGAUUCUCGUUUCAAUAGAUCUGUUUGUUUUUGAUUUAUACAGAUGAGGUGUGGUGGCUUGUUAGAUGAAUAUGUUGUGAAUUUUUAGAUGUUGACUUGUAUUUUUUGGUUCUGACCUUCUGUUCUUUCUUGGUUUUGCUUUACAGCUAUGGGUAAAGAAAAGUUUCACAUCAACAUUGUGGUCAUUGGCCAUGUCGACUCUGGCAAAUCGACCACAACUGGUCACUUGAUCUACAAGCUUGGUGGUAUUGACAAGCGUGUGAUUGAGAGGUUCGAGAAGGAAGCUGCUGAGAUGAACAAGAGGUCCUUCAAGUACGCAUGGGUGUUGGACAAACUUAAGGCCGAGCGUGAGCGUGGUAUCACCAUCGAUAUUGCUCUAUGGAAGUUCGAGACCACCAAGUAUUACUGUACAGUCAUUGAUGCCCCUGGCCAUCGUGAUUUCAUCAAGAACAUGAUUACUGGUACCUCCCAGGCUGAUUGUGCUGUCCUUAUCAUUGACUCCACCACUGGUGGUUUUGAAGCUGGUAUCUCCAAGGAUGGUCAGACCCGUGAGCACGCUCUUCUUGCUUUCACCCUUGGUGUCAAGCAGAUGAUUUGCUGUUGUAACAAGGUAAAUUUUUUGCCUGUUUUUAAUAUUAAUGUUCUGUUGUUGAUAGUCUUUUUUUAUUUAUACUAACAGAUGUCCUUUUAUCUAUGCUUCUUUUUUACAGAUGGAUGCCACCACCCCCAAAUACUCCAAGGCCAGGUACGAUGAAAUUAUCAAGGAGGUGUCUUCAUACCUGAAGAAGGUCGGAUACAACCCUGACAAAAUCCCAUUCGUGCCCAUCUCUGGAUUCGAGGGAGACAACAUGAUUGAGAGGUCCACCAACCUUGACUGGUACAAGGGACCAACUCUUCUUGAGGCUCUUGACCAGAUCAACGAGCCCAAGAGGCCAUCAGACAAGCCCCUUCGUCUUCCCCUUCAGGAUGUUUACAAGAUUGGUGGUAUUGGAACGGUGCCAGUUGGACGUGUUGAGACUGGGUUGAUCAAGCCUGGUAUGGUUGUGACAUUUGCUCCCACAGGGUUGACCACUGAGGUCAAGUCUGUUGAGAUGCAUCACGAGUCUCUUCUUGAGGCACUUCCUGGUGACAAUGUUGGAUUCAAUGUUAAGAAUGUUGCUGUGAAGGAUCUCAAGAGAGGAUACGUUGCCUCAAACUCCAAGGAUGACCCAGCUAAGGGUGCUGCUAACUUCACCUCCCAGGUCAUCAUCAUGAACCACCCUGGUCAGAUCGGAAACGGUUAUGCCCCAGUUCUCGAUUGCCACACAUCUCACAUUGCAGUCAAGUUCUCUGAGAUCUUGACCAAGAUUGACAGGCGUUCUGGUAAGGAGAUCGAGAAGGAGCCCAAGUUUUUGAAGAAUGGUGACGCUGGUAUGGUUAAGAUGACUCCAACCAAGCCCAUGGUUGUUGAGACUUUCUCCGAGUACCCACCAUUGGGACGUUUCGCUGUUAGGGACAUGAGGCAGACCGUUGCUGUUGGUGUUAUCAAGAGCGUGGACAAGAAGGACCCAACUGGAGCCAAGGUCACCAAGGCUGCAGUCAAGAAGGGAGCCAAAUGAUGAGACUCUCGUUAAAUGGUUUCUUUUGGUUUUAAAACUUUGAUGGCGUUUGAGCCGUUUUCUCUCUCUUUAUUUCUGUGACUUUCUUCUUUCUUCCUCCUUUUUGGAUCUCUGAGACUUUUAUUAUGGUUUUAAAUUAUGCAUUUUCGGAUAAUUUUGCUUAAAAGUUAUUUAGGAUUUGUGUUACAAAUUAACUCGUCUCUUUGCUUUAUAUUACUUUUAAGACGAUAACUCUUAAUCAACUCCUAAAAGUAACAAAUAUGAGUUAUUUAAGAGUUGUCUUGCAAGUUAACAGCUUUGUAUAAGUUAAGAGCUGUAGAACGCAGCUUUAUUCCGACAUAUGGUUUGCUACUCCUUCCUUCUUAGAUAGGAAUGAAACCGAACAAGCAGUUGAAACUGUAGAAAUUACAAACGAAAACGCUCGGAACUAAAACCCAAAAUAUAUGGAUAAGGCCAAAAGGAGCAGCUUAAAACAUCACACCAACGACAAAUAAACGUGUCAACAACAACAAUGAAAAUCAUCAUGGAUCUGCAGUUUUACAAGAAACAUAACUCAGUGGGAUCUAAAUAAAAAGCAUUUUUGGGAUUUCUUUUUUUUUUUUAAUACUAAGCAGCAUUAGCUGUGUGGGAAGAAAAGCUCCACGAGCCUAGAUCUUGUAAUAAAGCAAAACACACUAAGCAGCUUUAGCUGUGUGAGAAGAAAAGCUCCACAAGCCAAGAUCUUGUAAUAAAUCAACUAGAUCUCUAACGUCUUUAUCCUCUCUCAUCCCUUGAAGCUGCUCUGCACCUUCUUCACCGUGGUUUAGGCACGCAUCUCUACCUUCUGAUCUCCUUCUCCUCUGUAUCACCUUCCUUCUCUUGUCAUGAUCUGCCAUUCUAUAUCACAGAGACAGAAACAGAAAGAGAGAGAGAGUGAGAAAGAGAAGAGUCAACUAAACAGAGAAGAUCUCAACAUAGAUUUAAGAUAUGGAAACAGAGGCAUAUAUUACUCUCUGGGGAGGCUUAAUUGCUGAGUGAUCCCAGGGAUGCAGAGUGGAAACCCAUAGUUCCCACUAAGAGUUGUUGACAGCAUUUCUCUCUUUCCUUGAGAGUAAAAUUUGGAUCUUUGUUUUCAAGAAAAUCCAAGGAAGAAUAAAAAGAGAGACAAAGAUCUUGAGAAUUGGGAAUGGGUUAAAGAGGGUAUAGAUAUAUACUAGUACUAUGUAAUUAAUAAUUCCCUUUCUAUUAAGUAAAAUAUAUGAGAGUUAGAUUUUUUGUCCUGUGGUGUGUGUUGUGCAUUUGAUACUUGGGAGUUGGGAGAGACCGAGAGAGUAGAGUAGUAGGUAAAAUAGGUAUGGUCUCUUCCUAUUCUCCCAUCAAUAUGCAUUAAUCAACUUUAAAGAAACCAAGAGCAAAAAUUUUAGGAUCUUGUAGAAAAUAAUGAAAAAUAUAAAAAAAGAUAGGUUUCAUUUACCUUUUUCCUCAGCAUGAUAAUAAAGACAACUCUUAUUAUACUUAUAGUUUUGGAUUCUUCCUCUUCUUUCUUUUCUUUUCUUUUCUUUCUCUCGUUUGGAUUGAUAAAAGCAUUGACGAGGACAAUAAGGCUUUUCCAGCGAGAAUAUAAAUGCAGCCUCACCUGUACAAUCAUAUCAACUUUGUAAACCAACUUGUUCAAUAAAAAGUAAUUCUACCUAAGCUUCUCUGUUAACCAGAGUCUUAGAAACAGUAACAUCACUUUUUCAUCAUUUAUUACACAGACAACACAACAUCAAGCAGAUUCAGACAAGGGCAUGUAAUAGAAAUUUAAAAUGAUGAUUAGAACAAGUCUUGCAAUGGUCUACAGAAACCUAACAUAGUUACCCUUUAAUCAAAAUACAAACCUGCAAAUCAAUAUGUGUGUUUGUUGACACUUAUGCUUAUGAAAUUAGAGCUUUUAGAAUCCUAGUCGGUAUGGAUAAGUGUCACAAGAAUCCACUUGCUUGAGUGGAGCUACAAAAGUGACAAUGUAGGAGCUGUUCAUGGUACAUAGUACCAACAUUAUACAAGGACUAGUUAUGUGGAUAUGUAGUUUCUUUUUAGAUUUGCCAUGGGACCUUGAUGACGUGUGCCUUACCCCAUUGUCACUGAACUGAACAAAAUUGCCACCAUUGUCACUGAACAUGUACAUAUGUAACAUCUGAGAAUAGAUGCAAAAAUCAAAGAGCUCAAAUCAACUACAGAACCUACACAAAACAAAACAAUAUAUUCAAAUGUAAAAUCUAGGAGAUGAAGGUAAUGCCAAAUCACUGGAGAUGACGUUAACACGAUGAUCUCACUUGAGAUAAUAAUCUUGAAAACCAUUUGAUUGCAGCCACAUAGAAAACGGCAAACUAAAUGACAAUAAAGGGCAACGAUAGUGACUGUAUAAAUUAAGUCCACUCUUCUUAGGCACUUAUGUUAAUAUAUAUAUAUAAGGAUGAGAUGAAUCUAAUACAAUGAUUACAGAACCAUCAUAUGAGUGGUCUUGCUUCUUCUAUGGUUUUUGAAACUGCAAACAAAGAUUCGCUUCGCAGGAGAGAUAGCGCCAUCGCCUAAGUUUAACUAGCGGUGACGGUAUCUCUCCUACGUAGCAAUCCUUAUAUAUGCAUCUUUAUGCAGAGAGAUGCAGCUCCAAGUUUAAAGGUAUUUCGGCUAUUCUACUAUUAUUACUUGCUUUCUAACAAAUGAUGCAUACACCAUUUCAAGUCCUAGUUUUGUUUCUGCAUCUAUCUUUGCACUUACAUUGACUGCAAAACAUUGCUCACUAGAGGACCUUAGUUUUAGCCUCUAGAUUGUCUUCUCAAACCUACAAUGAUUGAUAAUCUGUUCCAAGACAGGUUCUUGCUCUUUGCUUAAAAAAUGUUUUGGUCUUUUAUAGAAGUUUUCUCGGCGAGAAGCUGAAACGAUUAGCCAGUACAUCCUCAGCCUGAAAAUUUAAGGAAAAGCUAAUCAAUUUAUGUGUUGUUUUGCAGAAUUUGGGUUGAUUCUCACUCACAAGUGUCUUGUUUUCUUUGUUUUCAUGCUUUGGUUGUAUUCUCAUAUAUAUAUAUGGCUUUCCAUUUCUAAUCAACAAAUGGACUUGGAUGAGGAACGGACCAUCUUUUAUAUACAGAAAGAAGAAUACUUAUAUAAUUAAAUGUGUGCAAUAUUGUUUUUUAAAGUAAAUAUAUGUCCACGAAUCAAUUUGCUUAUACGAAACCACACGUACGUACAAUUUGGAGGAUAAGACAUGAUUUUCCUAUAAAGGAGAAGCGUGAAUCGAUUUCUAAAACCAAUGUUACAAAUCAAGACGACAAGCCCAACAACAAGCCCAACAACAUUCAAAUGAUUCAGCCUACCAAGCCCACCAUUCAACGGUCAUCUCUGCAAGCUCUGCAAUCUCUGCAAUUGACAAAAGACAAAAACAAACAAAUUGCAGAAGAAGCUUCAGGAAACAGUACGAUCAAUGUGAUAGAGACAAGGAACAGAUUUGAUGCUCUUAGCCCUCUACAAGGUGAUGACAUGUGUCAAGGGAACUAGGGUUUUACCAAAGUAUAAAUAAGAGGCUCAGCCUCAUGUAAUCAAUUAAGAGAGUAUCAAAUUAUAAAAACAAAAAAACUUUCUUCACUGUCUUUCAUUUCCCACAUGUUAUUCUGCAUGUUUUACGGACCAUCGUCUCGCAAUUGAGUAUGAAUAUAUAUACUUAUCUGGUCUACCAAGCAAUCCACAGAUUUACCCGUCCAGUUGAAUUCGUAGUUAAACUAUGAUCCAAAUAUAAUAUAUGAGUUCUCAGUAGAAAAAGAAAAUAACUUUUUAAACAUGAGAUAUGUUUUCGAAUUCUUCAACUUAGAACAGUUGGAACUUGGAAUCAAAUAAUAAUAAUCUACACAAUGUACAAUAUAUUAGAAAUGUGACCAAAUUCAUCCUAAAAACUAGUUCAAAGGUUAAGAAUUAUCAUAUUGUCCAAGGAUCUUUAUUCGAAUCGAAGUAGGUCGAUUUUUUAGAUUGUAAUACAAUACCACAGAAUAAUAUGAAAAAGUUGUUUGACAAGUAAAAAAUUGGUCGCUACUCAAGUGACUGAAUAUAAUAUAAACUAUAUAAAAACUAAAUUUAAAAAGAAAAAUUACCAUUAAAAAUUACCAUUAUAUAUAUAUAUAUUCUUCUUUUUUAUGUGAUCAAAUUUUUUUGGUAACUCAAAUUUUAUGACCUAAUAAAUUAGAUUGUGACAACACCCUAAAUUAGAACGAUGGCAAUACUUUUUUGGUUAUAGAAUAAAUACGAACAAUAAUUAAUAGUCCACUAGCAAACAGAUUUUUGAUAAUAGCUAACCGAUCCGGUCCGGUCCGGUCCGGUUAGUCCAAGAGCUGACGUGGGAUUCGAUUAAAAAAAUUACAAGACAGGGCGUUACGGUCGUAAAAAACAUAAGUACAUAACAUAUGAAAGUGGUGGUGAGAACCGAAAGUCAAAAAACACGUCUUAAGAUAUUGGUGGUGGUGGGGGAGAGACGGUGCACGUGACCGCACAGGAACUAAACCCGGACGUAUUGCCCGUCAUUAAACCGGAUUUGAUAAUCGGCGACUGGUCCGGCUGCCCUUCUUUUGUUUUCGUCUCGGCGGAUCAAACUUUUUUGUUCCUCCGUCUCGAGUUUGUGUUGUCUUUUGGACACCUAAAAAAAAAAACAAAUCUUAUCGAAGCUGUGAAAACCCUAGUUUCAAAUUCGUCUCUUUUAACCUAUCAAUUUUGGCAUAUGUCAUGAUGCAGUAUCCGAUUUCUUGGUUUGUGUUUCCCGUUUUUUUUUUUGUUUUGUUUGGGUUUGGGAAUUGAAUUUGAAGGGUUUUUUUCUUCGUUUUGAGUAAUUCUCUCUUGUGUUUAUUGAUGUUGCUUUAGAUCGGCUGCUGUAUGGAGACUGUUUGCUGUGAAUUGGUACUUAUAUUUGGAGUCUACGUUCCUGUGUUUUGAAACUGAGCUUUUUGCUUCUUCUUUGUUUGUCUGGAGCUUGAAGACAUGGAUUUGGAAGCUAGCUGUAAGGUAUUAUUGACUUGAGAGAUCUGUGCUUGUUUCGGCUGCUUGUGUUUUUUUUCAUUAUCUGUCUUGAUUGCAACUUGUUUAUGAAUGUCUUGAUUGUUUUUUUUUUUCAUAGAGUGGAUGUUUCAAAAAACUUUGCUUUUUAUUUAUUUAUUUACAACUUUUUUCAUCUUCUGGAUUUUAUUUCUGUGAGAAAAUAAAACGAUGCUUUAUUUCAUAAGGGUUUUGGAUUCGUGGUUCAUGUUUUAUGGAUUUGGUAUUGCUCUAGUAGUUAGUAGGCUCAAUGUUGAGUUUCUUCUGUGUUGCAGGAUAAGCUUUCAUAUUUUCGGAUAAAAGAGCUCAAGGAUGUGCUGACUAAGCUGGGACUUUCGAAACAGGGAAAGAAGCAGGUUAAUAUAUUUCUGCUGAUCUUUGGUUUGUUGUAAUUAUGGUUUGUGAUUGUUUUCAAUGGUCCUCGCGCAGAUGAUGAUGUUCAGAUGGUUAUAAUUGGACCUCUAGUAUGUAUUUGGUGAUAAAUUUUGUUUUGUCAUGAACUAUACAGCAAUUGCUAAAAUGAAUCUACGGUCUAUAUACCUUGCAAUCUGUUUCAUUUGAAGCUAGCUGCUUUCUUUCACCAACUUGUGUUAGGUAUAGAUAUGCAUUAGUCUUCUGUGAGCAUUUGUAAUUUUAGAUAUUCACUAAGCUUAUGCUCACAGGUUACACUGAUUUAUACUCGGGUUACCAACUUGGAUUAUUGGCAUUGUGAAAGAUGUGUUUUUUUUUACCAUGUUUUUUCUUUUUUUCUUGUGCAGGAACUUGUUGACCGGAUUUUGACCCUUCUUUCUGAUGAACAAGGUUAGUUAAAGCACUUGUUUUUUAUUCCUGUCUUGGUGUAUAUAAUAAUAUAAAAUCACCUCUCGCUCUACCAUUUGUUCUGAUAAGCUUCUGUCUUUAUUCCGUAAUAACAGCUGCAAGGUUGUGGUCUAAAAAGAAUACAGUGCCAAGGGAAGAAGUUGCGAAACUAGUGGACGAUACAUAUAGGUGAGUACUCUAAUUCAAAACAGAUCUCUUAUGAAAUGCCAUGCUUUUGCUGUCUGAUUCUUUGUUACCGUAAUGUUUUCUUUUUGUGCUCCACAGGAAAAUGCAAGUGUCUGGGGCAAGUGAUUUAGCAUCAAAAGGACAAGUAAGUUCAGAUACCAAUAUUCUGAAAGUUAAGGGGGAGCCUGAAGAUCCCUUUCAACCAGAAAUGAAAGUUCGAUGUGUUUGUGGAAAUUCACUUGAGACAGACUCAAUGAUACAGGUAACCUGGGAGAAACAUUUUGUGUCUAUUCGUGUUGCAACUGGCUGUAGAACAAUUCUUGGUACAUUGUGGCCGAUGAUGUUAUGUAUUUUUUAUUGAUUCCAUUUGUGAAGUUGGGUGAUAGUUUCUGGUAAAAAUUAUAUUUUUUUCCCUGGUUUCAGUGCGAGGAUCCAAGAUGCCAUGUUUGGCAGCAUGUUGGCUGUGUUAUUGUCCCAGAUAAGCCUAUGGAUGGAAAUCCACCACUUCCUGAAUCAUUUUACUGUGAAAUCUGCCGACUUACUCGAGCUGACCCGUAAGUUUUUAAGGAUUUUAGUUUUCUUGUCUAAGUGAAAGUUUGAGUUGUAAUUAAUUAUCAUCUGAGCUCCUCCCCUACUGCAUGAUAAUUCUUCUUCCUAGAAGUAAAAAGAAUGACAUAUUGACAUGCUUUUGUUCUGGUUUCUUUAUCUCCUUGCAUUUGAUUGCUGUUCUUCUUCUAGUACUGUUUCACUUUUCAUAGUAGUUACGGUUUUCUUGUAAAUUUCUAUUUUUAUAUUAGCACUCAUUGGUUAUCCAUGAGAAUUGUUAUUUAUGGUUUUCCUACAUGGUCUUCAUUGUGCAGGUUCUGGGUUACCGUGGCACAUCCGCUCUCUCCAGUGAGGCUGACUGCAACGACCAUCCCAUCUGAUGCGUAAGACUCUUAUUUUACUUUUGCUAUUUUUCUGAAUUUGUGUACUUUUAAUGCCAUUCUUUAAGGUUACAAUCUGUUGGCAGUGUUUACAUUAGAAAGCUAAAGCAUUGUGUGAAUAAGUACUUUUUAUUUUCUUUUGUAUCCUUUCUUUGGGAAGUAGUUAUAGUGGUGGAUUAAGUCUCUAUCAAAGUCCUGCUAAUCACUUGAAAUUCAACUCGGAACUGGUGUAAGACAUUCAUCUAGUAUCUAGAGAACAAAAAUCACAAUUAUUUCCUAGCUAAAUGCACAACACCUGCUCAAGAAAUACCUUUGCUGGCUUCUGUUUGUUCUAAUACUCCGUUCCAAAAAAUUUCAGUACAAACACAAUGCAGAGUGUUGAGAGAACAUUUCAAAUCACAAGGGCAGAUAAGGACUUGCUAGCCAAACAAGAGUACGAUGUUCAGGUUGGGUUUUGUAAAGUACGUUAAGUAUGUAUAGCUGUAUCGUUGUAUGUGUUUCUAACUGGAAUUCGUUUUUGUAGGCUUGGUGUAUGCUCUUAAAUGACAAAGUUAUCUUUAGGAUGCAAUGGCCUCAGUAUGCUGAUCUGCAGGUCAAUGGUAUGACAGUGGCAUCUUCAGAGUUUUUAACAGGGAUUGGGUUUUUUGUACAUAUAGUCAUAAUUCCUAUGGGCCCAUCACAUUCACAUUGGCUUAAAUUUUUAUGUUAUUCUGAAUUUUCGAUUAUAUCAAUAAGACUGCUUUAUCUUCUGAUAUGGGAUUGAUAUAUAGCCUAUCAUUUUGUAGGCCUUCCUGUACGUGCAAUAAACCGACCUGGGUCACAGCUAUUGGGAGUCAACGGCCGCGAUGAUGGACCUAUUGUGUGUUUUUUAUCCCUUUUCCAUAGUAAAUUUUCACUUAAUUAUAGGAUUCGAUCUAUCAUACAUUGAAAAUCUUGCAAUCUGUGGUAAAAUUUGUAAAUAUCUCAUUAUUACUAUUUUGGCAGAUCACACAGUGUAUUAGGGAUGGAGUUAACAGGAUUUCAUUGAGUGGAGGUGAUGUUCGGAUCUUUUGUUUUGGAGUUAGACUUGUGAAGCGCAGGACUCUACAACAGGUACUGAUAACAAAUAGUGCAGAAGAAACAUUCAAAGAUUUGGUCGGUUUAUGGGGGGCAAUAGUUAUAAGUGUCCAAAUAAAAUAGAAAAUGAUCUUUUGAACACAAAAUGAAAGAAAGAAUUUUCACUUGGCAUCCAAAAAUGUAAUCUGUGGGAGUUACAUGUGGUUACACACUUACAUUUAGCUAUUCUCCCGUUUUGGCAGCUUCAAAUUUUAGAGACCUAUAUGUGCGUUCUUGAUUUCACUCACUGAGCUGGGCUUGUAUGAUUCUUGGUAUACCACAGUACAAGAGAAACUUUGUAGGAUUGCAGUUGGUUGCUUAGUGUAGUCUGUCCUCAUGCUGCGAAUUUUAUUUCUUUUUGAAUCACUAUAUUUAUUUUGCUAGUUCUUUAAUGAUUUCUGGUUCCUAUAUAUUUACUCAUUUUUGCUUCUAGGUUCUAAAUUUGAUUCCAGAAGAGACUAAAGGGGAGACUUUUGAAGAUGCUCUUGCACGAGUCCGCCGAUGCAUUGGAGGUGGAGGUGGAGAUGAUAAUGCUGACAGUGAUAGUGAUAUUGAAGUUGUUGCUGAUUUCUUCGGUGUCAAUCUUCGGUGUCCUGUAAGUUACUUAUAGCUCAUAGCUCAGAUUUUUAUACUUAUCAUCUUUCUAGUUUUAUCUGGCAGACUAAACUUGUAUCGUCUUUUCUGCUUGUGUCAUUAGAUGAGUGGUUCUAGGAUAAAAGUUGCUGGGAGAUUUUUACCAUGUGUGCACAUGGGCUGUUUUGACCUUGACGUAUUUGUGGAGUUGAAUCAACGUUCCAGAAAGGUAGUGCCCUAUUUGUUUGUCUAGGUAGUAAGUUAUUUCUCCUUUUUCCUAUCUGACUUUAGUUGUUCUGUGGUUUGUUAACAUGCAGUGGCAGUGCCCUAUUUGUUUGAAGAACUACUCAGUGGAGCAUGUAAUUGUGGAUCCUUAUUUUAACCGUAUCACAUCUAAGGUAUACUAAUGGGAAUAUUAUAAUUCUUGAAUCUUUGUAUCUAUGCUUUUAUUCAAUUAUUGUCUUCCUGCACUACAGAUGAAGCAUUGUGAUGAAGAGGUGACUGAAAUUGAAGUGAAACCUGAUGGUUCUUGGCGUGUAAAGUCCAAAAGAGAGAGUGAGCGUAGGGAACUGGGGGAACUCUCACAGUGGCACGCACCUGAUGGUAAUCUUUGUCCCUCUGCUGAUGAGGUUAAACGGAAGAUGGAAAUGUUACCGGUUAAACAAGAAGGUGUCUCAGAUGGCCCUGCCCCUCUUAAACUUGGAAUAAGGAAGAACCGCAAUGGCAUUUGGGAAGUUAGCAAACCUAAUGCAAAUGGAUUAUCUUCCAGUAAUAGGCAUGAUAAGGUUGGGUAUCAGGAGAAGAAUAUUAUACCAAUGAGUAGUAGUGCUACUGGAAGUGGUAGGGAUGGUGAUGAUGCAAGUGUGAACCAGGAUGCAAUUGGAACCUUUGACUUUGUAGCCAACGGCAUGGAACUUGAUUCCAUUUCCAUGAACGUUGAUUCGGGUUAUAACUUUCCUGACAGAAACCAAUCUGGAGAUGGUAUGAAUAAUGAAGUCAUCGUUCUAAGUGAUUCGGAUGAAGAAAAUGAUUUAGUAAUCACUCCGGGACCUGCAUACAGUGGUUGUCGAACAGAUGGUGGGCUGAAUUUUCCACUUAACCCUUCUGGAAUAAUUAACUCAUAUAAUGACGACCCACACAGCAUAGCUGGGGCAAGUUCACGCUUAGGUCUUUUCAAUGACGAUGACGAAUUUGAUACUCCCCUUUGGUCAUUUCCUUCUGAAACUCCAGAAGCCCCUGGCUUCCAACUAUUUAGAUCUGAUACUGAUGUCUCAGAAGGUUUAGUUGGCUUGCAUCAUCACGGUCCACUAAGCUGUGCUCCUGAAAUAAAUGGGGGUUACCCGAUGGCUCCUGAGACAUCAAUGGCAUCUGUUCCUGUGGUUCCUGGCUCGGCUGGACGAUCUGAAACAAACGACGGCCUAGUUGACAAUCCUCUUGCAUUUGGUAGAGACGAUCCCUCACUUCAAAUUUUUUUGCCAACAAAACCAGGUGCUUCUGCUCAGUCGGGUUUAAAAAACCAAGCUGAUAUGUCGAAUGGUAUCCGCAGUGAAGACUGGAUCUCGCUUAGGCUAGGCGAUAGCGUUACUGGGAAUCAUGGAGAGCCUGCAACUGUAAAUGGGAUUAACUCAAGCCAGCAGAUGUCUACAAGGGAAGGUUCUUUGGAGACUACUACAGUGACCGGUUCGUUCCCUGUCUGAGACUAAGUAUUUACUUUCCUGAAAACAUCGAAGGGACCUAUGAAUGUGGACCGGUUCAUGGUGUCGUAUUUACAUUUUCUUCACUUUACUAAGCUGCUAGGUCUUGUAAACAACUGAAGAAGAAAGAUGUGUUUAGUUUAUAAAUGUAGCUUAUUUUGUCUUUUGACUAUGCUUCUAUAUAUCCAAAGUUUAUGUGGUACUACAAUAACUGACUAUUACUGGGUAUUUGCAGCUUCGUUGCUUCUGGGUAUGAAUGACAGUAGACAAGACAAGGCAAAAAAGCAAAGAUCAGAUAAUCCAUUUUCAUUUCCUCGGCAGAAGCGUUCUGUAAGACCUCGGAUGUACCUCUCCAUUGACUCGGAUUCUGAGUGAAAAUAUUCUUCCUGUUUUGUUCUGUUCCUGUUCUGUCUCGUCUGGGGAUGAUUCGGUGUUCCUUUGGAUUAUUAACGCUAUGCACAGAACAAUGAACAGGAUCAUCAGACAGCACACCGGAGUUUGCCAAGAUUUGCAAGAUUCUCUGUACAGGCAAGAAUUGAACCGGUAUUGAUGUUUUCUCUUGUAUGAUGUUGUUGACUCUCUUCAGUAUCGGUUCAGAAUCUUGGCCUUGUCUACCUUACACUGCAGGAUGUAUUUUGCAAAGCAAAGCACUACUGGCUGAUUUAGAUACACUAAUAGGCAAGAUAAGUUGGCACAGGUGGUUCCGGUUUAAUUGGUAAUUUUGUAUACUCGAAUAGGUUUUUUUCUUUUUAAUUGUGGACGAUGAUAAUAUUACUCGGAAGCCAGGAGCCAUAGAGAGAUAUAGCAUUGUAAAUUAUGUGCUCCAAUUUUUAUUUAUUUAUUAUUAUAAAAAAAAUGCAGCUCUUUAAAUCCUCCAUUGUAGAUUGUGCUCAAUGCAUCGUUGUUCAUCUUGGAGACACGUGCAACUAUGCCUUUGGUUUUGUUUACUCUGCAUAAUUUUUUCCUGGUGGAUCAGUGUUUAAACCCCGGAUAGCUAAACAUUGUAUACAAUAUGAUUAGACCAUUCAAUUAGCAUUGUAAUAUUUUAUUAAGUAAGGAAUAUCUAUUCUAAAUAUAAAAAUUGCAAGAUAUUAUUCUGUCAUAAUAUUGGUAGUAACACAACGAUGGUACUAGACCCACUAGAAAAUACAUCAGACCUAAGCAAUCCUAGUAUGCCAGUAUAACCCCUUUAGGAUUAUAUCAGACUCAAUUUUCUAAAACAGAUAUUAGACAAGACUAAUAUCUUAGCAUAUAUAUACUACACACAGUAUAUACUAAGAGAAAAUUAAUAUAUAUAUAUAUAUCUAAUAUUUUGUAUAUGCUAAGAAAAAAAUGAUUCUCAAGAGAUAUAUAUUGUUAAUAUGUUCUUGAUAAAUUCUUAAAACUAAUCAUAUAUUUAUAGCAAAAUAACAAUCACUAAUUAUAUAAUAGUUUAAUAUGUUUUUUUUAGAGCAAGUUUGUAAAUAUUUCCUAAAAUCCUUAAUCAAUUUGAAAUAGUCAGGUAUUUAUUACCUAGUCAAAGAGUUUCAUGAACAAGAAUUUUAAGAUAUAUAUAUAUAUAUAUAGUCCAAUCACGUAUUUCCAAAAAGAAAUUCAUAUCUAUUUAUUAUUUUAUUAUAUUAAUAAUUAUCUUACUAUCAUAUUUCUACUUCUUAUUUUUUUUUUUAAAAGAUAUCACUAUCUAAAGCAUAAGUUAGUAAAACCCAUUUGAUAAAACUUUGAACUAAUAAUAAAUAUUGAAUUUUACAAAAUUAUUUGAAGAUCUAGGGACUUGGCGGGUACUAAGUUUAUUACUAUGAUAAGAGUCUUUAGAAAAACACUGACUUUAUACAUACUCCAUCCAUUCCUAAUUGAUAUUUUUCUAGUUUUUUUACACAUAUUUAGAAAAAAACAUAUAAAGUUGAUGAUAAUUAUAUCAUUUUUUGUGAUUCACGGGUUUUUAAAACUCUAAACCAAGAUUAUUUAGUUACUUACCUUGAAAUUUAUAAAUUUUAAUUAAUAAUGCAUUGAUAAGUGAUAACUUAAAACAGUUAUCUUUUUAAAACAUUUUUUUUCUUAGAAAAAUAUCUUUUAGGAAUGGAGAGAGUAAUUUAUAACCAUGCACCCUAUAAAAAUAUCAAAAAAACUUUUACAAAUAUUAUCUUAUACAACUACUAUUUUACUUUUUUGGAUGACAUUUACAUUCUACAUAAAUAAGUUGGAUCGUAUUAUAUUAAUUACUACAUAAUUAAUUUUCUGGAUAUAAACCGAAAUUUAUUUUUAUUGUGUUUUAUUCAUUCAUUUUUUCCUUCAUGAAUCCAUCUGAGAUUGGAGGGUUAUAAAUAUCAAUGAAAAUAAGAUGCCUCCAUUUCAUCAUUAUUAAAAUAUGUCAUUAACAUGAACGGAUAUGUAGCCAAUAGUGAUAAAACACGUGUUUUUUAAAUAGUGUCUAAUGUAACGGCAUAUUUAUGUUAUUAGUAUAUUAGAACUAAUAACGUAUUUGGCAUGGUCACCAUAUUCUAUAUAACGCCCCAAACAAAAUAAUUGAUCUUAAAACUCCCGAUUAUACCGUUUAAUCUCAUGGUAUCCGUUUUGACAAUUUUACUUUUUGUAAUUAACACAAAUAACUAAGUUUUCUAUAUUCACAAAGGAACAUAUUUAGCGAAAAAUUUAGAAACUCAUUUCAUCCUAUAAAUAAUUUGUUGAAUGUUUUUAAUUAAAUCUAUUUUUUUAAAUCUACUCUCUUGAAACAAAACAAAAUAUACUAUUUUGGAUGAUAAUUACAUCUUAUUAAGGUUUUCUUCGUAUAUAUAUUAUUAUUAUUAUUAUAUAUAUACAAAUAUCUAUAUGAAAUACGAUAAAAUGUACAUAGUCAUGUCUGACUCAAUCUUAAAUCCAUCCAAGGGGUGGCCUAGUUAUAACAACUAGAAUCACAUAAACAUUUCAUAAUAUAUAUCUUAAUUAUAUAUUACAAAUCAAUCAAUAAUAACGUAAAAAAUUGUUCAACGAUUAUGAAUGUAUUAAUAAUGUAACGUAAUAUAUUUGUUAUAACAACUGUCAAGAAAAUCAUAUAACUAUUUCGUCGUCCAAAUUUUUGUUAUUGAUAACAAAUCAACUGCCAAUAGCGAGAGAAAACAUGUCAUACUUUAGAUCAUGAUAGUGAUUAAAAUCGCAUGAAUAUGAAAACAUGUCAUUAGUACAUUAAUUUUAUAGUUUAAUGUUUUCAAUAAUUUGUGAAAGUUUGUGUAUCAUAGAGUACCCAUAUUUGAUUUCAGAUUCUGUCACUAACAUGUCAAAAAAAAAUUUAUUUUUUGGAAUAAUCUUUUCCUAUAUUUGUGUUGCUAAAUCUCUAUUUUUCUAAUAGAGUUUUUAUUAGAUAUGUAAAGAUCACAACAAAUUAAAGGUGCAUCUUUCUGGCAGAUUUUGAUUCAUUGUACAAAUGAAAUGACAAUAUAAUAGUCAAAUAAAUUUAAAUUGCAUACCUUAUAUUGACUGAAUAUGAAGAUUAUGAAAUGUUGCAAAAAUGGUAUUACAGAAAUUCAAAUAUAAAUUAUAAGAAACCAAUAUUGAAUUUUGCUCUUAAAAUUAAUCUUGAUUCAGUAAUACCCUAUUAUAAAUAGUUGAACAUUUUCAUGCUGAAAACACCAAUCUAUAAUUUAUCUUCUCAAAUAUCACAAAAGAAAAAGAAAAAAAAGAAAAAAAAAUGGUGAAAAAAAGCAAAGGUCGCCAAAAGAUAGAGAUGGUGAAAAUGAAAAAUGAAAGUAACCUUCAAGUUACAUUUUCGAAAAGAAGAUCUGGACUUUUCAAGAAGGCUAGUGAGCUUUGCACACUUUGUGGUGCAGAAAUCGCCAUAAUUGUGUUCUCACCUGGUCGAAAAGUGUUUUCUUUUGGCCAUCCAAAUGUUGAAUCUGUUAUUGAUCGAUUCUUGAACAAUAACCCCCAGCCUCCUCACCAGCACAACAACAUGCAACUUAGCGAAGUCCAUAGGAACUCUGUUGUUCAGGAUUUGAAUAUCCAUCUUACCCAGGUAAUUCUUUUUUUUUUUUUUUUUUUUAAUGUGCAAUUGUUUUUUCUUUUGCGUGUUUUGUAUACAAUUUUUAUUUCACAUGACAAGUGGGAAGUUAAUUUUAAUUUUAUAAAUUUUGAUUUUAAUCCACAUAAAAUUAUUAUAUAUCUUGUUCCAUAUUUUUAUUUUCAUUUUAUAAAUUUUGAUUUUAAUCCACAUAAAAUGAUUAUAUAUCGUGUUCCAUAUUUUAAUUUUAAUUUUAUAUAUUUUGAUUUUAAUCCACAUAAAAUAGUUAUAUAUCGUUUUUUGUUAAGUAAGAAGUUUUUGUAUGUAGAUAGUCUCUUUGCACAAAACCAUAGCAUAUUGAAUUGAAUAUAUAUAUCUUAGGCAUCUAGCUUGUUCGUGUGGGUACGUAAUCCAAUUUAAAACUUUGGAAAAACUACUUUUGGAGUGGGAUAAUAACACCAGUUGAUAUAUAUUUGCAGCUGUUAAGCCAGCUCGAAGCUGAGAAAAAGAAGACCGAGGAGCUAAAGAAAAUAAGAGAAACCACUAAAGCCCUAGGGCAUUGGUGGGAAGAUCCCAUUGAAGAACUUGCUUUUAAUCAACUCAGAGGAUUCAAAGGUAACCUUGAGAAUUUGAAGAAAAUUGUUACACAUGAAGCUUCCAAAUUUUUUCAGGCAAAUGUCCCAAACUACUACGUCGGAAGCUCUAGUAAUGCUGCUUUUGGGAUGGACGAUGGGAGUCGUAUCAACCCUGAUAUGGACAUGUUUAGUCAAAGAAGAAUGGUGGACAUCAAUGCUUUCAACUACAGCCAGAACUCGAUGCACCCUAGUCAUGCAUUGCCGUUUGGAUACAAUACUCAUGGUGAAAGCUUUGUUUCAGAAUACAACAUGAACUACCGACCAGAGUAUAAUAAUCUGAACCAGAACCAGAGUUUUAAGAGAGAAAACAUCUCUGAAUAUGAAUAUCAUCAUGGCCAAGGACCUCAGGGUCAUCCUCAUCCUCAUCCUCCACACUCUAGGUCUGGUUACUAAUUAUCCUUUGUUAUGUGAUCCAAUUUAAAAGCGUGUUUUUAGGUUAUCGUUUAUUUUUCUUGUUAUGUUGCCUUGUUGCAUUGUUGUUGUUUUCCUUCUUGAAUUAUGUUGUUUCUCCAGAAUUAUGUUGUUGUUAAAUUCUAAAUAAAUUAAUGUUGGAAUCAUUUAUGUCAUUUUUCUUUCGGAAUGCAUUACGCCUCUUAACUUAUGCAUUUUUGUGUAAUUAUUGAUCCUUAAAACAAAAUCAUUGUAACUAUAAUCAGUCCUGUACAUAUCUACUUAGAAAUAAAUUUGCAAUUUCACUCAAAAAAUAAAAAGAAAAAACAAAUCUUGCAAAAAAGCAUAAUGAAAAUUUCUAAGUGCAGUAUUUUAUCAACGAAAAGGUAAUGUACAUACAUCUCAUCUCACAAAUUUUAUUUUUGGUAGAAUACAUCUCACAUAUUUUGGUACAUUGUAACAAAUAAAAUGACAACAUUACAUUAUUCUUUCCUAUUAUUUCAUUCCUUAUAAUGAUAGAUAUUCUUAUUUUUCCUCUUUUUUUUCCUAUUCUUUUCCUUUUAUUUUUUAUGAAAUAUUCUUAAAAAUUAUAAGGAAUUUUUUUUCAAAACAGAUAAUAAUUCUGAUAUAGGAAAAAAUAGAAUAAAAUUGAUUUCAUUGAAACAAUAUAGCAAAAUCAAAAGUUAUUGAAAAUAUAAUAGAUUGAUAUUAACUUACUUUUGAAAAAAAAAAUGUCACAUGAUUUUAUUUAAUUUGUACCAUUUGCUAUAAUAUUUCUUUUUCUUAAGAAAACUAAAAUAUCAUCAAACUACAUCAAUCAAUUCAAAUAAAUCACGGAAAGAAUUCAUUCAUGAAAAAAAUCAUCAUAAGUUGUUAUGAAAAUUUCAAAAGAAAGAAGUAUAUUGCUCUUUUUUUUAAAAUAAAAAAAAACCUUAAAAUCCAAUGCACCACGCUUUACUCGCAAAUUCAAAACCGCAAAUAUAAAACUCAGAAAUCUUUUAGAGUAAAACGGUCCGAAACCAUAGAGACAAUAAGUAUAACACAAACAAAGACGGAGACAGAUUCAAACUUCGUUCAUGUCUAUUGUCAGCAAAACACACUUAAAAGAGCAAAAGGAAAUAAACUUCUUUGUGGGUUGUUUAUAAUCAAACCCUAGUGACUGUAGGAGAAGAAUCAGGCUGGCUCACAGAAGAUGACUUUGAUGCUUCCAUCAUUAGAGCAGCUUGUUCUAAACAACUCUUGUUAUCAUCAUUUGCAUUCUCCACCUCCUCUUUCGUGUACAAGUGUAUCUUCCACACCACAUUGCAGAAAUCACUGGCCAUAGCAAAGAGCCAAUUAGUUAAGCAGCAAACAAGUUGCGGUUGCGUCGCUUUAGAAGAUAGGUCUUAAGAACUUACUGCCAUGGAUCAUCGCCAACGACCAUCAUAUCGUUCUCACUAUCAGUAUAUAAGAUCCUCCAUCCUUUUUCAGGAUCCCUGAGAAGCCCUUCCAUGUUGAACAACCGUUCAAGCUCUGUAAGGAGAUCAUCAUACCCGUUUAGACGGGAUAAAUCAAUAGCUCUCCCCACUUGGCUUCCUUGCUUGUGAACCUUUUGAUAACAUUUCAACACAAGAAUUGAUUAGAAGAGACAUCUAUCAAUGCAGCUUCAACAAGCCAAAGAGAUUUUUAUAGCGAAAUUUUUUUACCUUUGUGCAGAUCCUUUUGCUCGAGCCUUGUGGGUUAGGUGUAGGUGUCUCCACAGGUAAGGAGAAUCCGAAAAGCUUACAUCCUGAUGAAACAUUCAUAUUAAAUUCCCCACCUUUUUGUUUCCCCAUCAUAUCAAUCUUGAAUGGCAAAUCAGCUGUAACAUUAUUCGGUAGACCACUUUCAUUUAGUGCAUCAGACUUUCUAGUCUCUUCACCAAAGUUUAUUGCACGAGAAGGGCGGCCCGAGGAUUGGUUUCCCGCAUUGUAUGGAUUCUGAUAUGGAACAUGAGUGCUCCUAAUCCCAUGUAAAGCUAGUGGAUAGAAACUUGACUUAUUGGCUUGACGAGCAAAGGGAUCGGUAUAUCCAAGAGUAGGCUUUCCUGAAGUAGCAGCUGGAGUGAAACCAGCAAAUUGCGGGAAUGACUUAAGCGAGCAAAUUUCUUGACCUUGCAAGACCCUUGGAAACCUAUCCAGGUCCAUAACGCCUGAACAGGCAGGGUCUAUAGCCGUAGCAUCCACAAACUCACCAAAUCGAUCCUUCACUCUACUAGACAAAAGAACUGGAUUUGCAUGAGACUGCAUCGCAAAAUCCAGGAUCCGGCGGUUCAAAACAUCAAACCCUUGAGAGGGUGAUGCAGAACCUAUAUUUUCUUGACCUUGCAAGACCUUAGAGGGUCUAACCGACUCCUCAAAGUCCAAAAAACCACCCCUUUCUGCAGCAACCAAGAACGAUAGUCAAUAAUAUACUGAAGACAGUUGAGAACUAUUUGCUCCAAAAAGAGAGAGGAGUAUUUAAUAUACCGGUUAUGGGUUUUCUAGGUGGAGUAGUAUCCAGUACACCUGCCCAUGGCCUUUUAGGCCUUGGAGAUGACUGAAUACUCAAGUGUGGGAGAGAAACCGAGGGAUCAAUCUCCCAAGGUGAAACUCUUUCUUGGUGAUCGCUCACAAAAGACUCAUCCCACCUCACCUGCCAAAAAAAAUAUGAAAGAUUAACUAUCCAUCCUUGAAAAUGAAAAGUAUUCUAAACGCUAACUGACAGAUGUUCCAAAUAGAUGAGAGAAGACGCACCAAAAAGCACCUCCAUUUAGAGUUUGGCCACCUAUACGGGUCCAAGUCACAGACUCCAGUCACUACACCAGCACAUCUGCAAGAAAGAUCGAAUUUAGAUUCUCUUCCAAGAAAAUUAGCAGAGGUUACAACAGAAAGAAAGAGAAGCAAGAAAGCAACAAAAACCUUCUCUCAGGAGAAUCGUCCAUUUCAAAUCGCAUUCUGAAUCUUGUGCCUAUGCAAACGGGAUUCCUGAUGGUAGUUACAUACUUCUCAUAAGGAAUCACAAACUCUGCAUGCGUUGCACUGUAUAUGAAUGAACACAUGAAUCAAUAUUAUAGUUCUUCUGUUAUCCUACUGAAGCUAGUUAAGAGUCAUAACUUAUGGCAGUUUUUAUUUUAUGUUUACCGUGGACUAUAAAACACAUGAAACAUGCUUUUUGUAGAUACAGCAUUGGCCACAGGAGACAGGAUGUUUGAGCAUGAAUUCUUCUCAAUGACUGAAUCAGGAAGUCCAUUUCUUGGCCGUGCUGCUCUUCUGAUUCCUAAUCUCAGCUCUCCAUCUUCGUCUCUAUAAACACAUAUGUUAGUUAUGAAUGUAACAUCUUUGGUUCAAGAACUUCAAACCACUAAAAGCAGAGGAAAACACCACCAUUCUACCCCAUUCUUCGUCGUAUAUGGUAAAUUGAUAUCUUAUGCUUACCUCAGAAAGAGAACCGCAUCACCAGAGACGAGAUUCUUUUGACUGACGAAUAUACUCCAACCAGUGGUGAGUAGAUGCCUCCUUGGUUGACCUAUAUAGAAAUAGAACUGAACAUUUAGAGAUCAUUGAAAAAAAAGGAAAGAAAUGAUUAACAGCAAACUCAAACCGAGCCACCUCUAUAGAUAUGGCGAAACUUCCACUCUACUCCAUGGAGGUCCUUUGCAAUGAGUUCUUGAGAUGGCCUUUGUUGUUUGUAAUCCUAACCACCGUGAAAAAUUUGAAAAUAAGGCUAAUAACAAGAAGAUCAAACCUCUCCUCUUAAAAUAUGAAGGAAAUGAGAUAUAGAGAACCAUACAAGAGGAGCGAAACAAUCUUCAGCAGCUCUUCUAGGUACAGAGAAGCCUCCAUGUGUGCUUGUAUCUGAAGCUGUCAAGGUUUUACAGAACAUAUGAGGCGUUCGUUUAACGGUUGAGCUUCCGUUCCGCUCUUCGUCCCCUCCUAACUCCCUGACCUCUUUCCCCUCCGGGUUUAGCAUGGAAAACUAUAGAAAUCAAGAAGUAUCUUCAACAUAUUAACGUCACUGAGAUUAUAAAAGCAAAGAAAAGAACACUAUUCUUCAAUUCUCUAUGGUCCUCUUAAACAAAUAAUAGGCUCGAGUCACUAAGAGGAGAAACAAAAUGAUUCACUAUCUCUUUUACAGUAGCAUCACAAACUUCACAAAUAAUCUGGAAUUACACUGUCAGAUUAAUAAGAAAGAAUGUUUUCUACAAAAUCUAUGAAUUUGCUCCUUCCAAACAUGAAAAUUGAAUUGUAAAAGAACCUAACAGUAGAGUAACAAGAGUACCUCUUGCAGUGGAAGCAGAGUGACUUGAGUGUAGACCUCAUCCGUUUCCUUAUUAGCCUUUUCCCCCAAAGUAGGAACCAAAGUUGCAAACAAUUACCACAAUUAGAAAAAACAGAACUUGUUCAAGAAUAGCAAAGAGAACACAAAAGGAAUGAUUUUUUUUUUUAAUAUGAUAGUGAUACAGACAGACUUACAAGCAAUUGGACAUUAACCACCCUGCAGAAGAUUUGGGGAUUAAGGUCAAAUUUGGGGAUUUCAAGAGGAGAUGGAAAAGAAACCAUAGCAUCUUGCUCCAAAUGACCUUGUGGGAAAUACACAACUACAUUGCCUUUGAUGGGAAGAGAAGUGAGAGGACCCGCACAAGCAUGCCACAGCUCAGAGUAUAUGGAAGAGGCAGAGCCUGUGGAAGAGGAUGACGAUGAUGAUCCGGAAGAGCAUGAAGAAGAAGAUGACGGUGAAAUCCCAAGCCUAGCCUUGUCAAUCCUUACUCCUACAUCAUCAUUCUCCUCUUCCUCCACCUCCGCAAUCUCAGUAUUCAAGUCAAAUUCCAUUGAAAAAAAAAAAGCUUCUUAGAGGAGAGCAAGGAGACAAGAAAAAAAGCACAAACCAAAAGUUUCUAUAUUUAAUCAGAUUACAACAAAACAAGUAAACCCAUUAAAAGGAAAGUUUUGAAAAAUUAUAGCUUGAAGUGACACAGUUCCUCUCCUUUUCAAGUAAAAUUUAACAAAACAGCUAACGGGAGAGGAGAUGAGGAAUAAUAAGUGUGGAAUCACACGAAUCAGAGAAAAAGAGAGAAGAGAGAGAGAGAGAGAGAGAGGAGAGAGAGGAGAGAGAGGAAGAGGAAGGAGGGGAAUCAAAUGAGAACAAGGGUUUCAAAGUAUGAUUCUUCUUCCUCCAUUUGCAGGUACUGAGAAGAGGGAGCAGAAGGAACAGACAUAGAUAAAUUUUUGCAGAUUGGAAAAACGAAAUUAUUAUAAGAAUAAAAUUUAGCAAAAAAGCAAAAAAAAAAACAAUAUAGUGGAGAGAGAAAGAGAGAGAGAGAGAGAGAGAGAGAGAGAGAGAGAGAGAGAGAGGGAGAGAUAAGCGGGGGAGACAAAGCCAAGACAGAACAGAACCCACACCUACACUCUCUCUUUCGCCUCUUUCUUCUUCUUCUUCCUUCUUUUUACUUUUUAUUUUUUAUUUUUUAUUGUUUCCUACUAAAGACUUUAUUAUUAAAAUUAAUAAAUACAACACUAUAUACUUGUGUCAAUAUAUAUACACACGUUUACACGAAAAAGUUUACAUUUUUUUUUACUAAUUAUUUCCUUUUUCGUUAUUUUUUUUUUUGAUAUAGCAGAAAAUGUCAAGAGUUUUGUUAAGUCCUUAACGAAUGGCUAAUUCAAUUCAUUGUCUAAAUAUUUUUUUAUCUAAAUUAGUUGAUGGAUGGAUGUAUAAAUCCUAUGUUUUAAAUACGUCUAGCUAUUGAAAAUUAUUAAUAUGCUUUCUUCUUAUAAAAUUCCGACAUUUUAGUUGAGUUUUUUUUUUUCUUUUCUUGAAGUGCAUAAUCAUAUAAUGGUUCAUUUUUUUUAAUACAAAAAGUUCACUCAAAAUGAACCAUAAAAAACUUCAAAGAAAAUGCAUAUCGAUCUAUUGGACUAUGACAUUACGAAACAACAACGUAAACUUUUCUUUUGCAUUCAACAAAUCACAAACCGUGCGGUGCGUGAGAAUGAGAUGAUCUUUAACAUAUAGAUGGAUUGAGGAAUAUAAAUUGAUUUAAACUUUGUUCUUUUGCAAGCAAACUCUUAUUACAGAAGGAAACAGAGUAUCUCCUUGGAAUCUUUCUUUUUUCUGAUGUUAUGUUUUUUUUUUUUUGUCAUCUGGUAAUAUUAUAUUAUUUUCCAGUGUUUUUUUAUUCGAAACAAAUUUAUUAAUCACCUUCUUUUUUUUUUUUGCAUUGCGUUGCGUUGAUAAGAGCCAACCAACCGGCUAAAGACAGAAGAGUAGGCUCCUUUCGAUUUUGUAACAAAAAGCACUUUUUUUACUCUCACUCUCUCUUUUUCUGAGACAAAUAAUAUGAAAAUCAACAUUUUCUGUCAUUGAUAAACUUAAAGUAUACUAGAAUUUACCAAGUGGUACACCACGGGUCCAUAAUUUAAUAUAUUUUUCAUUUUUGUAAUUGAUUUAUAUAAUUUAGUUUUGUAUAUGUUUAUUUUAUUUAAUUUAAUAUAAUUUUAUAAAUUUGUAUUAUAAGUAAAUUCAUAGAUAAAUGUGGUAAACCCGCGGUAAAUCGCGAGACAAUUUUGUUGUAAAUAAAAAAUUAUAUUUUAACUUAACCCGUAAAAGAUUUUAAAUAUAGACAACCCGCAGAAAAAUAUAAUCAUAUUUAUGUAAACUAAAACCCGUUCAAUCAUAUUAUGUCCAAUAUUAUUAUAUUUUAAAUAUUUGUAGAGUUAAAAUAUUAGUAAUACUUUUAAUUUUUGUAGAGUUUAAAUAUUUUUCAUUAUUUUAAUAUUCUAUAAAAAUUAAAUAAAAUAUCAGAAUUUUCAGCUUUUUAAAGUUUUAAUAUUUAUCACAUUUUAAACUUGUUAAAAAUUAAAAUUUAUAAUAUUCUGAAACUUUUUAAAAUUUUUAUUUUCCUUAAAUAAAGAAUCGGAUUAAGCUAAUAAAAGUUUUAAUUUGGAUACUUGAGAAAUCAAAGUUCAUGCUCAUUUGUAGUUGUAAACAUAUUAAUCUUAUUUAUAAAAGUUUUGAACUAUUAUCUAAAAUUUUAUAUUUUAUGUAGACGUUGUACAUACAUAUAUUCUUUUCUUUAUUGAUUGAGUUAACUACGUCCGUUUUCAAAAAUUUAAAUUGCAAAAUGUUUGGAAAAAAAUUUGUAUUUUUAUUAUAAACAUAUUUUAUGCAAUAAUAUAAAUUUAAAACACAUAAGAUUAUAUAAAUAUAUUGGAGAGAGAUUCGGUUUAUUAGAGAGGGAUUUUAGGAAAUUUUUUUAUGUAAUAAAUAUUUGGUUUCCAAUUUUGGGAUUUGCUUGUGAUUUAAUUACAAAAUUUACUUUUAAGUUUUUUUAUUUAUUCAAAUGGCAAGAGUUUAAUUAUGCAAAUAUUACAAAAUAAAAGGUUAUAAGCCAAAAUAGAUUUUAGUACAAAAUGUACUUCAAAAAUGUUAAGAUAGAUUAUAUAGUACUAUUGCUUAAUUAAAAAAAAAUCAUAUCAGCAUGGCUAGACUGUAAUAAAAAUUUAUAUUCAAUAACCACACCGACUCAUACGGUAAAAUCUACUAAUAUCUUCAAAACGGGAUUUACUAAAUAACUAAAUACAGUAUAGAUAAAUAUAUUUGAUGGUGGCACAUCGUUCUUCAAACAUAACAUGGUUAAGUUGCUCUUUUAUAGUUUUGCUAUUAAUUCAUAAAACAUGAUCAAAGUAUUAUUUAUUAAUCAUAUAUAUAAUAUAAUAUAUGUUUUUUUUUCUUUGUAAGAGUUAUCAUGUUUGAAUUCAUGUGUCGCUUUAACUUAAUAUCAUAGCAUGAUCAGUUUACUAUAUGACGACAGAACUAUUUUUUAGCCACAACAUUAAAAAGAAGAUUGACUAUUCUUUUCACAUAUAUAUCUGAGCAACUUACUUGUUUUCACUCUUAAACAAUCCUAUUAUGAUAAAGAAGAAGAAGAAAGGAAAAACAAUUAUUUUACUUAAAACAUUUAUUAUGAUGGAUCAUAUAUAAAGAAUAGCUAUCUAGCGUUGAUAAAUUUCAUUGGAGAGGAGAAAGAAAAACAAAAACAAAGAGGAUCGGAUGAUGAUGGGAUGGGAGAGGGAGAAAGAAUGAGUGAGUCCCAACAACUAACAAAGACCAUCCCCCUCCUCCUUUAACACCCAACUUGUCUUUUUUUUUUUCAUAUAUAUGCAACUUAAAACUCACUUCUAAAACUAGCUUCAAAUAUUCUCUCUUUUUUCUUCUUCAAGUACUUAAUUAUUAUUAAUCAAUUCUGAUUAGAAGAAAUAUAUCUUGUUUAUUCUGAUAUUGCUCCACAACUCGAAACGUGUAAUCUCUCUUCACGAUUACCAUAUUCUUUUGUCUCCUGAUCAUCACUUUUAAGUCAAAGAUUAUCUUUUUAAUUAGUAUUUAUAUAAUGAAUGGAUCGUAUCCUUUUUCCAUGUUUCUUUCCUAAACAAAAAAAUGAUAUUUACUAAAAAUAUCUUUUUUUUUUUUUGCAACUUUUAGAACCAUUGUUUGAAUACUUUUUAUAGCUAAGCCACAUAAAAUUUGUCACAAUAAAACACACAUAAACGUUCGGAAAAUAUUAGUGGUUCGAAAAUUAUCUAUAUAAACAUAAACUUGUAUGUGAGUUGUGUGAUUUCCUACUGCCCAAAGUAAGAUCCAUUACUUGGAUGCUAUGACCAUCCCACUCAAAGUAAACUUGGGUUAUAUGUUCAUAUAUCCUUAAUUAUAUCGGUCUAGUCUUUUACAUCGCUCUAUUUUACGUUAUCAGCCAUCACGCUCUAUCCUGUUUUGUUCUUUUCUCAAUAUCAUCAAAGAAACGAUUCAUUAAUAAUGAAAAAAGCUCUAUAAACUUUCAAAAUUAGGAUGUCUAUAUCCCUUUAUUUUGUUGAAAUUUCAGUUUCAUGCAGAGAUAACUUUCGAUACCAAUUUAUCAAUUUUCAUUUUUGAACUGAUAGCUACAAUUCGUUGCAUGCAUGUUGAUUAUAACUCUUUUGACCAAGUCGAUUGAAUUUAGUACUAUAUUUAGAAAGAAGAAAAUUAUAUAUUUCCAUCUCAAAGAUUCAGGGUCCUUAUUACCACAAAUUUGUUGCCAUAUAUUUGUACUUAUAUAUAUAUAUAUAUAUAUCUAUAUAUAGAUAUAUAUAUAUUAUUUAUAGUUUACGUCAUUGCGCCAUGUAUCAAAAACUUUUGGAGUAUCUGUGAUUAGUAAUGCAUAUAGUAAAGCCUUUCUCAAAAAUAAAUAAAUAAUGCAUAUAAUUUUUUUAAUAAUAAAUUUUAUAAAUUAAAGAUUAUUUUGGUGCCACAAAUAGAGUUUUUUUUUAUUAGAGAUAGAAGAAGAAAAAAAAAGUUUUAUGUUUUGGCAGAGAAACAAAAUAAUUUCUUUUUUUAAGAAAAAAAAAAGAAAGGGGGAAAAAGACAGAGGUGGGAUAAUUAGGAGAGGUCGUGUCAAACAAAAAAAUUGUCGCGAGAAAACGACAAAGCAACGCCAAUGACUUUAUUAAAGUCACAAGUGUCUGUAUCAAUUCGAUUAAAGACAUGAACUCUCCUCUCUCUCUCUCUCUCUCUCUCCCUCUCUCUUUAUUUUAUUUUAUAAUAAAACCCUAAAUACUAUUUACCUUUUCCUUUUUUACAUGUUUGUAUUUAAUUGCAAUAACCACACUACAGAUAUAUCUAAAUUUUUACCGUUUGUAAAAUGUAGAUUUCACUUUACAUGAUCAGAGCUGAUUAAUUAGUUAGUUUGUAUAUGUAUCCUUGUGGACAUAUAUAAUAUAUUUAAUUCGAUCGGUGUUGGAAUUGGAAUACUUUGAUUUACCUUGCUCUACCGACCCAUGCAUAUAUAUAUAAUGCUGACCAUUUAUUUUACCAUAAGAUUAGAGUUGAAUCGAUCACAAAACACAGCUUUGCUUAUUAGAAUUCAUAUUGUAUAUAUAUAUAUAUAUCAUACAACUUGCAUGUGAUAAGAAAAGAGAGGACCCAUCGAAAAAAAAAAGAGAAUUGUAGAGACAAAUGGUAUCCCAUAAGGAGAAAGCUCUUUGUCAAAAUAUAUUGGAGCCUACAAUUUAAAGUUGGCUCCUAUUUUUAGUUCUCUCUACUACAUAUUAUUUUUUUACUUAAAGGUGAAAAAAACAGACCAAAAAAGCUUAAAUCUUUAAAGUCAUACAUGGCCAAACCAAACUCUAUUCUCAAAUAUCCCUCAUUGCGAACCAUCUCAUAAGUAUAAGUAAAUUAUAUAUAUUGCAUCAUCAUCGUUAGAUAUCUUUCCUGUUAACGAUGAAUUUAUUUUGGCAAGUUAGAUUGCAUGCAUAGAUCAGAAACCAAUUCCUAUUUUGAUUUGGAGUUGAACAUAGUUGAUGUCGUCGUAUUAUCAUUACAAUGGCUAUGACCAUCGCUGUUAGGGUACAAUUAUCUCGUUGAUAUAGAAUUAUGGAAUUUGGGUUUUUUCAUCCUCUUUUGUCUCGUUAAUUCCAACAUGUCGUUGCCUUUAAUAUUAACACUUUUUAUAUACGUUUGCUUUUCAGAUUUCCCUCUUCUAGUUUGACCCCAUCAUCUACAAAGCUUAAACCAUGCAUGAAGUUGUACUGAUUUGUAAUUUUUCUUUCAAUUAAUAUUUUACCAAAAGUGUGCUUAAUCACACAUAAAAUUACAUAGGGAGGGUGUUGUGUAUGAAUUUAGAUUGGGGGCUUGGGAGUGAUUCAAAUUUCCCAUAGGGCAUGCUGUUUCAAUUACUGCCUUAUCUUACCGUAUGUUUGAUGGCUUGGACCAUUCAGUUCGAUCUCAUAAAUGCUUGUUUGGUCCAUUCGACACGGUUCAUAUAGAAUGGUAUACUCAGACGAUUAUUUUGAUUUUUUUGUUUCAAUUAAAUUUCACAUGCUGAGGGGUACGUGUCAGAAUUUAUGUAUCACUCAUAGUCUCAUAACAUAGAAUUUUACAUACGACGGACCAGCUGAAAGGUUCAUCUAUUACUCAUAACAUGACUUUUUUUUUAAUUCAUGCAUGCAUGCGCGCAGAUCAUUUUACUAAGUCAUGAGUAUAUAUUAUUAAACAUAAAACAAUGUUUGCAUCGUAUAUUGUCGGAUAAUAUGUCAUUCGCAAGUUGCAGUCUUUUGUUAUAACAAUGUUUUGUUUGUACGACGUAGUUUUCUUCCUUGUGGUAUUAUGUCUUGACAAGACGAGAACUAAGAUGAUCAUUUUAACCUAUUUUGAAAAAGGCUUCAGAAGAGUUUUCUCAUCAGCGGUUCUUAGUUAAUCGUUUCUUGUUUCAGGCAUUUGAUUUCUUGAAUUUGCGUCAAGACAAGAAGAAGUUCACCGCCAGGAUUUAACGGGUGGAGUCCUUAGCUUGCUUUCCAUCUCCCUCAUCACAAAUUAAAGAAGGUUCGUGAUGAUUGACGAGUGACGAGUAUUCGUUGCAUGUGGCAUUUAAGAACGGUAUCUUAGUGAUGUCGAGUUCCCGUGCGGAUGAAGCCUCUGAGAUAGCAUUCUAAAAAAUGUCAUUGCAUAUGACCAUGCGCAGCGGACACUAAUCCCAAUAUCACAGCAUAUAUAUAUAGCUAAUUAGCUAUGAAAUCUGAAAGCUCACUACAAAUCUCGUAGAAAAAAAAGUUGCGCAAAUCACAACAAAGUCUAGCUAUAUAUUUCCAGCUACAAUAGCCUUCCACACUCUUGCUUUUCAUUAGAGCUGGGACGAUAGUUUACCAUCAUCUUCUGUCAUCCAAACUUACCGAAGCUAUUAAGUAACUUAUAUAUAUAUAUAAGGUAUGUUUCUUUUUAUGCUUCUGCCGGGUUAAUAGAAACUUGUUUCCAAGUCUUCCUAUUGGAUUUAUUUAUGUAAUUAUGAUGAUUGAUUGAUUAUUUCUAUAAAAGGCAACUGUAUUUGUAACAUGAAACAAUACUAUAAGUGUGUUCAACGUUAUUGCUCUCUUGGCCUCACAAGGAAAUUUCAAAAGAUAUAUAUACAAGUUUGGCUUGUAGUAGAGACAUGUUUUGUGUCUUCUACUCUGUACGAUUUGUGCAGGAGUUGAUCGAUUGUAUUAUUAAAUGGACAAAAAAAACCAAAUUCUUGUUUAAUUCUUGAACCUGAACAAAUACUAAUAGGUGCAUAUAUAUGAACCUUAAACAUGUUUUAUUCAAAGUUUAGAGCGAUUUACAUAGAUCUCAUCGAAACAGAAUAAAAAGAGAGAAGUCUAAAGAAACAACACUGAUUGAACAUGCAAAAGAGAAGAUCAAGAUCAAGAUCAAGAUCGGGAUCUAAGAAGCUUGGGAUCCGGAUUUGUGGAGGUAGAGUUUUCCAAAGACGUGAAGAGCGGUGACGAAGCCGAUGAAACAGAGACUCAUGAUCAGAACAACGGUCGGUGAGAUCUUCAAGCCAGGAGCGUCAUCCGUGUAGAACCUCAGCAUGUUGCUCGGUCCUGAUCCACCCGCGGAUCCUCCGCCUGACGACACGCCCCCACCGCCUAGCCUGCGGCGUCGCAUGCCGGCAGUAGCGGCCGCGGAUCCACGUGGAGCGGCCAUACCGGGCCGAGCGGUUGAGGAGGCGGUGGAGGUUGAUUGUUGGGACUGGGAAGAGCCUCUCGCCAUCGUUGUUGACUUGUUGUUACGGUCAAAAGGGAAAGAGACCAAGAGAGAAAAGGUUUAUGGAGUGAUCAAGAAAGGGUAUAAUAGUAAAUAAAGUCACAUCUGGGGGCGAUUACUUUGGUGUAAUAGAGAGACGUGUAGUUUCCUAGUAAGAAAGCUCUCUACUCCAACGACUUUUGUUAAUUACGGACUUAGACCAUGAUUAAUGGUAGUUUCUUAGCUUUUUCUUAGGGAUUUAUAUAAUUAAAAUUAAAUGAUUAAUGGUGAUAAAUGUUAAGAAACGUCUUUUAAGCAAGAGUUAAUCUUAGAGGUAAGAGGCGACAAAUGUUUAAUUUUGAUUGGGUUAAGAAGAAAAGAAAAAAAAAUAUCACACGUUCUCUCUCUUUCUCUCUUUCUCUCUUUCUCUUCUCUUUCUCUCUUUCUCUGUUGCGAAGGAGCUCAUAUCUGUGACGAAGAGAUGCGCAAAUCAGUGACAGAUCUCCGAUUGUAGCUCUCAUAUCCGUACACAACUAGUCUGAAUCCCUCUAUGCUUGUUCAAUUUGAUGUUGAUUGACUGUUGGGAAAUUAGGGUUCGUUGAAUUGGGAAUUUAGGUUUUUUUUUUUUUUUUUUUUUGUAAAACUAUGAUUAAUCACUUGUUUGUCUGUAUAUUUAGCCAUCGAUUGUAACAGGUUUACACCAAUUUAGAAGAAUUGAUCCGAUUGUUUGUGGUGAUUGUUUCGUUUACAUGAAUAACAUGAUUUUUUUUUUAAACAUAAUUUUUUUUUUAAGAACCACAAAUUAAAAACCUACCAAUAAUGACAUCCCAAAACAAAAACCAAAAAUACAACUCUUAUCUCUUAUUUUUCUAUACUUAUUGGUAAAUUAAUUUUAAGAUCAAGAUUUAAGAGUCUACCAUUAAUCAUGCUCUUACGGUAAUGUUAAUUUAUAAGAAUUACUGUAUUAAAAGAGUUUUACUGUAUUAAAAGAGUUUUUUUUUUUUUUUUUUUUUUUUUUUUUCGACAGAAAAAAAAAAAAAAGAGUUUUGCUUCUCAGUUUGGCAGAUUUAAUCGCCAUUAGUGAUCUUUAAAUAUCUCUAAUGACAGUGCAAAUGCAAUUAUUUAUUUAUGGCGCAUAGAGUUAUUGAACGAUCACAUAACUAAAUCCUAAAUAUAUUCAAAUCCAUCGAAGCUUCUUAGAUUGGGGCUUCUCCACGUUCUUUAGCUUUGUUCAAGCUAGUUUCGAUACUAUGGAUUUCACAUUUGGGUUUCUUUUGAUCCAGUUAAUUUCUAUCCAGAAUGGGCUAUUAACAAAAUAGCUGGGCUACUCUUGAUACACCUAUUUCAGUUUCACCAAAUCCUUUAUAAAAUAAAAUCCAUUGAAAAUAGGAAUAGCUAAUUUAAAAUAAAAUCCACACCUACGUUUGCCACAUCGUUGAUACCAAAAAAGAUCAUUUUUUUUCUUGUUACGUGUUUUCUAAGUCAUUAAUUCAAUGUUUUGCAUAGUAUAAUGAGGAAAAGAGGGAAGAAGAUUAAAUUGAUCAAGAAAAAAAAACUUCCAAAAUGUUUAUAAGUCUAUGAUAUAAGUCAUUAAUUCAACAAUGCUUAUUAGUUCAGUAACUCUAUACCACUACAGGUGUAUAUGUAUAUAUUCAAUUAUUAAUUAGAGGUUAAUAAUGUACUUAUGGUGCUGUAAUUAUGUAAUGAUGAUUUGUUUGCCCCAUCAAAUUUGAGUGUUGGCUGUAAAGACAAUCCCCUUUUCUUCUUCAUCUUCUAUUUUCGUUUCAAAAUCUUUCUUUUAUAUAUGCCUUUUUUAUAUGUUGUUGAUGUCAUCUCAUAAUUAUCUUGCUUGUUUUUACUUGUCUUUAUUUCCUUAUUAUCUCAUAAGUCAUAAUUUGAGGGGGGCAAAUAAUGAUCAUGAAGUAAGAAAAAUAAGUAACAUUGAUUUGGCAGAAAAAUGAGUUAUAACUUCUUUAGUUAGACAUAAGUGGUGUGCUCUGUUAGUACAUGAUGUGAUGUCACUUGUCUCACUCGAUCGUAAAUGAUUUGGCUAAACUUUGAUCACCAUUAUGAUCAAAUUUAAAGUUACAUUUUCAUCAUGAUCACAUUAGAUAUUAUUAGAUUUAGAGGGGAAAACGAUCCGUGACAUCCAUCUUGCAAACUCAUAUUAAUUCAUAUAUGUUGUAUCUCUUGUCGUUAUUCACUUUCAACUCCUACACUGUGCUCGUUGUGAUUUUAUAUGAUUGAAUUAUAUGAGUUAACUAGGUUUUAACCCGCGGUACACCGCGGAAUUAUUUUUUUGACAAAAAAAUAUAUAUUUAUGUUAUUUGUUAAUUUAUUACAUUUUAGUGUUUAAGAUUGUGUAACUGUAUUUUUGAUUGUUAUUUUUAUUACUUAACUCAAUGGAUAUUUUUUUAUAACUCGCAGGACUAAAAAAAAUUAUAUUUAAGUUAUAUUUGUUAUUUUUUUUUAACUCGUAAGAUAACCCGUAAGAAAAACAUAAAACUCAAACCCGUUAAAUCAUAUUUAUGUAAAAUAUAAACCCUGAAUGUUUUAUAGAUUUAGAGAGAGAUUUUGGUUUUUGUUUUCCAAAAACUCAUUUUUAAACAAUAAAGAUUUUAAAAUUUUGGAAUCCCUAAAAUUUAGUAAAACUUUUUUUUUUUGUAAUCUUCCAUUCAAGAUUUUGGAUUUUAAGUUUCAUAUUAGGCAUAUUUAUAAUGGUUGCGAACCAUUGUCUAAAAUUUUCUACCCGAUGUGGGACGUUAUACAUAUAUGUUUUUUCUUUUAUCGAUUGAGUAAUAUAAGUCCGUUUUCAAAAAUUCAAAUUGCUACAUAUGCGAAAAAAAUUUUGUAUUUUUAUUAUACUUAUGUUUUAUGUAAUAAUGUAAAUUUUAAAACAAAUAAGAUCAUAUAAAGAUAUUGGAGAGAUAUUCAAUUUAUUAGGGAGACAUUUUAGGAAAUUUUGUUAAAUGUAAUAAAUGUUAGUUUGUAAUUUUGCAAUUCUGGUGUAAUUUAAUUACAAAUUUUAUCUUAAAAGUUUGUUAUUUAUUUAAAUGGCAAGGAUUUAUUAUGCAAAUAAUACAAAAUAAAAGGUUAUUUUCCAAAAUGUACUUCAAAAAUGUUAAUAUAGAUUAAGAACUUUGAGAUAUCCCACAUACAGUAUAUACUAGAUCGAUGGUUAUAAACUAAAAUGGAUCUAGGUUUUAUACCACCCAAAGAGACAAAAUACUUGUUCGGUUUUGUCCCUUUUUUCUGGUUCUAGUUUAUAUGAAUAUUUCUAGAGACAAACAUUUUGGCGAAAAAAAACAAAUUAAACCAAGGGGUUUGAGACCUCUUUGUGAUAAUCUCUGAUGCUCAAUUAAUGGAAAAGAAAUGUUGUGGUCUUAAUUGUUUACUCAACUUUCAAAUAGUAAGAAAGGUCCAAAUUGAAGGUUUAAAGUUGUUCACAUCUCAUGCACACUCGCAAUCAUACAAGAUAGAUUGAAAAAAAAAUCAAUAUUGAUAUAUUACAACAACAAGAAAAACGACGGUCUAACAAUGUCGACUUCAUAAGCUUUCAUAUAGAUUUAAAAGAAAACGUACCACAUACUAUUUAAAAUUUUUAUUUCUUAAGAAAAUAUAAAGACGUGGUAAUCCUACCUUAGUUUUAAGAAAACGAUAUGAAAAAUAAUAUAUUAAAAAUGAAAAACGUUAAUUAAUGUAAAUGUUAAAUUCGAAACCAAAAAAGAUAUCAAAUAGAAUUAUAUAAAAAAAUUGUGUUAAACUUGAAUGAGAAUAUAUGGUCCAGUUUGAGUCCAUCACUGACCGACUUGUAAUAGAACAGUUGUGUGUAAAGAGAGAGAGAGAGAUUCCGUCUGAGCAAGCCUUCGUUUUUGGUGUGAUCCUACAAGACUCUUCACAUGUGAUCAAAACUUCUCCCAUCGCAAUCUCUUUAACAUAAAAAUCCAAAAACAAUAAAAGAUCGUAAUUUUCUUACCCCACGACCAAAUAAAUGAAAGUUGAAUAAUCAUAUAUAUCCCACUUUUCAACCCAUAAGAAAAAUAUCUUGAUUUUGUUCUUAUAAGUCACAAAAGCUAUACUGUCACCCAUAAUUACAUAGAUAUCACUAAUUACAUUUCUUAUACUUGUUUUCUUCUCUCCUUUCUCUCUUUCUCUGUCUUCUUUGUUAUUUUAAGAUUCUUGCUUGUUUAAGUAGAGGACUCUUAAACACAAACUAAAGAGUUUCUUUCUUUUUGUCUUCUUACAUAUAUAUGAAUAAUCAAGACAUGAUGAUUCCACAUAAUGAUGACCGUCUCUCGUUCUCUAGCUUUGUCCAUCCACAAGAGCACAUCACCCCAAAUUCUAACCCUAAUUCUAAGCAUGCCUCCACUAACACACCCAAGAAAAAGAGAAACCUCCCAGGCAAUCCAGGCAUGUGUAUAUAUUUUUCAUUUGUUCUCUUUAAAAUCAAUAUACAUAUAAUCUUGUUCCAAGGGUAGAUAUUUUAUGUUUUCUUGUUUCCUUCUUGAUUAUUAUUGGUUUUAAUUUUGUUUCUUACAACAUGAACAACGACAAAACAGAUCCAGAUGCAGAAGUCAUCGCUCUAUCUCCAAAAUCCCUCAUGGCAACCAAUAGGUUCUUCUGCGAAAUCUGCAGCAAGGGGUUUCAGAGGGAACAGAACCUCCAGCUUCACAAACGAGGCCACAACCUGCCAUGGAAGCUGAAGCAGAGAACAAACAAGAAUCAGGUGAAGAAGAAAGUUUAUAUAUGCCCCGAGAAGAGCUGCGUCCAUCAUGAUCCAACUCGUGCCCUAGGAGACCUCACUGGAAUCAAGAAGCACUUUAGCAGGAAGCAUGGAGAGAAGAAGUGGAAAUGCGACAAGUGUUCCAAGAAGUAUGCUGUGGUAUCCGAUUGGAAAGCUCAUACCAAGAUUUGUGGUAGCAGGGAGUUUAGAUGUGAUUGUGGUACCCUCUUCUCCAGGUCAUUAAUACUCUUUCAGUCUUUCUAUGUCUUGAAUUGAAGUAUUAUCAUUUCCCAAAACUUGCAUCAAACUCUUUUGAAAACGAUAAUCUUUAGGUUUGCAUAUUUAUUUGUUGUCUUUAAUAAAAAAAAAAAAUAUAAACGUAAACAAAAACGCAAAUCUAUACAUAUUUGUAUUUAUGAAACAAACCGGCGGGUCCUAUAACUGGACAUCCUAAACAGGUGCAUGUAUGCAUAAAGCAUGAGACAGCCUUUGUUAUCAAAAGUUAUACUAUAUAUAAAAAGAGAUUCCUUUUGUUUGUACUAUCAAUAGUCAAACCGUGUUUUUUUCUUUCCUUUUUGCAUUUUCAUACACGUAAAUUAAUAACGAACUUUAGAUCUAUAAGUUAUUGGGUACGUUAAGUCUAGUACAUCAUGCUCGUAGCUUUGUCGUUUGGAUACCACUACCGUUAAUUAUUUCAUGGCUUGUCUUUGUCUUGUUCCAGUUUGUAGUUUUAUAUAGACAUCAAUUAUCGAGGAGAAAAAGGCUGCAUGAUUAGAACAUUACGUGGUCAUGUUUUAAUAAUAACCUAAAGUCUUGUGUUUCCACCUUACUAGUUACUAAAUACACCAAUUUGCAUUUAUUUAGUAAAGAUUUUACACAUAUAUAUAUAUAUAUAUAUAUAUAUAUAUCGUUUACAUAGUCAGCUUGCUUUUUUAAUUAAGACUUACACAUAUUAUAUACCUAUAUGAACAUAAUUCCAAUAAUGUAUAAUUUGGUUAUAACUGUAUCAGGAAGGAUAGCUUCAUCUCACAUAGAUCCUUUUGUGACGUCUUAGCUGAAGAAAGUGCUAAAUUUUUCUCAGUUCCAUCACCUUUAGCCGCCAAUUCGACCAUCUCCACAGUUGCUGAUACCAAUAAUCCAGUUCUUAUUCAAUCACUCACAUGUACGGCCGAUCUUAACGUCAACAACAAUCACUCCACCUUGUUGGGAAAAAAGUUCAUCAACUCCGAGCCAAUCCCGCAACGAGCCAAUGCUUUUGCGUUUUCGCCACCACCAACACCUCGUGGUACAUCUGAUAAUUCGGUUCAUAAUCUAUGGAAGUUACAAGAAGAGGAAUGUUCACACCAGUCGUUACUCAAUGGGUAUAUGAACAACAACAAAAACAUUAGCCAUAAAGGAAUAUCCCAAAAUCAAGAAAAUGCGAUCAUCAAGAAGGGAAAUAUCUAUAGCGGCUCAAACUCAAGCGAUGCGAACAUAGCAUCCUUGUUCUCUUAUAAUCAAGAAGCAGGGAACCUGGCUUCAUUGUCGGCAACAACAUUGCUUCAAAAGGUGGCUGAAAUGGGAUCAUCAUCCCGUUCCGACACUGGCACCCUCUUGGGACUAAUGACUUCCUCCAUCUUCAACAAUAGGAUGCCAAACUCCGAUUGUUUAAAGGCGAAGAAUAAGAAAGAAGAGUGGACCAGAGACUUUCUUGGUGUUGGGAAGCCGUGACGACCAACAAGAUCUACUUUAUCACCAUCACUUCCUAUCAAGCGUGCCACUGAAGGUGAGCCAUAUGAUAUAAUUCCCAAGUUGGCCUUAAUUAACCAUUGUAGGCGGGGAAGCAACCGUAGGCAUGGCUUCAGUUUCUAUGUUCGUGUCUUUAUAGUUGUAUUUAAGGAUAUGUGAAUUUUCAGGCUUUCAUUAGGAAAAAUACACAAAAAAAACAAAAAAUCUGAAGCGACAAGUACUCAAAAUCUUUAAUCAACAAUAUGUUACUAAUUGAUUAUGGUUAUAGUACUGUCAGAGCCACCAAUCGCAACUGUUGGAAUAAUGAAUUGGUUAUAUAUAUUAAAUUAAAGAGACGAAUAACAAUAACAUAUGCUGUAAAAUAAAUAUAUUAAUUUUCCAUUACGAUUUUGGAAUCCUUAAUUGCCUACAAAUUAAAGAAACGAAAACCAAAAAAUAUCACACUUAGUGAGGAACAAAAUCAGCCAUCAUCACUGACAACAAACAACAUAGGCACCGGCGUCGGAGACAUGGUUGUCUUGUACAACGAGUGCCUUAAAAACCACGCGGUCAGUCUCGGUGGCCACGCCCUUGACGGCUGUGGUGAGUUCAUACCCAAGUCCACCACCAUCCUAACAGAACCUCCGUCCCUUAGGUGCGAUGCUUGUGGCUGCCACCGCAACUUCCAUCGUCGUAGUUCUUCUGAGGUCUUCAGUCACCACCGGUCACCACCGCUGAAGCCGCUCGCCUCCACUCCGCACUUGCUUCUUUCUCUCAGCUCCGAUUUCUCUGGACCCGGAGACAAAGAUAGGUCGGCGGUGAUGAAGAAGCGUAAGAGGACAAAGUUCACGGCGGAGCAAAAGGAGAAGAUGAGAGGAUUCGCAGAGAGAGCGGGGUGGAAGAUGAACGGCUGGGAUGAGAAGAGGGUGAAAGAGUUUUGUGGCGAAGUUGGAAUAGAGAAACAAGUUCUUAAGGUUUGGAUCCAUAACAAUAAGUACUUAUCCAACGUGAAGAACAGAGACACUACGUCAUCUACGUCCUCUAUGUCUUUGAAGCUGUAAAGAUAUAUAUAUAUAUCUAAACUGUAAUGAGGUUACUGUAGUCUCUUAUGAUCUGACCUGAAGUUUAUCCUAGAAGACUUUUCUUUUGAGUUUGAACUUGUAAUCAGUCGAUGAUCAUGAUUCAUGACUCAUGACCUAUAUAUGGAUAUUUAAAUAUGUAGCAUUUACUUAAAGCUGUCUUGGUUUAAAAGUAUUUACGUUGCUAAUAAUUAUAGUGUAACAAACUAAUAACAAUGCUGUUCCCAACAUGGUUUCUUCAAUUACCAAGAAGUUCCGAGGCUUUUUGACUUGUAAUCUUUUCGUUUUCGGAUUAGCUAGAGAAGUACUAUUUUAGGUCAAUAUAUAUAGGCCCUUCCAUUAAUAAUGGAGACUUGAACUAGUGACAUUGAGCAAUACUCCUUGUUUGGAACAGUAAAAUUCAGGAUGUGAUUCAUUGAUAUGCUACUAUAAACGAAUCUCCUGAGCUUUUUAGGGCCAAGUAGUCUUAAAACUAGUGACAUAUACGUUGUUUAGGAAUAUUAAUUUGUUCAUGUGGACGACGACACUUCUCAUCAUUCUCAUCUCUUAUUUUGUCUUUUUCCGUUUAAGGAUAAAGCUUUUGUAAACAGCCCGUCUCCUAGUUUGUCCUAAUUAAGGAUUAUGCAGAUAUUUUUUUAUAUAUAUAUUGUAAAUCCGUGGCUCUUCACGCACAGCUUGAAGUAUUUGUUGGUCUUUUGAUUCCUUCUCAUCAGAAUUAAGCUCCUAGUUGGGUGUGAUAUUUAAUGAAUGAUCCUUUUGGUGGAGGUGGAAUCAUCAACCUAUGACGUUUUAAGUUUUGAUUCCAAAUUAUAAAGACAUUGUUUUUGUUGGAAAAUUUAAUUGAUUUGUUUUUUUUUUUUUUUUUUUUUUAAUUCUCUGUGCGUGUGUUGAAUAUAGUAUCACAUUACAACAAAUUUAAUCGACCGGACUUUAAUUCUUCUAGAUUUGCAAUGUGGCAUACUGAUUUAUAUUGUCUUAUCUAACUUUGACACCGUUUUCUUUGGCAUGAGUUUUGAUUUCUGAAAUCCUUUUUCUUUCUUGGUUCACCAAUUUUUGGAAUCAAGAUUUUGAAUUUACAUAUUAUGUAAUUAUUGUAUCUAUCUAUAUCAAACAAAGUAUCGGGAUAAUUUUCAUAUUAUCAUAUUUAUGUUGGUUAGGAGCUUUGACUUAGUUUUUAAGAUAUAUAAAAAGUACAAACGAGAUCGUAACACAAGUGUACAAAUUUCACCUCUCACCAAAAUGGAAAUAUAUUUUUUUCAAAAGAUGAAAAUGGAAAUAUUACAAAAAAAAAAAAAACAGAUGAGAGUGUUUGAUUAAUACAAACUCGUAUAGCCCAAGAGACAAAUAUAACCCCAAAAAUCACCCACAUGACACAAAAUCAUGAGUAAUAAUAACACCAUACACAAUUUUUUAUCAUCACAAAUAAAACCAUGCGAACAUUACGCUUAUGAUGCAAAACGACACCGCCUGACACACAGAACCAACGUUACGCGAAGCAAACGAAGCAUCUGCCGGCGAAUCAUCACCGGAACUAUCACUGUCGUCCUUCUUCUUCUUUGAUUUGGUGGCCGACGGAGCCGGAGCCGGAGCUGGAGGACGAGGAUCGAAAACUUGCUGAGGAAGCAAAACCUUAUCGACCUGGUAAACAGCGAGCUGUCCAUCGCUGUAGACAUUUCCGGAGACGGUGGUGUUGGUUACACCGGUCGUGAUAUUUACCGUAUUGCCACUGGUGGUAACGUUGAGAGGAAAAUGUCCUUCGGCGGAGUCACCGGCCUGGGUCCGGAGAGGGUUGCUUAUUGUUUGGAAGUUAGUGGAAGAGACGUAACUUGGUAUGACGUGAAACUGAAUCAGCUCUACUUGUUGCUCGUCGUUUAAGGAGUUUAGGGUUCCGGCUUUGAGGCCGGAGAAUGAGGAAUCGCUAGGUGCAAAGAUAGUGAUGCCGUUGUCGGAGUUGUUUAGUUGGCCGUAGAGUUGGUUAGCAACGCCGGUUGAUUUGAGGAGUCGGAUGAAGACAGUGAACUGUCCUGCUUUUUCUAGGAUUUUAGUGACAUUUGUUGGUCCUGCUGGAGCCGGUGCGGCGGCUGGAGAAGGCUGAGAUAGGGUUCCGGGAGUUGUGGUUAUGAGGAGGAGGAGGACGGUGAAGAGGAGGAUUGUGAGAGACUGUUCCAUGGCGGAUCUUUGUGUGUUUCAAGAGUGUGUUGUUAUUUAUGUUUGUGUGAGAUAUGAGUUUUGUGGUGAUAUGAAGAGUAAGGUUUAUAUUGAAAUGGGGGAAAUUGAUUGGUUAGGAGGUCAACAUUCUUACAACUAAGUUGAUAAUUAAUAAUAAUCAAUGAUGAUUAUUUUCUUCCCCUACACAUCUUAUCAGAUGAAUUGUUUUACCUCUUCGGGCAAAAUUAUUUGAUAUAGACUAUUAAGCUGUUGAUACAAAAAGAGGACAUACAUUUUACUGGUUAUAUAUGUAAAAAGUUAUAAAUUGGUUUUUGUAUCAAAGAAACUAAUAAGAUAAUUAAUCAAGUUCUAAUUGAUUAUUACCUUUUAACAAACAGAGCUAAUAAUUUAAGUGGUAACAAACGUAUGGUUGGCAAUUUGGCAUGACGGUGAUAAUGUAUAUACUUACACAAAAGUGUGUGUGUGCAAAAACAUAAAAGAGGUCAUGAUUACUUAGUUUGUAAUUAUCAAAAUCCUGUGUAUGGAACGGUGGGAGGAAUAAUGGAGAAUGUGGUGUGGUGUGGUGUGGUGUAUGAUAAUGUAAGGAGCAACUUGCAACCUUUGCUUGAAAAUUAAGAAAAAGCAAACAGAAAUUGAUUUGUGGUGGGCUCUCUUUAAUUUUUAGCAUAUUCGCGUAUGUCAACUUCAAUUUUUUUUGGCUAAAAUAAUGUAACCAUAGUACAUUUUGUAUUAGUCAAUAAUUAGAAAAGAGAUAAAACAAUGAUCAAAUGUGUUUUCCACGACACUAUAAGCCCAAAUUAGUAAAUUAUUCGAGUUAAACACUUCGUAUAUUGGGAGGGAGCUAGGGAGAUUUGUGAAGGUGGGUGCGUGUGAAUUCGUUUUUGUAAGUAAGUGUGGGCAUAAUGAAAACAACAUUGUUAUCUUACUAUGAUGUUUAUGCUUUCAUCAGAUUUGAUUUUGAUUGUUCCUCGCAUCUGCUUAAUUACUAUUGUUUCUAGACUACUGUAACUGUGUCUUUUUCUUUUUUAAUUAGUUGCAUUUUAUAUUAUUUAGAAUAAUAUGGCUCACUGGAUUGUAUAUAGUAAUUGUUAAAAAAAAUAUAUAGUUCAAAUACUGUGUUUGUUACAUUAAAAGAAGAAGCAACAAAAAAAAAAUGCAUACUAACUUAAAAUGUCUUAAGCGGAGACAUUAAUUACAAAUUUGAUUAAACCAAGAAGAAAGUUAUCAAAAUCACAAAUCAGCCAAUUUCUCUCGUCCCCUAAAAACCAGGCGUAUCAUAUGCUCAUUCCAUUUGCAUUCCCUCCACAAAGAACAAACUUUUGUUUAUAUUGUCACUAACAACAAAAUUCCCAAUUAAUGUUCUUGAAUAGAUUCUCCCCCUCCCCCAUAAGUUGAUAUGAAUACAGGAGAAGAAGUUGGUGAAUUCACUCAAAUCUUCAGUGCUUUGGUGAGUCUAAUGAGGAAGUUCAUAUUCAGAGUUCUAUGUGCGGGUCCAAUACCUACUCACAUCUCAUUCAUCAUGGAUGGAAACCGCAGGUUCGCCAAGAAAUACAAUCUCACAGGCCUCGACGCAGGACACAGAGCAGGUUUCGUUUCCGUGACAUAUGUUCUUCAGUACUGCAAAGAGAUUGGUGUACCGUACGUUACACUCUACGCUUUUGGUAUUGAUAAUUUCAAGAGAGGACCUGAAGAAGUCAAGUGCAUCAUGGAUCUUAUGCUGGAGAAAGUCGAGCUCACUAUCGACCAAGCUCUUACCGGGAAUUUGAACGGCGUCAGAAUUAUCUUUGCCGGUGAUUUGAAUUCGUUAAACGAGCGUUUUAGAGCUGCGACUCAGAAACUGAUGGAGCUUACGGAGGAGAAUAAAGAUCUUAUUGUUGUCGUUUGCGUUGCUUACAGCACAAGUCAAGAGAUUGUUCAUUCUAUUCGAGAAUCUUGCAUGAGAAAGUGCAAAACUGGAGAUGGUCCUGUAGUUUUGGAGGUGAGUGAUGUUGAAGAGUGUAUGUAUACAUCAGCUGUCCCGGAUCCGGAUCUUGUGAUAAGAACCGGUGGAGGAGAUCGGCUUAGUAACUUCAUGACGUGGCAAACGUCGAGGUCACUUCUUCACAGAACGGAGGCUCUUUGGCCGGAGUUAGGUCUCUGGCAUUUGGUUUGGGCCAUUCUUAAAUUCCAGAGAAUGCAAGGUUACUUGCAAAAGAAGAAAAAGCUCGACUAAAUAGUUUUUAAGUUAAACUUAAAUCCUAGAAUGAACUUUUAACCAUUACGUUUGAUUUACUUGUUUUUCACAGACAAUAAACUUAUGAAUAGAAACGAGAAAGCACCAUAAAAAAUCAUUUUCAUUAUAUAUUGGAUCGGAAUAACAAAUAAGAAGACACAAAACAUCGAUAUAAUUGGUUUUAACAAGGCUAUUAGAGGCUUAAUUUAAACACAAGAUUUGGCAACAAAAGAAGCAAACAAAAUCCAUAAAGUUUUAGUACUUAGCCAAUCCAAGACAAGAUUUUGCUUGGAACCUGCAGACUUUACAGAGAGGUAAGAACAGGGGAGGAGUUUGGUUCUUGUCUUCUCCACCCAUCGCUCCGGUCUUCUUGGAUUGAUUUGAGGCCACAUGUUCCUUUAUUACUCUUUCCAUUUUGAAUCUGCCAUCUAAUAACAUAAAGGCAAUCAGUGAUCUUGGAGAGAAUCAUCUAUAUAAGGUUACUAUAGAUUCAGCUAAAGGUGUACUUCUCUCUUAUUGAGGAGACCUAGCGGUUCUUUCCAUUUGCCAGAUAUCUUGGUUGGUUUGGGAUUUAAGUCAAAAUUUCUUGUAGUGGGUUUUCAGCUUGAAGGUGAAGAAAGUGAGUUGAUGUUACAGACUACAGAUUCAAGGUUCUUUUACUCCAAAUAGCCAGACAUAGGUCCCUGCAACUUUGUUACCGAAAUGUCUUCUGCUUUGAGCCUCUCUAAUGGACCUCUUUAUUAGUCAUCUGGUUCAAAACCAUUACAAUCUUAUUGUGCAGAGAUUAAGUUUCUUGAACUACAUAUCUAACCACUAUCUACUUUUUUUACAAUGUGCAAGACCAAAACAUUUCUCUGUUAUCAUUUAAAGAGUUAGAUAUAUACUUUUAAGAAUAUGGUUUAAAAUGUCUUAAUCUUAACCACAGAGAAAUUGCAUAUUUGAUUAAACCAAGAAGAAAGUCAUGAAUCACUAAUCACCCAAUUUCUCCCUUCCCCUAAAAUUAGCCGAAUCAUAUGCUCACUCCGUUUGCAUUCCCUCAAAAAUAAACUACAUUUCUUCUGUUUAUAUUCAUUCACUCAUUACAAAACCUAAAACCCCCAUGUUCUUGAAUUCUCCCCUCCUGUAACCAUACCCAUAUUAUAAUUAAGUAUGAAUAAUACCACAGAAGAAGUAGGCGAAUUCACUCAAAUCUUCAAUGCUUUAAUGAGUCUAAUGAGGAAAUUUAUAUUCAGAGUUCUACGCGUUGGUCCAAUCCCUACUAACAUUUCAUUCAUCAUGGAUGGAAACCGCAGGUUCGCUAAGAAACGAAAUCUUGAAGGCAUUGACGCAGGACACAGAGCUGGUUUCAUAUCCGUGAAAUAUAUUCUUCAAUACUGCAAAGAGAUUGGUGUACCGUACGUCACACUCUACGCCUUUGGUAUGGAUAAUUUCAAGAGAGGUCCUGAAGAAGUCAAGUGCCUGAUGGAUCUAAUGCUGGAGAAAGUCGAGCUCACAAUCGAUCAAGCUCUUACCGGGAAUAUGAAUGGAGUGAGAAUUAUCUUUGCCGGCGAUUUGAAUUCAUUAAACGAGCGUUUUAGAGCUGCGACGCAGAAACUGAUGGAGCUUACAGAAGAGAAUAGAGAUCUGAUUGUUGUGGUUUGCGUUGCUUACAGCACAAGUCAAGAGAUUGUUCAUUCUGUUCGAGAAUCUUGCCUUAGAAAGACUAAAUUUAGAGAUGAUCCUGUAGUUUUGGAUGUGAGUGAUCUUGAAGACUGUAUGUAUACAUCAGCUGUGCCGGAUCCGGAUCUUGUGAUAAGAACCGGUGGAGGAGACAGGCUGAGUAACUUCAUGACGUGGCAAACCUCUAGGUCACUUCUUCACAGAACGGAGGCUCUUUGGCCGGAGUUAGGGCUUUGGCAUUUGGUUUGGGCCAUUCUAAAAUUCCAGAGAAUGCAAGAUUACUUGCAGAAGAAGAAAAAACUUGAGUGAAUAGUUUCUAAAGUUAAACCCUAAAACGAACUUUAACCCUUAUACUUGUUUUACAUGUUUCUUUCCGUGCAAGAAACGUCGAAACUAAAAACCCGAAGAAAAUCCUUUUUAUUAUGUAUCGGAUCCAAAUAGCAAACACAAAGACAUAGAACAUCGAUGAUAAUCUUUCGAUUUAACGAUGCUAAAACACUACAAUUAGGGGCUUAAUUUAAACACAAUUUGGCAAACAAAAAACAAACAUAUCCUUUUUUAAGGUUUUAGUACUUAGCCACUCCGGGACCAGGUUUUGCUUGGAACCUACAAACAUUACAGAGAGGUGAGAACAGAGAAGGAGUUUGGUACUUGUCUUCUCCACCCAUCAUCGGCAUCGGGACUCCGGUCUUAACCGGACUAAUGUAUCCAGGUCUGUAUGUUUUACCCAACACGCCCUCGACGAGAUCACUCAGGUCAAAAAACUUAAACUGAGUCUCUAGAUGAGCAAAAACAUCAUCUUUAGGAAUCUGAUAGUUAUGAACUCUGUCUUCUUCUUUCCCGAUUGGUCUAACCUUAAUAUCCAUCUGAACAAUCCCAGAUACCGUAACUCUCACGUUAUUCCUCUCAUCUGUUCUCUCAACAACAACUUCCCUUUCUUCAAGAUUUAUUCUCCACUCUGCUUCACCUUCUGUCGGAACUUCAACUUCUUCUCCGUUCCAUCUCACCACGAGAGAGUCUACAGAAUCGUCCCAAGAAGAAACCUUCUUGGCGGCGAUGACGAGGUUAUGACUAUCGAACAUCACUGAGAAGGCUUGAACCCAUGUGAAGUCUCUGGUUCUACCAGCAGGUCUUGUACCAAUGAAAUGUGCAUUGAUUUGAAGAUUAUCGUCAGAAACGAUGGCGAAGUUCCCGUCUUUGUUUCCGUGGAAGUAGAACAUCACACCGUCUCCUCCAACAAAUCUCGGGUCGUAACACAAAGAUCCAUAUCCGUUGCAGUUUGCUAUUCUCCCUAUUCAAGAACACAAUGCAAACCAAGAUUAAUACGCGUGUUACGUUAGGAAUUAUAUAAAAGAAAACUACAUUAUGGAGCUUUGAAAAUGUUCCAAGAUAUAUGUUGAGGUUGGAGCUUACAUUUGCAGGUGACUUCACAUUUGCUGCUACAAUCAAUGAAACAAGCUUUUUCCUUCUUGUUCAUCUUUGGUUUCCUCUCGGGGCAUUCCUUAGGACAAGUGAGGAUCUUUUGGUUACAAGAUCCUCUCGCCAAGCAUUGAACUCGCUCUUGGCCCGUGCCAAGUGGAUACAAAACCUUGUAGUUGGUUGAAGCUGCGUCAUAAGCACCCUUCUUCACUUUCUCCGUUGCAGAAACCGCCAAAACAGAGACAAGAACGAUAAUAGUCACAAGGACCCGCGACAUUUUCUUUUAUGUUUUGAAAAGAAACAGUCCUCCUUUGUCGUUAUAUCUCUUAGGAUCUUGAUAUGAGAGCAGUGGAGGGGAGUGUGUACUUAUAGAUCAGAGAGGCUAGAAGUAAGCAGCAGAGAGCGGCUUAAUUAACGGUCCAGAUUUGAUCAAAGAUCACAUGAAGAAUCGAAGACCGUGUAAGAAACAGCUUCGACUUUUGUUUAUUAAUUCCUCUAAUUAGGAGAACAGCCACUAGAUUCGAAUUCAAGCUAUAGAAAAUUAUGUAUUAAUUUCUUAGAAGGGAAAAGUCAGCCUAUAGAAUUCUUAAGUACAAACUGUCAUAUAAAUCAUUAAUAAACACAAGAGGUCGGCGCUAACAAUCUUAAGAUCGAUCAUGCGCUACAUCAUUAUGGAAAUAACAAAGCUUGACCAAUCCCAUAAGAAUUUCAAGACUAUUAUCUAAACAAUUGCUAUAUAUUUAACUUCAGAAAGAUACUUAUAGAGUUAAACAUGUUUCAGCUAGUUGAUAUAGGACAUUAUUAAAAGUAAUAUUAACAUUACCAAUAUGGAGUUCAACUUUUUCACAUUAUCUCUGCUCGCCGUGGACAAUGUUUACCCACAAUCUAUAUAUAUAUUCGUCAAUUUUAAGGCUAAAAAUGGGAACCCAUCGAUCACGGAUCUUAAUUCUUAAUUUAUAACGAAAAAUCAAACCACGAGUGAUUGCACUAACUAAUCAUCAUUGUGGAGUUGACAAUUUAUCUAUUAAUUCCAUAUACUUGUAAAAUUAUGAUUGUAUAGAAUUGAAGCCAUGUAAUCAUGUGAUGGGUAAAGAUAAUUUAAUUUCCUUGGAUCACAUGAACUAUGCCUAGAAUUUUGCAAACUUUUCUUUUGCGCACUACCUUAUUUGAUUAUUUAAAUAUGAGUUUCUUGGCUAUUGGCUUAUAAAGUUUAAGAGAAAAGAGUGCUCCAGAAGCAUCUCCAGCUUGUUCUUGAGAACCCCCAAAAAAGCACUUGCCUUCAAAGUGAGGAAGAUACAAAUAAAACGGGAACCAAGAAACUUAAUGUCAGAUUCAAAUUCAUGAAUUUACACACACAAACAAUUUUCUUUUUAAUUGUUAGAUAAACGUACUACUAAUACGUAUACAAAAUACAACAAACGAGCAAGGAAAAAAUAAGAAAUUAAGGGUUUGCUUCUGGCGCAAGAAACGUCUUACAUUUCUUAAACCCUCAAAAACAUCACAAACGGGCCAAAUAUUAUCUUUUUGGCUCUUAUUACAUUACCUUUUAUGAAUAUAAAAUAUUUCCAGAAACAAAACAGUUACCAAUACGAAUUUUUCAUGAAUUUAUUUAAAAAUCAUAGAUGUUUCCAUUAGAUAUCAGCAGAAAGUGAUUCUUCUUGAGGUUUGAACCUGCAGAGUCUGCAAGUCGGCGAGAACAGAGAAGGCGUUUGGUAUUUGUCUUCUCCCCCCAUCACAGGCAUUGGAACUCCAGUCUUGGCAGAGCUGACGUAAUCAGGACGGUAGGUUUUCCCCAACACACCCUCAACGAGCUCACUUAGGUCUAAGAAUUUGAACUGAGUCUCGAGAUGGGCAAAAGCGUCAUCCUGUGGCAACUGGUAGUUGUGAACUCUGUUCUCUUCUUUCCCUAUCGCUCUCACUUUGAUGUCCAUCUGAACGAGUCCAGAGACAAGUAAUCUGACGCUGUUCCUCUCGUCGGUUCUUUCAAUGAUGAUCUCUCUUUUUUGUCCUGAAAUUUCCCUCCAUUCGGACUGCUCGUCUUCAGGGAGUGUGAUGAGUUCUCCAUCGUAUCUGAUGGUAAAGGCGUCAGAUGUUUCAUCCCAUUGAUUCACUCUGUUGGCUGUGAUCACGAGCUUGUGGUUUUCGAACAUGACAUUUAGGGCUUGAACCCAUGUGAAGUCUCUGGUUCUUCCAACUGGUCUUGUCCCGAUGAAGUGAGCGUUGAUCUGGAGUUUGUCGUCUGAAACGAUGGCAAAGUUUCCACCUUUGGAUCCGUGGAAAUAGAACAUCACACCGUCUCCUCCCACAAAUCGAGGGUCGUAACAGAGAGAUCCGUAGCCAUUGCAGUUCGUUUUUCUCCCUGUAAGAAAGAAAGAAGCCAGUAUUAUGCCAAGUUACUUGAGUUAGAAGCAUACCAAUUCCUUGUACCACAAAUAAUCAAUGUUAAUUAGAAUCCGGAUAGCAUACUACUUUGCGAGAAGUAAACUGAUUAAUCUAAAACAAAGGAGACCGAGUGAAAAGAAUGUGCUUACAUUUGCAUGUAGCUUCACAUUUGCUAGUGCAGUCAAUGAAGCAACCUUUGGUGUUCUUGUUCUUCUUGGGCUUCCUCGUGGGACAUUCACCUGGACAAACAAGAGUCUUGUAAUAACAUGCUCCCCUAGCCUGGCACAUCGCCUGCUCUUGUCCUGUAGGCAAUGGUGUUAGUACCCUGUAUCUUGCAGCUGCUUCACUCUGCUCCUUGUCCUUCUUCUCCUUCUCUUUCCUCUCUUUUUCCUUCUUCUCUUUUUCCUUCCUUUCCUUGUCCUUCUUUGCCUUCUCCUCCUUAUCCUUCUUGUCCUUAUCCUUCUUGUCCUUCUUCUCCUUUUCCUUAUCUUUCUUCUCCUGUUCCUUGUCCUUUGGACCGUUACCGUUACCUUUGCCUUUGCCAUAAUCUCCUCCGCCUUUACCCUUGUCUACCUGUCCCUCGUUCCCCUUGCCGUUAUUACCAUUGCCUUUGCCGCCAUCGCUCGCUGCAAUGACAAUAUCGGUCAAGAGAAGCAAUGCAAAGAGCGCGACAAGCACAUAUGACUGUCUGCGCUCCAUUUCUCAAGUUCAAGCCUUCUCUUCUUCUUUUUCUUUCUGCUUGUUGUUCUUCUUCUUUGGUUUCUCAAAAUGUUUCUGUGUGUUUUUGGUGUGGUGAAAUGUUGUUGCAGAAAGAGGGAUUAUAUAGCGUGGAGAAAGAAGUAAGUUGACUUAAUAAAACCUCAUAUGAUAAUAUCCCUUGCUUCAUCUUUAGAAAGAAGCCGACUCUUUGAGUUCAUCUCAAGUCGUCUCCAUUAAUUUCUUAACAAAAAACAUAGCUUGAUUAAGCUUCAACAUCAAGACUUUUAGCUAAAAAUAAUUGUUUAACUAGAAUUAGCUGUACAUAUAACAUCAGUUCACAUUAUUUUUUACCCUCUUUUUUACUUAUCUAUAACCAAAACUCUUCACCGUUUUCAUAGUGACUUGCUAAUAUUAUUUAAUUUAGAUUACUAUGUAUAGAACUCUGAAUUAUUCUUUUAGGCUUUUCAGUCCCAAAGUUUGUUCUUGAUCCCUUUCUCUGCAAGGAAGCGAGUAGUGAAUACGUGAGGGUGCCUUAAAUGAAGAAGAAAGCCCUCAUGUCUAAUGUGUGCAUUUUAAGAAACUUUUUUGACUUUUCAUUGGCCCAAAGCCGCCCACUAUUGCAAGAUUGCACCUUUUCGAGAAAGCAAAGAAAAGUCAAACUUGGCCAAAGUCAGCUGACCGGUUAAUAAUUAACCGGCUCAAUCAUCCUCAUAACUAGGAACAACACCAUACCAAGUUACACUACCUAAGUUUGUUCUGUCCUGUCCUGUGGCCAUACUGAUCUCAUUCUUCUAAAUCUCAAUUCUUAGCCAAACGCCCUUCCACAAUUCACAAGGCACAUACCAAACUGAACCAGGAAAUCUGUUUGAGAUUCAACAGUACACAAAGUUAAAUCAAGAAACAGUUACAUGAAUCCAUUAAGGAGUCAUGUGAAACUUUCUUUGUGUACAAAUUGCAAACUAGCUUGCAAAAUUACCAAAACAUCUUUAAAAGAAAAAGAAUCUGACACUUUCUAAAGGUUUAUUUCAAGAGAAGUAAGUGGACUUCUCUCUAUUCAAUUAUUGAAAUAUAGGAAGAUCAGGCUUAGCUUGCUCCGGACCGGCGCUUAUUUCUCCAACAGAUACAAUAGUGCUAAUACUGCUUGAAGAAGCUCCGUGUUCAAUCUCGUUCGUCAUCUUAAUGAAAUAACUGUGCCUGGAAAAUGAAACCAGAAAGAGUAAGAUCCGCAGAGCAUAUAGAACACUACUGAAGAUAUCAAAAGACCAAGAAAAAAGUUAACUAAUUACCAUCGCGUGUCUGCAGUUAGCUCGGGAUGAAAAGCUGUUGCUAACAAGUUUCCUUGCUUCACAGCAACAAUCACUUUUGUUUCAGGAAGAGCAUCUUCCUGAUUUAUCCCCGAAAAUAUGAAACCAACAAGAAGGAAUCCAUUCAUUUGCUCACAAAAAGGUAAUAAUCUGUUCACAAGCAUUGGUGCAAAAUUACACAAACCUCUUGGAUUUGUACGGUAGAGCUUGAAUACAAGACCUUGUUUGAUGGGACGGGAUAAUCUGCCAGGACUUCGACGUCAGGACCCACAUCGAGAACAGCUGGAGCACGUAUGAACACUCCCCGAUAUGUCUCUGACCCACCUUCUUUAGAUGUUAGUUGAGGUACUGAGAUAUCAGCUUCAAAACUUUGAAUCUACACAUGGAAAACAAAUAUAAGAACAAUCAACAAGUUUCACAUGGUUAAGAUCAUAUUUGAUGGUAGUAGUGAUUUCAUGUGAAAUAAGUCAAUCAGAGACCUACAAUUCUUUUAACUCCAAUGGAACUCUGAUGAAAAGACCGAGUUUUUACUACAACUCAUCAAGGCUCAUGCCGAUUUACUUUUUCCACAUUUAACAAGUAGUAUUGAUUUACAUAUCCUAUAUACACAUCUCUUAACAUGAAACUUGGAACCUCGGAAAAAGAGAUACCUGGCUGCCAAAGAAGUUCCGAUGCACGGUGCAAUCAAGGCCACCGACUAAUUCCUGACCUCCCUCUUUCUGACCUGAAAAUUGUAAACAUCAUCAAGUUUAACGUUUGUAACUUUUCAGCAACACCAAUGACAGGAAGAUGAAUUAAAGAAGUACUCACCAACGGCUCUAUCUGCCAAGAAUAUAAGUCCCGCGCAUGUCCCCCAAACCGGUUUCCCCGUCUUAACAAAGUCACGUAGAGCUGGGAACUUCAAAAGAGCAAAUGCAAGAAAAUUAGAACAGAGAAGGGACUUAUGCACUAUCCAUCGUCACCACUAAAACUGUAUAAGCAAGCAAAUCAAAUCUGAACAAGGGGCUUAGUUGAAAUAAACGUAAAUGACAGCUCCCCCCUUUCAUGAUUCUAUACUCAUCUUACAUACAGCUUUGACCAGUUCUGUUAAAGAUAGGAAAUUUCAUCAAUAUUGAUCAAAAAUCAAAGAGUGGUUUAGGUCGACAAUGCUUAAUGUUUUCACUUUUCAGGUACAAAACAUCAAACAGAGAAACAGAGAAACCACAAACAUUACUUAUGUACUUAUACCAAAGUUGCUCCUCUUUCAAUCCCAAAGCCAAUCUCGUUGGACAAUACAAACUGAAUUAUUCAGGAAUGAGAGACGAGACGAGUGACUAAAUUGAUCUCUUUAAAUCUGAAAUUCUGGAAACUCUUAUAACUUAAUAAAAAAAAUCCAAAAUUCUGGAAAUUCUCAAGUAGUAGUUGAUGAAUGACACCAGAUUCGUUUCAAGCACACAUGAAAAAAAAAGAACCUUUCCUAGAUUCUCUAAGUGGGUCCUCGCCAACAAAAAACACAAUAUAAAAAUUAUGAUUCUACAAAGAGAGAGAGAGAGAGAGAACCAAGUUGUGAUACUCGGCGAGUUUGGCCAUAGUGGUGCUCUCGCCGCCAGGAAUGAUGAGAGAAGAAACGGUGAGAAGCUGGUCAGCCUUCCUAAUUUCAACGCCUUGGACACCGAGCCGCCGCAGAGCCGCGAUGUGCUCAUUGAAAGAACCUUGCAAAGCUAAAACUCCGACGGUCAUCGCGGCGGCGUGAAGAGAGAGAGAGAGGGAGAGAAAGUGUCAGAUGAUAAACACCAAAACUGCGUGUUAAUGGACCAAAACCAAAGGACACUCACAAAACUCUGUAGGCUGCGAGUGGCGACAAUUUCUUUUACACCUUUUGUUUUGUGUUUUUUUCGUUGCCCACGAUUUAGAAUCAUAAUCAGAUAUUUUCUUCUAUUGACAAAAAAAAACAUUAAAAACAAAAAUACUACGAAUUUAAUAACUGUUGUCAACGCAAGUACAAUAGAACUGUCCGUAGUAGAUCAUUGUCUAAUUUUUAGGUUACUGGGUAACAGUGUGAUGUUUUGUAAUUUUAUUGUUAGAGAGAAACUAAAAAUGAAAUUAGUUUAAGAUGGUUUGUCACAUUAGCUGGUAAUGAUCUAAUAUAUAAAAAGAAUAGUCUUAAAAAAAAAUAUAAACCCCAAAAAAAAAAAAACCGAAAAUCUCGAUUCGAAGGCUUCGAAGCUCUCUUUACCUUUAUGUGAUUGGGUGUGUGCGUAAUCUCACGCACGCGACGUUGAGAGAGAGAGAGACAUUUACUUGCGAUCUUAUUGCUUUCCUCUGCUCCGAUCGAAUUCAAUAUCAGCUUCGAUGUAUGUUUCUCUCUUUCACCUUCAAUUACUGUUAUUUUCUUUUUUCUCGAUUAGCCGAAUACUGGGGAUCUUCUCAUAAUUUUUUUUCAUUGCAUCGAAAUUAGGGUUAUUUUUUCUUUGUUUUCCAAAGUUUAAGGAGAUUAUGGUUUGUGAAUUUGAAAGCCACCCUCUUGAGGGUUCUUGAGUUUGUGGUACAAAAUUUGGUUGUUUGCAUUGUUUGAUGUCAUUUUGAGAGUUGACGACUAUGAUUGAAAAAAGUGUACACCUUUACCCCUGAAUCAUAUUGUAAUCCACAAUGUGAUGUAAUAGAUUUCAUGUUUAUUGACUUAUCAUCCCAAGUUUUUUUUUUUAAUGUAGUGGUUGCUAUCAGCGAAAUUUGAAUGAGAAUUUGACCCCUUUUUAAAAAUUUUAUUUUUGCAGAACACUCGGAUUCAUCUUGACUUUAUUGAAGCUGUGUAGCUCUUAAUAAUUGGGGGCCUAUGCGCUCAACGCGUUGCUGCUCGUGAAGAAAGAAGCUAGGAAAUUUUGAUAAGUAUAACUUAUUUAUAAGGUUUCAGUCUUAGGCAUGUCUCGUUUCGAUUGCUGUGGCUGUGAUAUCUCAACUUGUUGUGUUCAUCUCGCUGAAUGGCAUCCUUUGGAAUAGUCAGGUUCUUCGGGCUGCAAGCCUUCUUAACCCCUUUUAUCGCGGGGUAAGAUUUGGAUUUGUACCGACGUUUUCGUUUUUGAUUAUUCGGAUGCUCAAUUCAGGAUAUUUAUUUUGAUAUCACCUUUUUUUUGUGCAGGUUCUCUUCAGUUAACUUAGGCACUAUAUCUUUCAGCAUUCAUUCAUACUUUGAGGAGUAGGUCAUGUUUCGUGAUAGUUUUUUGUUUGCCCGUACUAUGGGUUGCUUUGGAUGCUUUGGCGCUUCUGGUAGUAGAACCCGACAAUCGCCUAAGCCCUACGACGAUGAUACAUACUCUUGUGAUAGCGAUGUUACUACCACUGCGAGAGGAGAAGAAGAAGAGGAUGAAGAAGAAGUAGAGCAGAAGAGCCGCUCUAAACGAUCUGAGGAAAUUUUGACUUAUAGAUUAGAUAAUGGAUUCAUCUGCAGGCACAUUCCAGUGAGAGAAACUAAUGAACUUAUCCGUGGAGAGGUAAUUUGCGUCGUCUUGUGCCUAUCUCGCAUGUUAAUGCUUCUCAGAAUGUCUCAUGGUGUGUCUAGACAAAUUUAGUUGUUGUUUGAUAUUUAGGAUGAAAAUGGUGACAAGACAAUCAAUGAGUACGUUCGUGUGUGUAAAAUUGGAUCUGGUAGCUAUGGUAAAGUGGUAAGUGUCAUCUACACAAUACUAUCCAAUCCUUUAAAUGUAUCCUCCAAAAGCAUCCCGGGUUUUGGAUUCCAUAACAUUAUUUUUUUGGAUUCUCAACAGGUUUUAUAUCGAAGCACUAUAGACGGCCAGUUUUAUGCUAUCAAAGUAAGCCCUUAUUUCUUUCCCUCAUUGCCUCGUGAAAAACCUUGUCCUUAUUGUUGAGCUGAUGUUAAUCAUUUGAAUUAUACAAGUUAAUUUGCUUAAUUGAUCACUUAUAUAUAUGGCUUGUAGCUCUCUGACAUAUUAUGAUUUAAUACUUGGAUUUCCAGGCAUUUCAUAAGUCGCAUUUAUUAAGGCUAAGGGUUGCACCUUCAGAGACUGCUAUGAGUGAUGUUCUUCGUGAGGUACACUGAGUUUUUUGCAUUUCAGAACAGCAUUUCUAUUGGUUCAUUUUAAAGAAGUUGUGUUUACGCUCAUUUAUCUCAUCACUUCAGGUUAUGAUUAUGAAAAUUCUGGAGCAUCCUAACAUUGUUAACCUCAUUGAGGUUAUAGAUGACCCUGAAACUGAUCAUUUUUACAUGGGUAAUCUCUUUUUUCUUCUCUACUGUUUAGAUUUAUACUCACCAUGGAAAGAGCCUUUUACCUUAUAAAUGUUUGUCUUUCUGGUUUCUCCUAGUUCUCGAAUACGUUGAUGGAAAAUGGGUGUAUGAUGGCUCUGGACCGCCGGGUGCUCUCGGGGAGAAAACUGCUAGAAAGUAUUUGCGUGAUAUUGUUACUGGCCUGAUGUAUCUUCAUGCUCAUGUAUGGUCUUCCUUGAUUAGCGUGUUUCUCUUACUUCAUGUUUCGUCACCUAAUACUGUCUUGAUACUGUUUCUAUGGGGACCAAACAGGAUGUAAUUCAUGGGGACAUUAAACCCGACAAUUUGCUGGUUACUAGUAGUGGUACUGUGAAGAUAGGAGAUUUCAGUGUUAGCCAAGUAUUCAAGGUAACAAAGCGAUAACUGAAUCACUGGUCUUCAUUAAUUCUUAUAGCUAUCUUCUUACCUGAGUGUUACCAUCAAUUCUUUGUUGUUACAGGAUGAUGAUGAUCAACUGCGUCGAUCUCCCGGGACUCCAGUCUUCACUGCUCCAGAAUGUUGUUUAGGUUAGUUUGCAUUCUAAUCUCUGUAAGCUUGGUCCUAGUUCAUUAGUCUAUAUAGAGAAUGAGCAAAAAUCUUUUUUUCCUUUCUUGGAUCGAAUGCAGUGUCAGGUGUAACAUAUAGUGGCAGAGCUGCGGAUACAUGGGCAGUUGGAGUUACUUUGUAUUGUAUGAUAUUGGGACAAUACCCAUUUCUUGCUGAUACUCUUCAGGACACCUACGACAAGGUAGGUUCUGCAUCUGAUCAGUCCUUCCCUUGGAUCUUGAAAAUCUUAUAACUUCCCAUUGUUUAUAAUCCUGUUAUCGCCUACAGAUUGUUAACAACCCUUUGAUAAUCCCGGAUGGACUGAAUCCUCUUCUCAGAGAUUUGAUUGAAGGUCUCCUUUGCAAAGGUGAGUUAUUUCCAUUCGUUCAGUGUAGAAUAAAUAGUGCAAACUAAAGAACUAAGUCUCAAAUGUAUAUCAAUGGCGGUUUUUGCAGAUCCGAGCCAGAGGUUGACACUAAAGAAUGUGUCCGAGCAUCCAUGGGUAGUUGGAGAAGAUGGGCUUGUCCCUGAGUAUUUGUGUUGGUGCAAACGCAAUGCUGCCUUAAUGAUUAAAGAUGAAGAAGAAGAAGCUAAUGGGAUCUCUGAAACUUCGGAUCCUUAACUUAAAAAAUCGGAAGCUUUUGAUCGCUUCAAGAAUAGAUGCACCAACUUAACCAGACAAGUUUGACCUCGCUUGGGGUCAUUGUUUUUCUUUUUCUUUAAUGACUAGAUAAUUGUAUGUUAUUGUGCAUUGUUUAUAAGUUUUAAACUAAAUUCGAUUUUGAUCUUGAUUUUGGCUUUGAUUUUUCUUUUUUUGUUGACGUGGGGAAGUUGCCCUCCAAAUUCGUUAUCACUUAUAAGGGGAUCGAUCUCCUCCAACCGAAGUUUACGAAUUUUAUAAUUGCUUUUGAUAUGGUUGUUAUACUUUUGCCAUUCUUAUAAGAGAUGGCUAAUCCUACCUAUUCAUAAUUUAUUUUCAAAUGAUCUUCUAUGACAUACUUUACUAUACAUACAUACAGAUAACAUGUAUGCAAUUAGAAGUACCAUUAUGUUUUGUAAAUUUUGUUAAAUUUUAUCAAAGAUAGGUAAGUGGAUGCAGUCAUGCACUAUACGUCAGAGCAAUAAAUAUAUUUAAGUCAUUUUCAUAUUUUUUCCCCAAAUAACAUAAGUAGCUAGGAUGUCAUGUCAUAAAUGAUAAUAACCAUGUACUUAUUAAUUGUGUAAUUUAAAUGAUAAUAUGCAUGUAGAGAAGAAAUCUAACAUUUAUAAGGUAAUGCAGUAGUAAAAAUACUAUUUUGAGUCUUGAGUGUAUAUAUAAAAGCAACCAUCGGGUCUUAGUUUAUUCAUGCAUUGCAUUGGAUCGAAAAUAGUUGAUAUCAACUUUUUUAGCGAAAAAAAGAACUCAUCAGAAAAUUUGGUCAUCGAAUAUUUCAAUGUCUUCCUCUUCUCGUUAUUGUUUCUCUCUUUAUUACCAGAGUGCAAUCAACUCGUGAGAUCUCUCUUUUAACCAAAAAAAAAAAAAAACUCGUGAGAUAAUCUCUUUCCUCUCUUUAUUGUUGAUUUGUUUCUGUAUUUAUAUAUGAAAAUAUGAUUGCAAAUUGCAAUGUUUAAUUUGUUGAUUACUAGAAACAAAAAUAUCAUAAGUACAGUGUGUAUGUGUGGUAAUAUGAUUUGAUUAAACAAGGGCGAUUAUGGAUUCGUCACAAGAUUGCCUUAUGGCACACCAUCCUUAGGGCGAUUGUGGAUUUGUCACAAGAUUGUCUUAUUCGCUCUAAGGUACAUAUUUUGUGUGUGUUUUAUAUGGAGACGAGCGUGUAUGCUGUUGCAUCCCAAUGUAAUUGACUUGAUUGAUAUAUCGUUAUGUUAAUAAUGUACUAUUUCUUUAUAUUUUCAUCGGUUAGAUGUCUCGAGCCAAAUUCUAUAGAAUGUUAGCUUAUAAUAUUAAGAGUAAAAUCAAAAGAACUUAUAUAAAAGGAUAAUUUUUGUCGUUGUCAAAUCUCAAAACUAAAAGUCUUGUGCAUGCAUGUAUCGUGUAUGCAUAUUCUUCUUCUUCUAAAAUUAUGUACAAGCAUGUAUUUUCUAAUAUGCAUACGUAGAAAUUUUCUUCACAUAAGUUCUUUAAGUUACUUGUGAAUUCCCAAAGGAAUCAAUCAUCUAACUUGUUGUUAUGAAAGUAUCGCAACUAAAAAGCUCAUAAAUCUUUGCUAGAUCUUUUAUUUUUUUGGGAAAUAAAGUUUAAGUUGACACCAGUGGAUCAAUAAUUACGUUAAACUAAACAUGGUAAACAAAAUUUAACAUAUGUAUAUUUAAUAUGUUGGACAAACAAAGUCUUCUGAAUUAGGCAUCUAAUUUGGGGGUCAAAAUUGUUAAAUCUAUAAAGUUUAGGGUUAGAAUGAAAGAAAUUAAAACAAUGCUAUGUGUUAUUAAUUUUUAAUUUUUAAUUAGGAAAGAGACAGACAUCAAUACAUAAGCUUCUUGUCUCUUGUUUGGCUUCUCUCACACUUCGAUUAUAUAACCCUACCCUUCUCCUUCUCUUCUUUUCCAUUUUUUUCUUUCAGCUGUUCCAGUCCACUCUCUCUCUCCUCCUCCUCCUCCUUCUCUCUCUCUAUCUACCUUUUGACUCGCCGGCGAAAUAUUCAACGGGUGAUUAUAUUACCCGAUACAUCGCAAGAUCUAAUUUUACCAUUGGAGGUUUUUGGGGGUAAGCAUAUCAUAUGGAUUAGUCUUCUCUUCUUCGUUUUUUUUUUUAAUUGUAUGAUUUGUUCGUCCUCUUCUUCUGCUCUGUAUGAUCGAUCCUCAAAUUGGAUCUGGGAUGCAUUCUCAAAUUUCAGAUUUUUAUUGGGAUUUCUAAUUGUCGGAUUCGGAUCUGCUUUUCUCUUGUUCAUUGUUUGACUUUGGCUUUGAUUUGAGGAACGAUCUCUUGUUAAUCCGAAACGAUUCUAUUUGGAUCGGAGUUAUAAAGACUCGAUUUUUGACAUGUUCUAUCAAUUUUUCUUCAGUUGGUUUGAUUGAUUUGAGUUUUUUUUUUUUCUUGCAGAUUCGGACAUUGUGUAAUAUAACUACAGAUUAUAUUUGGGUUUUUGCACCGGGGCAAGACGGUUAUUCCAACUUUGGAAACUUACUGGUUUGGGUUUCAAAGAGUUUGAGGAUGUUGUUGUGUGAUAAAGUUUAGAUUUGUUUGAAGAUUUGAUGGACAAACUAACUAGUAAUAAGGAGAUGCAGAUUAUUUUGGAGCAACAAUCGAAAUCUGUAUCUGGAUACUGGGUCAAGAGUUGCCCAAUUAAGCGAGACUCGUUUUUGAUGAUUGGAGAAGAAGACAGGAUUUGUUGUUUGUAUUGAAAUAGGUUUCUUUGUUUUUGGGUUUGGGUUGGAUUCUUUGUAUUGAAAUAGAUUGUUAACUUUAAUGGCUGAAGAACAUUCGAAUAAGAGAAGAGAAGUCUCUGCUUCUGCUUCUGCUUCUGCUUCUGCUUCUGCUUCUGCUUCUGCUUCUGCUUCUGUAGUAGUGAAUUCGAGGGUUGGAGAGGAACAAGAUGAUCAGCGCCUCAGGUUGGGAUCAAGUGACUCGCUUCUCCCUGGUCUUAUUGAUGAUGUUGCUCUAAAUUGUCUUGCUUGGGUUCCGAGGUCAGACUAUCCUUCCUUGUCUUGUGUAAACAAAAAGUACAAUAAGUUGAUCAACGGUGGGCAGUUGUUUGGUUUGAGGAAGGAACUAGGGAUUGUGGAGUAUCUUGUUUUCAUGGUUUGUGACCCCAGAGGUUGGUUGAUGUUUUCUCCUAUGAAAAAGAAAUGGAUGGUGUUACCUAAGAUGCCCUGUGACGAGUGCUUCAACCAUGCUGAUAAAGAGUCUUUGGCUGUGGACGACGAGCUUCUGGUUUUCGGGAGAGAGUUGUUUCAGUUUGCUAUUUGGAAAUACAGUUUGAGGUCUCGGUGUUGGGUCAAAUGCGAAGGAAUGCAUCGUCCUCGCUGCUUGUUUGCAUCUGGAAGCCUUGGCGGCAUCGCUAUAGUUGCAGGUGGAACAGAUAUGAAUGGCAAUAUACUAGCAUCAGCUGAGCUUUAUGAUUCUUCUUCAGGGAGAUGGGAAAUGCUUCCCAAUAUGCAUUCUCCUCGAAGACUAUGCUCCGGAUUCUUCAUGGACGGUAAAUUCUAUGUGCUUGGAGGCAUGACCAGCCCUAAUGUAUCGGUUACUUGUGGGGAGGAAUUUGAUCUCGAGACAAGGAAAUGGAGGAAGAUAGAAGGAAUGUAUCCGAAUGUGAACCGAGCAGCGCAGGCUCCACCUCUUGUUGUGGUGGUUAAUAACGAGCUAUUCACACUCGAGUACUUGACGAGUAUGGUGAAGAAGUAUGAUAAGGCGAAGAACAGAUGGGAAGUAAUGGGAAGGUUACCACAAAUGGUGGACUCGUCAAACGGUUGGGGGUUGGCGUUUAAACCGUGCGGGGACCAACUGUUGGUGUUUUGUGGGCAGCGAGGUCCUCACGGUGAGAGCAUUGUGGUGAAUUCUUGGUGUCCAAAGUCGGGAGCUAAAGAUGGAAACUUGGAUUGGAAAGUGCUUGGAGUUAAAGAGAAUGUUGGUGUGUUUGUGUAUAACUGCGCAGUGAUGGGCUGCUAAAUAAGGAAACCUUCUGGAAAAGUUGGGGUUUUCUUUACAUCAAAUCUAUCUCUGGUUCGUUCUUUCCUUCUUCUUCUUUCUUCUUUCUUCUUCUUCUUCUUUAUUUGUAAAACAGAACUUCUUUCUUCUUCUUCUUCUUCUCUAUUUGACUGGUCUUUAGUUCAUUUUGCUCUUCGGAUCAUUAUGCUUUUGUUGUCUGUUCUGUUUAAUUUUUUUGGGUAAAUUGGAAAAAAAGUGAAAAUUCAUUCCUCUGCAAAAUGUUUUCCUUGUUUUUUACUUGGUUCAUCAUUUACCAAAGGAGAAGAGAAAAAAAAAAUCCACUGCGUCAUUUGCUCUGUUCAUCAUUUACUGAAUGAGAAGAGAAAAAAUAUAAAAUUUUACAGUGUGGCAUUGCUUUUGCCGAGAAUUGGAUUGUUGUGAAUAGUGAAAACUAUAAUUUGCGGUUUAUGUAGUUGUGGAUAGUGAAAACUUACGAGUCUUUUCAUAUGGAAGAAGUGAAAGCAAUAGACUUUAAUGUGGAGGGGUUAAUGAUCCUAUGACCAGUCUAGGAGACCCCCACGUACCACACGACCCAAAGCCGGAGGAAGAGGAGACUUCGAACUAGGAUUUAUGAUUCUUUAAUGUUUUUUUAACGAUAACAAAAUAUAUAUACGUUUCUUUUGAGAAAUUUAAUGCAGUCAAUAUUUGUUUUUUCUGUUAGAAACAGUCUCCAUCUGUAUAUUUCGGAAAUGCUAGUACGUUCUACAAAUUUCAGUGAGCUGAGAAAAGUAUUCAUGUGCUCCUUAUCUUUGCAGUCAUCAGUACAAAUGUAUGUAAUAAGUUCAGUUUGGUACACAACUUAGUUCAUAAAUCGUGAGAUCUUUUAGUUUGGUCUCAUAUAUUUUUUCUUGUUACAUAUAUGUAGAGGAAAAGAAAUUUACUUGUUAAGUUUGGGAGGCAUCUCAACCACGCUAACAUACACACGGAAAUAUUGCUGCUUCCAUGAUUCAUUUUUUUUUUAAUAAAAUUUCUGAUAAUAUAUAUAACUUUCACGAUUACAUGAAAAUAGAAAAAAAGGUGCCACAACGACAACGAACUCCGGGAUGAACAAACCCGGUACAAGAACUAUAAAGAAGAGGAUACAAUAAAUAUAUAUAAAAAUUAGAGAAAGAGUCCUCUAAACCAUAGAUUAAGCAUGAGUUCUUCAGACACUGUUGGGAUGUGGUGGGUGAGGAAGUCACAAUUGCAGUCCAGAGCUUCUUUGAGAAUGGGAAAAUGGAACCAAGUUGGAACUCCACAGCAGUCACCAUGAUUGCUAAGGUCACCAAUGCGGAAACAGUGGGUGAGUAUAGACCAAUCUCCUGCAUUAAUGUGCUCUAUAAAGUCAUCUCCAAGCUUUUAGCAAGAAGACUUCAGAAUUUGCUACCAGAGAUGAUACAAGAGAAUCAAACUGCCUUCGUUAAGCAGAGACAAAUUGUGGAGAAUGUGCUGCUUGCAUCAGAAUUAGUUCAAGGCUACAAUAAGAAUGGGAUCUCAAAAAGGGGAAUGCUGAAGAUAGAUCUCAGGAAAGCAUUUGAUUCCAUUGAGUGGAGCUUCAUAAUUGACAUCUUGGUGGCAACUAACUUCCCAAGAAAAUACAUACACUGGAUUAGUCAAUGUAUUAAGACCACAAGAUUCUCAAUCUCAGUUAAUGGAGAACUUUGUGGGUAUUUUAAAGGAAAGAAGGGACUGCGACAAGGAGACCCUCUCUCCCCUUACCUCUUUGUGAUUGGAAUGGAUACCUUCUCAAGGCUGUUGGAUCUUCGCUUCCAAACAGGACAUAUUGGAUAUCACCCUAAGGCAACGAACCCGAAUGUUACCCAUCUUAUCUUUGCUGACGAUGUGAUGUUGUUCUUUGAUGGUGAAUUCUCCUCUUUAAAGGCUAUUGUGAAUCUUUUGGAUUAUUUUUCAAGCAUCUCAGGUCUAAUCAUGAACAAGAACAAAACUGAGCUUUAUCUUGCUGGAUCUAAUGCUCCAUUUCAGGCGCUCUUAAGCUCAUCUUUUGGUUUCUAUUUGGGAACUCUUCCUGUGAGAUAUCUAGGUCUUCCCUUGCUGCCAAAUCCUCUCUCAAGGGCUGACUGUGAGCCGCUGGUUCAAAAAGUGAGAAAACGCCUUCACUCUUGGCAGAACAAACACCUCUCAUAUGCAGGGAGAUUGCAACUGCUCACCUCCGUUAUCCAAAAUAUUGUUGCCUAUUGGUGUGCUGCCUUUAUCCUACCUACAAAGUUUAUUAAGGAUCUUGAAAAGCUUUGCAGAAGAUUUUUGUGGUCUGGUUCUGCAGAAAUUCCAAAGCAAGCUAAAGUCAGCUGGAAAAAAGUUUGUUCUCCAAAAUCAGAAGGAGGCCUAGGCCUCAAGGACUUGAAAUCUUGGAACAAAAUAUUUGGGCUGAAACUCAUCUGGCAAUUAUUCUCUGCUUCUGGUUCUUUGUGGGUUGCUUGGUGUAGAAAUCAUAAGCUAAGGAGGAAGUGUUUUUGGAACCUCUCUAUUAACAGUCAGGGUUCAUCAAUGUGGAAGCAGCUUCUCAAGCUAAGAUCCACUGCCAAAACAUUCCUCUCUUGCAAAGUUGGAAAUGGUAAAUCUUGUUCCUUUUGUUUUGAUAAUUGGACUCCAUUCGGAGACUUGUUUUCUUACCUAGGCCCUCAAGAACACCAAAGGUUAGGUCUCCCGCUAGACUCAACUGUGGCCAAGGCUCGCACUAGUGAUGGAUGGAUCUUUAGAGGUGCCCGCAGCAAUGAGACUGAACUCCUCUUAAGACAUCUCGCUGAAAUAGAAAUUAAUGAGGAUGUUAAGGACACCUACUUAUGGGCUAGACCACAUGGAGAUCCUAGAAACCAGUUCAAUUUCGCUGAAACUUGGAAGCUCGUUAAGACACCUUCACAAGAGGUGACUUGGCACCACCAGGUCUGGUUUUCAGGGUCUAUCCCAAAGCACUCUUUUAUUUUGUGGUUAAGUUGCCUAGAUAGACUUCCAACUCUAUCAAGGCUUAGAAAAUGGGGAAUCUUAGAAGAUGAUACUUGCUACCUUUGCGAGAUCUACUUUGAGACAAGAGAUCAUCUCUUUCUAACCUGCCCAUAUAGCUAUGACCUUUGGAGAUGGGGUCUUGAAAAACUUCAGAUCCCAUUCGCAGGCUUCAACAACUGGGAUAGGUUCCUCAUGUGGCUUAAAGCUACAUCAAAUGACCCCAAAAUGGAGCCAUUAAAGCUUCUUUUGGCUCAAGCAGUUAUUUACUCUCUUUGGCAUGAAAGAAAUGCUCGCAUCUAUACCGGUAUUCGCACUCCGGUCGAAGCUCUUUUCCCUAUUCUUGAUAGGCGAAUCCGAAACACUUGCCUAGCGAGGAAAGACAUUCCAAAGUUCCAAGGCUUCCAUGAUUCAUAUUUUUUCUUAGCCCAUUAUUAGAAACGGGUUUUGCGGCUAGUAGCACAAUUAAGCUGUGGUGGACUUGGAAUCUGAAAGUUGGUUUCUCGCGACAGGUUGGCAAAACUAGCGAGACACACACGUAGAUCCAUCGCUUGUAAGCUAACCCAAGAAAGGAAAAAGAUUAUGACGUGUCGGAGGAACUGAUGGAUCGGAUUUUGGCGUUUACAUGGCUUGUGGUAUUUACGUUUUUCCAGUUUGGGUCAUCAUGUAUUCCCAUAGACCAACCUAGUAAUUUGGAAGUUCUGCAUGCGUGAAAGUUAACCUCAAAUAUUAUCUAGUGUCAUAGAAGCUACCAAAACAAAAUCCACUAUACUUAUGGGAAAAUUCAAAUUUGUAGUCCAUCCAUAGGAUAAGGUCAUAAUUAUAUAGGAGUAGCUUCGUAAUUGAUUGAAACUAAACAACACUAAAAACAAACUAAAAUGCUAAUUAUAAUAAAUAAAGAUUUUCCAUUCGACUCAAAGCUAAUGAAUCUUUGUGCGAUGAAAUAAAUCAAUAAUCUUCAAGAAUGUAUAACUAGAGUUUCCAAAAGAAAAAGAAACCGCCACGGAUAUACAUUAUAUUGGAAAAACCAGCGCGUGGAGAGCACGCGCUUCUCCCUUCUCUCUCUUCCCCUUCUUCUCGACAAAACUUGCUAGAUCUGGUUUCGUCGCCUCUCCGGUGUGCUUCCGGCGCCGGGGAGGGCUCCCUGAUUUUUAUUUUUUAUCUGUAGCUUUUGUUGGUUUGCUCCAGUGGUGAUGGCUUGGAUCUCCUCUUCUCUGAAGCCUUGGAUAGGUGGUGAACUGUUGCGUGGAGAGAAAGUACUCGCCAAGGGUUUGGGUCGCCGAUGUCGUCGCUAUUUAAGGACAGUGGCUUGUUUUCGGCGGUGGUUUGGUGGUUCUGGCGGAUCGACUUUCUCUCCAGCAGUGGUAUCAGAUCUGAUUUUAGAUCUUGGGUUUUUUUUUUGUGAGGUUGUUGAGGCGUGGGAGCAGCUCGGUCUCCUUCGGUGGCUGUGCUUGUGGUGCCUCUGGAUUCCGGUUUAGCUAGCCGGUCUCUUUCGCCUUUCUCCCUUUUCAGUGUUGGUGCUGAUCCGGUUCUUGGUCUCACCUCCGAGCUUCUGUUUCUUCGUGUCUUCAUCGGUCUCUCCUUCAACGGUUUUCAAGCUUCUGGUGGCAGAGAGUGAAGGGCAUUGGAUCUGUGACACAAGUGGAAGCUUCCUCAGCGUCAAUUUGUUUGGAAUUGUUGCUUUUGGUUGUUCGUGUGGCGGUUAUCCGUUAACGGCGAAUCUCUUCUGUCUUGUGGGUGGACGUUGGUGUCAGCUGCGUCUUCCGUAGUUGCUAGUUUGUGGCUUCUCGUCAGGUCUCCUUUUCUCUGUAUCGGAGGUUCGUUGUUGGUGUUUUUGAUUUGGUUCGUUCCGGUUGGUUCUUCCUAGGCUUGUGCUGCUGUUUUGCAUAGGCUGGUUUGGGGUUUGUUGUAGGUGUUUGUGUCUUCUUUGUAUUGUUGCGUCUUGGUUUGCUACGCUUUUCACAUCGGCGAAGGCUUAGUGGUUGAAUAGAGGCAGCGGUUCUGUCUAGGUUGCUUUCUCAAUCCCGUGGGAGAUGGUUCCCGUUGGUUCACGCUUGGGAAUGGUGGUCAGAGGCGGCUUCUCUGGCUGCCCGUAGAUGCUCCCAUGCCGCCGGGUGCGAUUAGGUCCAAUUUUAGCGGUUCCGUUUUUGCGUUAGUCCUCGGAGAAGCUGUAGGCGCCCUUUUGUCUCGAGGUUUUGAAGGCUGGCUUUGGGUAGGGUUGCUCGUGGCAACAACGAUGAGGACUCGAGUUCUUUGGAGCUGAGGCAAUCACGCAAAUGUUCGAACUUAGCGGUUCGGAAUUGGUGUUUCUUCUUCGGGCCUUUGCUAAUUGUUUCGCUAAUGCUUUCCUUGUCGUGUUUUUGUCUUGUGUUCGUAAAUUUUUUAGUUGUAAAUUUCGGUCAUUCUGAUUUCUUCGUUUUCUCUGUAACUUCUGUCGCAAAUUUGAAAAUUGGUAUAAAAUUUAACCUUUUACCAAAAAAAAAAAAAGAAAAAAAGACAAAACCUUACCAAAAAGACAAAACCUUACCAAAAAGACAGAACUCUCAUGGCCGUGUCAAAAAAAAAAAAAACACAGUUAGGUCAGUGUUAACGUACGUAGGCAUUUAAGUCUACUUAAUUAUUCUAUAGAAUCUUCGAGUUGAUGAUUCUUUCUCCGAUCCCCCAACAAUGUGUGGGUCUUCGAGAUAGCUUGACCUCACGUACAGUCAUAUACAAAGACAAACUUUUUAUUUUUUUAUAGGAUUUAUUACAUGUACAUAUAGAGUAGUUCAGAAUUCAUGCACAAGCACAAAACUGUACAAACCCUACCAUUAAUAAAGAGAUGGCAUAAGUCAAUAUAUUAUAUACGUAUCAUUUAUGAUUAUAUGGUGCAUGUAUUUUACAUAAUAGCAUUUAUAUUUUCAAACAAAAGUUAAUAUAUAUCAAAUAAACGUACGUUCUAUCAUUGUUUUGUAUUAGUAUAGCUAUUCAGAUUAGUGCGUCGCGUCAAUGGUAGGUUCUAACUUCUGAUACAUGCUAAAAGAAGCUAAUUACAUGUAAACAGAAUCCCACAUAAAAGAAAGAAAACAAAUCCUAUAAUUAAUGAUGUACAUAUGUAGAGAGAUUGCCUACCAAUAUGCUAUAGCUUUGCCUUUUGUGUCAGGCCGAUUCUGGUUGAUUUGGAUCACUUUGGUAUCUACUUUCACGUAAUCGGUAGGUUUGGCCAUUCAGAUAUAUUAAAAACAUCCAAAUCAGAAUUAUAGAUUUAGUUAUAAUUUCUCUUUUCAUCCAUAGCUGGAGCCUGGAGCCAUAUAUAUCAGUUAAUAUAAAUCUGUCUCUAGCUAGUUUUUAUAUAAAUCUUCUUUACAACUUCAUAAAAUUUUUUUUUUUAAAGUUUGGAUAACUUUCACAAGUUUUUUUUUUUCCUGAAAACAAAAACAACAGUAACGGUUACAUAGUAUUACUUUUGUGCAUGCCGUCGUUCAAACUUAAAACGAUUCUUCCAAUUAUAUAACAAAUCUAUUGAAAUUAGUGUCAUCAAUAGGAAAGCAAAUUCAAAUCUUCAGUCUAAUAACACCUCAGAUAAAGGAUGGCUGGUUUUUAAAUUCAAGUCAAAAUUAGCUUUAUUCACGAGUAGAUUACUCUUACAAAUGUUUUCCUUGAAAAGCAGAGAUUCUUCGUAAGAAGCAAAAAUAUGUAAAAUAAAGUCGCUUUUAUUGUUGGGGCAUCAUUCCAAAGCCGAAUUCAAAUUAUAUAUUCUCCUUCUUUACCAGUUACCACCACCAGCAUUAGAAAAAACAUGACUAACCUUUUUCUUUAGGUUCUGUGUGUUUUGUGUGUGGCUAUCGGCUAUCCACUGUCAAGAGUCAAGACAGAUAAAACUAUCGCCAAAAAAGCACUAGUACUCUCUCAUGCAACAUAAACGAUAACUAAAUCACAAAAACCAUCAUUAUUGAUCUUAGAACCAUUUCUUAACAAAUCUUUAACUCUAAAAUUUAUUAAAACCCCAUUAAUAAUGAUAACCUAAUUAGCCGAACUUGUAGAUUAUUUAAAGAAAUUAUACUAUAAAUUUGUACUUUUGCUUAACUCAGUAAUUUGUAACAUAAGCUUUAGAAAUGAAUUAGAGAGGGUUUAUUACUUGUUUCAGCUUGGAUGAUAGUAUAUAUUAGUAUAUAUGAUGUUACAAGAAUUAAUGAAAACCAAAAACUUUAAACAAUGUCAAAUCAGAGCAUAUUAUUAUUAAUCAUAUCUAUAGUUGUCGUAUAGAAUAAUUGUUUAAUGAGAUAACGUUAUUAUCUGCACCACCUAACCAAGCACAAACUUCACGCAUGAUCGUGAUGUAUGAUAAUUCAGAGAUCUUAACAUCAAACAAGCUUUGCUAAACCUAAUGCAUCGCUAACAAAUUUUUAAUCCAAAUAUAUACCAUAGUCUCUUCGCUUACAUAAGAUACUAAUAUGAAUCUUGCCAACAUUUAUAUAGAGCUAGCCACAUCACGUUAUUUACUCUUUCGUGAAAACAAUUACAAAAUUAUGACAAAAAAUAGUUACUAGAAAACGUGGAUUAUCAUAAAGUUAACUUUAAAGAUUAAAGGAAUUUGGUUGAUCCGCCUAAUUAUUAUUGUAUAGUUCCAAUAAUGAAUCCAAAAAACUACCAUUUGUUAAUCGUAAUUUAGAUUUGAUAGAUCAACACCUAGUUUUGGAAACGAAAAUUUCAGUCACAAUUAAGUUCUUUUUUGGAAAGCGUUACACGGUUCUAAAGACUAAUAAAUAGACAAUGAGAGCAAUAACAGAAAUGCAGGUGUUACAUCAAGCUUGGGUGAUAUGAUCAAAAACAAAAAUUUCAAAAAGAGAUUUAAAAUUGAAAAGGAAAAGAGAAGAAAGCCACUAAAUCACUAUGAUACUACACAUGUCAUACAUUCACAUGAGUUGGUUAGCCAGUACUUACACACACACACACACAAAUGUAAAAUUACACAAUUGUGUUCGUCUUAUCAUAUUGUGCCGCGCCCGUAUCAAAUAUAACACGCAUCACACAACCACUACUAUACUGUCUUUUUCCAUAAAUAUUUUUUUCUUUUGGUUUUUAUUUAUUUUUUCCGGAAUAAUUCGUGAGAAUGUACUAAAACUUUGUACCAAAUUGGUUUAAUGAUUUUUUUUUUCUUUUAUCUUUUACAAAAAGAAAAUUAUAACAAAAUCAGAUCAACAGUUUUUUAAAGUUAUAAGAAAGCAAAUCUUUGUAAAACACAUCAAGUUAGAACUCUGAAAUCAUCAGUAAAAUCUAUAAAAGUUAAGCAAUUAAUUGCUUAUGUAUAAGUUUAAGUGGUUAACCAAUAGUAAACAUAAUUUAGCAUCGCCUGAUUGCUGCUUUAACUAUAUAAGUAAAAAAAACAGAAACGGAUGGUAGGAUCAUAUUUGAUGAAAAUGAAUAAGCCCAACACUAGUGACUUAUCUAGAAAGAAAAUGAAAUUUACAUCAAAAUGGCAAAGAAAUUAAAAAUAUUUUUUUAGCAAUAGGCGAGGAGAGGUAUUGAGAAGAAGGAAGUGUAGGCAGGCAAGGCAGGCCCAUCUCUCUCUCUUUCUCUUUUCAUAAAUGAGAAUCAUGCUUUACUCUCUCUCUCUCUCUCUCUCUCUCUCUCUCUCUCUCUAUUUCAUUCAUUCUUCUUCCUCAUUUACAGCCCGAUUCCACUAUCUUCCUCAUCAUCAUAAGUAUACACUAAUCUCGAGAAGAAGAUAAAGCAACCAAAACAAACACCUCUCUCUCUCUCUCUCUCCCUUUCUCCUUUGUUUCAAAGUUUCUUCCUUUUGGGCGGGUUUUAAGGAAUAUUUUGGAACUUUCUCUUUUUGGGUACGUUUCUUUAGUUUCUGGGCUUCUUCUACUUGUGGUUUGUUUUUGUUGUUUGUUGUUUCUAGCUCUACUUGUAUAUUACUGUGUCACGCUUUUCUCUAGCAAACUUUUAUGCUUCUUGCUUGAUGACUAUAUCACAAGAUUAUUCUGAGCGUUUCGGUGUCCCUUCCUUCUAAUUAAAGUCUUUUUUUUUUUUUUUUUUCUUCUCUAUUUUGUUAAGGUUGUUUGAGUUCUCUUAGUUCUGCUUUAUUUGGUGCAGAGUAUUUGAAUUUUGGGAAUUCUAAAGGUUGCCUUAAACUGAAAUCAAUCUCUUGCUGUUUGUAUUAGUGAUGGCUACUGAGGAAAAGCCUCUUAAUCCUCUUGAUUCAAGCCAUGGUGAUUCUGCUCCUGCUUCUAAUCAGGUACAUAUCCACAUCACAUCCACAUCAAAAUUUAUGUAUGUGUGCAAAGUUUGGAUCUUGGUUUUUUCAAAGAUUUGAACUUUGAAUGAAUUUGAUGUGUCUGUUUAAGGGAAUUGAAAAGGUUUGAAACUAUUUGAGAUUUGAACUUCGAAUGAAUUACUUGCCAAAAAUUGCUUAGUGUGUUUGCAAAAUUCAGAUCAAAUUGAUUUAGUGUUGUUAGUUUCAUUCAUGAGAUUACUUCUUUUGAGGAAUUGCUUUCUUCUUCAAGUUCUCAUAGAACCCAUUGGUUACUAUCAUCUGUGUUCUUAAUGCGAAGGCUGAAGAAUCAUCUGCUAUAACAGAAGAGGCUUCUGCAAAUGUUCAACAAUGGAGGCGAAAGAACCUCUCUUUGCAGAUUCCCUCGAGAGCAACUGGUCUUUCAUCUCAAGAUUCGGUUGUAAUCAAAAUGCCUCCAACACCUAGCCCAACUCCGAGAAGAGUUAACUUUUCUCUGACUUCUAGCUCUCCAGGUCCUGGUCCUCCUACUUCUUCUGCUCUUCUGCGUGGCAAAUCCUCCCUGAAGAAUCUUUUGCCAAAAGCUGGCUGUAAACCUAAAACCUCUAACACUGAUAUCGAGAAGGGACAAGGGAAUGCCUGUUCUCCUUCUGCAUUGCAAGAGAAGGCUUCGAUAGCGAGGUCAUUAUCACUUUCGAAGUUAUUUACGCCUAAGAUCAAGAGAACUUCAUCUCUACCUGUGACUCCCGUUAUUCUUUCACACUCAGAGUCAGCUCAUGGGGGAAGCAGUGUUGCUCCUCCAACUCCAAACGUAAGCUUUUCUCUUGUAUCAUUUUCAGAGAACCUCGCUAUUGUUAGGUACUUAUACUUGGUAUUGCAGAGCAAAGGGAGUGUGCACAUAGCUCGCUCUCGCUCUGUGCCUGUUAAUGACAAGGAACUAAGCCUAAAGGGAAUGGAGUCAUUCUUCAGAGUAAUUCCUUCGACUCCACGUGUAAAAGAAGGAGACAUUUUCUCAAAUGCAUCAGAGGCUGGUGAUACGGGUAAGUUUGUGUUUCAGUCGGUUAUAUGUUUCCUUUUCUUGUUUCUGAAAUAUUUGUUUACUGAAGAUAACAAAUCUAUCAAUGUGUUGAACAGAAACAGGUGAUGCUGAUGGAGAAGAUAUACCUGAGGAUGAAGCAGUUUGUAGGAUUUGUUUGGUAGAGCUCUGUGAAGGAGGAGAAACCUUAAAAAUGGAGUGUAGUUGCAAAGGCGAACUUGCUCUUGCCCACAAAGAUUGUGCUCUUAAAUGGUUCACCAUAAAGGGAAACAAGACCUGUGAGGUUUGUAAAGAAGAAGUUAAGAACUUACCUGUAACACUCUUACGGAUCCAAAGCCUUAGAAAUUCUGGUGUUGUUCAGCUAGAUGUCACUGGUUACAGGUAAAAUAAACUUAUGUUCUCAUUCUUGGUACAAAUUACUUUACAGAGUAUUCAAAACAUCCAAUCUCUCUUAUGGUUAAAUAGGAAACCUUGACUAAGUCUCUGCAUUUAUUUCUCAACAGGGUCUGGCAAGAGGUACCGGUUCUAGUAAUCAUCAGUAUGCUCGCUUACUUCUGCUUUCUCGAGCAGCUCUUGGUAAUCUGUCUCUACUAUUUAUAACCAGCCUUAACAAAAACAAGCUUCUUGAUAUAGACUUACAUACAGAUAUACUACAGACAGAUAUCUAUAAUAUUAAGUCUUAUUUACAGGUUGAGAAAUUGGGUACGGGUGCAAUCGCGAUAUCUCUGCCAUUUUCUUGUAUUCUUGGUCUUCUUGCAUCCAUGACCGCGUCAACCAUGGGUAGGUCUUCUUUUGGAAAAAAAACUCUUCUCAAUGUGUUUCCUCCACUCUGAUACGUUUUUAGCUCUGGAAUAUUCCUAUGCAGUCAUGAGAAGAUUUGUCUGGAUUUACGCAUCUGUCCAGUUUGCUUUGGUGGUUCUCUUCGCCCAUAUAUUUUAUUCCGUGGUUAGUACUCUUCAACGCCUUUUUACCUUUUCCUUGCUAAAUAUAUCCUUGAAGCUAAAAGAACUUGCCAGCUUUUGGUUUAGCCGAUAAUGAUCGAGAGUUUAGAGAUCUCUUAGGCAAAAAUGAACAUAAAGCUGCAACCUGUAUCAUAUAUAUAUAUCAGUCUAUAAACUCAAAUUAUGUGUUGCUCAAAUCCGAUCUCCCGGUGGUUUCAGGUGAAGUUGCAACCAGUUCUGUCGGUUCUUCUGUCAACAUUUGCUGGAUUUGGUGUCUGCAUAUGCGGAAGCUCAGUGAUGGUUGAGUUUGUGAGAUGGAAACGAAGGUGGCGAGCCAGGAGGCUAGAGGAACAGCUGAACCAGGCUCAGACGCUGACACAACCACCCCAACAGCUGGAUGCAACAACCUCUCGGCAUCAUCCUAAUGCCUCGUAGAGCCAGCCUGAAAGUGGGGAGAUGAUUUUACAUUUAUACUGUUAGUUCGGUUAAUGUUAUGUAAUGAUUUGUAUAAAAGAAAGUGAACAAGAACUGCUUAAAGAUUGUUCUUUAGUUUGUUUUGCUUCUUUGCAUAUACACAUUUUACAUUUGAAUUGUUGUAGUAAGCUUGUAACUUGGAUUUGCGCAAUCUCUGCAAAUCAAAGGUUUGUAGUAGUAUUGGUUUUAAAGCUUCUUCAAUUUUUUGUUGUAUAAUAAAAGAUAAUAUCGAAUAUUAAAAGGAAAAUUAACAAAACAAAAUAGUCACGAGGCAAUCACGUGCCAAUUUCCUGAAAACUCUUCUUCUCUGUUUCUGACUUUUAGGCUUAAGUCUUAGCUCUUCUUCUCGACGACGGUGUAUGAGAUUUAUACAACGAUGAAUCUCUCCACGAGGCUCGCUGAGAAACUUCCCGUAAUCUUACCGGUGCCGUCUUCUCCUCUCCUACGUAAAGGUUGGUUUUUUCAAUCAGUACUGCUUUUGGGGUUUCUGAGAAAAUUUGGAUUCUUUUCAAAGGAACCAAAAUAAGAUAACUCUUUAGGUCGCAAGGUCCAAUCUCGAAUUCAUAAAUCCAUUAUUGUCAUGUGUGUGUGAUAGGAGUUUCCGAGUUAAGAUUCUUUUCGAUUGCUAACCACAGUAGAAGAUUGAGAUGGGGAUUACAAAAGAAGAUGGUUUGGAGUUUGGAGAGAGCUGAAACCUGUGUAGUGAGCAAUUCAUGUUUUGUUCAUCCUGCAACCGAAGCCUAUGCAAAAGAAGCUAUUGAAGCGAUCAAAUCCGAGAAAGUUAUAGCUGUUCCCACUGAUACGCUUUAUGGCUUCGCUUGUGAUGCUUGGUAAUAUGAAAAAUCUUCACUUUUGUAGCUGCAAUAUUAGCUUUUACAUUGCCUGGACUAAACGUUGUGAUUAUAUACAACAUAACAGUUCGUUAGAAGCGGUUAACCGGAUUUAUGAGAUCAAAGGGCGUAAGCUUACAAGCCCUUUAGCCAUAUGUGUUGGCGAUGUAUUAGACAUCAAGAGAGUUGCUACAACAAAUCACUUACCUCAUGGUUUGCUCGAUUCACUCUUGCCUGGUCCAGUUACUCUCGUACUUCAACGAGGUUUGCAUCUUCUUCUUUGAGUGGUUGCAUCGAUAUGAUCUCUUUAUGUGAGAGUGUUCUUUUAGUGUUUUAAACAGGUGAAUCAAGCAUUCUUGAAAAGUCCUUGAAUCCUGGGAUUGAUACUAUUGGAGUACGGGUACCAGAUUGUGAGUUCAUUAGGGAAGUAGCGAGAGGUUCAGGCAGUGUGUUGGCUCUUACAAGUGCUAAUCUAAGCGGUGAUAGAAGCAGCGUUUGUGUUAAAGAUUUUGAGAAUAUCUGGCAGCAUUGUGCUUAUGUCUAUGAUGGUGGUUUGCUUCCAUCGGGUCGCGCAGGAUCUACAAUUGUCGAUCUGACUAAUGCCGGAAAGUAUAAGAUCAUUAGAGCGGGAAGGUAAUGCAAUUGAUGAUUAGAUCAGUUAGUGUGAACUAUUGGAUUUAAAGUAUAAAUCUUUGUGGGGUCUUUGAGCUAAUUACUCACAAAAAUAUGUUCAUCUUGUCUUUGAUUCAGCGCAAAGCAUGCAACAGUGGCGAUUCUUGAAAAGUAUUUGCUGGAGGAAGAAGAAGAAGAAGAAGAAGAGUAGCGUUAGUUAAGAGAAGAAAGCUAAAAGAUGAAUGUGAAGUCUGACUUGCAAAAGAAUGCUGAGGUUUUGCUUUGGUUCUUUAAUAGAUCCUUGCUAUUGGUUCAAGAUAUGUAUGUUUAGUUUGUAAUACGAGAAGAUAGUUGUUGAUUUAGAUUUUGAUCGUAUGCUACCUCCAAUUUUCGUGGUACGCAUCUGUAGUUUAAAGAAACUUGGUGGACCGUUUCAUAAUUUUUACUCAAGUUUAUUAUUACUGGUCAUUAAUGGAAUAAGAAUACUAUUAAACCAAUCCAUGUCUGUUUUGUAAACGUGGCAACUGUUAAAAGCGAAUGGUGUCGUACUUAAAAAAAACACACACACACCCAAAUUAAUAGAGGAAAAUCUCAUAAACUUAUGUAGAAACUCAAUUUCAUUUUACACGCAUCCGUGCUCUAAUUUGAUUCCUAAUACUGUACUUGUGCUAAAACUUGGACUAAAAAAAAUUGUCAUUGGUCCUCUUGGCUGUUUCUGACACACUCUAAAACGUUUUAUCCACAGUUCCUUUCACCACCCAGCUUCAUAUACUUGUUAAUUUCUUAUAUGUGAAAUAUCAAUCCCUCUCAAACUCUUCUCACCACUAAUUUCUUCCUCUCGAACAUUCUCUUCUCUAUUUUUUGAUUCCCUGGUUUCAAGACUGGUUUCUCAAAUUGCGUGAUUUUGGCUCGUCGUCAGGUACUUUUCUCAUGCUUUAGAGAAUCUCUAGAGGGUUCUCUCAAAUUGGUUCUUUUGUCCGGUUUUGAUGAGUUUCUGUGCGAUUUCAUCGAGGGGACGAAGAUAAUUUAGUUGGGUAACUCUGGGUUUGGGAAAAAUUUGUUGAUUUUAUUUGCUUCAGAAUCAGAACUGAAGCUAAAAGAAAGUGUUGUGCUUUUGUUGUUAAAUUGCCUUUGAUCUUCACAGUAACGAAAAUGGAUUUUAGAAGAAUAACAAAUUCAGCUGAUUUUGUUCUGUGAAUGACUAUGCAGUUACUUUGAUUCAAAAUGGCGACUGGAGUGUUGCCAGCUCCGGUUUCCGGGGUUAAGAUCCCGGAUUCGAAACUUGGGUUUGGUAAAAGCAUGAGUAUUGUCAGAAUUUGUGAUAUGAGGAGUCUAAGAUCUGCUAGAAGAAGAGUUUCAGUCAUCCGUAAUUCAAACCAAGGCUCUGAUUUAGCUGAGCUUCAACCUGCAUCAGAAGGAAGCCCUCUCUUAGGUAUAUGCAUAACAGCUUCAUGCAAAGUUAUCAUUUUUCUUUUUAUAAAAAGAAAUCCUUUUUGGAGGUUUCGUUUAGAGUGAAUGAUUGUGUGUUAUAAUCGGUUUUGUAGUGCCAAGACAGAAAUAUUGUGAGUCAUUGCAUAAGACGGUGAGAAGGAAGACUCGUACUGUUAUGGUUGGAAAUGUCGCCCUUGGAAGCGAACAUCCUAUUAGGAUUCAGACCAUGACUACAUCGGAUACAAAAGAUAUUGCUGGAACUGUUGAUGAGGUUUUUCCUUCUGUCCCUUAAAAUUAUAUUUACAGUUUGAAAUAUGGACCUUGCGUAUUUGUGUACAUCAAUAUAUGAAUUUCUUGCGUCAGAUGAUUUAAUUGUGUUGCACCGUAAGCUUAUUAUUGUUCGGUCUGUGAUUAUAGGUUAUGAGAAUAGCAGAUAAAGGAGCGGAUAUUGUGAGGAUAACUGUUCAAGGGAAGAAAGAGGCGGAUGCGUGCUUUGAAAUAAAAGAUAAACUUGUUCAGCUUAAGUAAGUCGAUGACUGUGCUGAGUUUUCUAUCUUUGUAUGUACAGUUUGAGUCGUAUGAAACUGAACUGGUGUUUUGCGUCUUGGUUAACAGUUACAAUAUACCUCUGGUAGCAGAUAUUCAUUUUGCCCCUGCUGUAGCUUUACGAGUCGCUGAAUGCUUUGACAAGAUCCGCGUCAACCCCGGAAAUUUUGGUACUGUUUUUUUAUCUUUCACUUGGUUCUUUAACUUGAGAAUGAUCAAAAAAUUUGAUUUUGCAGCUGACAGACGGGCACAGUUUGAGACGAUAGAAUAUACAGAUGAUGAAUAUCAGAAAGAACUCCAGCAUAUUGAACAGGUGGAAGGAAACCUUUGUCUUACUUGUCUUGUAAAACACUGAAACCCUUAAAGUUUAAUCAGUCUUUAUUACCGGUGUUACUAUUUUUUAUAUUUUUUAGGUCUUCACUCCUUUGGUUGAGAAAUGCAAAAAAUACGGAAGAGCAAUGCGUAUAGGGACAAAUCAUGGAAGUCUUUCUGACCGUAUCAUGAGCUAUUAUGGGGAUUCUCCACGAGGAAUGGUGAAAAUUCUUGAUUACUUUACAAUGGUUUCUCUUAAUACACAUGUACUGUUGUCUGACAUGAGCUCUGUCGCACAGGUUGAAUCUGCGUUUGAGUUUGCCCGGAUAUGUCGGAAAUUGGACUAUCACAACUUUGUUUUCUCAAUGAAAGCGAGCAACCCGGUGAUCAUGGUUCAGGCAUACCGUUUGCUUGUGGCUGAGAUGUAUGUUCAUGGAUGGGAUUAUCCUUUGCAUUUGGGAGUUACUGAGGCAGGAGAAGGAGAAGAUGGACGGAUGAAAUCUGCAAUUGGAAUUGGGACGCUUCUGCAGGUACCUCAUUACAUAACAAAAGGGAAAGAUCUUUACUUUAACAGUUCAUGUAUGGCAAUGAUUGUUUGUAAUUGCAGGACGGGCUAGGUGACACAAUUAGAGUUUCACUGACAGAGCCACCAGAAGAGGAGAUAGAUCCCUGCAGGCGAUUGGCCAACCUUGGGACCAAAGCUGCUGAACUUCAACAAGGCGUUGUAUGAAUGAUUCUUUUUCAGACGCUUCUCUAGUAUAUUUUCCACAUUAUGGGACUAAUGCAACUCGUUUGUGUACUAGGCUCCGUUUGAAGAAAAGCAUAGGCAUUAUUUUGAUUUCCAGCGUCGGACCGGUGAUCUACCUGUACAAAAAGAGGUAAGACUAUACAUUUAAAAUAAAAAAAAAAACUCAUGUACUUCAUGAUGUCCUUUUCAAGUAUUGAAGAACAUAAAAAACAAAUCCUGAGAACUAUAGGGAGAAGAGGUCGAUUACAGAGGUGUUCUUCACCGUGAUGGUUCUGUUCUAAUGUCAAUUUCUUUGGACCAACUAAAGGUGAGUAUUUAGAAAUACUCUUCAGUAUUCUCUCCAUCUUCCAUUUCCUUAAUGCAAUCUAUAGAACGGGUCAUUUUCUUUCUGCUCACUAAUUUGCUUUCCCUCUAGGCACCUGAACUCCUCUACAGAUCGCUCGCUACAAAGCUUGUCGUAGGCAUGCCAUUCAAGGUGAGAUAUGGUUCAGUAUAUUUUGAUGAGAGACGCCGUCUCACUGUAAUAAUAUUAUAUUGGUUAUCAAUUCUUACUUUCCCGAGAAAUGCUUGUAUAGGAUCUGGCAACUGUUGAUUCAAUCUUAUUAAGAGAGCUACCGCCUGUAGAUGAUCAUGUGGCUGUAAGAAUCACCCUUUCUUUAUAUCAUUUUACUUUAAGAUUUGACAUGGCCGAGCAAAAACAUUGAGUUCUGUUUACAGCGUUUGGCACUAAAACGGUUGAUUGAUGUCAGUAUGGGAGUUAUAACACCCUUAUCAGAGCAACUCACAAAGCCAUUGCCCAAUGCAAUGGUUCUUGUCAACCUCAAGGAACUAUCUGGUGGUGCUUACAAGCUUCUUCCUGAAGGUGACCUGGUUCUUACCUGAAAGAAAGUAUAAUAAAGAGAACAAAUUUCUUUCAGUAUUUCUUAGCUUCGAUUAUUUCAGGUACACGCUUGGUUGUCUCUCUCAGUGGUGAUGAGCCAUACGAGAAGCUUGAAAUACUCAAAAAUAUCGAUGCUACUAUGAUUCUCCAUGAUGUACCCUUCAAUGAAGACAAAGUUAGCAGAGUACAUGCAGCUCGGAGGUAAUAAUAGAUAAUUCUUAAUAUCUGAUUUUUGCUGAGUUAAAAUUUCUGAUUUAUAAGCGCUAAAUGAUAUUCUUUUCCUGGACUUGCAGGUUAUUCGAGUUCCUAUCUGAGAAUUCAGUUAACUUUCCUGUUAUUCACCACAUAAAUUUCCCAACUGGAACUCACAGGUAGAUAACGAAUUUCAAGCUCUGUGCAGUGAAUGGAAAAUUCACUUUUGAUCUUAUUGUGUUUUCUUUCUUCUUGCGCACAAUGCAGAGACGAAUUGGUGAUUCACGCAGGGACUUACGCUGGAGGCCUUCUUGUGGAUGGACUCGGCGAUGGUGUAAUGCUUGAAGCACCUGACCAAGAUUUUGAUUUUCUUCGUAAUACUUCCUUCAACUUAUUACAAGGCUGCAGAAUGCGUAACACAAAGACGGUAAAAGCAAAAAGAUACACUAUCUCUGCGGGUUUUUUUUCUUGAAAAGGAGAAGUAAUAACUUGUAAAAUCGUUGCAGGAAUACGUAUCGUGUCCGUCUUGUGGAAGAACGCUAUUCGACUUGCAAGAAAUUAGCGCCGAGAUUCGAGAAAAGACUUCACAUUUACCUGGCGUUUCGGUUAAAACUCAAAGACUCUUAUACAUGUUUUCAAGGGAAGUUUUGUUUUUUUCCUUCUGUUUUUGAAUGUAAACGAGUUGAAUAAUGGUGCAGAUCGCAAUCAUGGGUUGCAUUGUGAAUGGACCAGGAGAAAUGGCAGAUGCUGAUUUCGGAUAUGUAGGUGGUUCUCCUGGGAAAAUCGACCUUUAUGUCGGAAAGGUAACACCUUUACUCUCUUUGGUUUCUUAGUGAUAGUGUUUAUAUAUUCGGUCCAAAUGUUGAUACUUUUGAGGACAGACGGUGGUGAAGCGUGGGAUUGCUAUGACGGAGGCAACAGAUGCUCUGAUUGGUCUGAUAAAAGAACAUGGUCGUUGGGUAGAUCCACCCGUGGCUGAUGAGUAGAUUUCAAACAGUGGAGAUGGUAGGCCUUUCUCUGUAAACUGAGCCAGAAGAUAAAAUACAUUUUAAGUGUAUAUCUCAUGUAUUUGUUGUUGUAUUACAUCAUAUUCAACAAACCUCUAAUAUGAUAACAGUUCUCGAGCGAAAUAAAACUAAGAGAAACGAGUUACAAAUACGUUAUACAUUUGUUCACAAAUAGCCAUUCUCUUAUAAUGAUAACACUUUCAUGGCAUGCAAGUAGUUAAUAUGGCAAACCAAGAAAUAUAUGUAUAUCACAAGAUUCACAAAAUCACUUCUCUUUUUACUUCAUAUAAUUGAGACGUAAUUUAUAAAUCUUUGCAUCAUUAGUUUAAGGAACAUACGAUGGAGAGAUUUGAAGAAUAAAAUAAGGUGAUGUAUAUAUAUGUGGAUUUAAUCAAAUAAGCAGCAACAAACAGGACCGGUGGGAUUGUCCAAGAGGCAGUGGCCGUCCAAAGGUGUAGGGUCGGUGCUCCUGUGGCAAUGGGUGUCGCAGUCGUUGUCGCUCUUGCACGUUCCUCUUAAGCGGCAUGGUCCGUCAAUUAUAUCUUUUUCUGUGAAUUUCAUAUAAUUUGGUCAAAGAUCCUUAAACAAAACAAAAAUAUUACAUACCACAAAAACAUGUUUUGGUUUAAAAAUAACCCAUUGUUUUGACUUCUCUUUUUUUAUUACAAUAUAAUUUCGAUUAAUUUUUCAAAUUUACAAAAUCAUCUAGGAUAGUUUUCUAAACUUUAAUUUUGAAACUCUUCAUAAACAUAAAAUCUGUGGAGUUUUGGAAUGUUUUUAAUUUAAAAACAAAAUUAAAAGAAGCACUUGUUAAUGUAAACCUAACAUUGUGGAAGGAAAAACCUAUAAUUUACCUUGGGAUUGGGCUGUGACAACGAGAGAGAAGAUCACGAAAAUUGCAACAAGUUGAAAUUUUGAUGAAGCCAUUUCUUAGUUUGUUUUCUUUUUCUUUGUAAUGCAAGGUAUUCAAGUUUAAGUUUGUGUUUGGAAAAUUAUGAUCUAUUAUCUGAUAUUUUAUAAGUGAAUUUCGUUACAAAGAUAGUAAUUGUUUUCUUUUCUUUUUUAAAAGUAGACCAUUUUUAGUAAGAUAAUUUAUGGUUAAUGUAGCAAUAACAAUAUUAAAAAGUCUCCUAAAAGUUAGUACUAGAUGUAGUUUCUGACAUCUAAAUUUAGUGAGGAUAGGAAGAAAAAAAAAUAGACGGUGGAGGAGUAACUUUGAUUACUUGUAAAUUUUUAAGAACCUUCUACAAGUUUAAUGCAAAAUACAUGAUACUCCUCAUAAGUGACCAAGCUCUCUUUCAUAUUGAAAAUCUCAAGAGAAAAGUUCUCUUCAAGGCUUGAUUGAAAAACAAUCUGCAAAAACCUACUUAAGGUGUUCAAAACAUGUUUGAUAUUCGGUUGAUCAAAUUGGGCCUUAUAUACUAAAUGGGCCGAUUAUACUAAUAUGGGCCGAUUACAGUAUCGUUCAGACAAAGUAAAAGCCUCGUGAAUGGUAAAGCUCUCUCUCUCUCUCUCAUCGGAGAAUUGAAGAUUGGGAAAAACGCCAAUAAACAAUCACCGGCGACGUAAACCAUGAGCAGUACCGCAGGGAAGCUCGUGACUUCAAGAUCCGAGCUUGAUCUCGAUCACCCUAACCUCGAAGAUUACCUUCCUUCCGGUUCCUCUAUCCACGAACCACGCGGCAAGCUCAGCCUGUAUAUUCUCUCAAGCAAUUUCUGUGUAUUUGAAUUUGAUCUGAUCGGGUGAUUGAGUAUUCACCCUUCUUCGUGAGUGAUUGCAGGCGUGACUUGCUCGAUAUCUCUCCCACUCUCACUGAAGCUGCUGGUGCCAUUGUUGAUGUAUGAUGUCUCGACUAAACCCAAAUCUGUGUCACGAUUAGAUUACUCUCUUAGACUUCAAAUAUAUGAGCUAAAGGAUGGAUUUUUAUCUCUGUAACCGUAUGUCAUUGUUGGUUUUUGGGUAUGAUUUUUCAGGACUCGUUCACAAGAUGUUUCAAAUCGAAUCCUCCAGAACCUUGGAACUGGAACAUUUACUUAUUCCCACUAUGGUGCUUUGGGGUUGUUGUUAGAUACUGUAUCCUCUUUCCCUUGAGGUUUGUUCCUUUUAUUUAUUUAGUAGUUCUUGUUCUUGGCUCAAAGUUACGAUUCACAGCCAGUGUGCUUGCACUAAGCAGUUCAUUUUUAAAAAAAUAUCUGCAGGGUCGUCACUUUAGCUUUUGGGUGGAUUAUCUUCCUUUCAUUGUUUAUCCCCGUAAAUUAUCUGCUGAAAGGUCAAGAUAGAUUGAGGAAAAAGAUAGAGGUGGGUUGGAUUCUCUGUUUCUGAUUACGUUUUCACUGUGAAUUCAAGAAGAUUUUACUUUCUUUUUCUGUGUUACCAGAGGGUCUUGGUGGAAAUGAUAUGCAGUUUUUUUGUUGCCUCAUGGACCGGAGUUGUCAAGUAUCACGGGCCACGGCCUAGCAUCCGUCCCAAGCAGGUUAUGUUUCCUUAUAAAAACUUUACUUUGUAUCUCUUUUAUGCUCGUCUACCUAUGCUUACAUUAUGAUCUGGGUUAAACAGGUUUAUGUUGCCAACCAUACUUCGAUGAUUGAUUUCAUCGUCUUGGAGCAGAUGACUGCAUUUGCUGUUAUAAUGCAGAAGCAUCCUGGUUGGGUUGGUAAGUUUCUGGCUAUUAGAGUACCCCAGAAGUGGCUUAUGACCUUUAUGACUGUUUAGUUUUAAUAGGUUUGUGGUCGAUUUAGUGAUGACUGAUUGGUUUACCUUUCAUGCUUUAUUGUGAAAGCCGUGAUUGACUUUUGUUGCUUUAUAUAUGAAGGGCUUCUGCAAAGCACAAUAUUAGAGAGUGUAGGAUGUAUCUGGUUCAAUCGUUCAGAGGCAAAGGAUCGUGAAAUUGUAGCGAGAAAGUAUGCAUAACUCUUAUACCUUUUAAAUGUCUGUUACUUAUUCUACUCAUGCUAACUAUGGGAAUAUGACUCAUAAAUCAGGUUAAGGGACCAUGUCCAAGGAGCUGACAAUAAUCCUCUUCUCAUAUUUCCUGAGGGGACAUGUGUAAAUAAUAACUAUACAGUGAUGUUUAAGAAGGUAUUUUGGACCUAACUUUGAUGUGAUUUAGCCUCGUACUAUGUUAUAGUUUCUGAUUCUCUUCAUGAUAAUGUUAAGGGUGCUUUUGAAUUGGACUGCACAGUUUGUCCAAUUGCAAUUAAAUACAACAAGAUUUUUGUUGAUGCCUUCUGGAAUAGCAGAAAGUAAGGGUAUUUUCUUUAAGACUUUCAUAUCAAAGAUAAUUUUGAAUUUCUGAAGUAUUGUUGAAAGGGAUGAAGAAGCAUUUCUAACUUAUUAUACACUCUUUUUUUGCUGAUAUAUUGCUCAGUUCUGAUUGAAACAAGUUUUCUUCUAGUGCGAAAUAUUUAGGGUCAUUUCUUUGUCUUGGUAACAAAUUGUCUUGCAUGCUCUUUGCAGACAAUCAUUUACUAUGCACUUGCUGCAACUCAUGACAUCAUGGGCUGUUGUGUGUGAAGUGUGGUACUUGGAACCUCAAACUAUAAGGCCCGGUGAAACAGGGAUUGAGUUUGCAGAGAGGUAAAACACUCUUCCCUUGGUCUUUCAUCAGAGAAAUCAUAUGCUAAGAAAUUUUUCUUUAAUUACCUGGCAUGACAUUCUUUUACAUCCAUCUUAUAUACUUGUGACAGGGUUAGAGACAUGAUAUCUACUCGGGCGGGUCUCAAAAAGGUCCCUUGGGAUGGAUACUUGAAGUAUUCGAGACCAAGCUCCAAGCAUAGCGAACGCAAGUAUGUUCUACGUCAUUACCUUGUAGAACUAGCUAAAUCUCUUAAGAAUUUUCAGAAGCCAAAGCAAGACUUUCCAUUAUAUCCAAACUUGGCAGUUGCACAAAUUUAGAGGCUCAACUUUAGUGAUCCUUGAAUUAAUACCAACAAUUUUUUUAUGUUUACUUUGUCUUCCUUUAAAUUGACAGGCAACAGAGUUUCGCUGAAUCGAUCCUGGCUAGAUUGGAAGAAGAUAAGUGAAUGUAAAAAUGAAGUUAUUUAUUUCCUUGUGGUGUUUCAUUUUUCAAUUAGACAAAAACAAUCUGAUGCCUCAUGUUCUCUCUGUUUUUUCAAUAUACAAUGUUGUGAAUCUCUCAAUAAACAGAACUCACUUUUGCAUCUUGUUCGAAUGCUACACCACAAAUUUGCAUAUUCAAAAGAUUUAUAAGAACGAACAAACAAAUAUAUACCGAAAGAAAGAAGACUUUGAGAAUUUUGAAGGCGGUGACGAGAUCUUCAGAAGAAUUCAGUGGCGGCGUAUCCAUACCGCGAACGGCGAACGUUCUCACGCCGUUUCUUCAACAAAUAUCCUCCACCGAAGCCGACCAUACUCACCGCUGCAAUGGCUCCGACAACAAUUCCAGUUUUGUCUCCUGCGGAGGCUUUUUUGCCUCCCUUUCUGAUAUUCUCAGUGUAAUUGAGAUCACUGGCUUCUGUAAACUGAGACGAAGACGAAUAAUCGUAUUCAGUAGACAUUGUCGGAGAUGGAGACAUUUCAUUCUCUGGCUGAGGCGGAGAAGACGAAUGCUCAGUAGGAGACACCUUUGGUGAAAUUUCUUUAGCUGAAAUCUCAACGGAUACGAUAAAAAGAGCUACAAUCAUGAAACCAACCUUCAUCAUCAUCUCAAAGGUUCAAACCUCUCUCUUUGUUUCUGAUCUCUCUGAAGACUUGAAGAGAUGGAGGGGAAUAUAUAGGAUGCUUAUGACAAAUGGUGAUUCGCCACGUCACAAGUGUAUAGAACCUAGAUACGGAGCGAAGCAUCAGAUCAUAUAGUCAAUUUAUUGAUUUUCCACUUAAAGUUGAUAUGAGUAACACUGAGAUUUGCUUUGGUACUUAUACUCAAUAAUGCUUUGGGAAUUUCAAAAUUUUAAUUUAUUUUUUCUAUUAGUGGAAGUAAUUGGUGUAUCUUAGUAGGAAGAAGCAAAUUGUAAGGAGGGAAUAUAAAAGAAUCAAUUGUGACAAUCGUAAAGCAAAGUGUAACCACUUUAUAAUGUUGACGCCUAACGAAGAAAAGUUUCACUUUUAGUGGUGGACUUAACUUGGGUCAAUUCAGCUCAUAUCAUUAUCAUAUAUUACGUAUACGGUAAACGGGUUCUUCUGGUUUUCCGGGUCAAUGAUGUAUCAUCUGAUCUUUAUUUCAAUGUGUGACACUAAAGUAAAGUUUGGCAUUCUACAUUUAGAUAAGUGAAACCAAAUCUAAGAGUGGAAAUUGUCUUUCCCAAACUAAUAGUAUUAAUUGUCUUCAUCUUUCUCUAUAGUCGCACACUCAUGAUGAAACAAUUCCGGUCAUACAUAAGGAGACAUAAUAUAACUUGUACCCUUUUCUUGGCUUUGGAUCACAACUCGUCCUUUGAGUCACUUUGGCUACUCUUUGCCGUGCUCUCGGUUUUUUCUUUGGUCUCGGUAGUUUCUACUUUUGGUGUGGACUCGACACUUUUAGGAGAUUCGGUUGAUGCAGGUUUCUCCAGUUUGAACGGGAUUGUUGCGUGUUUCCUCAAGAACUUGUAAAAUGCAACCACAGUGCGGUCUGCAUCUACCGUUAUCUGCUCCACACAACAACACAAUAAUACAAGGUUUUCUCAGUUUCAGAUGAUACCAAGAAGACAAAUGUGUUGCAGCCAGGAGAAUCAGAACUUACCGGCUCUGAAGUCUUGUUGCCUGCAGGGAAGAAGAGAAUUGUAGGGAACCCUUCAGCCUGCAAAACCAGAUAAAAUCAUCCCUGAGGCUUUGAUCAUAGAAAGGUUCUCGGUGCAGAGAUGAAUUGCAUUAACUUUAUUACCUUGGCCUUGGGAUGUUCGUUAGUUGUUCCAUCCAUCUUGGCUAUGACGAGAGAAUCAAUAUUUUUCAAAUGUUUUGCAAGCUUGUUGUACAUUGGCUCAAGGGCUUGGCAAUGGCCACACCAUGGUGCGUAGACCUGAGUUUUGUUUUAAAGAACAAAGCAUCGAUGUAAAGAGAAGAUGUGAAUCCAUAUCGAUUUAUUGAUGGAUUUUAAUACAAUAUGUACCUCGAGAAGAACAUCUUUAGAAUCGUCCAGAACAAUUUCAUCAAAGUUAUCUCCAACCACAAUUUUCACAUCAGCAUCGUUCUGUGGCAUAAAUUUUAAGUCCCAGUUUAACAUGAGCCAACAAGACGAUUGGAAAUUGAAGAUGAAAAAUAAACAGCUUUACCUUUUCCGGAAUGGGGUCUGACUUAUAGAAAGGCUUUAACUUGUCAUUCAGGAAAUCCUCUCCAAAUGUCUGCAGUAGGUUAGAGGUUUAAGUUUACCAAACAACAAUCUUUACAUGUCACCGUGAAGUAGAAAUUUUAUGAGUGAAAGAAACUUCAAAGAGAUACCUUAAUUUUAUCUGACUUGAUCUCGCCAUCAAAGAAGUGUUUUUUCGGGUCUUCAUUUCCUGUGUAGGCAAUAAGCUUUACACAGACCAACAUUUGAGAUAUAGUCAGUAUGUGCUUGUUGAAAAGAUCUAGGACUCAGAUUCUUAUAAAUGUGCAAUUCUUAAGCCCAUCACAAAAUAAAAACAAUCGACUUACUUUAGGACCAUUUUCGGACACACCAAAGUAUUCAGCGACUGGCUUUCCAUAAUCCUCAUUAUCCAGAUCCACAGAUACAAAGAUGAGCUGUAGCAAGAAACAAAAGGCUUCUUAGAAGUAACAUUACCAAGAUAACGUAAAGCCAUUGUUGCCCCCAAAGAUCCUCCUUCAUGGAUUCGUCUUGAUCCAAAACAUAAAUAUCAAAUAUUGGUCUAAACCAGACUAGACUUAUGUUCUCACCUUUCCUUUGAAUGAUUUCGCUGCUUCUUGGAAUUCAGGAAGAACCUUUUCAGAGUCUUUUUUGGUUGCAAACAACAGCAACUGUAAAGAGAUCAUAUACUUUCAUGUUAGCAGAUGGACCUAAACCAUCAUCGAAUUUGAAUAGAAGAAUCCUACUUAAAACAGUGACACACCUGUUUCUUGAUUGCACUCUCAAAAAUUUCCGGUGCAGUCUCUCUUGUGAAAACAGACACCAAUGGAAGCUUGUUGGCAGACACAAAACUAACUAUAGCAGACUUAACAAAUUCCCCAUCUGCAGAUUAAUAAUACAAACAUAUAAGCAAAAUCCCUAGAACAAGACCAUUGAAUCAAUGCAUAACAGAAAUUUACAGAAAACCAACCAAAAUGGCUAAUCUUCUCCUCUUCACUCUUCACUAGGACAAGAGCAGGCCUUUUAGACUCGGGAUCGAUGUGAAACAUCUUGGCAACAUCAGGAUUUACUGUUUGAUAGACGUUCACAUCGUCUUCAGCUUUAGAAGCAGCAGCAAGUUGGUCAUGCUCAACACCCUGUAAAAAAAUUACAUUUUAAAGAUCCAAUUGUGUUUACCUUAAGAAAAAAUACAGCAACGACUCAGAAAGACUAUAAACCAAGUGAAUAGAGAAACCAUACCACCAAUGAGUUCAAGUAUCCCAAGACGACUUUGUUCCCAGAAGUCAACACUUUCUCAGCAUCAUCUAAUGUAGUUAGAUUAUACACACCGGGGCCUAUCUUCUUCUUCACCCAUGUCACAAUUGUUUCUCUAAAUCACAACAUUUUUUAAAAAAAAAUACUCAGCAAUUCUAACUACAAAUUAGAUCCGACGAUAAAAUUGAAAUUAAUACCAAAACCCAAUUUCACUUACUUAGUCCUUCCUCCAGUGUAAGGCUUGUGCUCACCAUCAACGAAGAAAAGAAUAGUCGGAAAUCCCUGAACACUAUGCUCCUGAGCUAGCUCAUUUUCCUCCGUCGCAUCGAUCUUAGCCAAAACGACACCAGCGUCCUUAAGCUCCGUCGCAGCUGCAGCAUACUCGGGAGCAAGAGACUGACAAUGACCACACCACGGCGCAUAGAAUUCAACCAAAACGUAUUGGUUAUUCUCAAUCACAUCAGUGAAGUUACGCUCCUUGAUUACCACAACAUCUUUCUCAUCAACUUCCGGCGUCGGGAACGGAUCGGAAUCUGGAUUUCCUAGAUCGGAAAAAUCUCCUUCUUCAUCGUCAUCGUCGUUGUACAUAUCAGGAUCUUCGUCUUCACCUCCUUCGAAAUCGUCAAGUCCAGCUGAGGAGGCGAGUGAGUCAGCGCCGGGAGCGUCGUCUUCUUUGAGAUCCUCGAGGAAGCUGAGAUCCUCAUCGUCGACGUCGUCGGAGGAAGAAGCGGCGAAAGAAGGAGAAACGGCGGAGAAGAUGAGAAGAGCGGUGAGAGAGAAGAGGAGAAAAACGCGGAACGCCAUUUUAGUGUGUGCGACUCUGUUUGUGAACUCUUGAGAUGGUUGAGACUUGAGAUCUAAUAAAUUAACAACUACUACUGAAUAACGCAUGUUCGUUGUUACCAAAACAAACGUCGUCGUUUAGGAUAGAGUAUUAAAUUGGAUUAUUAGGGAAUAUUCUAUGUCAUUGACUAAUAAUAAAUGAAACAAAACUGAAAUGUUUAUAACCUGAAAUGAAUCCGAGUAAUUUAUUAACCGGUUGGUUUUACUACCAAAACACAAUAACCGGAUCUUUACCUUAAACCAUUUUAGUGUAAGUCAACCAACUUGACACAAAUUAAUUGGAAUUAAGUAUAGCUAAUAUUAUUUGAUUAGCAAUUUGAUCUUAUACUAUGUUUACAUGUAAAAUCAUUCUACAAAUUUAAGCUAUAUAUUAAGCUGAAUUCAAACCGAAAUAUACCAAAACUUUGAUAAAACAAACUCAACCAUAGCGCCUAGGAUUCAAUACUCUUCUUCGACACAUUGUAACUUUCUACAUAGUUUUUUUUUUUAUAUAAGAAUUGACAAAAGAACUUGAAAAGAAAGAAGUAUCGUUGUGGAUAAUUUAAGCAUCAGAGUGAGUCACAAUAGUGCGGAUCAUACUAGCACGUCGUUUCUUGAUCACAAAGAAGAUUGCCAAAGAGAGAAAUGCUACGAAAGAAAGGCCUAACACUACUCCAAUGGUUUCCCCUCGUCCUUCUUCAUCUCUGCGACUCUCACUUGUUGUGUGUUCGUCUGAUGAAACUUUAGUACUUCCUUGUGAAUCUGCUUCUACGAUGGAUGUCUUUGAAGGCGAAGGUGUAGGUGAGGAUGUCGAUGGUGAAGAAGGUGAGUUUUUUGGUGGGUUAUUGUGAUCAGGGACUGAUGAUUUUGGGUGGAAGAAAUCGUAAGCUUCCGGAGAGAAAGCAGAUGGGUUUGUAUAGGCUGGACCAUGAACAGGUCUGCUCCCAGCAAUGGAGACACAAAGAAGCAAAGAGAAGCAAGAGAAGAAGAAGAGCAAAGAGUGAGUUAGGUAUGUCAUGUUGCAAAAGUGUUUGUUUUUUUUUGUUUAGUUUGUGACUUUGUGUACAUGUGUUUGUUUUUUGGGGUUUAUAUAUGUAGUAUGUUGGUUAUAGAGGAGAUCAUAGUUGUUGCUUGAAGUUCAAAUUUGUAUGAUUGCAUAAUAUCAAGAAAAGAACAAAAAAGUGUUUUUUUGAUGGGUGAGGAGAGCAAUUAUCCGAUUUUUGUUUGUUUUCAAUCUUCUAUAUAUAACUUCCCUCUACAAAAUAAGUGUUCUUUUCUUCUAACGAACGUGAACAAUUAAUCUUUUAACUGUACAAAAGAAAGUUGUAUAUAUUAAUGUACAUAAUUUCUGUUUGAUAUAUCUAUAAGUUUUUAUCGUUUGCAUUUACAUGUUCUAACUAUAUCUAACAUGAUAUUAAAAAAUAGGGUUAUAAAGAUAUGUUCAUAUAAUCAUAUUGUUCAUAUUUUUGAGGGUAGGAUUGGUGCCAAAAGAAUGAUGCAUCAAGAGUUGUUAGCUUGAAGGAACCGCAACGGAAAAGUAAAAACUAGUUUAAGGAAAUUUAACUAAUCAGGUCCUCCACUACACAACUUUGGUUUUGCACAUUGUUUCUAUUUUUGAUUUCAUUGUUUUGUCAUUUUUUAAAAGAUAAAUAGUAAUAAUAAUAAUAAUAUUAUGAUAUGCAUGCAUAUCUAUAGAUGACAAUUAGGGCCUAUAUGUAAUUACAAAGUUGAGAAUUCUAAAACAUACAUGACAUCAUUAUCUGUUGAUUACCGAGAGAGAAAUGGAAUCAAAAGCAAAAUUAACGUGAACUCUACGAAAAGAUUAAAGGCAAACUUGAGAUUUAUCUUAAAGCAACAUUUAAUAAUAACCCACAUUUACACGAAUGGGAGAUUCCAUAAGAUUUAAAAAAACAGAACAUACAAAAAAAAAAAUACAGAGACCAGUGCCAGUGGUAGUGAAUUUCAUGGUAAUCAUAAUUUGAUUAACUUGUGGAUAAAUUAAAAUAAAUAGAAAAAGAUUUAAGCAGAGCUCCUAAAGGAGUUGAGAGCUUUAAUCGCUGCCGCUCUUAGAAUAAACUGAUGGUAUAACGCUGCUGCUGCUGCUCCGAUCAUCGGUCCAACCCAAAAUAUCCACUGUUACAAUCAUACAAAAACAAACAAAUUAUAAUCAAACAUUAUUUUUGGUUUUAAUGUGAAGAGUUACAUAUAAUCAAAUUAUAAUCAAACACCAUUUCGUAUAUAUAAACUAUAGAUCAAAAUGCGUAUAAAAGUUAGGUAUAGAUUACUUGGUCAUCCCAGGCCUUUUCCUUGUUGUAGAUAACGGCAGCUCCGAAGCUACGAGCCGGGUUGAUUCCGGUUCCUGUGAUGGGAAUGGUGGCUAGAUGAACCAUGAAGACGGCGAAUCCUAUGGGAAGCGGCGCCAAAACUGGCACGUGGGAGUCACGUGCACUUCUCUUGGGGUCGGUGGCCGAGAAGACGGUGUAAACGAGGACAAAAGUUCCGAUGAUCUCUGCACCUAGUCCGGUACCUUUGUUGUAACCGUCGGCGAGCUCGUUGGCUCCACCUCCAUAUCUAAGUAUCAUUUACCAAUAUUUGUAAUUAGUAAAACAGUAUAAUCAUAUUAAUUAGCUAGACCUUAUAAAGUAUAAACCAAAGUAUUUUGAAAGAGUUUUGAGACCUGGUGUAGUAAGAGCUUUGGAAUGCUUUGACGAGACCGCAACCGCAGAUGGCACCAAGGCACUGAGCCACAAUGUAUAACACUGUCCGCACCAGUGACACUUUUCUAGCAAGGAACAAUCCCACCGUCACAGCCGGGUUUAUGUGACCACCUUCAUCAUGAAAACAAAUUGAUUUACCAAAUGAAUUGUAAGGAUGUAUUUUAGUUUAUAUAAACCGAAACAAAACCCGAACUGAUUGACAUUUUUAAAGUAGAAAGUAAGAAAAUAUAUAUUUAGUUAUUUACCAUCUCUAGUUAGAAUACGUAGAUUAUUGUGAUCUAAACUAUACAAUACUUUUCUUUUUGAUCAAAAACUAUACAAUACUAAUAACUUUAUUAAUACGUGAAAAUCUAUGUGCCGUGACUCGAACGUUUGUGUAGAAACAUACUUACCGGAGAUACCGGCGGUACAGUAAACGAGAACAAAGAUCAUUCCACCGAAAGCCCAAGCAAUACCCAAUAUGCCUACGCCGCCGCAAUCCACCCCUCCCGCGGUUGCAUCGGUUUGAGCUUUGUAGCCGAUGACGGUGAGGACUGAGACGUAGAGGAACAAAAGUGUCGCCACGAACUCAGCUAUGACGGCUCUAUAGAGCGACCACUUCCCAAGCUCCUCCAUGUCCAACAAUGGUGCGGGAGGUGGAUCCUUGUAGUCUCUGGCCGCCGGGGCUCCACCCUCUUGCACAUCCAAGUCUUUUGCCAUGGCUAAAGAUGAUGAGAGAGACAGAGAUGACUUUGAUCAAUGUUUUUUCAGAUUUGUAGCUUUUCAGUUUGUGUGUGUUUGUGUAUAUAUACAUAGAGACUGUGCAAGGGUUUGGUAUAAGUACAUUAUAAGAUAAUUAAUAAUGUGGUUAAUAAUGAUGUGGACAGUUAAUUAAAAACAUAUUUUUGGGGGGAAAUAAUUAUAAAGGAAUCUUAUUAUCUUGUGCCUCAAAUGAGCUGGAGGUGGUAUUAUGAGAAUUGAGAGAAACAUCUCUGUUUUGUUAUUAUGUUUGUCAAUACUACUAAGAAAUGAUUAGCUAACCUGAUUUAAAUCUCUAUUUUGUUAAAACAGUAUGACGAUUUUUAAUUAAUCUUACUGAUGAUCAUAGUAACUUAGCAAAGCAAAAAUCCUUAAAGCCAAUACUUUGUCUACACGAAUAUUCUUAAGCCAAGCGUAGAGAUGCUUCUUCAAUUCAACAUUUUUCUGAAUAUUAUGCGUACAAUUUCCGAAUAACAUAACCAAUAAGGAACGAGCUGUCUUAAACUGUAUGAUUAGAGGAGGAUAAACUUGUUUUAAGCCGUCCAACCAACCCCUCGAUUUAGACAUUCUUGUGUUUGUAUUAAUUUAAUUGGUCGACCCAUGAGUUUUUUUUUUUUUUGUUUUGUUGUUGCAACGUCAAAUUUCAUAUCCGUAAUAUUAUUAUUUUUAAAUCUCAACCUCAAUUAUUUAACGAUAAUAUGAAAUCAAUUAUACUAAGUUAAGAUGGUUUUUCAUCUAAUAAACAACCAAAACAAAAACAAAAAACUCUAAUAAAACUCAAACAUAAAUAUGAUAUAUUUUAUCUGUUAACGUUUUUGUACAUGCAUAUAAAGUAUUCCGAAACAAGUCUAUAUAUAUAUCAACUUCGAUAUCGAACGCCGUCAUAAUUUCAUGCUUUAUUUAAUAAUAUAUGUGACAUUAACGGGUUUAGACCUGUGUUUAGAAUAUAAUUUCAACAUUAUAUACAUUUUUAUAUAUAUAGGAAAUUAGAAAGUGCGAGACAAAAAGUAUGAUCGGAAAUAGGAAUCUUAUAAAGGUUUCCUAACUAAUUAGCAAAUGAAGAAAGAUGCUCUCUUUAUUUGAGAAUUACAUUUUAGCGUGCAAGAAAUUUCUGCAAUUAAUGGUUUAUUCAGUGAACAAGCAAAGUCUCAUCUCAUGAUCUCACCCACAUUAUAAAAACUGUAUAAAAAUAUACAAUUUCAGGUGGAUAGCCAAAACAAAACAAAAAAAAAAAAGUAUAAAUUUUCAUGUAAAAUACUUGUAGAAUAGUAGUGUAGAGAUGGUUUUCGUUUCGGGUUUUGGUUAGAAAGUAAACUAAAAAUGUAAAGAGGUUAGUUUUAUGUUUUUCUCAAACGAAACAGUUGGAAUUGAAAAAAUAAGGAAAAGAACAAAUAAAGAGGAGAAGAUGAUAAGAAUGAGAGAUCCAUGACAUGCAACAAAUCCGAACAACGUUGAUUAAGCUCUCUCUCUCUCUCUUAUUAUUAUAUGUUAUCUUCACCAGGCGAACUCUUCUGUACAUGUAAUUGCUCCUCAACCCUCCGAAUUAUUCAAUUUAAUGUUGGACUUACAUGCUUGAUGCAUGCAUAUAUUAUAUAUUAUCAAUCUAAUUACAUGAAUUAUAUAUAAUGUGUGAUGAGUGAGACCACACAUAUAUAUACGUACAUCCAUGUGGCCAUGUUUAUGCAUUUUGGUUUUGAUUUUAAUAGCAUGAAUGGAUGCAAGUUUCAGAGUUUGUAUUUUUUUUUUUUUAGAUAACUAAAUUAAAUGUUUUUUUUUUUUUGGAUCCAAAGGAAUCAUAAUUCUUUUGCAGCAACAUGUUUACUUUUGUAGCAAAAUGAAAUAUAUCGAGUACUACUACACCAUCGCCUCUUAAAUGAUACGAACAACAACAAAUUAUUUAGUGACAAUGAAGGAAGGAUCACCACAUAUCUUUUGUACACUCAUCACCACAGAUUAUAGUUGAAAUAUGAUAAUGGACUUUAUAUUCUUGGUGUUACAACUUCUCAUCUAAGUCGUCUCUAUUAGACUUAAUCAGACCAGGGAGCUCUCGCGUCAAAUUGGUGCCACAUCGUCUGGCACAAACUCAACACCCUCAGUUUUGGUUAUAUAUGUUUGUCUGGAUCGAAACCAUACAUUGUGUAUAAACUCAAGCGUUAGAGACUCAACAUUGAUUAUAUAUGCUUCUAUGCUAUAAUCACAAAAUUAAUAUAAGCCCUUUGCAGCUAUUCUCGCGCAAUUUGAUUAUCUGAAUUACCUUACCUACUUCUCUCGUUUGCACUCAGGGUCCGUCAACCCCACUCGAUUGGUUCUUUAUUGACACUUGGUGCUUCCCAAGAACCAGAUGCACUGAAACAUACUCUUCUCAUCACAUAACAAGCCUCGAUUAACGAGGUAUGGCGUGAGGAGAUUGCUGGUUUCACCAAUCCACAACCCUGCCGCCGAUACUAAUAAGGGAGCCUGUUGAUCACAGCUUGAAAGUGGGUAUCUCUGAUUCUUCAUGUUUGGGUUGGACAAUCACCCUGAUCUUUAUCCCACUAAAGUGUUUAUUUACUAAAACAGGAUUUCAACACUACUGGUCAACAAAGUACGUAAGAGCUCAAGAUUUGGUUCAUUUAUCAUAUCAAUUACUCACACACGCACAACAAAGUCGACAAAGAAUUGUUUAUCCCAACCAAAACGUAAUCCAACACGAAGAGCACUGCUAAGUGGCUACACGAUUAACAUAAGCUACACAAAUUUCCCAUCAAAACAUAACCGUUCAAGACCAACAGCCAAAGAAACACUCCACUAAUUACCACAUUCUUACAGUAUCAGACUUUUUAAUAAGGUAUUCAACAAUGUCAUCAUUUAAAAAAGUGAAGUACCAUCACUGAUCGUUAUUCAAAGGGGGAAAUGGGACAACCAAAACUUAUUACUAUAAAGACAGCACUCUCUACAAAGACAACAUAAACCAUUAAACUGAAUGCUCCAUCUACAAAUGAGUCGAUCAAGUUACCCAUAGCACACUGCUCAAAUAAACUUCACAUCACCUGUCAUGAUUUUCUACAAAUCAGUUACAUAGCAAAAGCAACGAGUGCAUUGUGAGUUCAAAUCUCAAUACUGUAGAUAGAGAUAUCAAAAAACUAUGGAACACUACUAAUCAGCUCACAUUAAGAGUCUUGUGAUGCAUUCAACAAUGACACCAAUACAUAUAUAUAUAUAUCAUCCUGAACCUUUGAAUACUCAAAAACCAAACUGAUAGAUUAUAGAAAUGAAACAUUUUAAUUUAUCCCAAGAAAGGAUUUUUCAAAUGUGCGAAACCACAAAUCGUCUUUUCAGAAUCUCAAAAUAGUAUACUAAAACGCAAAAUCCCUCGAAAAAAAAAAACACAAAAAUCAAAGACGAUACAAAAACCUUGAAUCACUCGUUAGGAACGUCAAUGUCUCCACUGUUAAUCUCUUCCUGAAGAUCCUUAGGGUCUCUACCAUCAACCGUACAACCAACAGAUACACAAGUUCCCAAAAUCUCCUUCACUGUUCCACUCAAUUCCUUAGCUAUGGAUCUUGGACGCAUGAUCUUUGCAAUCUCAAUCACAUCAUCAAACGAAAUGUUGCCGUUAUGUUUGAUGUUCUUCACUUUCUUCCGGUCUCUCUCUGGCUCCUUUAGCGCCUUGAUGACCAACGCCGCCGCCGAAGGGACCACUGUCACCUUAGCUUGACGAUUCUGGACUGUCAGCUUCACUGUCACUCGAAGACCUUUCCACUCUUUAGCUGUCUCUUUCGCGAUGUCUUCUCCGAUCUUCUUCGGCGCCAGACCCAGUGGACCGAUCUUUGGAGCGAGUGAUGACGCUGCUCCCACCUCACCUCCGGUGACUCGGACGUACACGUCCACGAUCUGUGACGGGUCCAACUUCGGCGGCAUUUUCUCUUAGUCUUCUUCUUCUCUCACUUCACUCUCUGUUUCUAGGGUUUCCUCCUUUUUAUACUUCGUUUAUGUAGCUAGGGUUUUAGCUGAAAUGACGAGUUUAUCCCACCCCAAUUCGGGUUUGAUUGCUCUUAACCGAAAUUCAAAAUAGACUGGAGUUGGUUAAAUCAAAACCAAACAUUUUCAUUUCAAUGGAGCUGGGCUGGCUUUUCCAAACACAAAGUUAAUGGGCUCCUAUGUUUUUAAGGACGGCCUUAUAAGGUUUAAAAGCCCAAUGUUUCGGCCUAUGCGUUGAAAUGAUCACCUCCUUUAUCAUUUUCUUUCUCUCGAGGCUAGCAGGCUAAACUCUGGCAUAUCCCUGCAUUCACUGACUAGUCCAUGACUAGGUGGUAAGAACAAAUAAAAAUCUUGUUGAUGUUAUCUUAGAUGACAAGAAGCUUGAAUCACUUGACGAAACACGUGUUAUAGGGUCUAAUCAUUAAGCUUUAAGUGUGCUUUGUGAACCUUUAAUGUAAGAUUUCAUCAAACAAGAGCAUACAAACUUCUUUUACCUUAUAAUUAAUUUCCUUUCUCUUCUCCACCUAGAUAGAAAAAGCUACUCCACUCUUAAAGUAAGUGGUCAAUAAUGGCAUGUACCGAAUCUUACGUAUAUGGUUGGACCGGAUAUUCUUAUCAGCUUUGAGAUAAGGAAUAUACCAAUUUAUGCUUCCGGAUUAGUUACAUUAUAUGAUUGAAGCUUUCAAAGAGGAAUGGGGGGUAUAUGCAUCCAUACUCACACACACACACGCAAAUAAAUAUGUAUGGAGAGCUAAGAAAACUGAUCGAAGUUCAAGGUAUGAGAAAAUAUUUAUGUGAAAGACAGAGGCAGAUAUUAUAUGUACCACUACCACCCAUACAAGAGACAGAACCAUUUAAGCCUUUCGUGUGCGUAUUUGUAUAUGUAUUACUGAGGUUUGCUGAUGUACAUGUAACAAAUUUCGUUGCAUAAUUGAGAUCGAUGCAUGACAUUACAACUGAGCUUCCAUGGACCAAAAUUAGGAAGUAAUAUAAAAUGAAGUAGCACACUAGUUAGCAUCUAAUCGAUUAAUCACUUUAAAAAGCUAGCUCCCCGUAAUCAAAUGUAGUAGUAUAAAAUAGCUCAAUGAUUCACCACUUAUCUAUAAAAAAAAAAAUGGUAUAAAUCGUAAAAUCAUAUUCCAAACUUUUUCGCUGAGCCUUGUGACUGGCUAGCUAGCUGUAUCUAUUAAAAAACAUUGUUAAGUUAUUGUUCAUUUAUUGGUUUCACCUCGUAACUUUCUGGAAAGGAUAACAUGAUUUGAUAAAGUAUUUUAUUUUAUUAGUAUUAUAAUUUUCGCAGUAAAGACACUUUAUUUAUCAUCAUCAUCAUCACUAUUACAGCACAGUAUUUUAACUUUUCCUUUCUUUCUAUUCAAUUUCUUUUCUUUUUAUAAUACGUACUACUACGCUAGUAUUUUGGCUACUUAAAUUAAAAAAUAAUAUCUAUGUGCCCACUAUGUCGACAUCUGAAAAACCCCGAUAAAUAAUGUUUUUCCGUUUUAUUAUUACCCGAUAAACAUUUACUCGAUUUCAUUGAAAACAGCUCUUUAAAUCUUAUGAACUGUUUCCAAAAUAUGUUGAAGGACACAAAUAAAAUGAAACUCUUUCAAAGUAUUAAUUCCAAGACACACUACUAGUAGUAGAUAAAAAACUUAACGAGGAUAUUAUUUUCAGCUUUGUUUCUAAUCGUUUUGGGUUGAUUAUAUUUUUCAUACAAUGUGGAAAGUGACGCGUAGCAUAAUAUUGACCGUAUACUUUUUUUUAAUUGUAUUCGAAAUACGAUACUUAGCAAAAAAAAAAAGUAUUAGAUAUUUAUUUUCUCCAUUAUAUAUUUAAAGCAUAUAGAUGUGGAUAGACACCAAAAAAAACAACUAAAAAAGGAAAAUAAAAAUUAAACAAAAAAAAGGAAGUUUUUUGAUUUGAGCAAAACACAUAAGAAGCAACGUAGGACCAACCAAGAAGAGAGUUUCAACGUUCAACGAAUCUUGUGAGACUACAUUACAAAAAUCCCCACUCGCAUACUCGCACGUAGCCAGUCUCACGCGCUGAGAUAUUAUAUUCGAGACGGUACUUAUACGAGACUGUCGCGCGUGAGAGAACAUCGAGAGGAGAAGAAAACGAAAGGACUAGUAAAUAGCCUAAAGAAAUGCCAGCUGGCGAGAUAUUAUAAAACGCGUUUAGAUCAGAUGAGAGUGGGUUCUCUACAUUCACGUGGCAUCCAUCCAUCUAAGAUGACUGAUACAACACGUGUAAUGAGAUCGUUUUGUUACGAACACGUGUCAUGAUCGUGUUUGCUUUUUUGUCUUUCUCUUGGAACUGGGGAAGGCAGAAAAGUGAAUCCAAACCCCACCCGCGUCACGACAAAACAAAAAACAAACCAAAUAAGAGAAAAGAGAGACUUGAACCAAGUUUUUAAGUGGUACGAAGAGAAUCUAUAUUAUCCACUAAAAUUACGAAAAAUCUAUUAUUUUAUCAUAUACAUAAUUUGCUAAAAUUUGCAUUCUGACAUAGCAGUGAAGGAGAGGCAAUUAAUAAGAAAACAUUGAUCGUCGUUUAAUUUUGUAUUAGAAGAAAAUAAACUAAAUGUUUUUUCUUGUUGACAAACUUGUUUUUAAAGAUUUUCUAUACUUCUCUUUUAUAUUUUUCUCUUAGAAGUCGGUAUUGGUUUUUAUUUCUUUUCUUUGAAAGCUACCUAAGAUUCCCCUAUUUUUGAUUUAUAGUGGCAGAAGAAACAAGAGACUUGUAUCAGCAUGAUCCGUUAGUUUUAAAUCAAUACUUCAAAUAAAACAAAAAUGUUAAGUAGUUUUGACCAUCAUUAUUAAAAGUAUCUUAGCAAAAUUUUAAACUAAAAUCUAUUUUUUAACAAAUCUUAUCUUAAGAUCUUAUUCAAAUACCUUUAUUAAUAAAGUUAUUAAGAGGGAAAAAACACAUUAGAGUAACAGGUUAACUCAUAAUUAAUUAUAGUAUUAGUGAGGACUUUAACUAGGGAUAUGAUUAAGGAUUAGUCAUUUCAUUUAGUUUUAUAGUCUUGUUAGUGUGAACUGUUGAAAGAAUCUGGAAGCUGUAUUAAAAAAAUAUGAAGAGAGCCAAGCCAAGAGAUGAAACAGACUUAAUCCAAAACCAAAUAGCUGAAGAUAAUAAGUAGUUUAAUAAUAAGGUAAUAUGUUACAGGGAAGAGAAAAAUAAGUAGUAAAUUAUACAGUAGCACGAGGGAAAGCACGAGUGGUAAGGAAAGCUUGGUGCAGAGUGUGUUUUCUUCAUUGGGUAGUGAAAGCCCUAAAAUUAAUAAUAAUAUCUAAGUGUGGAACGGCUAAUAAGUUGUUUUGGUAGUAAGAGUUAUGGAUGGACCAAGAGUAUGUAUGAUGUAAAGUUUUCGACGGUUCUGGUUCCCCGCGCCGAUCACACCGACCAACCUCGUAAGUUUCCACACGGUCGAGAGCUCCUUUAUAAAUUUUUAUUCAUUAUUAUAUUCCCCCUUCAUUAUAUUCUCCGUCCAUGCAAUAUCUGAUUUUAAUCAUUCUUAUUCCAAUAGAGUAAUUAUUUAUAUACAGUAUAUAAUCCUUGUAGAACUUAUGUAUCCUCAGUUUAUAGGACAUCAGAUAUUUCUUUAAAAUUUUAUUUUCAUUUACCAACUAUAGUAUAGUUUUUCUCUAUAUUUAUAAUUAACCAAUGUGAAAUUAAUAUAUGUCGCUAUUUUGGAUUCGAAUAUACUUAUAAAAAAAAUGUACAAAAUGUGAUUUUAUAAAUAUGUAUUUUUAUUAAAAAAAACUAGAAAUCAAUAUUGGGAUGUAAUAAAAUACCAAAUUUAUAAUGAUAGAUAUCGUUUUAGUGUAUUGAGAGACACAUAAAAAAAGUUAUGAAGUGUGUGUGGUAAAGAAUAUGCCAAACACGCCACAUGUAAUAUUCUCCAACCUUGUUCAUAGAGUCUAAACCCUUUUGCAUCUUUCGACACUUCAUUUAAAAUCCAAGGGUAACUCUGUAAUUUAACAACUGACGGAAACUGGAAGUUAAGGGUCCCUUAUCCAAAUUUAUCCAAAAAGAAAAAAACCUGUGUGAGUGUGUAUAAAACCAGAGACUCCCUCAUGACUCUUUCUUCUUCUUCAUAGCAAUUAGCCAAAAUCAAAAAUACUCUUCAAACAAUUUUUUUCUUCUUAAAAUCAUUUUUAUUAUAAAACCUCUUCCUUGUUCAAUGGCGACGGGGAAGAGUUACUACGCUAGACCUAGCUAUCGAUUUCUCGGCACCGAUCAGCCUUCUUCGUAUUUCACCACCACCACCACCACCGCCACCGAUUCAGGUCUCGAAUUCGACGAAUCCGAUCUCUACAACCCAAUCCACUCCGAUUCUCCCGAUUUUCGCCGCAAAAUCUCUACCCCUUCCAGAUCCGGUAAAAAACCGUCGACUCAUCGUCCCUCCGCCGUUACAACAGCGUCUUCGCUUCCCGUUAACGUCCCGGACUGGUCUAAGAUUCUCCGUGGGGAGUACCGCGAUAACCGCCGGAGAAUCAUCGAGGAUAACGACGACGAAGACGGAGAUGAUUGCGAAGACGGUGGAGACUGGUUGCCUCCGCAUGAGUUUCUGGCGAAGACGAGGAUGGCUUCCUUCUCGGUUCAUGAAGGAAUCGGGAGGACAUUGAAAGGAAGAGAUCUGAGUAGGGUCAGAAAUGCCAUUUUCGAAAAAAUCGGGUUCCAAGAUUAAAAUAUUUGGAAACUUUUGGAGUUUUCCUGUAAUUUUUUUGUUUUGUUUUUUUGCCUUACUUCAAUCAUUUUCUCUUUAUGUAACUGUCAGAGAAGAGAGAAGAGAGAGAGAGAGAGAGAGAGAGAGAGAGCAUGUAAUAUUUCUAGAAAUGCCCUCCAUUUAUCGUUUAAUUCCGCAUAUCUUACCCCCAAUGUAAUUUCUUUUUAGAUUUUUAAUCACAUUUUGCGUAUUUUGCUGUCGAUUUGAUGCGAAUUUUUAAUCUGUAAAAAUUCAGAUUUUGGGUAAUGUUUAUCGAGAUAAGUAAAAACAGAGGUGGGAAGUGGAUAAAAUAGAAAAGUGUGGGGCAAAAUGUUACAAUUAUUAGUUGGGGUUUUUUUUUGGGUUAAAUUUACGGGGGUGUUUGAUGAGGUGGGUGAGAAAAGCAGAGGCUACAAACACAUGAAAGUGACAUUGUUGCUUCAAGAAUUAUUCUCUUUCUUUUUUUUCAUUUUUUUUUUUCAUUUGGCUCUAAUGAGAGAAGAUUUUGUAAAGCUAAUUAAAAUGGAUUUUUAGGUGAAUGAAUAGUUUUCGUGUAAGAGACUAUAAAAAGAGGUGCAUGAAGUUCAUGUGAGGGAUGAUCUCGUGGAUUAUGCUUUUCCUCAAUAUUAUGUAGAUUUUUUUUAUUUAUUUUUGGUAAUUAUGCAAACAUAUUUCGUAGAAACAAACACAAUUAAAUUAAAUCUUGGAAAUUCUCUAUAAUUAAUUUAUGGUAAAAAAUAUAUAAGGUUUCGUGUAAAACUAGAAAGAAAGAAAGAAAAAAACAACAUUGCUACCAAAUUGAUCAUAAUCUUAUCCAAUAUAACAACAAUCUUAUCCUGUUCUAAAGAAUUGUAAAUCAUCUUCAACAAUCAAAAUUUGAACCAGAUAUUUUUCUUCUUACAAGUACACACAUUGAAUGAAUAUAAUUACAAAACAUAAAUGUGAAAGAAAAAAAGAAAUGUCUUUGUAAGUUUUAUUGGACCCGCUAAAAAAGAAAAAAAAAAAAAAAAAAAGAAGAAGAAAGGGUCUAUUCUAGAAAUAAUGAGUAAAUUUUGAGUAAUGAGGGUUCUCUUGUCAAGUUGGGUGUCAUUUUCUGAUCAAAAAAAGUGCCCCAACCGUUUUGGCCCAGCUGGGAGGGGGACUUGAGGGACACAUCACUGUAAAUAUACUUACAAGGUAGCUCGCACUCGCAGAGCCAUGAUUGCCUCUAACGAAGACAAAUGUUCAGAGGAUGUCCUCUCGACAGACUCUCUCCCACAGUUCAAAUUACUACAUUGAAGAUAACCAAAUGAAUGAUCCUAGGAACAAGGAUGAGAGUUUUUAUUGAGAUUAUAAAGUUAAGAGAGAUUAUCCUCUCGACCAAACCGAUUUGGAGGUGAAGCUCAUAAUUAAGGAGUUUUCCCCAAAGUAGCUCAGAAUAAUUACAAAGAGUAUAUAUACAUGACAACAACAAUCAUACAUACAAACAAGUUUGUAACAAAAGAGAGACAUAAUUAAUUGUGUCUUGUUUGUUUUUCUUACAAUAUGACAACAUCUUGCACACACUACUGAUUAAAUUACUUUUUAAACUAAAAAGUAAACUGUCUUGAUUGGUAAAUGACAUCCUCCUUAAUAUUAUUCAUCAUCCACCAAGUUAGAUUAACAGUCCACAUCUGUUUUACUCAUCAAUCAUCACAUUUUAUAUAUAUAUAUGUUUUUUUUUUUAAUUCAACUGUAUUCUAAAUGUAAUAUGACACACUCCUUAUUUUAUAUAUGACAAUGAAGUGUUGAUUUGAACACUUAGUUUUUAUUAUAUUACCAAUCUUUAUUUUUUAAAGUGUACUUUAAUGCAAAAUGGGAGGAUGAUUGACUAAUUAAUUAAUUCUUAUUAUCUGUUAAAAUAUGGUUGUACAUGUAUUUCCCACCACCCUAAGGUAAAAAGGCCUAUAGAUGUAAAGCCCAAGUCUACUUCAACUUUUAAGCAAUAUAGAUGGGUUAAUGAAUUUAGUUUUCUCUUUUGUGGGCUUAUUCAAUAGUUCGAUGACAAGUCUACAUUUUCAUUUUUCUUUGUCAAAACUCUUACAAUAUAUGACCCCAUUUGAAUACUAUAUAUAUNNNNNNNNNNNNNNNNNNNNNNNNNNNNNNNNNNNNNNNNNNNNNNNNNNNNNNNNNNNNNNNNNNNNNNNNNNNNNNNNNNNNNNNNNNNNNNNNNNNNUGAAUCCCAUUUUUUUAUUGACAACAGUUUGUAGGUAAGAAAAAAAAAAAUAGAUAUCUGAAUAAAAGGUUUAGUGUCUUAUAAAAUUAUUCCCCGCCGAAUAAUCUUAUAAUUCGAUUUUUUAGCAUGUUAAAGAAUUUGAAGUUGACGAAUUCCUACGAAUAUAUAUAUAUAUAUAUAUAUAUAUAUAUAUAUAUAUAUAUAUAUAUAUAUAUAUAUAUAUAUAUAUAUAUAUAUAUAUAUAUAUAUAUAUAUAUAUAUAUAUAUACUACUUACCUUAAUUUUAAUUUUUUUAAGGUUUAAGUACGUUACGUACGUAGUACUAUAUAUAUAUAUAUAUAUAUAUAUAUAUAUAUAUAUAUAUUUUUAUCAUGAUGAUCAAUCAUGGAAUCUUAGAGAAAAGAAAUGGAACACUAUCUUCAACAACAAUGUUAAACGAAAUAACUAGUGAAAAUGUCAAAUGUGUAACUUAAGAAAUACAUUUGGUUUCACCUCUCGAAAUGAAGAAACUCUUAAAAAUCCCAUGUUCUAUAGUAACGCUUAUGUCAGCAACUUGUCAUAUAUGUAUUUUAGUUUGUGGUGAGAGAAUACUGAUUAGUGCUCUAAUUACGCGAAAAGACUAAAGUAGUUGGUAAAUCAAAUCUACGCACAUCACCUCUCCUCCCAUUAACGAGUGGAAGUUAUUUUUUAUUUAUUUUAUGUUAUAAUAAAAGAAUGGUUUAAUUCCUUUUUUGAAACAUACUAUAAUAUACACGCAUAUAUAUAUGAAAGAUAAAGUUUCCACCUUGUUUAAUGAUCCUUAAAGCUCAAGUAUAUUUUGUUGGGAUUAAUUCUUUUGUAACAAUUUAUAUUGGGAAAUGUGUAUGUGAUUCUCGUACUAAACAAUUAUGAAAUAUGCUUUUAUUUUUUUUCACUACUUCUACUAGCCUAUGUUUUCCACUCUCUUUUUCUAUUGUGUUGUCAAAGAAGACUUAAAAGCCUAGGAGGCGUUCAAGACCCUGGAUUUGUGCACUAAAAGCACUCGAUUUUAUCUGUUGAAUAAUUUUCGAUGCGUAUUUGUUAUUUGGACGUACAACAACCGCCUCUGUAUAGUGUCGCCACUCUCAAGCACUAAGUUUUCAGAUAAUUCCCAAAUACAAGAACUCCUCUACGACGUUUUUAACAUUAUGUAUUCUACGAGAGAAACUGACUUAGUUUGUCUUUUUUUGACCAACUCAUGUUUUAAUACUACAAUAUUCAAAUUGAUCAAGGAAAAAAGAAUUCAACUUAGAAUCAAGGGAUUAUGGAAUGGUACACAAUCUUUUUCUCAUUGCGAUAAUAACAACGUUAUCGGAACUUAAGUGCGCCUCAAAGUUUCAUGUACGAAAUAUCUCGAUGUUGGAAAGAUGAUCGAUGCCUAGUAUUGGUUUCAAUCCCAAAGGGACUAUAAUAACAUGCAUGUCUAACUUCCUAAAUCUCUUGGAAAAUAUAUUAUAGUUGCAUCAUGCAUAUGCAUCAUUGUGAUUUUAAAUGUCCAAAAAGAUAUUCAAAACUUUUUUCACAUAUGUAACUAAAAUUAGUUUUGACUUUGGUACAUUACAUAUAUCUUAGUCAGUAUGUAAAAAAAAAAAAGGAAUUGCAGAGGAGAAAACAAGAAAGAAGAAUGAUGAACAAACGUGUAGGAACGUUAACAUAUAGAAAAUGGUACCACAUUGUUACUCCGGUCAACUACAUUUAAUUAGGUAAGCCUUAAGCAACAAUACUCUUCGAGUCGUCGUUAUCAAUACCAAUCGAGGAGGACCCAAUCCUCUGUUUUCUCUUACAUGGGGUUUUGUUUACUUUGAAACAGUCAAAAUGCAUUUGUUGUUGUGACUGACACAAGUAAAAACUAUUUCCAUUUUUUUUCUUCUAAAAACGGUUAAAAAAUAAAAUCAAUAUACAAAUCUUUGCUAGUUUCAACCCUAGUAGGAGCUCUCUCUCUCUCUCUCUGGUACGUAAACAAGUUAUGUAAUACAUUUACACUAAGCUAACAAACACAACAUAUAAUGUAAAAAUGAUGUGAGAGUGUGUAAUUACAUGAGAAAACAAAAGGAGGAAGAGGACAGAGACAUAAUCAAGAUUUUCAAAGAUGUGAUGUGAAUAGAGAAUUUUUGAUAAUUAAUCAUUCAGUUUUGUUUUAGGGAAAGGAAUAUUUAAGAAGGAUGACAAAAGGAAUAAUGAAGGAUCCGACGAUAUGGAUGGCCAAUGAGAGGGUCCCUGGGUUAGGUCAGGUCUCCACAUUCGACAGCUACCUCUAAAAGUACUCAUGCGACCCCAUGGCUCAGACACUGUGGACCCUUAUGAUUGGACCUUUUAUGGGCCCUAAAUAUUUGGGUUAUUGGAACAUAUCCCAUUGUUCCCACAACUCUUCUCUCUCUCUCUCUCUCUAUAAGAUGGGCUCAAGAAACUCUCUUCUGUAAAGAUAGCAACAAUCUCAUCAUCACACCCUUGUAUACUUUUACCUAAAGAGUAGUUUUGUCUCGUAAUCUCCUCGUACACCACUUCAAUUUGUUGUAUGCUCCAAAUUUGAACAACUUUUUUCCACAUAUAUUUUGUUAUAAGAUUUGUUAUAUAUGUAUACAUAAUUUAGACAUGUGAAACGGACAUAUGAAUCUCCUAGCCCCCUAAGAAAACAAAACAAAACAAAACACUAGAGUCGACUGAUAAUGGUCAAAGUUUGGAGCGUCGGAGUUGUUUGACCGCAGGUUUCAAGAACCUUAAAUUAUUUUAUUUUCACCACGAGUUUUAGGGUAUGAGUAUGACAUUUUCUCUUCUUUAUUUUGAAUUGUUUGUGAGACAGUGUUUUUUUUUUUUUUUUUUUUUGUCAACAUUUUUGUUUGUUGUGGUUUUAUUUAAACAGAACAGUUGCAAUAAAUGUAUAUUGGUUCUCAUCAUUCAAUAAUUUUGUAUCGACUGCAGUACACAACUGUUGUCACAUAUUUUUCCAUUUCAUGUGUAUUUGGUUCAAAAGAAUAUAUUUUAAAACAUUUUAACAAGCUUAGUCGAUAAAAUCAUUAGGAGUAUUAGAAAAGCUUGGUUAGAGUUUGAGAGUUACAUCAUCUUCGCUAAGUUUGUAUAUUCAACAUCUCUGUUCUGCUCGUUUUGCCCAUUUUUGUACUAUUCAUUUUGCCAUCACUGUUUGCAUAUUUAUAUUCUACCAUAUGAUUUAACCUUUUAUUAAAUGUUCUGUUUUACCUUUCUCAGAACUACAGUCUUUUAAUUUUCAUGAAAAUCUUUUUUUCAUCAAACUGUCAGCCAACUAAAAAUAGAGAUAUUAAGUAAUGAUAAGAUUUAUUAAAUACGUUGGUGGAAUUUUAGUAUGAAGAUUUGGAAAAUAUAAUCGUAGAUAUCGUAGAUACGUGGUGAAAGAAAACGAAUGUCACAAAUGAGAAUUAGUAGCCGAAAUCUAGAAAAAACUUAGAAAAGCAAACCACAAGUGACCCAAAAAGAAAGAAAAGAAACCACAAUAUUUUAGUUUUGCUUGAAAACAUUAUACAUUACUUAGCAUAACUAUUUUUAUGUGUAUAUACUUUAAGUACACACACAUCUAUUUAUAUAUAUAUAUAUAUAGACUUUGUGAAACAAAUGAUUACAAAGUAGGGUUUCAAUUUUUUUUCCUUAAUAUGAGCAAGACUUUGAACAAACUAGGAAGGAUUUAAGGGAGAUUGAGAUAGAUGCCUGAUGAUUCAAUCAUAUUAUAUGGGAUCUUGAUCUCGACAUAUCAUUUACCCAUUCAUGGUAAUAUGGUAUAUGAAAACAAUACGAUAACAAUUUACAUUGGGAGGUAACUAAAGUGGACAAUAAUAAUAAAUAAGAGAAGAGAAAAAAUGUUAAAAUUUUGGUGGGGAAGUUGGGAGGGGGACAAAGUGGAGGAAUAUUAAUAUCCCAUCAAGACCAACAACAUCAACAAAAGUAUAUAUAUAUUUGACAAAUAUAUAAAAGCAAAAGAUAAUAUAUUGAACACCCAACAAUAUAAAAAAGGCCACAACGAAUGUGACAUUUUGACUUUUUCUAAUAUAUUAAUUUGGAUUUAUAUUUUGGUUCUGAAUUGGAGUUUAUCUCAAGAAUGAAAAAAAAAAAAAUUGUGAAUAAUUGAGUUUUGUACUAUAAUGUGAAAUUAAUUGAGACACUUUGUUUUUUUCUUUUUCUUUCUCCGUGCAUAGUCAAAAUUAAGACUUGUCGCAACCACUUUGAUAUUGAGAGACACUUCCUGUUUUUUACUCUCUCUUUAUUUUGUUUACGCACACUAUAAAUAUCAAUCUAAAGUAAUAAAAGCUUUAAGUUGAAUCAGGUGUUUUAGUUUAAUGAUAUCUAAAAAACAAAUACAAAUAUUUACUUGUGUUUUAUGUUUAAUCUGUGUUUUGCUGAUAGUUAGAGACUGUCGUUUGUGAUGGGCUUUUCAAUUUAUGUUACGGCUUAGCAUCGGGUAUUUAUUUGUAAAACUCUUUAUGUUAUUGUCUUAUUGAUGUGGUCAAGUCACUUGUGUUUUAAGAUAUUUUUUGUCAUGUAUCUAAUCAAAGGAAUGUUUUUAACUAUAUAUGUUUUCUUAAAGAGACAAUAGAAAAUAUAUAUAUGUGCAUGUAGCCGAAUGUGGUGGAAUGGUGAGAUAAGCAGUCGAAUAAUUACAUUUAUAUCCAUUUGCAAAUUGGCUGGGAUAAUGUUUUAACCAAAUUGUCCGGAUUUAACAGUUUCUUAAGGUUUCAGAUUCUUUUUGUCGUCUUGUUGUUACACAAUAAUACAUAUAGAAUAUAUGUAUAUAUAUAGCGCAUGAUCUUCUUCUUUUCUUUAAUGAAAAUUGAAAGAAUAGAACAUACAUUACACAAUAGAAUAAUGGUUUCACUACUAGACACUAAUUUUUUUUUUUUUAAAAGGUAAUCAUUGUGAGCAAAAAGACUAAAUUCAACCUCAAGUUAAAAAAAGAGAAGAAGAAGAAGUUGAUUAUACAAUUUCUAAAUUAAACUAUAUAUAUUUAUGUUAACUGUUUAAUUUGUCGCUUGUGAAACAAUCAAGCACAUGGGUCAGAGGGUCACUAUAUAUCCUAUAAACUAACAACUAUAGUACUAUUGUGAAAUAUUAUCAUUAUAUAUCAGUCAUUAGCAACGACAAAUGUCUCAAAGUUUGAAUCAAAGCUAUAGAAAAAAAUCAAUGAAUGAUAGUAACAAUCAGAUGGAUGAUAAUCAUAUGUCUUCUCUCUUAUAAAAAAAAUAUGUAGUUAAUGUAUCAUGACGCUAACAUAAGUAUAUAUCAUUUAACUGAUCCAAACUUCGUAGUGGUUAGCAAAAAUGCAUUUACACAAUAAUUUAAUCACUAAGCACAAAAGAUAAAACUUAUCGUUUAGUGAUUUUUGUUUAUUACCGAAAAAAUUAUGGAGCAUCUAGAUACGUCGAUCAUACUAGUUAUAGAAACGUAUAAUAGUUUAACAAAAAAAAAUGUAAUGAUAAAUUGGUUAAAAUGUAUUGUUGUUAAAAAAAAUAAAAAAGAGAGAGAGGGAGAGAGAUGAAAAUGGGGUGUAAAUGUGUGGACAGCACGUGAGAGUUACUUUUGGCGCAUGCGAAAAGCUGAUGGAAAUACCACAUCAUCAAAACACACUUUUUCAUUUUUAUUUAUUUUAUUAUCAUUUUUUGUAACUAUUAUAGAAUACUCUGAUUAGAUGAAAAAAAGAAGUAAAUAAAUAUAACAAUUUCAAUGACCCGUAAAAAAAAAGGAAAAAAAAAACACUAUGCAAGUUGAAAUCUUUAUUAUCAAACCAACGUGUUUGCUAUGGUUGAAGACUAAAAAUAUAUUUCUCACUUGCAUUUUUCUAUUAGCUUUUGUGGCGUAAAACACAGUAUUUCUUUUAUCACUAUUAGUAUAUGUCUAUAUAUAUGAUUAAGAUAAUUUGUUACACAUUUGUAUUCUAUGUAUAGUUUAGAAUUAAGAUUCAUUAUAUAGCUGUAAUAUAAUAGAUUUGUGGCUAAAAUGUUUUUAGUGUUUGUUUUUUAAAAAAUAAAAAAAUAUGUGGAUGUAUGUGGGCGAUGUGUGACUGAAGGGAAAGGCGCCAUCCAUGUCUGGAAUUAAGGAACCAUUUUUCUAAUGAUUUAUUGUGAUAAUAUGCAAUUUCUUCUUCUUCUUAUUUCAUGAAUUGUAUUUUGCCAUAAAUUAUCCUAAAAGAAACAUUUUUCUCUUAUUGUAUGAUUUGAGAUUAUAUAUAUAUACCAGAGUUGUUGUUUCCUGAAGAUUAUUUACAAAAAAUAAUAAUAUAUUUUUAUAUGUAGUUUGGUGUUGGAGCAUCGUUUGAUGCAGCAUAUUUAAAGAUGAUUAUGGAAUGAUGUUUUUGCUCAUGUAUGUAUUAAGAGUGAUGAAAAUAAAAAGAAGAAGAAAAACACCAACAAUAAUCUUGUAAUAUGUAACAAAUUUUUAUUUAAAUCAUAGGAUUUAAUAUAUUUGUUGGUCGAAAAAAACAAAUUUAAUUUAUUCGAGAAGAUAAAUAAAUAGGAAAAAGGAUAUUUAGCCAUAUUAUUUAUUCAUGUUUUUUUUUGCUUACUAUUUUGACUUAUUUAUGUUUGCAUACAAUUCUAUAUAAUAAACAUUCUUGUUUUUCAACAUACCUUAGAGCGUAUAAUUCGAAUCACAUGUGGUGAAAUUAUAAUUGUUAAUAACAAAUAAAUACACAAGUGGAAUUUAUAACCUACUUAAAAAGAAGAAGAAAAAAGGUAGUAUUAAAUUUUGGAACCAAAAGCAAAGUGAAAAAGUUUCUUACAGAAAGUAAUUACACUUACAGAUGAGUGUAGUAAAAAGGCAGUAAAAAAAAUUGUCGAACAGGUUUAGUCGUAUCACACACUAUGUUUGACUGAUCACUGUCUUCUUCUGAUUCACUUUUCCAUUCUAUUCAUUAUUAUUCGCUGCUAAUUAAGUUUAAUAUUAUUGUAUAAGAAAUCGAUGCUUUAAUCAGAUCAGAAUUAGUACUACUACUACUAAAUAACUAGCUAAUUUAGGCUUUUAAAUAACUAGUCUUCUGAUUACUAGUAUUUUCCGCCACCAACGCCUCUUUUAACUUCUUAACUUUUUACAUUAUCACACCUAACCUAACCUACUGGCUACUGUAUCUUUUGAAUAGAAUGUUUUUCUUUUUUCAUUUGAUAUAUACAUAUAUAUAUAUAUAUAUAUAUAUAUAUAUAUAUAUAUAUAUAAAUUUACCAUCAAAAUAUGUUACAGAUAACAGAUAUAUGGAACUAGUUAUCUUUUAAUUUUUCACUCAAGGUCCUAUUCCAUAAGAUCGUAAAUGUAAUUUGGAAAUAACUAUAUUGCGGAUGCUACAGUGUAUAUAGCUUAGCAGGUUAUUAAACUAAGCAAAAUUUGGAUAUAUCACAUAUAAUACAAUAAACACUGCACAGUAAGAUGAUAUGAAUUUGGGUCGUAUAAUAAAUGAAGAUAAGACAUGCUAACAAAUAAAAACAUGCACUACCCACAAAAGGAUAUAUAUUAGUGAGAGAGAAGAUGUUUUGAUUUGUAACAAGACAUAACUUUGAUUGCUUGAUGUGUUUAAAAUGAUUAUGUCAGAGACAGAGAACGAUCAUAGGCUCUCUCUCUCUCUUUUAUUUCUUUCUAAUAACAUCCAUUCUUAUUUCUUCUCUUCUUCUUCUUUUAUGGCGUCCGAUAAUGUCGAAUUUAAAUUCUAUAGGUUUUUGCAACUCGAACUAUCCUUAACUACAUCAUCUGGUUAAACUAAUUACAAGCACAGCUUCAAAGAGCCUAACUUUAAAGAGUAGACCAGAGAUCUUAUAACUAAGUCUGCCUUUUACCUUUUUAUAAUGAAUUGAUUUAAAACUUUCAUCGGACAAGAUUAGUCGUUCCUUAACAUUACAUUCUACUCGUCGAUGUUUUCAUUCGGGUCAUAUAGUAUGAUUGGUUAUUUUGGAAGAUUUUUCUUCAUCAAUUAAUAUACAUCUCCAAACAUAAAAACACACACAUUAAUAUACCUUUACAACUCUAAAAUACAAAACAAUGGACAUAUGAGAAUUGGUGUUAUUAGUCUUUGUUUUUUUUAAAUCUUAAACUUAGAAUUGUAAGAUAUACUCUCAUUAUUUUGCUCGGAUUCAUUUUGAUUUUUUUGUAACGGAUGUUCAAAAGUGGUAUUUAUCGUUUCUACCUAAAGUAAGUUCGGAAAUUUUAUCUACUUUUUUGAUUUCGCAAGAAUCAUGUGACUAACUUUUAUAUUAUACGUUACUCAAACAAUUAUAUCCGUUAAAUUAAAAAUAUACUUUUUUCUAGAAAUGCAUGAUACGUUUCAUGGUUUAAUAAGAACAUUUGUAAGCCUUCCCUAAAAUUUCUAGUUUUCAAAAUAGAUUUAGUUACAAAUUCAAAACUUAUUACUAAUCUGUUGUGCUUGAUGGUUAUAAAAAAAACUUACUUUGUAAGAAAUUAGUAGAUCUAAUCCAUAAAUGAACAAAAGCAGAAAGAUAAAAUAAAUGGAGUUCCUAUAAUGUCAUUUCACAAGAAAACAAUAGGGACAACUUCGUAAAUGAUCGCCGUAUUAUUUAGUAUUUAUUACUAAAUUAAUUAAUUAAUAUUAUUAUUAAAAAAAAACGCACCACUUUUCUUUUUCGCUGAUGCACAGCUUGUCGGUUUGCGUGCAAAUCCUCUGUUUCACAAUUUCUCUCUCUUCCCUUUUAUUCUUCCUCUUCUUCUCUCUCCCUCUGUUUCUAAGUUCAACAGAGAGCUAAAACAACACACAUCACUCUCUCUCUCUCUCCAUCUCCAUCUUCUUCACUUUCUCACAUAACCCACUCUCUCUUUCUUUCUCUCUUGUUCUUCAGAGUCUUGAAAAACCUUUUCAGCCUCUCAACUGUACUAAUGUUCAUGUGUUUCUUCUUCUACAUCAAUUCAUUGUUCCCAAGUGUUUCUGUGUCCUGAAUUCUGAUAUUAUGCUUCUUUAAGUAAGUUUGAGUUGACAUCACUUCCUUAGAUCAAAAGUUUUGAGUCUUCUCUGUUCCCAGAAAAUCCAACUCUCUUGUUGCUUCUUCUGUUUUUUUUUUUUUUUUUUUUUUUUCUCUCUUGAAGAAUCUUUAAAAUUCUCAGAUCUUCUGAAUCUCUCUGUUUACCAAAAAAAAAAAAAAAAAAAAACUUUUAACUUUUCUUUUUGGUAUUCUCUUCUUCUCUUCGUUUCCCUUUAUUUUUCCAAAUUCUCGUUUCCACAUGUCGUUGGUCUUUCGCUACAAGCCACGACCAUAGAAUCUUCUUUGUCUGAAAAUAAAAACACCAAAACAAAAAAAAAGAAUUACAAUUUACGUUUCUCUUAAGCAUACGACGGACUUCCCUAAGAAAUCAAAGAGAAAAGAAGAAGAAGAAGAAGAAGAAGAAGAAGAAGAAGAAGAAGAAGGUCGAAACAGUAAAGUUUGAGACUUUGGAAGCUCGAGAGAAAAAAUGGAGAUGGCGGUGGCUAACCACCAUGAUAGAAGCAGUGACAGUAUGAAUAGACAUUUAGAUAGUAGCGGUAAGUACGUUAGGUACACAGCUGAGCAAGUUGAGGCGCUUGAGCGUGUCUACGCUGAGUGUCCUAAGCCUAGCUCUCUCCGGCGACAACAGUUGAUCCGUGAAUGUUCCAUUUUGGCUAAUAUCGAGCCUAAGCAGAUCAAAGUCUGGUUUCAGAACCGGAGGUAUUGAUUCUCCCUCUUUGCUUCUCUCUUCUGGCUAUAAUAAAUUUUUAUACAUCUUCUUUUUUUGUUUAAUUAGGGAUUUGGACUUUGAUUGUUUUGGAUUUAUAAUCUGUGUUAUAUUCAAUGGUUACCAAGGACCACUUUUGUUGAUUUGGUGUUUGAUUCAAUUAUCCGACACAAUUUCCUGUUUUUACAAAAGGCUUACAUUGAAUAUGUCUGGUAGAUUUGGUUGUUCGUUUUCUGCUCUCAUUAGCUUGUCUUACUGUUCUUUUGGCUAUAAGGUUAAUUGUGUGAUGUCUAAUCUUAGCAGGUUUGCUGAUUGGUUUUGUUUUGUGGUUUUAGGUGUCGAGAUAAGCAGAGGAAAGAGGCGUCCAGGCUUCAGAGCGUAAACCGAAAGCUUUCUGCGAUGAAUAAACUGUUGAUGGAGGAGAAUGAUAGGCUGCAGAAGCAGGUUUCUCAGCUUGUUUGCGAAAAUGGCUAUAUGAAGCAGCAGCUAACAACUGUUGUAUGUAACUUUCUUCGUUUUAUAUAUGUUCUCAGUAGAACUAAUUGUUAGUCUUAUCUAUUCAAUAGGUAGCUUGAUUUAUAAAUUUAUUGGCUUGUUGUUUUUUAACUUCAGGUGACCGAUGCAAGCUGUGAUUCUGCGGUCACAACUCCUCAGCAUUCGCUUAGAGAUGCAAAUAGUCCUGCUGGGUAAAGUCUUGUUUUGGUUUUGUAGUGAAUUUUGUAUCAUCUUUUGUCUUGGCCUAUUAACUUGGUGUUUUGUUCUUAGAUUGCUCUCGAUCGCAGAGGAGACUUUGGCAGAGUUCCUAUCCAAGGCUACAGGAACUGCUGUUGAUUGGGUUCAGAUGCCUGGGAUGAAGGUUAUAUGCAUCUCCUACUGUUACUUAUGUGCUUUAAUGUUUUGUUUGUGUUGAUAUUGAAAUGUGAAAUCUGAUGUUGUGUGUCUUAGCCUGGUCCGGAUUCGGUUGGCAUCUUUGCUAUUUCGCAAAGAUGCAGUGGAGUGGCAGCUCGAGCCUGUGGUCUUGUUAGUUUAGAACCGAUGAAGGUAAGAAAAGGGUACUCUUUCUAAAGCCUAGAGAUUCGAGUCAAAAUGUUUAAUUUUGUUAACCAUUUCAGGUUUAUUGUUUUCUUGCAGAUUGCAGAGAUCCUCAAAGAUCGGCCAUCUUGGUUCCGUGACUGUAGGAGCCUUGAAGUUUUCACUAUGUUCCCGGCCGGUAAUGGUGGUACAAUCGAGCUUGUGUAUAUGCAGGUAAUUGCUUUUCUUUAUUUUGGAUUAGUUUUCUAUCUCUAACACUUGAAGAUGCAUGAAUAAAAUUGAAAAAUGCCUUUUGGUCAGACCUAUGCACCAACGACUCUGGCUCCUGCCCGCGAUUUCUGGACCCUGAGAUACACAACGAGCCUCGACAAUGGCAGUUUUGUGGUAUGCAACUCUCAUAGUGUCUGUAUAGUGCAUUAAAACUGCUGGUUAUUGAUUGUUCAUGUAUCAUUUAAAGGUUUGUGAGAGGUCACUUUCUGGCUCUGGAGCUGGGCCUAACGCUGCUUCAGCUUCUCAGUUUGUGAGAGCAGAAAUGCUUUCUAGUGGGUAUUUGAUAAGACCUUGUGAUGGUGGAGGUUCAAUUAUUCACAUUGUGGAUCACCUUAAUCUCGAGGUAGUUAGAUCCUUACAAAAGAACAUUUUGUAUUUGCGUCUUCUUAAAUAUUAAUUAAAAUUUUCUGUUCUUGCAUUAUAGGCUUGGAGUGUUCCGGAUGUGCUUCGACCCCUUUAUGAGUCAUCCAAAGUGGUCGCCCAAAAAAUGACAAUUUCCGUGAGUGUAAUAUGUAUAUAAUAACCUUGAGAUAUGACUGGUUCAUAUGCAUAUCUAAUGAUUGGGGUUUGGUUCAUGUUUUAGGCAUUGCGGUAUAUCAGGCAAUUAGCGCAAGAGUCUAAUGGUGAAGUGGUAUAUGGAUUAGGAAGGCAGCCCGCAGUUCUUAGAACCUUUAGCCAAAGAUUAAGCAGGUAAUUCGAUCGUGAGCUUAAAUCUAGUUACUAUUUGCUCUGUUUGGUUUUUUGACAUAUUAUCUGUUCUUGAUUUUCUUGCAGGGGUUUUAAUGAUGCGGUCAAUGGGUUUGGUGACGACGGGUGGUCUACAAUGCAUUGUGAUGGUGCAGAAGAUAUUAUCGUUGCCAUUAACUCCACAAAGCAUUUGAAUAAUAUUUCUAAUUCUCUUUCGUUCCUUGGAGGCGUGCUCUGUGCCAAGGCUUCAAUGCUUCUCCAAGUAUGUUAAUGUGCAUAGUCUGGUACUUUCCUUUUGUCCAUUUUUACUGGCUGAAAUUUUUAUUCUUUAUUGUCUUCUGCAGAAUGUUCCUCCUGCUGUUUUGAUCCGGUUUCUCAGAGAGCAUCGAUCCGAGUGGGCUGAUUUCAAUGUUGAUGCAUAUUCUGCUGCUACACUUAAAGCCGGUACCUUUGCUUAUCCAGGAAUGAGACCGACUAGGUUCACUGGGAGUCAGAUCAUAAUGCCACUAGGGCAUACAAUUGAACAUGAAGAAGUAAGGCUUCAAAGUCUUACCUGCUGAGAAAACAUCAUUUAGUGUUUUCUCUCUAACGUAUUUGGUGUUGUUAUGCUUCAGAUGCUUGAAGUUGUCAGACUAGAAGGUCAUUCUCUUGCACAAGAAGAUGCAUUUAUGUCCCGGGAUGUCCAUCUCCUUCAGGUCAAUCAUUUUAAGUUCUAACCCAAUGGAUCUUAAAAUUUAUCUCAUUCCAAAUUUAAACUGACUUUAAUGAUGUAUGGUAGAUUUGUACUGGGAUUGACGAGAAUGCUGUUGGAGCUUGUUCGGAACUGAUAUUUGCUCCGAUUAAUGAGAUGUUCCCGGAUGAUGCUCCACUUGUUCCUUCUGGCUUCAGAGUCAUACCUGUUGAUGCUAAAACGGUACUUGUCUUUCCUCUAUCACUGAUUUUUCUCUUACUUAGAGAUGGUUUGUCUCAGGCUUAUAUAUUCUUCCUCAUACAGGGAGAUGCGCAAGAUCUGUUAACUGCUAACCACCGUACAUUAGACUUAACUUCUAGCCUUGAAGUCGGUCCAUCACCAGAGAAUGCUUCUGGAAACUCCACUUCUUCUAGCUCAAGUUCGAGAUGUAUCCUCACUAUCGCUUUCCAGUUCCCUUUUGAAAACAACCUGCAAGAAAAUGUUGCCGGUAUGGCUUGUCAGUAUGUGCGGAGUGUUAUUUCAUCUGUUCAACGUGUUGCAAUGGCGAUUUCACCAUCUGGGAUAAGCCCAAGCCUGGGCUCCAAAUUGUCCCCGGGAUCUCCUGAAGCUGUUACUCUUGCCCAGUGGAUCUCUCAAAGUUACAAGUGGGUUUUAAUGUUUAACUAUAAAUCCCAAGCUUAUCGAUGAUCUCUUACGUUAAUAUGUUUGUCUUUUUCAGUCACCACUUAGGCUCGGAGUUGCUAACGAUUGACUCACUCGGAAGCAACGACUCGGUAUUAAAACUUCUAUGGGAUCACCAAGAUGCCAUAUUGUGUUGUUCUUUGAAGGUAUGUAUCCUAAUCCAAACUAAAACCGGUUAAAUCCUCUUUUUAGAAUUUGAUUCCGUUUUCUGUAUAGAAUACCUAUAGUCUUAGACGUAUAAUGUGGUCUGGUUAUGUUGCAGCCACAGCCAGUGUUCAUGUUUGCAAACCAAGCUGGUCUAGACAUGCUAGAGACAACACUUGUAGCUUUACAAGAUAUAACACUAGAAAAGAUCUUUGAUGAAUCUGGUCGAAAGGCUCUCUGCUCCGACUUCGCCAAGCUAAUGCAACAGGUAAAGAAAGGAUAGAUUCACUCAUCUGCAGAUAAUGUUUUCAGUUCAUUUAUCUGAGAAUUGUCUUGUCUCUACAGGGAUUUGCAUGCUUGCCCUCAGGGAUCUGUGUGUCAACAAUGGGAAGACAUGUGAGUUAUGAACAAGCUGUUGCUUGGAAAGUGUUUGCUGCAUCUGAAGACAACAACAACAAUUUGCAUUGUCUUGCCUUCUCCUUUGUAAACUGGUCUUUUGUGUGAUUCCAUUUGCUAGAAGGAAAGACUAAUUAAAAAUUUUCGUUAGACAACUCAAUUUUUUGGUUGUUGUUUAGGAAGUGUCUCUGUUUUGGUUUUUAAUUUAUUAUGAUCAAAUGUUACUCAUUUUUCUUCUGACAUAAUGUAUUUGGCUUUUAAAUGAGUGAGGAAAAAAAAGAGAACAGAUCAAUCUCUAUAUAUAUAUAAAGGGGACGGUGCAGCAUUUUUGUUGUAGUUACAAAAGGGGAGUUAAACUAAGGUUACAACAUCUUCUCUUUAGCAUUUGACAUCUUGACUUUUAAAUCCUUUGCUAUAUUUAUCUUAUCCCUUUAGUAAUAUAAACUAUUCAAAAAACAAAGAAUCAACAAGAAUCCACAGCUAGAUGUAAGAAAGAAAAAUUACAGCCAAAUAACUUUUUUUUUUGUAUUGGCCGUUUAAUAGAAAGAUCUUCAGAAUUUCAUGCAUCUAGCCGGUAAACCUGUCUGAUGGUUAACGGCGACAAUCUCAGAGACGUUGUUGCAACGAAGAACAUCUUGACCAAGCUUAGCUCCUGCAGCCUUAAGACCUUUAAGAGAAACAGGCAUGUUGAAGAGGUUGAGUGACGGAAGCUUAGAAAGCGGAGGGAGUUUCUGGUUCGGUAAGAAGUUUCUGAAAUCGUCCAUGAGCAAAGGAACUUCGAAAUCGGUUUUGUUGUGUUUCACCACAUUGUCUUUAGCUGCAAUGUGAGCUCCUGGUUCCAUGUGGUUGGUUGAGAAGCUUGAUUGGUUAGGGAAGUUUGGGUAGAGACUAACGUAUCCUCUAAGGUACAUCAUGUCGAUUAAGAAUUUCUUCCAAGAAGCUUGCCAACCGUUGGUUCUCGAUUUCGGAAUCUGGACAGGGUUAGCUUUCGCGUUCUCAGUGAAUCUCAUGUUCAUGUAGACGUAGAACUCUCUCCACUGCUUUGGGAAGAAAACGGCUCCCCAGCUGCAAGGUAAUUGAUGAAGGUAAGGUGUGUGUGGAUGGAUUUGUUUGAAGAAAUCUGUUGGGUUCCAUUUGGGUCUUUCUUUGACGACUUCAACGAUUUUGGGUGUGUAAAGAGAGAUCGAGGAGAGUUCCGGGAAAGAGACUUGAGGGUCAUAGUGGUAAGCCAGUAGAGCGUAUUUGAUCCAGAGAAAGUAAUAAGGAGAGACCUCAAUGUCGUCUUCAAGCAAGAGACCAAAGUCAUCAUCAGAAGCUGGAUACCAACUCUCGCUCACAGCUCGGAUUAGGCCUCCUUGGAUGAUUCUUCUUCUUAGUGUUUUUGGUCCGUGAGGCCAAUCAAACGUGCUCACUACUUUGAUCGUCUCUUCAUCCACUUUGCUAUCCAUGUUGAAGCUGAGAGAUAUCUCGUCGCCAAGGUAGUAUGCAUUGCUCAAAGACCUAAGCAAUCUUAAUAAAGACUGAGCUCGGUUUUGUGUAAUGAUAUUCACUGAGACUCUCAUCUUAUUCCAGUCUGCAAUCAUAACAAUUGUUGUCAACUCGAGUAAGCAAAAUUGAGAAAGCCAAAUCAGAAGGCAAAAGAUAAUGAUACUUACUUGGCAAUGCGGUUGAUCUUAGAUCAGCCAUCCAUAGAACCUUGGAGAUAGAAGCUCUCGGGAGAAGAACCAGUGCGGUGCCAUUAGGAUUUGUCUCAGUAGCCAUUUUCAAAGCUUUCUUGACAUUAGGAUCAGCAUCAGCUACCGUAAUCACCACGCUUGGGUUAUGGAUCUUAAUAAGGCCUUUGAUGCUCGAAUACACAGCUUGGAAAACAGGCACCUCUGAGUUAGACACACCCAAGAUAGCUCCAACUUCCAAAUCAAAAAUCUUGAAUCUCCUCUCCUUGCAAACAAUCUUAGGCCACUUCAAAGCCGAGGCCGCAUCCUCGCAAGGACAGAAAUUCCCACCGGAUACCGCGAUAUAAGCCUUUUUACCAACAGUGCCUCUGAACUUCUCAAGCAAAGGACUAAGUGCUUUAACUUCAUCGAUGGAAUGAGCGUAAAACAAAGCGUCGAUCUUCUGAGGAUGCAUCGCAGCCCACUGAGUAAUAUAACCAGUGGAAAGCGCUUUCCACCAUUGAUUGUCUCUCACUUCAACAAUGUUUUUGAAAAUCACAGUAGUCUCAGACACAUAAGCUAGUCUGUGUUCACUAUCUCCCCAUGUCUCCUUAUCGUUUGGAUCAACAGGUAGAACAAACGAACCUGCAUUCCUGUAUUUCUGAAGCUGAUAACUGCAAACACACACACCAAAACAAAAAAAAAUCAAACCACAAUUAUUACUUCAUAACAAAUAAAAAAGUUCCCUUUUUUCUUACUUUCAUCAUUAGAAAAUUUAGAAUUAUUAAAACCUAAUUCUUUUAUAUAAUUAAUAAUCAUAGUAUAACAAAACACGUGAUUGUAUACUCACAUGAAGUUCAUCAUCCUAAAGACGUUACUACAAUGAUUAAUACGAGAUUUUACAAUACUAUAAUAUAUUAAUAUUCAGUUGAACACCAUUUUCGAAAAAUAAAGUUUUAAUUAUGAUUAACCAAUUCAAACAUUGCCUUAUCAUACACUCAAAAACUUCAAAUUCCCGAGAAGAUCGAGGAACGUGAAACUAACCUCAGGUGAAGAUCUUCACCAGUAGAGAAUGUGAAUGGCUUCUCGAUGAACAAGGCUUUCACGAGCUCCGCCGAUAAGAACCACGAGCUUGAUAAGAAAUCAACCUGAAGAAUCCGAUCUAAGGUGAUGUCAUAAGCCGGAUCAGGCAAGUAAAGCCCAGCUUCCUUAGAUCUAAACUUCCUAUAGCUCGGAAACGUGAAGUCCUUUUGCCGGAAAGGCAGAAUCCUCCCGAUGCUUCCCAAAACGGAGUUUUCGUAUUUCUCAGUUCCGGCGACGUGUGCGAGCAUCUGAAGCAUCUUCUUCCCAGGAAUCAUAUCGUCGUCGAGUAUGUAAACCAGAUCCGCUUCUGUUUGAAGCGCGAUCUGGAAUCUUCCAUAGUAUUUGAAGUCGUAAUUUGAGCUGAUGAAGCUGAUUCGAGAGUCGUUGUAACUCCCGGCGAUUCGCCGGAGAGAAGCUUCGUUUGGACUUCCGAAGGCCAAAACCCAGACAUGGUGAAACGGCAGCGUUUGGUGGAGGAGCGAAUCAAGCUGAGCACAAAGUGUUUUCCUCUUGAAAUGGUUCAGUAUCACUGUUACUUUGGGUUUAUUAGGCCCAUUUAAAGCCCAUUUAGAUUUCAUCUUCAUCAACUCUUCUAGACUCUCAGACCCAAGAUUCUUCCUCUGGAACCCCAAAACGUCGUCGUAUAGCUCCCUCUUCAUCUUGAUCAUCUGCUGAUCGUUCGAUUUCUUCUGCGAGAAGUCGAUUUUCUCGUACUCGCAGACGUCCGCCGGAGAAACCAUCGCCGGAAAACUGUCUUCCGAUUUGAGGAAAGAGGCAGAGUCUUGGUAGUGGCUGACGACGUGAGGUGUGACGAUGUAGCUGCGCAUGUUAUGGGCCCAUUUAGUGGCCCAAGUGAAGUCAGGCUUGGCCCUUAAGUCAAUGGAAGGACUCAUGUAGUAGAGAAGUCCGGUGGCGUAGACGGCAAAUGCGAACUGAAGAAACGUAAGGGCCGUCACGAACUUGGCGGAGUUGAGUUUCCGGCUAGGCUUUGGUUUGCCGGAAGAAUAUUCACCGAAGAUGCUCUCUAUAUAAUCGCCGCCGCUUCUCACAGCCGGUGGUCGUAUAAAACCCAUUUUGUCAGAAUCCAAAACCUUAUUGUGAGAGAUAUAGGAGAAAGAAAGAGAAAUAAGAAUGUAGCGUUAAAAGUUGCUGUUUUUUCUUUGUAAGCUAUUUGGAGAAAUGUAUAUAUAUAUAUAGAGAGAUGAAGAAGGCAUAUAAACAUAUAUUUUAUAUAUAUAAAGUGAGUUUUGUGGGUGAAGAAGCAUUACGUAAGGGGGAUAUCACAUGGGGUAAACGUUCAUUAAGAAUAAAGUAAAGUGUUUAUAUGAAAAAUUCAUUGGUUGAAAUAUGUUAUUUAAAAAGGUUACGCGAUACCUUUAGAUUUUAUAAAUUAAUUUUCUAUUAUUCAAGAAAAAAUAUGAUUAUAUAUGUAGGUUAUUUUUAAGAUAAAUUAGGAUAAAUUAGGACAACACUCAACGGAAAAAGCCGGGUUCAUUGGCGUAUAUAAGGGUUACCCCUUUGCAUUUAACACUUCCAUAUGCUAUGUUUUUUUUUUCUUUCUUGCAUAUAUAUACAAUAAUCGUAUGACGAAGAACAAUAUAUAUAGUUUUAUAGUUAAUUAUAUAGUUCACUUUCUUGAUAUGAAUCAGAGAGUAAGAGAGUUUAAGAUGAACUAAACUCAAAAGCGUUCAAAAGCUUAACCAAUAUUAAUGUGCUCAAUAUAUGUUUGUUCUAUAGUGUAUGUAAAGAUGAAUGCAGCAUAAUCGAGAAGGGAGAACAUAAAGUAUUAUAAUACCUUUGUGUACAUGAUGGAUCGAUCGAGCCGAGCGUAUAAUGUGAGAGAAUCAAGCCUUUUCUUCUUCAACAAUCGAUCCACAAGAUAUAUUAAACUAUUUCUUGUUAUACAGAUUCUCUCCUUGAAUAGUAUAAAAGAGUCUAAGAAUCCAAAGAAAGGAAGAAAGAUUUGAGUAGAGAAUGAGUUAUUGAAAGUUUUUUAGAGUUUAAAAACAUUUUAUAGCAAAUGUCUCGGACAAGCGAUGUUUUGACUUUGCAAUUUGCAUAAAAGAUACGUCGUUGAACUUUGCAGCAAAUUUUGCCACCUUUUUUUUUUUCUUCUUAUAUCGUAUCAGCUUCUUAGUUAUAUCUUACUAUUCUCGGUUUUUUUAUUUUAUUAUUGGAACUUAGCCGAACAUUUUACCAGAAUUUUUCCAUUUUGGACAGCUUCAUGUAUCAUGUAAAUUCAAUAAAAACAAGAAAAAUAAAAAAGUAGAAAAGGUUUGUAAUGGUUUUCUUAAACCCGUAUAUUUUGGAUUGAGAGCCUAGUUAUUUUUUUUAUUAGAUGAAUAAAAAAAAAAUUCCAUGUGCAAUCGAGUUUAGAUCUGCUAAUUAAAACCGAAGUAGUUUUUGUUGAACUAACUAUUGUACUUGAAAAGUUUAAAUAAAGAGAUUUUUUACAGUUAAUGUAUAGCUUUGCAUUCUCAGUUCUCCUCUAUAUCUAUCUAUAUUUGGAUAAUUAUCAUGAUGUAGAUAUUUUAGACAUACACUUUCUCUGUAUAAAGACUUUUCAGGCACAUUAUAUUUUGGUGUUGGUGCUCUUAUGACCCAUUACACUUGCACCAUCCAUCAAUUGAUCGUUCAGUUCUUUCUUUGAUGCUGCAUUUCUUAUGAGUGCUUGUUUCACUUAAGAUUAUUCCUUUGUCUCAUAGCGCAAGAUGAUAUCAUAUUUUGAAAAAAAUGACAUUUUCAUCCUUAAGGUAUAUGAUCAAAUGAUCAAAAUUUACAAAACAGUAGCAAAUUCUGGAUUUUGGCUUUGUGAUAAUUAGGAAGAUACUAAUCUUCUUGUACAUUUCAACAAAACAAUAACAAUAACAAGCUGCUGGAUUUUGACAUGAUGUUUUCUUUGGAUUGUACAAAAAGAUUAGUAUAUUUUCUCUUUAUCUUGUGUAAAUAAAUAAUACUUAGUCUCUAAUCCAUGAUUAUUAUUAUUAAAGCUAUUAUUUUGUUCAUACUAAUAGUUCUUUGUUACUUUGAUUACGAGUUUUUGAGGUCGGUCACACAUGUGUGACUUUAAUUAAGAGUAUAAUUAUCCUUCUUCACACUAUUGCAAUAUGGUGAACAUGAUUGCUACCUUUUUCUAUUUGACGUCGAUUGCUUCUUUAGACCCAUCAGGUUUAUAUAUACACAACACAUCAAUAAUACGUGUGCGAUUACAUUUAUACACACAAGUAAAUAAUUAUUCAAAUAUGAAAAUGCAUGUGAUUUAUUUUCUUCUAGAGCUACGACUAUAUUUUUACUCAUAAAUAAGUUCUCGUACAUUUAAUUGCCCAUGUGAUUUUUGCAAAUUUCAAAUGAAAUUUAAUUACGAAAAAGUAUUUCAUUUUAUAUUUUACUGGUGGAGAACAUAAAACUACAAAAAAAAAAAAAGAGAACCCACCAUAUUACAACUAGUACGAUUAAAUUUUGCUUUUAUAUGUUUGGCGUUGAAACUAGACAAGAUGAUUUUGAGCAGCGGGUAUAACUAAGUUUGGAGACAAACUAGGCAUAAAAGUGAAUUCUAAUUAACGAAAUUGAUUUAUGAUGCUCGGUCUCUCCAAAAAUAGAAACUUGUUGUAGUAAUAUAUUUUUCUUUUUCCGAAGGAGUCGUAAUUUGACUUCUCAUAAACCAACUCUUUUCUCACGACCAAGCAGCUUCGUUGUUUCAUUGUACCUAAUAUAUGUAGACCGACAUAUAGUUAUGAACACAAAUGUUUAUUGUAAAUUACUUAUUAGAACUUCACCAAACUUAGCUUUUACUAUUUGUCAACUUCCUAGUGUCAAGUACACCACUUUCUAAUGUGUGUAUACAACAUGUAUAUGUCUGAUUCAAAGUCAAUGUACAAGUGGUGAUAAAAUUCUCUCUAUUAUUAAAUUAUAAUUUGCUGAGAGGUUUGAUAUCAACUUGUUGUUAACAAGAACAACACAUCAUAUAUAGAUUCAUAUGCAACCAACGUCUGCGCUUGUUUGUCUAGGGUAAAUUAUUUAUGGGUAGAUAAUAUUAAUUGAUGAUGUCAAUAAUUACAAGCUGUUAUUUAACAAAAAAAAUAGUUACUUCUCAAGAAAAUUGUGAAUUGUUUUGUCUUUUAUUUGUAAGUACAAAUAAUCUCUAAAAAAGGAAAAACUUACAAAAAGAACAUAUUACUGUUGGCAGCAGACAAAAAAGCCACCAAAGCAAGUUGAUGGAUGCAUCAUGCAUGUAACGAAAAAGAGAGUUCUGAAAAAUCAUUUUUGAAUCUAUCUAAAUAAUAGUAAGAAUGAGCAUGAUUAGUCGAUUAAGUUUAACUGAUUAAACAUGAAUGAAUCGAAGUAUAAACAGGAUUAUGAUACUAGUAUUGUUCCACUUUUUCUUCUUAAAAAUAGUAAAACAUAGUAUGCACGAAGCAUUAACAUACACGUUCGCAUUGGUGGCUAUCAUAUAUGGAACGAGCAAGAAUGCCCUCUUAUAGGUAUCAAAUCGAGCCUGGAAAAAAAAGAAGUACCAGCCAAACACCAUCCAUACAAGACAGUGGAAUAUACAAAUUAAAGAAGUGAUAUAGAACAAUAUACUUAUGCUUAGCGUUGCGACUAACUAUAUUUAGAAAUAUAAAAUCGUACAUAGAAAUAUAGAAUAAUCACUUGUGUGCAACAUAGGAUGUCGCCAUCUAAGAGGGUCAAAACUAAUCUAACGACGUGAAAUCCCAUUGGUCUAAAGUAUGACUAUAAAUAUCAAACUCACUUGAUCAAUCAAUGCUCAUACCAAAGGUUCCAUCAAAUUAGGCUAGUUUCAAUAUAGUCGUUGAAUUAUUUAGCAUAAAUACCUAAUAUAAGUUUGUCCUUGGUCACAUUCUGGUCCUCCAAUGAACAUAAAACUUACCUUUUCGACCAACAACCUCAUAUUGAGGAUUAUCUCCAACAUGGUAUACAUGACCAUCCAAAUUUUGGAAUAUCUCUAGUCUUUCCGACACAAGUUUUUGUGUUUGUGUAAGUUUUUUACUUGGUGGUAAGUAUAUAAAUACUUUGACUUGGGGUGAGAGAUUUUGGAGGAAGAUCUUGAGAUCCAAAAACACAGGCUAGCUUCAGCACGUGAAGCAAGUCGCAUAUCGAUUUUUAAUAGUCUUCAGUUUUAAAUUACCAAACAAAACUUUAAAAUAAUAAUAAUACGCACUGAAAAAGAAUAUAUAUUAUACGUUUGUGUUGUGAAUUAUAAGAUAUUAAUUCAGGACGUUCGUGGAAAAUUGAUUCAGGACGUUUGUGACUUGUGAUAUUUGGUCGUGUUAACCUUUUUUUUUCUUUUUUCUUUUGUUGUUGGUAUUUUCUCGUGGUCCAUUCACGAUAGAUGAUGAGCGAUUUUGAUAUAACGCAUGAACAAUACUAGUUUUUAGUAGCAUUUACAAGCCCACUAAUUUAAAGAUUUAAGGCCUAUAUAUUGUUGGAUUUGGAUAUCUCAUAUAUUACCCAACAACUGAUAGCAACGUUUUGCUUAGAAAGAAACGUAAAGAGAAGAUGACACUCACAUGUGAAGUGAUUGCGGAUGUUGUUUAUAAACUGGUAUACCAAAACGGCUAUUAUAUACUCUCGAAGUUGAAGAAGCUAUGGCGGCAAUCUUUUCUUGAAGAGUCCUAAACACAAGUGAGAAUAGUUUGAGAUUUUUAGGGAGCAAAAGUAUAUAUAAAUUUUAAAUAUUUAUCACAAUCACAACUCACACACAUAUUAUACACACCCACCAAACACAUAUAUGUAGACAACACAAAAAGAAUUAACAAAAUUAUUUAUUAUAAUGAAGGAAAAGAAGAAAAACAAUUGCUAAAAAUGCCAAUAUAUAUAUUUAUCUAUAUAAGCAGCAGUUAAAGCACAUUUUUCCCUUUUUCCUCUUUUUUUUCAACCCCAACAAAAACUAUAAAUACUAAUUAUACCCCCAAAACUGAGAAAUUAAACGUAAACUACCCUUCCCAAUUGAAGAUAAACAAAACGUUCUAAAAGAGAAAAAGCAGAAAACAAAAUAACGCGGGGAAAUUUUGAAAAAUCCAUAAAUGUCAAAAUCCCCGUUUUAUAUCCUUCCUCCAGCGAUCACCUUGGCUUUGGCCUCGCUGGGAAACUGAGAGCUUGCCGUAGUUUCCUCCGCGUCGAUGGACUCGAAUUAGAGCUAGCGAUAGGCAUUCCGAAUGUCAUUGUCUGAGAUAGAUUCACCAUAUCCACCAUUGAUUGCGUCUGGUAAGAUAUCGUCGUUGAAUCACUCAUGUCGCCUCUUGCUGUAGCUCGCUGCCACGAGUGCGAGCUCAGACCCGCGAGUACGUAAGCCCUACCCGAAGACUCGUAGACUUGACGGCUCGCCAUUCUCUCUUGCGUCUCCUUUAGCUCUGCACACAGUGUGACACACGAUGGAUCUUCCGCUCGACCUGACACAGACUCCGUCAGUACCCCACGGCAUGUCUCAAGAACCGACACAGCUUCAGUCAAAUCACCGCGUUCGGCUAAUACUCUAGCUUCGGAGAUGGCUUCCGCUGCACGUAUUCUGAUUCUCUGUCUGUCAACUUCAACUGACACCACAGGUCUUCGGUCAGCCAUCGCAAUCGGCCUGAGAAUCUGUACUUCACCGGAAUUAUUCAAAUCAACGGUCUCUUUUGUUACUGGGUCUCUGUAAACGCAUCGAACCUUGAGUAACGACAUUAGAUCAGAAACUCCACCAACACUGGGGAUAUCAAGAUUCACCAAGAAAUUCCUCUCUUCCUCUGCAUAGAGAUCCCCGACUGCGAUAGAUCCUGUUCUCGAAUUCGGACCUCUAUCAAACUGGUAACUUCCAGCUUUAACCGAUCCAAUCCUCAACAGAGUAUGAACGCACUCGAUCAUAACGCAUAGCUCUUGAACCACAACGCUGAGGAGACCUCCAAUACACUGCGCGAAUGCAUCUUGUAUAACCAUCUCAGACUCUAUGAAAGAAAAUGUACCUCCGGAGUUUUCUGCAAUGGAAUGCAUCGAUGAAGCAUCAUGGUCCGUACCAAACCCGAAUGCGUGAACUGGGAUCCGGUUUCCGUUGAUCUCUUUAGGAAGAAGGGCUUUGUAAUCCGUCCCUCUGGAACCAGUGGGACUAGUCAUGGUAUAUGUAUCCUGACCAUCAGACAAGAGCACGAUGCUCGAUACCGGGUUCUUGAAUCUACGGUCGAUCAAAACUCUAGCACCUUUCUUCAAUCCCUCUGCAAUGUUAGUCCCUCCGUUUGAGACCAACGAAUUAACUGCUUGCAAUGCCUCUUGUUUGCCAGUCUCAGUCAUGAGACGGAGAGGGAAAUUACGGCGUGCUGUGGAGGAGAAUGAUACAACCGAGAGACGGUCAAACGGGCCAAGAUUCUGAAUCACAAAACCCAUAGCUCGUUUCAGCAACGCCAGUUUUGUUCCCGCCAUGCUUCCGCUCACAUCAAGAACCGUGACUAGAUCCACAGGAGCCCGAGAAGAAGAUGAAUUUGAAGACGACUUUGAAGGAGCUUUUAGAUUGAUCAGUACAGCAAAAUCCUUAAACGAAACCGAUCUCGCUACUUCUGAAAUCUCUGGGUAUGUUUUAACUUCCAAUGUCCCACUAACACCAUGUUUAGAUUUCUCCAAACCAGAUUCAGCAGAAUGGUCUUGAUGUUCCAGAGUCUCAUCAUCAUUAAAAACCGCAGGCUCGGUGUUAAAGAUCGAGGAGACCCUUAGAUUGUCAGGCCGUGAAGAAGACUGAAUCGGGGACGACCUCCGCGGAGGGAUUGUCAUCCAGGCAUCGUCCCUAGGUCGACUUACCGGUUUGACACCAGUUUUGGACUUAGCAUUAGAGCUCUGGAGAGGGAUCUCAUUCCAUUUAGCGCGACAAACAGGACAAAUCUGGUUCCCGUGUUUGACAUUCGUAGUGAUGCACUGGAAAUGAAACGAAUGAGAGCAUUCUGCUGUAAAGAUUGCGUGGCCUUGCCCCGCUUUCAUCGCCGUCAAACAUAUCGCACAAGUUUUCUGCAAAAUCACAAAGCAUAUGGUUUCAGAUUCUGGAUGAAGAUUAGUUUGAAAGGAAAAAAAAUGAAACUUUACGAGUAGAAACUGGAAUCCACGUAAUACAGAGUUAGACAGGUCAUUGUCGUAAUUACAAGAAUCCAAAGAAACCUGACAUAGGUGAGUUUGUGUCAUAGUCUCUGACACAUUUGUUUCUGUUACUACAAGCCUCUAUUAUUGAAUGAUGACAUAAAAAGAAGAGCAAACAUAAAACAAAACAAAAAAAUUAUGGAAUCUUUCCAUUUCCUAUUAACUGGAAGAGAAAGAAAAAGUCUCACUAAUUAGGUUCAGUAGUUUGAUCAUUCAACAAUUUUGGGACAAAAAAGAUGGUUUAUUCGUUAGAAUAUGGAUCUUGGAAUCUUGAUCAAAGUAGUUUGGAAUCUAUCAGGUCAAACAAUCAAAAGAACAGUGGACAAAAGAUUGGGAAAGACAAAGGACACAGCUUUAUAAAGUUAAAGAACUGAUUUAACCAGAUGAGUAAUCAAAAGACUGUCUAGGCAAAUUCAACGCCAGAAAGAUUAAAGUUGGAUUUAAAAAAAUAACAAGCAAAAGUUAAAGAAAGUGUAAGCCUUCAAAAGAAUUAAAACAAAAUGUAUAAUUCAUAUCGCAAAGAUAUUGGUUAGCUUAAAACAAACAAGGAUCUUGGUUAGGUUCUAAAAACUGCAACUAUGGUUGAACUAGGUGUAUACUAAUAUUACGUAAAAUGUUAUACCACCAAACUACCUAGAAUAUAACAGUUAACUAGAUUAAGGAGAAUAUCUAAUUAACAGUGGAUUCAGAAUACUAACGAGGGUAUCUUUCAACAAUAAUUAAAAAGUUGAAUGCAAAAAAAAGCAACGAGAAAAUAAAAAAAGAUUGGUCCCUGAAGUGCACUUGACUAUUGUCAAAAAAUACUUUAUCCCCACAGUGGCUCCAUUUGCGGGAGUUGAUAAUUACAUGACAACAAAUUGUUCAUCUUUCUUCAACAAUACCAAGAAAAAAUUAUAACACUCAAAGACAAAAUAAAAAAGGAGAGAAAGAAACAAAAGGCACACUAUAAACCAGGGAAAGACAGAACAAAUAGAACCCAACCCAAUCUUAAGCCAGCCUAUAAUGUCAAAAUCUUGAUGAAGAUAUAAUGAUUCGAAUAAUGUGAUAAAGUUGGCUUUGGAGGAGAGACGUUUACACAAUCCUAAUCUCACUAAUCAUUUAACAUUUUCAUCCCUAUUCAGCCUUAUUAGAAGACAUUAUUGUUACUUAAACCCAAAAAAGGUCAAAACUUGCAAGUCUCAAAAACAACAAAACCUAUUGAUUAAGUUUAGGUUGAUAGACACAAAACAUAUGAGGGUCAUAGCAGUUUGAAAAAAUAAACACAUCUAAUGAAAAUAGAAAUAAACAACUACUAAUAUCAUUUGAUGUGCGUGAAGAUCCAAACACUUUUUAGAUAAAAGAGAAAUUAGUUGAAGAUUAAACAAGUACUAAUAAAGUAAGGAUUAGAUAACAAAUUAACAGCUAGUAAAAAAGUGAAUUAAAACUAAUUUUUUUAGAGUUCCAAGAAAGAUUAGCCCUUGGAUUUGCUGCUUAACCAAAUCACAAAUUUGAACCACACAAAGAUCCGGCGAUCCAACGGUGACCCAUCAUCUAAAAACCCAAACUUUACCCCAUUUUUUAAUGUAAAAAAAAAAACACAAAAUUUGGCAGGAAAAUAUCAAACAAGGAAUGAAAAAAAUUCAAUUCAACCAUAGAGAUAUAUAAAAAUCGAAACUUUAUGUAAGUUUUGAAGGAUUGUGAAGAAUCCAAAAAAGGUAAAAGAGAAACCUUUGAAGAGGAUUUGCUAAUGGAGCGAGGCAAUCGGAGACCAGAGGACGAAGGAGUCGGCGUAGUGGGUGUCGGGACCAUAACAGGAGAAAGUGAAACGGCGGCGUCGUCUUCUGAUCUUCUAGAAGGAGAAGAAGAAUCAUCAAGCGUUUUGGGAACGUAGAGACAUAAAUUGAGACCUAAAGCCAACUUUGCUUUUCGCCAUUUGCUUCCCAUUUCUUUAUUUGCACCAAAACCACAACCUAUGAUGAAAGUUUUUUUUAAAAAAGGCCUCUGUUUUCGAAUGAAUCUGAAAAGGAUAAGGAUCUCUUUCACUUUGUUAUAUUGUGUAGAUGUUGUUUUUUGGGAGCUAAGAGGAAGAGGAAGAAGAAGAAGAAGAAGAAGAAGAAGAAGAAGAAGAUUGGGUAAAUGAAUGAAUGAGCUGCAAAUUGCAAAGUUUCUCUGCGCAGAGAGAGAGAAGAGAGACGGUGGUGGGGAAGUUUUUGACCUUUUAUUUUUAUUUUUAUGUGAGGAUGAGUGAAGGGUACUUUGGUCAAUGUUAUUAAUCAUGAAAACUUGGGAUUAUACCAAAGUUAAAUUUGACCUUUGAUUUUUAGAGUUUCCUUAUUAAUUUGUUUUGUUUAUUUGGUCAGAUACGACUUUUACUUUCUUCUUCAUUAUUACUUAUUAUUUCCUUUCUUAAAAUUUUAAAAGAUGUUGUUCUUAAGUACAAACAUACCAAUUUGGUUUUUGAUUUGAUUACGCCGCUUUACUUUAUGGUAGUGGUAGAUUCGUAUGAAUUAUACGUUAUCGUUUUGGGUAAUAAAUGAUUUUAUGCAAUUGACAUUUAUUUAUCUUCCGAAUAUGACAUCAUAUUUUGUCAAUUUAUUACAGUAUCUUUAUUGUCAAAAUAAUCUAGUAGAAUUAUAUAAGUAUUGUUUUAAAGGUUUUUUCUUAUAUUAUACAUUUUCUACAGAAUAAUUAUUGUUUUACUUUUUCCUUGUAUUAUAGAAUUUUAGCGUUUGAUUAGUUCUCGUAUACCCCCCAAAAAAAAAAGGCUUAGCGUGAAACUUGUAAGAUUUAAAGGCAUGGCCGUAGAAGUAGGUGGCAAAUUAAUCAAUGCAUGUCUUGUUGCAUACACAAAUCUGCUAAAUUAAUGUAAGUUGUUGACUUUACAAAAAAUUAGAUACCCUUGCCUUAUUUACUUUUUUUAGCAACUACACUAUUUACCUAUUCAAUUCAAUGUGUCAUGUACCCAUGUAAUUUGGGCAAUUGCUAUUUUUAUUAAUAACUGUUUUUUUUUGUGUUUGGUCAAAGAUACUUUUAUUAAAUAUAAUUCAUACGAUCUUGCAUUCUACAAUCUACUACUACACAACCUUCACUUGCUAAACUUUUCCAAAUUAGUUUAAUGUUCUUGAUCAUAUCAUAAACAUGACAAAAUGAAAUGAAAUUUGGAAAUUUUAGGAUACAAGGACAUAUUGUAGUGGAUUCUCUUCGUUCUUCAAGCAAGAACUCUUUCCAUGGAAAUAUUUAAAUAGAGAGAGAGUCAUAGAUUGAUGGUUCACCUACUUUUACCUAAACAAAUAGUAUAACCACUACUCUAGAGAAAAACCAAAUUACAUGCAUGUAUAUAAAACAAAAAUCUAAUCCCUAAGUUUAGUAAACUGUCCAACGGAAUCUUGGAAGUUAUAGUAGAUUCUAGCAUAGCUUUUUUUAUUUAUUUUAAAUUUCAAUGGUAUUUAUAAUUCUGUAAAGUAAGUUUUUUCUGCCAAUGCACCAAACUAUUUCAAAGAAGGGCGGUUGAUACAAAUAUUUAAACUAUGUGCGGCGUGUGUGGAGAAGAAGGUAUGGGUAUAAAUUUAAUGGAAGUGUAGUAGUAGUAGUAGUAGUAGUAACUCUUUUUAUACAUUGACAAGGAUAUGCAUUAAGUUUUGGGUUGAAAAAGAGAAGAAAAAGCGAAAGAGAAAAAAUGAAUUUUGAGGUCUUGCUCUUAGACUUUGAGGAUGGAUAUGUUGGAAAAAUAAAGGAGAGGGGGAGGGGACAAAGAUAAAGCAAAAAAACUUGGUAGCCCAUUUAAUUAGAACCCAUUCAUUAGGUGGAGCAUGUUGAAAUUGUAGUCUAUUACAUACAUUACAGGUUGUCAACCAUCAUAGGAAAAAAAAAAAACUAUAAACAAAAUAUCUCAUGGAGAAAACCAUUUUCCAAAACAAAAUAUCUAAUAAUGUGUGAACAGUCCUUUUCUAUAAUUAAAUAGCCAAAUUCUAUCUAUUAUUUUCCAUAAGUAACGUAAAUUUUUCCGCAUUUUUCAAAAAUAUCAUGGUAUUUAUUUUACAUGAUAACAUGUUAUUUUCUCCAAUAUCAUUUUAUUUAUUAAAAUCAUACGUCAUGGUAUAUUGAUUAAUCAACUGAAAAUUCGAACAUAUACUAAUCUACAUAUACAUAACAAAACUGGAAGUUAGAGUAAAACAUAUAUCUUUCGGCAUUGUAAUACGUACUAUGCGUAUGUGUGUGUGUGUGUAAAGAGUGUAUAAGAAAAGAACUAACAGGCCACAUUGGUGUGAUGAAUCGUCUAAAUUAAAGGAUUGUUGAUGUAAACAGAUUACGUAAAUGGAUAGUUUAGAUACGACGAUGCUUUGUCUUGAAGAAAAUACCAAUGCUCUGCUUUGCUUUGCUUUGCUUUGCUGUAUACAACCAAACGAUGAUUGCGUAAUGUUAAACACACACUCAGACACAGACACAGUUGCAACUCUACCAAAAGUCAAAAUAUCUGCCACUACCCAUAAAAAGCCUCCCUUAAAAAACGGUCUCAUUUAUUUGCAUCCACGGUUUCUUGUGACCUUAUUUAUUUUUCUUCUCUAUAUUGUUGUAAAUUUAGUAAUCAUUCCCUUCUUCUUAUGUCACCUCCAAUUUAAAUUAAUAUUAAUAGAUGCUUUUCAUAUAAUAGGUUAUUGGUCCACCGGAACAAAAUUUGGUUCAAGUCUUCAGAUUGUAAUUAAAACAUUAUUAAUUUUUAGAUUAUAUGUAGACAACGAUUGAGAAAGCGAAAUGUCAAAUGAACAAACGUUAAUUAGUUUUUUGCUUGGUUUAAGCUUUUUUUUUUUGGGUUUUUAAUUGGUUAAAGUUGAAAAGGAUUUGGAUAACAUGUCAAAGCUGAAAGUUUCUUAUUGGUUUGCGCUGAAUCUUCAGUUGAUUUGUCUCUGAUCGCCGCCGUUUUCUUUGAACUUAAACAUAACCCUAUGUAUUUUUGCUUUCUACCUAUAUACAUAAGUCUUCACCUUUUUAUCAACACAACAUAAGAUACGUGCUGUCAUCAAUCUCACUAGCUCCUUUGUUCGUUCAUCAAAAUGAUUCCAUUUUUAUAUAAAGAUUAUAAUUUCACAUGCCUAUUUAUUUAGUAGGAUAUUCAGUGUAAAUGUUUAAAAAAAAAAAAAACUGAUUGUGUAUAAACAUGGUUUUUAUACAAAUGGUUUAGUUUGAAGUCAAAGAUAAAACAUUUGGUCAACAAAGCAACCUAUUAAUAUUACUUUGGAUAACGCCACAUCCCACAUGAAGCUCAUUGUCAAGGAUAGAGAGUUGUUCAUCUUUUUUUUUUCUUUAAUUUAAAGUAUUACAAAAAUAAAAUCUUCAAAUUCACUCACGAGAACGAAUAACAAGAGAACAACAUAUAUUAGCCGUUUAAUUUAUAAUAUCAAUUAUAUCUUAUAUCUAUUUUAUCCCAUAUUGACAAGUACUACACCAUAAUAGUUCAUAAAUCCAAAUCUAGAUAUAUAAUCAGGAGAAAUGUAAAGAGAUGGUUUUGUAACUUAAAAAAAAAAAGAAGUUUUUAUCAUUACGUAGAAAGAAAAAAUGUCUAGUAUGUCAAGUACAUUUAAAUAUGCAAAAUUAAUGUAGUACAUUUGGAUGUCAGAUGUAUGAUGCUUAUGAUUAAACAUAUAUAUACAUGAUCAGUAUAACAUUCACAUACAAAACAAUAUACAAGGCUCUGAUACAUUUAUUUGAAAACACACACAAACAUUUUCACAAAUUAUAAACGAAUAAAAAAUUAUAGUGUAGCUAGUAGUAGUAGUAGUAGUAGUAGUGUAUACUCUAAAUGGCUAAAAGAUACUGAAACUCGAAGUCAUAAGGGGUCUUCUCCACGACCGGAGAGGACGAAGAAGCUUUGGUGUUACUCUUAAAACAUUCCACCAUUAACUUCCUCAGUGAUCCAGACGUUGGUAAUUGGUUGCAAACCCAUUUCGCCAGAGAUCCUAACUGCUCCACCUCUCCACCGCCAUUCGCCGUCGGAACCACGAAGUCCGCCGCGUGUUUCACUAGAAGUUCCGGCAAGCUUAUCCGUUUGGUCGCCGUAACCACCACCGAGGCUUGCAGAUACUCCAGCUUCGAUUUCUCUAGCUCCGUUGUCACUCCUUCGCCAGUGUAUAUCCUCACCUUCAGUUUUUAGUGUUUUUUAGAGAUAGUACUAGUAAACCAUUCGUGAUAGUAAUUAUAUACAUAUCCCUAGUUUUAUACCAUAUAAUUUUUGGACUAAUCAUCUAUAAGAAGAUGAUAAUAAUCUUACUAAUCUCUUACCAUUAUUAAUAAUAAGCCAAGCUCUCUAAAUUGUAUGGAAUGUUGUAUAUGAACGAUACUACUUAUAAGUAACUGUUCAAUGGAUCGAACUUUGAAGUAUACAUAUUCAACAAUUGAUUGAUUUAUAGAUUGAGUGCCGAAUUAAAAGUGGAUUAAUAUGUAACUUUUUUUUUGUUUGAAGUAGGCAUGAAAAUUAAUAAUAUUAAUAUGUAACUUACUGCAGGAGAUGAUCGAGUUCCACAAGAGAGAGCAAAUGUGAUGUUAGGAUCCGUUGCUUCUACGCCAUAUAGUUUACGGAUAAUCAUUUCUUCGUGUCGAUCCUACGGUUACAUUUGCAUUAUUGACUAUACGAAGUUGAUCUUAGAAAUAUCAAUAUGAAGAGGAAUUUUUUUAAAUAAUGAUAGAUAUUUAUAUAUACCUGAGUCAUGGUAGAAGUUGUAGACUUCCUAAGGAUACAAUGCUCAAUGCUAUACGCACUUAUGUUUUUGCCUCCAACAUUCAUUGUAGCCUAUAAUUUAUACUUUCAUUAUAUCAAAUUUUUACUAAAUUUAUUAUAGUGUCUUGAUUGAAAAGGAGAAUAAUAAAAAAUAUACCUUAUUGUAAACAAGAGAUUGCAAUUUCUCAGCUGUUUUUGGAACUCCAUGUUGUAGAUAUCCCUGGUCAUAUACGGAAGUGAUGAACAUGAUCAGUUGUGUAUAAAUUUUUUUUGUAAUUAAUCAAUGAAGAAGUAGAGUUUAUAUUUACAUGCAUAAUACAAGCAUUAAACAUGUUGAUCCAAAAUGCUAGCUUUUGUUGAUGGCUCAACACUCUUAGAUCCACUGUCUCAAGAUUGUUCAUCAGUACCCUGCAUUUUAGCCACAUUGAUUAAUAUAUAUCUACUUCACCCGUUUGUCAGAUCUAUAUAUUUUGUUUUCUUUCAGAUUUCAUGUAUUGGAAACCUUACCUGAGUUUUUGGAUUAAAGAAACGGAGCUAGAGCUUGAAAUGCACUUGGAAUCCAUAGAGCUUGAAGUGAAGAUAACAAGAUUUUUGUAAGGACCAAUGUCUCUAGCCAGAGAUGUUUCUACAUCAAAUAUUCCAUAAGGAUCUUGUUGUCUUGAUUCCUUGUAAGACACAAGAUUCAUGGAUUUAGACAAGCUUGAGGUUGCAUUGUCGACCCUAAAGCUUCUUGAGCUCGAGAAAUUAGUUGAUCUCGAGAUUGGUCCCGUUUUCUCUAGCUCCAUGACUCUCGUGGUUCUGAGCAGGCGAACGUAGAUGAAAUUGAGACACUUCAUGAUGUUCUCGGCGAGCUUAUUUGGGUGCCACUUCUGUAUGUUUUGGCCGUCUUCCAUCAAGAUUGUGCUCGAUAGAGAUUUUGGUGGCAUGUCUAAUGAUGUAUCAAGUGCUACACGAUCCUUAUUAGGCUGAAAUAUACCAUUAGCAUUAUUCAAGAUUGAAUCGAGCGAAGCAAACAUAUGUUUGAUUAAUAUAACCAUAGAUAUGAAAAUGAUCAGACCUUAUUAGGAGAGGCAUAUCUAGGUUCACGUAGAGGUGAAGGCGACUUCAUCGUCCUAACCUUCUUCAUAUUUCUACUCUCUUGCAGCUUAUUUUCAUGUUGGUGGACUGACCGGUGAUUUUCCUUCUCAACGAUUCCAACUUUCUCGUUAGACUUGUGAAAGCUGUCGUAAUCCCCUUUUAUAGCCUUGUUGAUGAAAUGCAGCGUCUUUGUACCAAAUGUCGCAUUCUCUUGAUGAUGACUAGUUGUAACUUUAGUGUUGUUGUUGUUGUUGUUUUCACUCUUCAUCAUGGCUUUGUUCACCAUAGGGCUCGGAGGUGGGAGCUUAGGGUAUAGUUUUGGUAAUAUUGGAGCUUGAUAAGGGCUUAUGCUGUCGUCAUCGUAACUCUCACUAGUUUGCCAUGCUCGUCUUGAUGAACUUGUUGUAGCUUGUUUCAAAGUUUCGUCUUGUUCUUGCUUGAGAUUGAUCUGAAGAUGGCUUAUUUGAACUUCUAGUCUUGAGAUUUCUCCUUCUACUAUCGAUAGUUCCGUUAUUAGUUCCUUCAUCUGCAUUAGAUUAAGGUUAAUUAACUUAUUUAAUUUUUUUUGGUACAACUUAAUAAAAUGGCUUACUUAAUUUCGCUAAAACUUUAUUUGUUUAGUUGUUUAUGAUUAAUUAUGCCUAAUUUUCCGGCAAGGGGAUCUAACAAUUUUGUUUGAUAAAUACAAAAUAUAGCAUACCAGUUAAGAAUUCUAAAUUUUUGGUGACAUGAGACUUGGUUUAAAAGCAACGUUACCAGAAAUAUGUGUAUGAUGUUUAUUAUAUAUCAUAACAUAUUUAUAAAGUGUUCACACCAAAAAAAAACAUAUUUAUAAAGUGUUUGCUGCUUUUUCACUCUAACUAAACUUGGAAAUUACACACCACACGUAUGCAUGUAUGUGUUAAUUACUAAUUAUAACAUGUAGGUACCUUAGGAGGGAGAGAAGAAGGAAGAGUAAUGGAAGAGGAAGAAGAAGGAAGUUGAUGUUUUUGGACUUGUUCCAAUAUCUCACGUGUCUUUUCUUCUUGAUCCAGCAUCUCUCGUAACAUCCACACCUAACCAUUAUUAUUAAAUCAAUACACUUUUCACUUCAAGUUUUAUAAACAAAAAAAGCUACAAAUAUUGUAGAAACACCAUAUUAUAUAUGUCAUUUUGUCUCUUGUUGAUUAUGAUAAAUAAUACCAUAGUAUGUCAUUAUAUUUUGCCUGCGUGUUAAUGAUAAGGGUGCAUGUUAAUUUAUGUAACGCAAUCCCAAAGAUAAAACUGAACCGCAAACUUGAUUUGUACAGCUCUAAACACCUUGAUCCACGUAUAUUUAUAACAACAUCCCUUGAUGUUUGCAUAGACAUAUGUACAUACGAUAUAGAUAUAGGUAAAGCUAAUUUUUAGUGGAUUCCCAUACCUCUUUCUCUAUUUCUUCCUUUUUUUGCUGCCCAUUUAGCUUUUUCGUCCUCUAUACACAUCAAAAGGUUUAAAGGAAAAAAAAAACUCAAUUAGCGAAACCAUAUACUUCUUUUUCACAAAUUAAAUGAGAGAAAAGGUCAAAACACAGCAAAUCCAUACAACAAUGUAAUUAAGCAGAACCAACUGAUCAGGUUAACGUGAAAGAAUGCUACGAUCAAUCCAUUUUCAUAAGACAACCACACGUACGUACUGAUUUUGUAAAUGAAAAUGCUUUACGACGGUUUAUAUCUUAUUUUAUCCGAGGUGUCACCUUAUAAUUAACUCAAAUACUUUGUCAUAAACACUCGAUUUAAGAUUCAUAAAUUAAAGUUGUAUGCCAACAAUUUAUUAAUUUAAUUAACAUAUGAAUGCAUGAAUCAUGAUGAGAACGAAGCAUAUAUGGAAUUCAAAAAGAAAGUUAAACUCACAACACUAUGAGGGACAUUGAAGCUGGGAGAGCUAGAGCCGCCAGGGAGAGUUGUGGUGGGCAUGGCUAAGAUGGAACGGUGAUCUUCGGGACUGGACCAGCGAGACGAAGAUGGAGCAGUGAGACAGAACCGGAGAGAGUGGUUGAAGUCAGGAGGAAGGUAAUGGUAAUGAAGGAGGUUAAUAGAAGAAGAAGAAGAAGAAGAAUGAGACAUUUGAGAAAUAUUAUUGGCUUAGACUUGAAGAUGAAGAAGAGAGCGAUGGCGAUCGUGAGAGAGGGUUUGGUGAAGGAAGACGAGAAGCAGUUUUCAAAGCUGAUGCUCUUAACCGUCAUUGAGAUAGAGAGUGGUGAGUAAUAUUGGACAUCUCUUUAUUUUAUGUACAUAACACAAUUUUCAUUAUUACAUAUUUUGGUUUAUAAUUAUUGUUAUGGACCUUUGUUGGAACGUAAAGAUUAGGUUGUUGGUGGUGGUGGAUUAUGGUUUUUAACCAUUAAAGUACAAUUUGGAUUAUGAGUUUAAUUAGCUCACACUAAUCAUCAUGGAUUCAUGAACAAAGUUGGAUUAUGAUUUUAUAAUACUUUCUGUUAUUUUUAUUUAUUUUGAAGGAAGAUUAUAUUCAUACUCUUUUUUUUUUUUCAAAUAUUCAUAAUUUCAAAUAUUUUUGUAUUUAAUUUUUGAUUUUUAAAAUUUUGAUUUACAAAAUUUAUCACUCGAAUUUUGACAUAUACUUUAUACUUAAAAGAAAAAAGAAAAAGCCUAUGAUAUUUUAUAUGUCGAUUUGUCAAAAAGAUAUUUAAUUUCCUAAAACCCUCUCGCUAACCCCUCCACCGUCGCCGGCACCAUCUGAAACAGUGUGAUUGGUAUUUCGUUCCACUCUCCGGCAAAAGUUCUUCCCUUUUUCUCUUCUGAAUUCUUCAAUGGCGGCUUCACUUGUUCUCAACCGAGUAUCUCGAGCUACCAGCUCAAUCACUCUCCGUCGGGUCGCAGGUUUCAGUUCCCUUAAUGCUCAAAUUCACGGUGGAAGUAUCUCCGGAACACUACUUCGAGGUGAUCCUUUUUCCUCUCUUUUGUUGCUUUCUAUUGAAUAAAAAAUCGAACUUUGUGAGUUUUCCAUCACCGUCUCUUCCACCCUUUUUGUUUAGCUAAGUUUUCUUUAUGCGCAGAGUUGACUAUGCGUUUUUGGAUCCGAUUUUAGUUUGAGUUUUGGAAUUGAUUGUUUCUUGUUAGACUUGCUGUUGUAUUGCAAGAACUAUUGUUGAUUGGAAACGUUAUUAACUGCAAAAUAUCUUAUCUUUGUGUCCUCUCGGAGUGAUGAUGACAUGACUUUUUAGUUUUUACUCUCUCUGUGGAGUUGUAAGAUGAGAACUUUCUUUUAGUGAUUGGUGAAAAGAUGACUUGUGGUUUAUUAUGAGAAGCAUGUAGUUGAAUCUGUAAAUUAAUUGCUGUUUGGAUGACAUUGUGAAGAGUGUUCACCUUGCUCUGUAGCUUGCCGAAACAGUUUUAUCCAUGGAAGCAAUGGAUUCUGUUACAACAGCACCUAUACAGUUCUGUCAUUUGAUUUUUUUUGGUUUCUCUCUUGUUUUUGUAGAGAGAUCAUUAGCUACUCUUGCUGGAGGAGCUUCCCAUUUUGAUGAGAUGGUAUCUGUGAAUCAACGAAAGUAUUAUCUUCUGGGUGGUAAAGGAGGUGUUGGGAAAACGAGCUGUGCUGCUUCUCUUGCGGUUAAGUUUGCUAGCCACGGUCAUCCAACCAUUGUGGUUUCAACUGACCCUGCUCACUCCUUGAGUGAUUCUUUUUCCCAGGUAUCAGCUUCUGACUAGUCUCUCAAUUUUUAUGCUUUGAAAGUCUGUUUCCAGCCAUCAGUAAAUCUCGUGUUGGCAUCUAGGAUUUGUCAGGAGGAGUUCUAAAAGCCGUUCAAGGUGUUGAUUCUCCACUUCUAGCUCUUGAGGUGAUUAAGAAACUACGCGUCUCUGCACAUUCCUGGAUAUCUGGCAGGUUGCUGAGUUUGAUUCUCAUGUUGUGAUGUGUGACAGAUAACACCUGAGACAAUGAAGGAAGAGAUUAAAAGUCAGACAGGCGGUAAAAGCGUUAAAAAUAUGAUGGAUAGCAUGGGGCUUGGAAUGUUUGCUGGCGAGGUUCAUUUUCCUAAUCUAUAUUGUUUAUUUUCGAAGCCUCCAUUAUGAUUGAAAAACUUCAUCAAUGUCUCAGUUGUGUUGUUCAUUUUUGGUAGUUAGGGGACUUAAAUCUUGAAGAUAUGCUCAAUGCUGCCUCCCCUGGUAUUGACGAAAUAGCAGCUAUUUCCAAGGCACGUAUGGUUUCCCCCCAGAAUUCCCCUGGAAUGAGAAAUUUUUAAUAUAAAUUGCUUAUUGAGAUUUCAUUGCAGGUCCUUCAAUUUAUGGAGUCACCAGAAUACAAUAGGUUCACUCGUAUAGUUUUUGAUACUGCUCCUACGGUUAGUACUUUGCUUUCUGUCUUUGUUAGAGUCCUAGAGUAUGCUUUAUUUGUUAACUCUGGUUAAUUCCAAAAAAAUUCUUGCAGGGACAUACUCUGCGGCUUCUUUCCCUACCAGACUUCUAUGAUUCAUCCAUUAGCAAAAUAACAAAGGUUUGAGGAUGAAAUCUAGCUUCAGUUGUUGUUUGCUUACACAGUUUAUAUGCUUUGCGUACUUUUAUCUAAAUGGAUUAUUUUAUUAUUUAGCUCAAGAAGAAGAUCACUGCAGCAGCUUCAGCCUUUAAGUCGGUCUUUGGCAAAAAAGAGAUACAACAACAAGAACCUGUAAGUAGAGGUUUUUUCAUGUGAACAGUUAGGCCAUUACUUCCCCUUCACCUUCUCUCAAAUUCUAAACAUCAUUGACUCUAAUCAUUGUUUUAACAGCCUAACGAGUUAGACCAACUGAAAGAGAGAAUGGAGAAAGUUCGAAAUGUUUUCCGUGAUGUUAACACUACCGAGUUUGUCAUUGUGACCAUCCCAACGGUAACACCAUUCUUUUACUUGUUCAUAAAGAUAAAAGAUUUUUAUAUUAAGAGUUAGCUUGUAGAUGCUCUUGUAAAUUUGUUCUUCUACAGCCUAAGUAUGAUUUGAAUAGAAUUUGGGUCACCUUCUUGAGAUCAGGAGAUUUAUUUGGUUACAAAUUCAUGACUGGGUUAUUAUAUUUUGUUUUAGGUGAUGGCAAUAAACGAGUCUUCAAGGUUACAUGCAUCUUUAAAAAAAGAAAAUGUGCCAGUUCACAGGCUUAUUGUUAAUCAGCUUCUACCUCAAUCUGAAUCCGACUGCAAAUUUUGCUCGAUGAGACGAAAGGUAACUAGACUUAACAUUAUGCAAGCAAGCUUAAUAAUUCUGAUAGGUAUAGCCAUUGCUUGUACCUACAAUGUGAUAUCGUUCUUGAUAUUUCAGGAACAAACGCGUGUCCUUGGACUUAUUCAGAACGAUACAGAACUUUGUGGGUUAAAAUUGAUACAAUCCCCAUUGCUAGACGCAGAGAUAAGAGGUGUCCCUGCACUUAAGUUCAUGGGUGAUCACAUUUGGAGAUAAGAAAAUUAGUGUUCAUCUUUCAUUUCCAGUGAGUAACAAUAAGUUAAAUUCUUCUGCUGCCUUAAGAUAUGAAAUUCUAGCUGAUGAGAGGAAAACAAAUUAACAUGUAUUAACCUUACGCCAGGAAAUUAAUGGAAGUUCUAUGAGGUUUUCUCAUUGUUUUUCUAUAUACUUCUACAUGUUUACUUGGUGAUAAAAUGGAAUCGAUAGGAAACAGGUGAUAAUCUAUGUUAUAACUAAAGCAAUUGAAAGAUGUACAACAUGAAGAAUUACAGGUAGAAAUCUUAAACUCUGAUGAUGGAACUACCUAUGAACAGCGUGCUGGGCUAUUAUCUUCUGCAAAUGAUUUGUUCUUUCUAGUAAAACCUGUGUGCGUGUAGUUGUAGCAUAUAGGGAAGAAAUUGGUAGUUUCAGUUUCCCAAGAUUUGCAGGUACAGAAGGAUGAGGUUUUGGAAACUUAAAGCUACUUCUUUUGGAAAGUUACCAUACAAAAGAAAGCUGCACAGCGACUCAAGAUACCGGUUAAUGUCAGGAAGAUGAGGCAACGAGGAAAGUGCUUGAUGUUGUAUCCAUUCUCCAUCAGUGAUCCACACCGAGUGAUAAGCCAGACUCCUUUAUAUCUGAAAUAUAUACGGAAGAGUAAACAAGUUGAUCUAAAGACUGCAGAGAUAAUUGCAAUGGAGCUUUAUAACAGGGAGAGAUCAGGUUUGCAACCUUUGAGCAUUUGAUACCACAAAUGCUUCUAGAGCCCAUCGCGUGUAGCACAACUCUGAGAUUGAAUCUACGAUUUUGUUGUCGUUUGUACUGGUGGCAAUUAAAGUCAGAACUACUGGAAGUAACACUGACCACUGCACAACGAAAAAGAAAAAGACGUGAUUUGUGUGUUAAAAGUUUCUAUUUGAGUCUUUGGUUCUGUCAUCAGUAUUAUGCUCAAUGAUCGAUUAGAUACUUACUAGUUGAGCUGGACCAGGUUCGAAAAGUAUGGCCAGGGCAUAAGCUAUGCCAGUCACACAGUAUACAAGACAGAUUAGGACAACAUAAUUGUCUGUAACUGUAGAUCUUGGAUUGUUGAAGAAGUAGAACAUGGAUAAAUAAACAAGCGGUUUAACUAUGGUGUUGAAGUGAUCAACUGUGUCUUUUGCAAGGAAGUAAGCCAGGCUGCUCAUUCCGGCUCGGCUUUCUCUCCAAUAAUGUAGUUUAUCCAGAGAGAAAGAUCUUAAUGCAGUAAUCUUACACAGUAGAGCUGAAAAACAAGAAAUUUUGUGAAAAUUGAAGAAAUAGGCAAACUUGUUGUCAGAGAAGCUUGAAAAGUUUCUACUUACAAACAGCAAUGACUGUAUAUGUAUAUCCCAUAGCACCAAACGUUUCGUCGCUCACUUUAGCAAGUGUUCCUAGGCAGAUACCAGCAAGUAAAAGUAUUAGGUAAUCUACAGCUAGUGUCCUUGCUUCUCGCAGUCUUUGUUUACCUAACCUGCAAAGAAAACACAUUGAGUUUAAGAAAGGAUUCUCUGUGAACUGAUUGAUAUGGCUAGUAUUUGAGGGGAUAUACCUUCCUAAGAAGUAUCUGUAUUGCUGAUACACACCGGGAACUUCUCUUUCGGAUAAAUCACCUGAACUGCUGAAGUUAUUCUGCAAGUGAUCUUUCUUGAUUUCAACAUUUGCCUUGACAUCUUGCCAGAACUCUCCAGCAAAAGAUGUUCCGUCAUCUCCUACGACGCUCCCGUGAGCGCUUCCUCCAUGGGCAGAGUUUUCAGCGGAAGCUGAAGCCAUACCUUCAAUGCUUUUAAGCAUGUCCAUAGGAACUGGAUACCCAUUAUGCAGCAUCCACCUAACUGGAAGCUGUUUAUAGGUAACCCCUGAGCUUGUGCUUGGCUUUAGUAUGCCUUCUAAUAUAUCAAUGUAGUAAUCAGGAGGAUUCACACGCUCAGGGACAACAAUCCCGAGGCUCGAGAAGUAUUCUUCAACUUUUUUCACUGAUCCUUGGUAACAUAUCAGUCCACCUUUUGCCAGAAGUAUGAGAUCAUCAAACAUCCGAAACAGAGUAUAGCUGCAGAGAGACAAUAGCAAAUGAGAAUAAGAUCUAAUAAUCUGUUUAGUAUUAGCUAAUGGGAGAGUGUUUAUGUUGAACCUGGGUUGGUGGACAACCAUACAGAUGUUUACUCCUUCAAGAGCUUCACGGCGUAAAGCUCUUAGAAGUAACUGUGAAGAUGAACUGUCAAGGCCUGAAGUUGGUUCGUCUAAUAUUAAAAGUGAUGGUUCCAUCACCAUUUCAAGACCCACAUUGACUCUUUUCCUCUGACCUCCAGAGAUUCCUCUCUUUUCCACAGUCCCAACAAGAGAGUCUCGAACAUGUUGCAGACCAAGUGACUCAAUGACUCUUUCUACAACUAAAACCUUAUCCGGCUUUGGAAGAUCCGCAGGCAGCCUGUAUGUAGUAAUAAAUGGUUUAGGCAUAAAGUUGAAUAACAUGUUGAAAAUUUGAAUUUCAUUAAGCAAAAUGUGGCAUACCUGCAUCUUGCACUGAACCAGAGAUUCUCCUCCACUGUCAAGUUUCCGUGGACUAUGUCAUCCUGAGGGACAAAACCUAUGAUUUUCUUGUAGGAUUGAAUUGAUUCAACCUUUCCAUUGACGAGAAUCAUUCCACUCAUGGUACAACCUGGUGCUUUGCCUGUCAAAGCUGUUAGGAAAGUGGUUUUACCGGCACCAGAAGGACCCAUCACAGCAGAAACACGUCCAGGUGAUAGUUUUCCAGUCACACAUCUCAGAAGAUGUUUGUUUUUUCCUUUUAGAGUGAUCGAAAGGUCUUUAAAAGCAACUUCAAUCGUUGGUCUCUUUCGUAUGUCGAUAUCAUUAGCCAUGGAGAUGACUCCAGAGAAAGUCAAGUUCUUGUUCUGCUCCUGCAUUGCUUUUUCCUUUUCUAUCUGGCCAUAAGCGUAUCUGAACAUUUGGCUCUGCGUAUGCAAGGCCUUGCCUUUUGGAGCAUGUUUUUUAAUGUUUUUAUCACCAAUCUCAAGAUUAAACCCUUCAGGAUCUUCAGGGUUUUGUUCAAUGUCAUGUAACAUCUCUGUUAGUUUGUUCUUUUCCUUUUUCUUUCCCUUUUUUGUGUCUGCGCUACUCCCUGGCAUUGGUGGUAAGGCAGCAUCUGAUCCAGGUUUAGCUUGGCUUAAGCCUCUCAUCAAAUCUGGCUGUUUCAUGGAUUUCCUCCUUGAAAAUGUUCGGGAAAACGAUUGCUGCAGCUCGGUCGCAUGCUUCUUUGCAAUAUCUUUGGCAGAUUUCCAUUUCUCCCGUGACUGCGAAUCCCGCACACUUUGUACUGCUUUUUCCCUGGAUUUUGCCUGCCUUCUUUCUCUCGUCGCAAGCACUUGAUCAGAACAGUUGUAUAAGAUUAUGAGCAAGAAACCUAACCCAGCCUGCAUAGAAACCAGCCAAAGACUCAAAUAAUUGGAAAAAUUAACCAACAGAUACGUGAAGCAAAUAGUUCAAGGAGAGAUCAAUCAUGACUCACAAAAAGCAUGAUUCCGUAUGCUGUGAUAUUCUGAUUUGUUGAUCUUGGAUUGCAAGUUGCCAGCUUAAAACAAUCUGUAAAUUCAUCAGAGAAAAGAGACCGUGAGUUUUCUUUUCUUCUCUUUCUCUAUCUCUGAUAGUUUGGAGGUUAGUUCUCGAUAGUUGUUUGGACAAAAGAGAUCACUCACUUAGCUCUGCAGUAGAACCUGUCCUACAGUAAUGUCUGGAGCAACAAAAGAAAAACAAAGACUAGUUUAGCUGAUUGGAGAAAGAUGAAUCUUCAAAUAAGUUGUUAUAAUCACUCGUAGUUUGUUACCCUUUACUACAAGGAAGCUUGUCGAUAGUGGAAGGACAAAACGAUCCAGCUGAACAGAAAACCUCACUGCUACUAACAAUAUCAGCCCAAAUAUCAGCUCCACCACAAGUAUGAUUUGGCUGUCCAGAAGGAAGCUGGUAAUGAUAUCUGCAAGAAAAUAAAUCCUGCAGCUAAUCUUACCAUAUGUUCAAGACAAACUUAGAAAACUGAGCAAAAACAAGACUUACGGGUCGCAUAAUCCUGUUGUUCUGUUCAGCUUAGCCUCUGGACAAUAAGCUCCCAAAGGACAAGCUUCAUAUAUAUAUCAUUGGGAGGCGACAACAUUAGAAAUGGAUUACAAACAAAAAAAACUGAUUCUUAAAAUCAGUUUUGAAUUGUAUAUGAACUUACGGAUCAUGCAGGUGAUGCCACGAGGGCAGAAGAAACCAGCGCAGCAAGGCGCACAUUGCUGAGUUCUUUCAGGAACAUUCUUAUCGUCUUUGAGGUCAACUUUGACAUCUUUAGCAGUACGACAAGCCCAUCCAGGUUCACAUCCAGACAUCCAUGAAGAUAGAUUGCAGUUCUUGUUCGGUUUCAAGUAAUUCGUAGCUCUCUUUGCACCUCCUAAUAAUCCGUUGAAGUAUAUCCUCACUUCUGCAGCCGUACAUAUCCUCUGCAGCAUGUCACCUAUUCUCAAUCCAAAAGCAUCAACAAAAGCGUACAAAUGUUACUUUAAAUUCUUCUGAUAUGUAUGAAUGAAACAGAGGAUGUAUAAACAUAUAUACCUUUUGUGGUUUUACCACAGGCAUUUAAGAAAUCUGGCUUUUUAGAGAAAUUAAAGGCUUCGUUGUAAUCUUCUUUUCUACAACACAAAAAACACAAAAACAAAAAAAAAAGACAUUAUAACAUUAGAAACUAACACAUUGGUAAAUGACAAUGAGACAUUUUAAGAAACCAACACAUUGGUAAUGCAGAAACCGAGUUCUCGUUUAAUGUCAUCCUCAAAAACUUCGGUGAGAUUCGAUAUUUUGUCAAAGACGAAUUGGUUAUAUAGACGAUUAGCAGCGGGAUUAUCCAAGCUUCUAUCUUCUUGACAGAUUACAUUUUGAUGUAAGAUUAAGGAAAGAAAAACGAAGAAGGAAACAUAUGAUGUUUCUUGAAAACAUGAAUCUCUCCUUCUCAUCCCUGAAAUAUUCCGAGAGAACGGGAAAAAUAAUACAAUGUUGCAGAGAUUUAUUCUAGAGACCGGGAUGGAUCAAGGAGACAUUAGAUAGUUGAUUUUUUUCUUGAGAAAGAGAGAAUUAGGGUUUGUUUUUUUUUGUUUUUUGUUUUUUUGGGAGAGAGAUUGUAGUGUUUCUUGGGAGUCAAGAAAUGGAUGAGAGGAAGACAUGGCGAUAUUUGAGGAAGUAAGAGACAGAGACCAGAUUUUUAUUUCACCGUUUGACUUUCUCUAGCUAACUCGUGUCAUGCAUGGUAAUAGAUUUUUCACCUUGGAAUAUAUACUAAGGAAUUAAUUUAAAGCUAAGGGUAUCUAUUUUGAUGAAGGUUUUAUUAUGAUCUCUAUAUUGUAGUUAAAAAAAAUUAUAAUAAAUAUAAAGUAACAUAUUUGAAAUUUAAAUUAAAAUAAAAGACAUAUUUUAAAUCCGAGUUCGAGUUGGAAUAGGAUGUUGAACGUGGUACACUAUAUAUAUAUACAAGUAUCGACUAAACAAUAUGUGUAAUUACAGAGGUUGUACCAUAUUCAUCAUCAUGGACAAGAGCGAAACGAUGGCUGAACCUGGAUGUAAAUUGUGAGUGGAUCGUUGAUUAUUAUUUUAUAUUUCUUUGUGUAGUAGGCUAGCUAUAUAAUUUGAUUUCCAAACUAAGUAAUGCAUGGGUUGAUUGCAUAUGUUAUCUUAUAUUAUUUAAUUUGGUGGUGGUAUAUAUGUCACGCAUGCAGGUCCACGAAGCAAAUCCGUUACGUCUUAACCAUGCACAUACUCAUCUUGUCGGCCGCUCUUGCAGAGUUCUUGUACAUAAGGCUAAACAAGAUCCCCGUGACCUACUCCCAAAAAUGUUUGGGAUUUUUUUUGGCAUUCUUGUACAUCAAUGCCACUUUUGUCGGGCUCCAGGCACCCACAAAUCCCGGGAAACCCGAAGGUUACGGUGUCUUCGUAGUUGAAUGCGUGAGUCAUGUCUUAGGGAUUGCUCUCGUCGUCUUUCUCCUCAAUUGUAUCUCUCCCAUACUCUCUCUCUACGUCGGGUUACCCUCUUCCAUUGUGUUCAUGGCCCUUUGCUGUGGCUGUGUAUGUUUCUGUGCCGAAGACUCUGAUGACGACUUGCAAGGAAACCAAAGUUCUCUACCAGUGUAGCCCUGUACAAUUUUCUUGUUUUCUUAUAUCAUACAAUUUUAUUUUGUUUUGUUUUGGGUUUUAAACUUAUAGUACUAGGCUACUAGCUAGUGUUUUUUGGUCAAACCGAGAAAAUUGCGUUCUUGAAGACAAAAAUUCAUAAUUGAUUUUAUGCCGGUUUAAACAUCGGUUUUGUUCGGUAGUCCGGUUUAGAUGGAUUGUUAAUGAUUGUCGUUGAAAAUUCAACAACUUUUUUGGUGAG